rnacentral:lncRNA from 1 species
AAAAAAAGCAAAUCUUCCACGACGGUUGAGAAGCAAAGCACCACAUGCUAUGCAAAAUCCAACAGUGAAACCAAUGGCCCCACCAAUAUAGAACCAACCUUGAAGUUCGUCUAUACCUUCACCCUCACUUUCACCAAUGAUGUGUUGUAUUCCCGAUUCUUCAUCUCCAGGACAUUUUUUGGUAAGGGGAGGUCCACAAAGCCCUAAGUUCCCUUCGUAUCUUGAAGGGUCAAAGGUCUGAAGUUGUGUGCUGGAUGGGAUUCUCCCUGACAAGCUAUUAUCUGAGACGUCUAGGUAAUUUAGCCAAGUCAUUUGAGACAUGGUUGAUGGUAUUUCUCCAGAAAAAUUGUUUCUAGAUAAAUCCAAAAUUAAAAGGUUUUUCAUCUGACCGAUUUUCCAUGGAAUCUUUCCUAGUAGAGCGUUCUUAGAUAAGUUGAGUGCAAUCAGUUGAUCAAGAUUGGUAAUCUGAUAUGGGAUUUCCCCUGAUAAGUUGUUGCUUGACAGGUCGAUGCUCCUCAACAACUUCAUAUUACUUCUGAUGAAUUCACGUUCACUUCCUUGCCACUGGAUCAUCACAUGGUCAACAUUAUAUGAAUAUAUUAUUAAUAUAUCGUCAGGAUCUAAAUUCUGUAGUUGAGAGAAUCCUUGUUGCACCAUGAUCGUAAGAUUACUCAAACAUGAGGGGAUGCUUCCAUGUAAAUGGUUCACGGACAAGUCUAGAAUUUGAAGACUUACUAAUUGACAUAAUUGUAAAGGGAUGCUUCCAGAGAAGUUGUUUGAUCUUAACAUAAGAACAUACAACCCAGAUAAGCUUUCCCCAAUCCAAACAGGCAAAUUACCAGAAAACUUGUUCGCCCCCAAAUUCAAUGAUUUUAAGCUUGUGCAAUUCUUAACAGACAAAGGAAAUUCUUCGGAGAAAUCAUUCUUGUAUAAAUCCAACGCCUCUAGCUUAAUCAUAGAUCCAAGAGAGGCAGGAAGCCUUCCAGAAAGAUUAUUGUGUUCUAAAUUAAGAACUUGUAGUUCUUUGAAAUGCCACAAACAAUCUGGAAGUUGUCCGCUUAGAAAGUUAUGGGAGAGGUCAAGAAUAACUAAAAAGCCAUGGACAACUUGGCAUAAGAAGGAGAUUCCUCCAGAGAAUUUGUUUCUGGAAAGAUUUAGUAAUGCCACAGUGGAAGAGACAUUAGUUAUUGGACCGUCAAAGCUGUUGGAGCUUAAAUCUAUCACUGAAUUGCUGUCAAAAUUUGAUGACAGAUCUGGUAGUUUGCCACUUAUGUUGUUGGAAGAAAGAUUCAGGAAUGUUAACCGGGAAGGCCAUGAGUCCCAAAACUCAAGAGGAAUAGUAUCUGAAAUGCCAUUAUUUGCAAUAUCAAUACUGGUAAGAUUUUUCAAAUUUUGAAUCCAUUUGGGGAAGAGAGGCCCUAGUUUGCAAGAGCUUAGUUGAAUAGAUUCUAUAUGAGAACGGUUUGACAUGUAAUCUGAGGCAGGAAAUUCAUGGAGUGAGUUUUCGGAAAGAUCAAGAUGUAUAAGCUUGGGCAGUUCCCACAGUUUCUUACUUAUAGUUCCUUUUAGCUGAUUCUCAGAAUGGGACAGAGACGUUAGGGAUGUGAACUUUUGGAUGUCAUCAGGCAAUGACCAUGUAAAUUGGUUUGUUGGAGCAUACAACCAUUGUAAUGAAAGCGAUGUGCAUCCAGACAAGUUGUUGAGAAAAUCAGGAAAUUUGAUAACACCAGAGUUGUUAUAGAAGUAAAAACGUUCCAAACUACAGAGGUUACCAAGAUAUUUGGGUAUCCCAUCUAACAUGUUGCCAGAGAGAUAAAAUCGGACUAGGCUAUUGCUGGUUAAUGGGAACAACCAAUGAUACAUGGACGAGGUGAGAUUGUUGUCUCCAAGAAUAAGGUAUUUAAUAGAUGAGGAAGAAGAGUUGAUAAUUUGUGAAGAAUAUGGAUAAAUGACCUGUGACAGCUCACAUCCCGAUAAACUUAAAACAGAGAGUUUACGGAGACUGAGAAUAACAUCUACCCAAUGAUUUGUUUUGGCCAGUGAAAUCCCAUCCAUUGCAAGUCCCUCCAGAUGAGAUAGAGGAGACAACCAGUCUAGGUUCUCAACUCUACACCUUCCAACCUCGACAAGGUAAAGCACUUGCAAGUUGGUGAGGUUUCCAAACUCUGGAGGAAUGGCUCCAUAAAGAGAAUUAGAUGAAAGGUCAAGGUAUUUUAAUUCUGUCAAGGAACCGAUGGACAUGGGAAUGGUUCCAUUAAGAUUAUUGAAGCCAAGGUGAAGGGACCUUAAUUGAGUCAACGAACCAAUGAUCGCAGGAAUGGUUCCAUGAAAAGAAUUGUAGGAAAGAUCAAGAUAAUUCAAGUAGGUUAAGUUAACCAAUGAAUGGCUAAUCUCACCUACAAGACCACAGGACAUCAGAUCAAGCUCUGUGACAUGACCACCUGUUUGGUUGUUGCAUGUUACUCCACUCCAUUGACAGCAGUUGUCUUGUUCAGCUGUCCACAUAGAGAGACGAUCAGAAGGGUCUUGAAGGAGAGAUUUGAAAUGAAGGAGAGAAUAUUUCUCCUUCUCAAAACACUUCUUCCCAACAACAUUUUCAUCUCCUCCUCCCACUGCUGCCAAUUGGUUGGCAGCUGCAGUCUCAAGACAUAGCAAGAGAAGUGAGAAUAUCAUAAAAACACAAGGAUGCAUGAUGUAAAUGCAAAUCUUAAUUGGUGAUUUUUUUUGUUUGUAUUAAUGAAAAUUUGAAGAUGCCCUAUGCAAGUUUAUAUAGUGCCAACUUUGAAAAUGAAGGAUUUAAGUGGAUGGCGUCAACUACAGGCCUAAAAAAUAAUAAAUUCUGUUUUUUUUUUUUUAAAUAGUAGGAACAAAGUCUUUUUUUUCCUUUUAUUUUUAUCAAUAUGGAAGCAUUAUUUUCAUCUUGUGAUAUCUUUUGGUCCUCAUCUUAUGUCAUACAAAUCCCAAAAAACAAACUAACAAAAUCAAAUACACAAAUCAUUUAGGAAAAAGCACAAAUGGUAAAUAGGUAAUGAAUUAGUGCCUGGAAACAUUAUGUGUCUUUUGGCUUAAUAUGUUAUGUCAAAAAGAAACAACCAUAUAUAGUUAGCUUUCCAGAUCAAGGGCUUAAUUUAUUAAGCCUAUUAAGUCAUAAAGAAUCAGCCCCUAAGGGCCUAAGUGCUGAGUGAUAAAUGAUGAAUCUCCAGAGAAUGUAUUGGAUAAAAUAACGCUAAUUGUUUUUGUAUUUUGGAUUAAAUGAACCAUUCGAAUAAGAGAAAAUGACCAUUUUACCCUUAUUUAGCAGGUUGUUUGUUUGAGAAUUAUUGUAAUGUGAAACUAAAAAUCAGUGUGAUGCGACCAUUAGACUUAAAUAUGUUUGUCAAAAACAACCAUAACUGUCCUGUAAUUAUUUUGUACAGAUAGUGCAAGACCUUUUUCAAAGCAUUAUUUCCUAAACAACAAAUCAGAAUGUAAACGAGUUGUUAUAUCCAGAAACAUUGAAUUAAACACUAAUUUAACGAGGAUUCAUGCAUAUCAUAUUCCCGUCAGUUAUUAAACAACUUCUAUUUAUGUCUAAUUGAGACAAUUCUUCCAAUCCUAUGCAGAUUUAAUCUCUUAAACAGAUUUUUGAUACCAUUUAGAAAAGUUCCAACUUCCAACAUAAACAUUAACCCAGAAACAACUCUAAUUUAUGGAAUCAAUUGAGGUUUUCUCAAUGGAAACAAAAAGGCACCGUUCCGUUAAAACUAAAAAAAAUUAAGGAAAAAAAAAAGAAACAGAGAAACAUCAGUCAACAGAAAAUGGUGAAGAGAGAGAGAGAGAGAGAGAGAGAGAGAGAGAGAGAGAGAGAGAGAGAUGAUCGAGAAUGAACAGCUGAGAUAGUCCAACAACUUACCUGAUGGAAGAGACCGAGGGAGGAACGACGAAGAUGUUAGGUAUAUGUUGCUUUCACAUGGUUAGUGGACAACACAAAAGAGUCACCUAUCAAUUGGCACACAAAAGGAAUAAUAGGCACUAAGAAGUAAGAAACUCCAACGGACCACUAUUAUUAUUAUUAUUAUUAUUAUUAUUAUUAUUAUUAUUAUUAUUAUUAUUAUUAUUAUGGGAUAGAGGCCCAAAUCACUCCAAUGGCACGCCAAAUGAGACGCUACUUUUAUGUUGAAAAUAAUAGGCACUAAGAGAACUCCAUACGAGACCACUAUUAUUAUUAUUAUUAUUGCGGGAUAGAGGCCCAAAUCACUCUAAUCACAUGCCAAAUGAGACACUAAUUUUGUGUUGAAACUAAUAGGCACUAAGAGGACUCCAAAGGACCACUAUUACUAUUAUUGUGGGAUAUAGGCCCAGAUCACUCAUGCCAAAUGAGACACUAAUUUUGUGUUGAAAAUAAUAGGCACUUUAGAGGACUCCAACGGACCACUAUUACUAUUAUCGUGGGAUAGAGAAUCGCACGCCAAAUGAGACACUAAUUUUGUGUUGAAAACUUUUGGCCUUUAAAUAUGGUGCUCACUCAAUUACUACACAAAAUCAUUUUUACAUUAUAACUUAGGGUUAAUGACUUAAAAGGGUAAUUAAGUUUCAAUUUUGUACAAAAUACACCAUUGAAGUAUAUCAACCAACUUAAAAUAUCGUUUACAUAAUACCAUCUUAAUUGACUUUUCUUUCUUAUAUUCCAUUGUGUAACUGGUUCUACCGAUUAUGAGGUAAAGAUGACUUGAAAAAAAUCAACAAUUACCGUUCAUCGUCCUCUCCAUCUUCGGAGCGGGGCGGAGACAGUAGGGGGGCUGUCGGAUGUUUUGCCCCCCUCAAUCUCUUUUAAAAAGAAUAGCUCUCUUAUAUAUAAAAUAAGCCUAUGAGUAAAUAUUUAUCCCACAUCGGUAACUAUUAAAGUAAGCCCUUCUCAAUUAUUUUUAUAAAAGCAAUUGUUUUAUGUGAAAAGUAUGAAGUUGUGAGAAUUAUGACUAAUUGAGGCGCACAUAAAAAAUGACACUCCCUCUGCUCCAAAUAUUUUUAUUUUAAUAGGCUAUUGAUUUUAUACCUUAUUAAUGUCAACUAGAUGGGUAUCCCCGCGAUGCAGGGAUUCGAAGGUAUUUUUUUGUAAAGUACAUUGCUAAUCUCUUGAAUUCAUCUAUUUAACUAUGUUGGACUGAUAAGCAAUGCACCAUUAUCAAACGUGGCACUCGAUUGCUUUUUACCUACAAUUUCUUUAAAAACUCUGAAACAAUGCUGAAGUUGGUAUAAAUAUAAAAUGCAAGAAUCCUAUCAUCUAUUUUAAAAGUAGUAAUCUAGGAUCCUUAUUUGUAACAAAUCAAAGAUUCCUAAUUACAUAAAUAGUCCCUGUAAUUACAACAUUGGAACUAUUGUUUUAAGCAGCAGGCGGAUGCCACUUUCUAAUCUAGCUAAUCCCUACAGAUGUACAACAGCAACUUUGAACAGAUUAUGUAUCCUAUUGCACUUUCUUCUCUGUUAAACCUUCGUCCACUUUAGGAUUCUCAGUAAAAAAAAACAAAAAAUAGAAUUCUAUGAAAUGCAAUGCUAUAUCAAUGUACUUUACCAUUGUUUCACAUGUGGAGAUCAGGUGUAGACUCUAAAAGUUGCAUCAUGUAGAUAUGAAUAAUUAAAAAAAUAGUGGAAAUUAACAUGAUAUUGACCAAACUUUGGUUUUUUGAGUUAUUUUUAUGUUUAUCUGCUCCUUUGAGUGAAUUCCAACAACAUCCUUUGCAUUCCUCCUACCAAUGUAUUCAUUUCUUUCACCUACUCCAUGUAUCUGGUAGUAAUUUUACCCAUUCAGACAAUAAAAUAAGUUUGGAUCUCCCAGUUUGUAUCUUUUUAAAUAAGAAAAUAAAGCAAAGAUAUGGAGAAGAAGAUAUAGUGUCGGAUCACCCAAUUUGCAUGAAGAGCUUCCAUUAGUUCAUCCACUAUUGAAAUAUAUUCUUGUCCUUCCAACCUUCAUUCUCGUAGCCCUAAAUCUGUCAAUUAAAUUACAAGAAGGUCAUUAGUUAAAAGUGUGCUAUGACUCUAUAAAGAAACGAUAGAUAACAUAAAUCACAAAGUUUUGUGUGUAUGAAAGUUGUAAAUAAAAAUAAAUUUAAGUUUUGACUUAAAAAAUCAUACCCUUUGUGGAUUAAUACAUAUAAAGUUUCCGAAUUAGAAUACCAAUUUCCUGAACUCCAAAAUCACCUAACCCAACUAUACGAUUGCCAUCUCUCAGCACCAUGAUGUCCACCUCAUUUGCUUUAAAUUUAGUCAACUAAAAAUUGCUAUAAUGCAAAAUGGCUUAUUUGACCACUUAUGUUAAAAAGGGAUCAUUGAAAACAUAUAACCUCAUGAGCUGUCCCAUUUUAAAUUAAUGACAUCAUCUCUCUAUCUUUUGCACUAAAGUACAUUCCACUUGGACGCUUAAACAAUCCUGAAUAGUUUUGGCAUUCAACUCGCCGGAAACCAGGUCGUCGACUUUACAGGUGUAUCUGCACCCUUUCUCUUGUAUCUGAAAUAAGAAAACUGGAAUAUCCAUUAAAAAAAUUUAAUGAAAAGAAUUGAAUUGAAAAUUUUGUUAAAUGACCCAAACGCCCUUUAAUGGAUUUUUUUAAACAAAAUUCUACUUAUGGAGGAUCAAAUGGGGCCUUCUCUACCAAAAUCCAUUCAAAUAGCUAUCUUAAGUCAUGCUUACUCUGCAACAUGAAUCAGAGGAUGAAUUAGCGCAAACAAACUGAAGCUUAUGAAGCAUUAAACUUUUAAAAUCCACAUUGUUGUUUGUAUCCAAAGAUGUCAAAGGGUUAUAUGCAUGGAAUAGCAACCUACUUUAGGCAAUAUAUUUGUUUUCACAGAAUGCCUAUAUACUUUACAUUUUGUUUGUAUUUUUAUUGUUUUACACAAAAUAACAACAUAAUUUAGAUUUCAUCAUGUUAGUUCCUUGAGGCAUGUUGCCUAAAAUUAACAGAAAAAGUAGGGGUGCAAACGAGNNNNNNNNNNNNNNNNNNNNNNNNNNNNNNNNNNNNNNNNNNNNNNNNNNNNNNNNNNNNNNNNNNNNNNNNNNNNNNNNNNNNNNNNNNNNNNNNNNNNNNNNNNNNNNNNNNNNNNNNNNNNNNNNNNNNNNNNNNNNNNNNNNNNNNNNNNNNNNNNNNNNNNNNNNNNNNNNNNNNNNNNNNNNNNNNNNNNNNNNNNNNNNNNNNNNNNNNNNNNNNNNNNNNNNNNNNNNNNNNNNNNNNNNNNNNNNNNNNNNNNNNNNNNNNNNNNNNNNNNNNNNNNNNNNNNNNNNNNNNNNNNNNNNNNNNNNNNNNNNNNNNNNNNNNNNNNNNNNNNNNNNNNNNNNNNNNNNNNNNNNNNNNNNNNNNNNNNNNNNNNNNNNNNNNNNNNNNNNNNNNNNNNNNNNNNNNNNNNNNNNNNNNNNCUAAAUAAGUUUAAGCUCGGCUCGAGCUCGUUAAGAAGCUCGUUUACUAAUACCCUAAAUCCGUAAUUCCUCUAAUAUAUUUUUAUUUUAAUAUAUAUAAAUAAUAAUAAAUUAUAUUAUAUAAAGGCUCGUUCAGGCUCGCGAGCCUAAUCGAGCUUAAUGACAUAGGCUCGAGCUCGAGCUCGUUUAAUAAACGAGCUUAAUAUUAAGCUCGAGCUCGACUCGGGCUCAUUUAAAAUCGAUUUCGAGUCGAGCUUUUAAUGAUCCGAUCCCGAGUAGCUCGCGAGUAGCUUGGCUCGUUUGCACCCCUAAGAAAAAGGGUGCAUUGCUUAAAUAAAUAUUGAAAAGGGUGUGAUGCAUAAGAUAGGAAAUGACCUAAAGUGGGUUAAUAUUAUGUGCUAGAAAGUUUUUACAAAUCAAAAUAUUUAGGAAGUAAAUGAUACCCUAAGGAAUAGAAAUACCAUUACCUGAAAAUAAUCCAUCCAAGUGAUAUUGCUUUUUGAAUUCCUUAAACAUUUGAAUUGUUUUCUAGAUUUUUAUAGUUUUAUAGCAUAUUCUCUUAUUACAUUUUUCAAGAUUUUAUUACUUAUUAGUAUAUCUAUCGAAAUGGCAGUUCUUAUCAGUCACACAAAUUGUUACAAAUGGGUCUUUUUGUCAAUGUAUUAAGCGUACUUACGUAUUUUUUAGAUAUUAUUGUUACAAACUCAUUACUAUUCUUGUCUAAACCCUAAACCCUAAACAAACAACAAUACAUUUUCCAUAAUAACAAAUAUUCAGGUUAACAUCAAAAUAGCAGAAGAAAUUAACUACCUGGCUAUAAUUUCUGAAACUGGACAACCUUUUUCCUUUAAUUUCAAACCCUAGGCAACAAAUUGUUGAAGAGGAUGAUGAUGAUUCUGCUCUUCAAGAAGGAAUUCAGAUCACGAACAAAAAAUAUAGAAGUAUGAAGUUAAAACCAAAAAUUUAUAUAUUGUUUAUUUGUAUUAAAUCAUGCACUCUUCUUCCUUAUUCGAGCGAGGAGGUGUUGAAGAAGUUAGUGCCGAGUCGAAAUGCUUCACGAACGGUGGCGAUGGCUUCUUCAUUGGAGACAGGAAGCCUGAAAUCCUUCUUGAUUUCCAAUCGGAAGCCGCUAGGUUAAGAAGACCAUGUGGAUUCUCUUAGCACUUAAUUGGAUGAGAACGGCGGUGAUGAAUGGGCGUGUGGAGAUCAGUGAAUCGGCGCACAAAGGAAAGAUGGACAUCAGUCAAAUGACAGUGAUGAAAAAUUGUUGUCGUUUGAUUUAUGGAGGCAAAUGCAAAAAUCAAACCUGACACCGACUAUUAAGAAGGGAUAAAAUGAAGAAGCAGAAGGUAGACUAUGCUGGAGCUAAUGGCGGUGACACCACCAACCUUGGUUAUAAACCCGACAAUGACAUCAAACGUCAACCUACACCAUCAAUUUAGAGCAGAAACAUCAACAUGCGUCUAGGUUUCCUGAGGUUGGAGCGGUGGGAAGCAUGGAGAAGAGCAAGAUAACCUGAUAGAAAAUAGUGGAAGCGUUAGAUGGAGAGAGAUAGUCAAAGAUAUCUAUGGAGUUACUGGGUGAUAAUACGUGGAGUACCGGUAUUGUAUCGUAGAGACGGUGUAUCAUGGGGAGGACACGUAGCACCGACGAAGAGUGAAGAGGGAAGGAAAGAAUGAGACGUAUCAACGGUACAAUGCAGAUGAACAGGGACUAAAUUGCCAAUAUGACAAACUCUUGUGGCAAAAUCCUUAACCAAUGAAAAUAUGUAAAGUUGUGGACCAAUUUUGUCAAAUCCUUAGCCACUUUACUGUAGCUAAGGAUGGACAAUUUUAAUAUAUAUAUAUAUAUAUAUAUAUAUAUAUGUGUGUGUGUGUGUGUGUGUGUGUGUGUGUGUGUGUNUAUUGAAGAUUCUAUAUUGUUAUUUAAUUUAAUUCUCUAAUCAAUAAAAACCAAAUUUUGUAAACCUUAUUAUACAUUUUAUUUUUUUGUAACUUGUAAUUAAUAAUUUAAUUAUAAUUGAACUUAAAGUCAGAUACUACUUUGUAUAUUUUUAUAAAUUUUAUUUAAUUGCAUUCUUCUAAAAUGGAAAAUAAUAUGAUAUUAUUUGUUUCCUAACUUGUUCUUUUUAAUAGUAAUAGGUUAAUAGAUAACAAAUAUGAUUUUGAUAGUUUGAAAAUUUUAAAGAUUGUUUUUUACAAAGAUGAAUAUAGUUCCUAUUUAAAUGAAUUUUUUUCUGUAUCAAUUUCUUUUUAAAUUAUACAUACUCUAUUAUUAUACUCUAUUGUGAUAUUUGGAUAUAAAAAUAUUUCAAUAUCUAAUUACAAUAUAAGCCCCUCUUAUCCUAAAAUUGUGACUCCGCCCUUGUCCAUCUCUUCCUGGCUUCCGUUCCAGGUCUAACCGGAGACCUGCUGUACCUCCCCCUUGCGCACUGCCUUUUUCGAACCGACAUCCAAAUGACCCCUCGCAUGCUACUGUUCAUCGUCCUCUCCAUCUAAAAACCUGCAACAAAAAUCAUAAAAGGAACCAACAAAAAAAAUGCUUCUGCUCACUGACAAGUCGGAACCACCUCUUGUUACUUUGCUUUGCUCCAAGAAACAUCACCAAACUAACCCAUUUUCCAGCCCCUAUCGGGAUGCCUUUUUCCAGCCAUAUUCAAACCUCAGUCACCCUCGCAACCUCCUCUUCUCGCACCACCUCCAAACAAACUUGCACCGCCUCUAAACAAACUCACAUGCUGCCUUCUUCGUUUCGGUCCAACUAGAGACCUUGAAAUCCACGGGAUACUACCUUUAAAAACUCGAACACCAUCACCACCUCUUACCUGUUUUACCCUGAAUCAUCAAGAACCGAAGCUACUGUUCAUCUUUUCCAAUCGAAACCUUGAACAAAAAGAAAAUACAAGAGAAUCCAAAUAUCAACUGUUCAAUCUUUCUCUGCUGCUUCUUUCAUCGUCUUUACCGAGAACCCAACACUCGGAACCACCAUCGAAAACCACCUCACCACCAUCGAACCUACCUACUGUCACCACUCUUUUUCGUCGCCACCACUUCGUCGGUUCCAGCAGAGACCCCGAGACUUCCUUAGCAGCUCCUUCCCUUCGGUUCCAAACUAACCCAUCUUGAAAAAAUGGUCUUUGGGGAUGGCUUUUUCCAGCCAUACCCAAGUUACAUUAAUUCCAUGUAGUAUACUAAAAAGCCAAAGUAAGUGUUAUUUUUUUUCCCCGGUAAACUAUACCUCAAAAUCGGCGGAACCAGUUAAACAAAGUAACAGAGGAACAAAAAGUCAAUUUAGAUGGUAUUGUGCGAACCAAAUCUUAAGUUCAAUGGUAUUCUGUCAACAGGAUACACUUAAAUGGGUUCAUUGGUUGUCAAACCCUUUCCUAGAUUUGUUUUUGUAAUUUUCUAGCUUGCUAGUGGUUCUUUAUAAAAUUCAACUAUUCAAAAAAAAAAAAGAUUAAUCUUGAAGAAGAUGUGGCACACCGCACAUAACAUCAAUACAAAGAGUUACAAUUUCAUCAACCUAUAAUGAAGUUAUGUCAUAAAAAUUUGAUGGAAAUCAAAAGUGAUAGUGGAAUUAAAGCUUGAAUGGACUGAUUUUCCACACUUGAGAGAUGAGUCUCUCCCAAACACUUGUUACUGAUUAUAAAAUGACCAAAUGAAUCUAAUAUUACCUGAUUUUCUUCCUUUUGACUUAUUUAACUUGGACUUUCCUGAUUGACUUCUUAGGCUGGAGGGAGUGACGCCACCGAAACCGCACUCUCUUCACCAUCACAUAAGCGCUACGUCACUUUUUACCACACAAGUGUGGUUUCUUGCCACACCAAGGGAGUGGUGCCAUAAUUUUAUUUUUAUUUUAUUUUUGUUUUUUUUUAACUAUUUUAAUUUAAUAAAACUUAUUUUUUAAUAAAAAAAAACAUUAUUUUAAAAAUAUAAUAUUUCAUUAAUUAAAAAUACAAAUAUCAUACAUUGCUUAACUUAAAAAAAACCUAAAAAUUUAGAAAAACAAAUUAGAACCAUAAAACCUAUAACUUAUUAAAAAAACAUACACACACCAAAUGAUUAAAAACUUGAAAAAAAAACUAGAAGUUAGCCACGAUUUGCGUAACGUUUUUUCACUUUCUCCUUCAUCGUCAAAAUAACUUGAAGCUCGUCCCCGGUCAUAUUCGACGUGUCCAACGAUAGUACUCGCAUGUUGUUGUCCCUUUGUUUCCAAAGCUCUCUUUCAGAAGCAAUUUGCAAAAUCUUGUCUAUUCUAUCUUUUAUACCCUUCAUGUCCGCCCCCAUUUCUUUCAACUCAUCUGAAUUCGACAUUUUGCCUUUUCUUUUGCUUUUUUGCUUUGUCUCUUCCCAUUGGUCGGGAAGAUGGUGAAACUGAAACACGUUCAUCUUCGUUCAAAUCAAAUUGAACACGAGCAUCUGAUAUAGUGUGGUCGAACUCAAAUGUUCUGCUGCGUUUUGAACCACUGUCGAUAUGCCCGUAUGAUGUUUUGCAACUUUGCCAUUUCUUAUUAUCUUUCACAAAAUUCCAAACUUCAAGAAACUUGAAAGCCUUCUGGUUUUCUUUUUGAUACACUUUCAGCGCUUUCCUCAAAAUCACUUUAUCGUUUUCUCCACUUUUCCAUUGACGUUUCAUGUUGUUAUACAAAUCAUUAAACAACAUGAUUUCCUUAUUCAUCUUCCUCCAUUUCGAGUACGUUUGAUGUUUUGAAUUGUAUUCUCCAUGGUUCAUUCAUUUAUGGAACCUAUGUAAAACGCGAAUCCAAAAGCGGUCAGGCUUUUGGUCUUUUCCAACCAUCGCGUCUUCUGAAAUAUCGGUCCAAGAUUGUGUCAACAAUAACACUUCUAGGGGUUCCCAACAUUUAGCCUCCACCUUCUCUUUUCUUUUAGUUGCUGCUCGAGUGGGCUGAGUUUUUAUAACGAAUUCCGGUUCGGAAUCAGAAACGACCGUUUCUGGUUAUGUUUGUGUUUGUUGAACAAACUCGGGUUGAGACAAAAAAAUCGAAUUGAUUAAAAUCUGUGUCGGGUUGUGGUAGUGGUUGUGUUGAUCGUUGUGGAAAAUACGAAAGCAUACCGCCAUAGUGGUAAAACGGAGGUGAAAAAAUCGGUUGAUCAAAUGAAUUUUUUCUAACGGGUGUUUUUUUCUUUGCUGGGCCUUGUGGAAGAAGACAUUUUCAAAAAAAAUUGGAGGAAAAGAGAGUAAAAGUGUAAGGAUUUUGGUUGAAUGUUAUGUAAAAAAAUUGUAAGUAUAUAUAUAGAGUAAAGUAAAAAUAAAAAAAUAAAAUAAAUAAAAUAAAAAUAAUAAAUUAAAUUCAGACGCAAGGACCGUUCAGCGGUCAAAGAUGCAACAACCAAUCACAGCACGCGGUCUUUUCUAGCCACACUGCGGCCAAAACCGCAGGAAACCGCACCCAGGGGGCGGUGUUUGCAGUCCAGGUGGCAUGAAUGCGGUUACAAACCGCAGCCCACUCCCAGCAGCCUUAGAUUUUUCGAACUUCUAGACAGUCGUCAAGACCUGUCCUCAAAACUAUCACCUUGUCCUUAAGUUGAUGUUCAUGGAAAAAAAAAAAAAAACUAUUUGUGUUUAUAUCCUCUAUCAAACAUUAACUCUGCUUGAUGUUGAAACAUUUGUAAUUGAUAGGACAAACUGAGCCUUGAGUAAUUGACCAUUCCCAAACCGUGUCUGAAGUUGUAAAAUUCCUUUAACCCAUCAACAAUCUUGAUUGCAACAUUCUUUUCUACAAUUGUCGAGCACCCUUGUGAUAUUAUCAUUUUAACCUCUUCUAAAUUUCGAACAUCACUAAGAAGCAUGUCUCCCUUUCUUCAACUUCAACGUCACUGGAAGAGCUAAAAUUAAUAUAAAGAUUAUUAGGGUUAAUGAAUUGUACCUUGAGCAUAAAUUCUGGUUUUUUCUUAAUAACUAAAUUAGCUACCCCGUCCUCUGAAUCAACUAGCUUCUCAUCUUCUUCACCCACAAUAAUUGUUUUGAUUUACUCUUUUCUUGGCAGCAAGAUCUUCUGAUGCCCUCGAAUUCAGAUUAGAAAGUAGAAAUGAUCCACGACUUCAUCUAUAUCGUUUUCUAGCCCAAUUUCUCUAUUUCUUUCCUUUUAUUCUUGAACUCCAUUGCAGGUUUGUAUCUCUAGUAGGUUCCAUUUGAAUGAAAACAAAGUAUUAUCUUCAAAAGGUCAGUCCGCCCUCCAAGUGUUUGAUGAAAUGUCUGAAAGAAGUGAAUAUUGAUUCAAGAAUUUGAUUUCUUCGAAUAAAUCUGUUUCAUGUGUUUGAUCUUGAUUUCUAAUUCUUGAUUUUUCUUCUGACCUCACUGUAUGAUUGUGUUUUGCCGCCAACACUUUGUCCUAAUUCUUCCCAACUACAAAUCGAUCUUCUGUUGUGCUCAGUUCAUAACAACCUACAAACUUUCAUCAUUGUACGAUUGAUUUAGGGAAACAUAUUGAUCAACUUUCAAAAUCCAUAUGGAUUUGAGCCAACAAAUAUAGAUAUCUCUAAUUGUUUACCUAAGAUAGCAGAAAUUAGUUUUGGUUCUUGAAUUGUCCUCUGUUUCUUGAUCUUUCUCCAUCUUUAAAUGGUAAUCAAUCUCUUUUAUUUGAUUCUUUUUUAAUUUGAUUGAGAUGGUUAAAUUGUUGCAGAAUUUCUUGUAACAUUCCCUCCAAUUCCAUGGAUUCAAAUGUGAAACCUAUCCUUGAUUGUGGAUUCAUGCAUUUGCUUUGCUUUUGUGGAUUGUAAUUUUGUUAUUCCGCCUUCAUUUCCCUCCAUGUGAUUGUUUGUUAAUCUUAUUUCCAUGGUGAAUCAAAACUGCUCUUAUACCAUUUGAUGCAUAUUACAAAAUUAAUGCUACUCGACUUCCCUCCCUUUAUACUCAUUCCAUCCAAGUCUAACAGAAUUUCCCUCCCAUAUAUGGCUAGUUAACUAACAACUUUGACUCAUUAACUUUGACUUUCCUGGUUGAUGAAAAAUUUCCCUCUUCUAGACACCCGGCUCAUCAUUAUGGUGCACAGUUUUGGUAAACUCUUCUUUUUAACUGUUUGUUAUGAAACAUUUUCUAAAAUAUAUUUGUUUUAUGAUGGAGUGCAAUUAAUGAUUCCAAGUUAUAUUCAGAAUAGAAAUCAACUUCUGGUUCUAAGCUUUUGAAAGAAUCAUCAUUUUAGUUCACUUCCCAUUACCUAUAUUGCAUGUUUUCAUUUCCAUUUUGAUGUAACAUCCUCAAAUGUUGGAGGAAUUUGUAAUAAAUGAUGAAUUGUUAAUGCUAAGUAAUGACAUUUAACUUAGGUAGGGUAUUAUUUUAAUGUAACAAUGUUGAUUUUCUGAGUUGAACAUUGAUUUACCGAUGAACAAAUAAGGCCAGUGAAACGUUUUAUUAAUUAUAGACAUAACUUCAUGUUCGCAGCGGGGGAUUAGUUGGUACGUGAAAGCUGGUCUGGAAACCCUCGUUAGAAAAGUUCCCUUUCCAAUAAAAAAAAAUAAGAAAAAACUUUCUAAAAUAUAAACUUUUUAUGAUGCCUUAUUUCACACAGCAGUGAAAAUGGCCACCCGUGGUGUUGGUGGCAAUUUUAUUGAUAAAUGGGACUUAAAAACCCAUGCCAAAUACAAAAAUGAAACAUGGUUUUACAUGACUAUCUAUGUUCUAUCUUUUUUGUAAAUUUGCAAUGAACACCACCACCUUCACAUAAACCCAAUCUUUGAAGCUAUCAAGAAACAUAAAAAAAGCAUAUCUUCCACGGCGGUUGAGGAGCAAAGCACCACAUGCUAUCCAAAAUCCAAUACAUGAAGUUCGUCUACACCUUCACCCUCACCCUCACUUUCACCAAUGUUGUGUUGUAUUUCCGAUUCUUCAUCUAGAGGACAUUUUUUGGUAAGGGGAGGUCCGCAUAGCCCUAAGUUCCCUUUGUAUCUUGAAGGAUCAAAGGACUGAAGUUGUGUGCUGGAUGGGAUUCUCCCUGACAGGUUAUUACACGACACGUCUAGGUAACUCAAUAAGGUCAUUUGAGACAUGGUUGAGGGUAUUUCUCCUAAAAACUUGUUUCUAGAUAAAUCCAAAGUUAAAAGAUUUUUCAUCUCACUGAUGUUCCAUGGAAUCUUUCCAUAUAGAGCAUUCUUUGAUAGGUUGAGUGCAAUCAGUUCAUCAAGAUUGGUAAUCUGAUAUGGGAUUUCCCCUGUUAAGUUGUUGCUUGACAGGUCGAUGCUCCUCAACAAUACCAUAUUACUUCUGACGAAUUCACGUUCAACUCCUUGCCACUGGAUCAUCACAUGGUCAACAUUAUACGAAUAUACUGAAACUCCACGUUCUAAAUUUUGUACUUGAGGGAAACCUUGUUGCACCAUGAUGGUAAGAUUACUCAAACAUGAGGGUAUGGUUCCAUGGAAAUGGUUAACCGACAAGUCUAGAAUUUGAAGACUUGCUAAUUGACAUAAUUGUAAAGGGAUGCUUCCAGAGAAGUUGUUCGAUCUUAACAUAAGAACAUACAACCCAGAUAAGCUUUCCCCGAUCCAAACAGGCAAAUUUCCAGAAAACUUGUUGGCACCCAAAUUCAAUGAUUUUAAGCUCGUGCAAUUCUUAACAGACAAAGGAAAUUCUUCGGAGAAAUCAUUCUUGUAUAAAUCCAAUGCCUCGAGCUUAAUCAUAGAUCCAACAGAAGCAGGAAGCCUUCCAGACAGAUUAUUGUGUUCUAAAUUAAGAACUUUUAGUUCUUUGAAAUGCCACAAGCAGUUUGGAAUUUGUCCGCUUAGAUAGUUAUGAGAGAGGUCAAGUAUAACUAAAAAGCCAUGGAUAACCUCACAUAAAAAGGAGAUUCCUCCAGAAAAUUUAUUUCUGGAAAGAUUUAGUAAUGCCACAGUGGAAGAGACAUUAGUUAUUAGACCAUCAAAGCUGUUGGAGCUUAAAUCUAUCACUGAAUUGUUGUAAAAUAUUGAUGACAGAUCUGGUACUUUCCCACUUAUGUUGUUGGAAGAAAGAUUCAGGAAUGUUAACCGGGAUGGCCACGAGCCCCAAAACUCGACAGGAAUAGUAUCUGAAAUACCAUUAUUUGCAAUAUCAAGACUGGUAAGGUUUUUCAACUUUUGAAUCCAUUUGGGGAAGUGAGGCCCUAGCUUGCAAGAGCUUAGUUGAAUAGAUUCUAUAUGAGAAUGGUUUGACAUGUAAUCUGAGGAAGGAAAUCCAUGGAGUGAGUUUUUGGAUAGAUCAAGAUAUUUAAGGUUGGGCAGUUCCCACAGUUUCUUACUUAUAGUUCCUUUUAAUUGAUUCGUAGAGAGAAACAGAUAUGUUAGGGAUGUAAACUUUUGGAUCUCAUCCGGCAAUGACCCUGUAAAUUGGUUGUUGGAAGCAACUAACAAUUGUAAUGAAAGCGAUGUGCAUCCAGACAAGUUGUUGAGAAAAUCAGGAAAAGUGACAACAGCAGAGUUCCUAUCAAAUCUCAAACUUACCAAACUACAGAGGUUACCAAGAUAUUUGGGUAUCCCAUCUAACAUGUUGCCAGAGAGAUCAAGAUAUAUAAGGCUAUUGCUGGUUAAUGGGAACAACCAACGAUACAUGGAUGAGGUGAGACUGUUGUUUUCAAGAUAAAGGACUUCAAUAGAUGAAGAAGAAGAGUUGAGAAAUGAAGAAGAAUAUGGAUAAAUGACCUGUGACAGCUCACAUCCAUCUAAACUUAAAAGCGAGAGUUUCGGGAGACUGAGAAUAACAUCUACCCAAUGAUUUGUUUUGGCCAGUGAAAUCCCAUCCAUUGCAAGUCCCUCCAGAUGAGACAGAGGAGACAACCACUCAAGGUUCUCAAGUCUACACAUUCCAACAUAUGAAAGGUAAAGCCCUUCCAAGUUGGUGAGGUUUCCGAACUCUGGAGGAAUGGCUCCAUAUAGAGAGUUGUAGGAAAGAGAAAGGCCUCUUAAUUGGGUCAAGGAACCAAUGGACCUGGGAAUGGUUCCAUUAAGAUUAUUGUAGCCAAGGUAAAGGGACCUUAAUUGAGUCAACGAACCAAUGAUCGCAGGAAUGGUUCCAUGAAAAGAAUUUCCGGAAAGAUCAAGAUAGUUCAAGUAGGUUAAGUUAACCAAUGAAUGGCUAAUCUCACCUACAAGACCACAUAACAUCAGAUCAAGCUCUGUGACAUGACCUGUUUUGCUGUCGCACGUCACUCCACUCCAUUCACAGCAGUUGUCUUGUUCAGCUGUCCACAUAGAGAGACAAUCAGAAGGGUCUUGAAGGAGAGAUUUGAAAUGAAGGAGAGCGUCUUUCUCCUUCUCAAAACACCUGUUCACAGCACCAUUAUCAUCAUCUCCUCCUCCUACUGCUGCCAAUUGGUUGGCAGUUGUAGUCUCAAGACAUGAGAAGAGAAGUGAGAAUAUUAUAAAAACACAAGGAUGCAUGAUGUAAAUGCAAAUCUUAAUUGGCGAUUUCUUGUUGUUUGUAUUGAUGAAAAUUUGAAGAUGCCCCAUGCAAGUUUAUAUAUUGCCAACUUUGAAAAUGAAGGAUUCAGUAAUUCUCGUGAGAACGGUAGGAAUACAUAAUUCUUUAUUCCCUUUUUUUUCAUCAAUAUGAAAACAUUUUUUAAGGCUAAAAAUAAUAAAUUCUGGAAUUUUUUUAAUAAAAUAAAACACUUCCUAUAGCAACAUCUAUAGAUGUCUAUUUUUACAUCACAAAAAGAUAUUUUGGUAUAUUUGUUUUUAUUUUUUGAAAAAAAUAAUGCUCUAAUAGAUAAAAAUAAUAAUAAUAAUAACAUAAAAUAACAAUACUUGUCAAUGAAAACAUCAUAAGAAAGACUUUGUAUAUCUAAUGGAUGUCUAUUUAUACAACAUAAAAAUAUAUACAUUUGGGUCUUUCUGUUUUUAUUUUUUCGAAAAGUAAUAUUACAUUAAAAAAUAAAAGAUAACAGUGAUUAGGCAUAUUCACCAACAAAUGGUUUAUUAUUUCUCAUUUUUACAACUAUGUUCUUAUCAAAAAAAAAAAUACUGAAAUUUAUUAUUUUUAUCCUCUAAAAAAAAAAGAUAUCAAUAUACAAAAAAAAAAAAAAAAAAAAAAAAAAAAAAAAGAUUCCUACCAUUUUUCACAAGAAUUGUCUUUCUUGCGUUUACAAACACCUUAUGAGUUGCGAUUCGUGUGGAGCAUAAAAUCUGUAUUUUCCUUUGAAAUAGAACCAAACUAUAAGACAAAUUAGAAAAGAAGAAUUGAAACAAACUACCGCAAAUCAAACAUUGUGUGGGGCAUAAAAGCCUUGGUUUCCUUAAAAUAGAACCAUUCAAACUAUAAGAUAACUUAGAAAAGAACAAUUGAAAUGGAUAGCUAGCUUCAAAGAAUCUCAGGUCUUGAAAUUUUGUAUUUUUCCUAUACAUAUCUUUUUUCAUAUUGUGAUAUCUUUUGGUCCUCAUUUUAUGUCAUACAAAUCCGAAAAAACAAACUAAACAUUCAGGAAAAAGGACAAAUGGUAAAUAGUUAAUGGGUUAGUGCCUGGAAACAUUAAGCGUUUUUUUGGGUUAACAUGUUAUGUCAAAAAGAAACAACCAUCAUAUAUAUAGUUAGCUGUCCAGAUCAAAUGCUUUAUUUAUUAAGCCUAUUAAGUCAUAAAUGAUGAGUCUCCAAAGAAUGUACCGGAUAAAAUAAGGCUUUUUUUUUGUAUUCUGGAUUGAAUGAACCGUUCAAAUAAGAGAAAAUGACCAUUUUACCCUUCUAUCUAUCUAAAAGUGAUGUAGAAUAGCAAAUUGUUGUUUGUUUGAGAACUAUUGUGAUAGGAAGGCACCGAUCCCAGUUAGAGUAUCCAAAUAUUUGACUGCAUGGAGUUAACGUUUUUAUUUCACAGGAUUUUUGUUGUUUUCUAUUUUUGUUUUAUUUGUUUGAAGUUGUCAAAGUAGUAAACUAGUUAUUUGGGUUUCCACAAGUGUAGGAAACGUGGGGUGGAAGUGCUAAUGUUUGUGUCUUUCUUUUCACACAUAUUUACUGGAAAAUUGUAAGAUUUUCCUGAAAUUUAUUCCCUGUACUUGGCAGGAUGUUUUAUUUACAUGCUAUUCUAACCUUUUCGCAGACAGUUAGAAGGUGAUCUUGGAAGACUAAUCUAAAUUCUCAUGGUUUGACGAUCAUAUUGUAAUUUAAAAUUAAAAAUCACUUUGAUACAUACGACCAUGAGACUUAAAUAUGUCAAAAACAACAAAUCAGAAUGCAAACGAGUGGUUAUAUUCACAAACAUUGAAUUAAACCCCAAUUUAACAAGGGUUCAUGCAUCUCACAUUCCCCUUCGGUUAUUAAACAACUUAUGUUUAUGUCAAAUUGACAUAAUUCUUCCUAUCCUAAGCAAGAAUUAAUAUCCUAAACAGAUUUCAUGGAAUAAACCCAAAAGACAACUCUAAUUUAUGGAAUCAAUUAAAAAAAUGUCAAUUGAAACAAAAACGCACCGUUCAACGUCAAAACUCAAAUUUUAAAUAAAUAAAUAAACAGAGAAACAUCAUUCAAACAAAGAAUUUAGAAGAAAAAUCAAGAUUGAAAGAACAGUGAAGAGAAUAGAGAUGAUCGAGAAGGACUACCUGAGAUGGUCCUGCAACACACCUGAUGGAAGACCGAGGCGAGAACGACGAAGACAUCGCGGGACAGCGAUGGAAGAUGGAGAAGAAUAGACCAUGGGGUAGAAGUGAACGCGCUGACGAAGCAAAAGGCCGUAAACCCUUACAUCUGCGUAUUUUUGCGUAUUAAAAUCUCUUUGCAGCCUUUUUUUUUUCUUUAUUUAAGUUUGACCGAAACUUUAGAAUUUAGAUGUUGUUCUCUUUUUAUACUUUUUUGGUUUCAAAUCUUUGGGUUCUUUUAAAAAUUUCUUAUUAAUUUAUUAAUUUUUAAAAAUUCAAUAAGUUAAAAAAAUAUUUGGACAACUAAUAAAACAUUUUAAAACUCAUUUUUGUUUAACCUUUGAAAAUGAGUUUUCAAAAAUUGUGACUUUUUGAAUGACUUAUAAUAAAAAACAAACAAAAAACAAUUUUAAACUAAAUAUUUUUUAGUUUAUUGACUUAUUGAUUUUUAGCAUUAAAAAGCUAAUCCAAACAUUUUUUUAAAAAAACUCAGUUUCUAAUCUUCAUAACUUCAUAAGUCAAUAAAUCAUUUUUGGCAAAAGUUAUUUUUAAUUUCAUAAUAAAAUCUCAAACAAUCUUUAAAAUAUUAAGUUGAUUACCAUUUCAAGUCAUUAUCCUAAACAUUAAAAAUACGCGUUAAAAUGCAAAAAGAAAAAGUAAACUCCAUAAAUGAAAAGUAAGGGACCAAAUUCAUAACUAAUAUUAAAAAUCUUGGCCAAAUCUGUAAAAGGAAAAAAAAUAAGGGACCAUAAAAUAAAAAUAAAAGACCAAACUUGUUAUAAAAGUUAAAAGGUGAGUCCAAAAUUCUAAAAAGAACAAUAAAAUGUGAGAUGUGGGCAAAUGUAUGGAAUAAAUAUUAUUCAUCAAAUUCCGGUCGUCCCAAAAAACAAAUGAAGGAAUAUACAAUAUCAUUUCCACUUAUAUUGUAGAUUCAUGUUGUUAUAAUCCAAAUUAGUUGUAUUAAUUGUAAUAAAAUUAUAUAUACCCUCUCUCGUUCUAGUAAAAACUGGUCUAGAAUCUAAACACUUGUUUUUGUUUUGCAAGAUAAGAAAGAACAAUUUACAUUGCCUUUGACCAACAUACAUUGGAUUUCCAAAAUCUCAUCUUCUUCAGGCGUCCAUGGCCCUUUAUUCAUCCCUAUCUCCACCAUCUUUCCCAUUAUUAUUUUUGCAAGAAUACAAAAAAGAAAAAUAAUUCAAAAUCUUCACCCAAUAUAUGUAUUUAGUGAUGAAUCAAAAUGUGGCGUACAAGUAUUGAAUUGUUGUAAUAAAACUACAUAAAUGUUUUUCCCUAAUUAUCCAUAGUUUUAAUUUUGUUUCCUAUAAAAAUCUUAUUCUAUUUCAAGUAAUGGGCUAAAUUCAGAAGUUCCAAAACAGAGACACCGCCUUUGAAGAACACCCAACACCACCAAUGAUAAAAGUCUCGGUGAAUGACCACGAGCACGGUGAUCGAAGCUACUCGAUUCAUUGGAGAAUCAGGAACCCUACCUGAAAACUAAAAUUAACUCUACCCUGUCACUGUAAAAAGCCUCAAACCCUUUCCACUCCAGAAAAAAAAAAAACCACUGGUAUUGUAAUUUGCUUCGUUGGCAUUGACGUGGGGCGAAGAGGAAGUCGGUGAAGUAACUCAAUUCAACAAAAGUCAUUAUCUGAGUCGACAUGACAACCACCGUGUGUUAAUUUCUUUAUCUCAUGUCGAUUUCCAUGUGAACAACAGGAAUGGAGUUACCUAAGAAGAGGUCCGACAAUAGUUGAUCGUCUCUUUGGAUGGAUGAAUAACAUCCAUCAUGAAUGGAGUUACCUAGAAGCCCUAACUAAUCUUCUUUAUAAAAUCUAUUAUAUUUUUAAUUCGAAUGUAGACUGAAGUUGCAAAACCAUUGCUUGGAGGAUAUUACAUGGAUCCAAACAAAUCAUGUCCCAUUCCAUUCCGUUUUGUUGGAGUUGUUGCAAAUAGUAUGAGAAAAUAUCAUUAUAUGAGUUCUGAAGGGGGAGUAAUUAGUAAAUCCUUUUGUGAAAUUGUUCUUCUCAUUAAGCAUAUCUGAUAAAGAAACAUUGAUUGUGCAGUCCAAGUGUUUGUGAAAAUGAAAACCUGAAUACCAAUUCAGGUGAACACAAUUACUUCAUUAACAUUUUUUUCAGUGUUUUUACAAAUCUGAAAAGUUUCUUGUGUUUUUCGGCAACUUUACUCUUUGGGUAACAUCCUUGACCUACUUUCUUUUUGGAUAACAUCCUUGACCUACCUUCUUUUUGGAUUUUAUUUGGAUCUUCUCUUCUAAUUUUAAGGUAAAAGCUACUUUGAUUUAUGUAUCAAAUGAAGUUGCUAUUUUGAUUUUCUUCAAAAUGAGACACAUGUAUUAAUAUCUAAGUUUAUGUAGUAUAAUCUUAUCCUACCUGUAUUAAAGAAAAAGAUUUUAGGAAUCAAAUUAUCAACCUUUUAUGUUAAUUGUAUGGUUUUAAAGCUCAUUGUAACGACCAAAAUUUCAAAACAAUUAAAACUUUUCAAAAACCACCCAUUUCAAUAACGUUGUUACAAAAAGGUUUUCAAUACAUUAUUUAACAGAGUAUUUUCCCAGGUUCAUAUCAUAAAACACCAACGCGAAGAACGGUACGAUCACGCCUUUGCCUUGCCACAGACUCCUGAAAACCUGAAAACAUAAAACCACAACUGUAAGCCCGAAAGCUUAGUGAGAUACCCCCAAUAUACCAACCACAUAUACGCCCUUCCAGGCCACGACCUUCCGGUCCAAACAUAUUGCCUUCCGGCCCAUAACAUAUUGCCUUCCGGCCCAUAACAUAUUGCCUUUCGGCCCAUAGCAUAAAAUGCAUACAUAACAUAACAAAUCAUAGAACGACCCUACAUAUCGGGUCACACCCCAGAUCUAGCAAUCAUAACACAUAAUCAUAUAGCAGUUCACAGUCAGCAAUCGAUCAACAGAUCACAUAUCAUAGCAUUACUCUAAACAAGAUACCGGUCUAGCCGGUCACUAGCAUAACAUUACCCUACGAACCAGUCAACAUACUAAAUGCAUACAUACGCCUUUCCAGACCAUGACAUUCCGGUCCACACAGCAAUGCCUUCCGGCCCACAACAAAUAAUGCCUUCCGGCCCACAACAAAUAAUGCCUUCCAGCCUGCAACAUAUAAUGGACAACUACCCGGAUUUCCAUCCGAUAAAAAGGUUGGCCGUGGUGCCAUAAACCCUAGCGAUAUAGUGAGGAUAACUCACCUCGAAACUGCCGACUGAACAGAUAGCUCAAGCUGCUCCGAUCACUGAUACGAUCUCCACCUCUGGACAGCCACCAAUGCACUGAACUCAAACAAUAAUCAACAAUUACCAAAAUACCCCUGGAACCACUGGUCAACCCUUGGUCAAAGACAAGGUCAAAGUCAACCCCUGACUGACCCUACUCGCCGAGUCAACCCUAUGACUCGCCGAGUCCCCAUACUCAGAACUUCACUCAAUCCGCGAUCUAACUCGCCGAGUCACCCCAAGACUCGCCGAGUUCAACAACUCUGAGUCCACUCGCCCUCAACUCACCGAUUCUCUAAGAUUCCCUUUCUACACGUCGAGUAUCCCCCUUGACUCGACGAGUUCCUCCUGGAAGAAUCGCGGGGCCACCCCGACUCAACUCGCCGAGUCUGAAGAACAACUCGACGAGUCCCAGUUAAUCUUCAAGCUACUCGCCGAGUCUGNNNNNNNNNNNNNNNNNNNNNNNNNNNNNNNNNNNNNNNNNNNNNNNNNNNNNNNNNNNNNNNNNNNNNNNNNNNNNNNNNNNNNNNNNNNNNNNNNNNNNNNNNNNNNNNNNNNNNNNNNNNNNNNNNNNNNNNNNNNNNNNNNNNNNNNNNNNNNNNNNNNNNNNNNNNNNNNNNNNNNNNNNNNNNNNNNNNNNNNNNNNNNNNNNNNNNNNNNNNNNNNNNNNNNNNNNNNNNNNNNNNNNNNNNNNNNNNNNNNNNNNNNNNNNNNNNNNNNNNNNNNNNNNNNNNNNNNNNNNNNNNNNNNNNNNNNNNNNNNNNNNNNNNNNNNNNNNNNNNNNNNNNNNNNNNNNNNNNNNNNNNNNNNNNNNNNNNNNNNNNNNNNNNNNNNNNNNNNNNNNNNNNNNNNNNNNNNNNNNNNNNNNNNNNNNNNNNNNNNNNNNNNNNNNNNNNNNNNNNNNNNNNNNNNNNNNNNNNNNNNNNNNNNNNNNNNNNNNNNNNNNNNNNNNNNNNNNNNNNNNNNNNNNNNNNNNNNNNNNNNNNNNNNNNNNNNNNNNNNNNNNNNNNNNNNNNNNNNNNNNNNNNNNNNNNNNNNNNNNNNNNNNNNNNNNNNNNNNNNNNNNNNNNNNNNNNNNNNNNNNNNNNNNNNNNNNNNNNNNNNNNNNNNNNNNNNNNNNNNNNNNNNNNNNNNNNNNNNNNNNNNNNNNNNNNNNNNNNNNNNNNNNNNNNNNNNNNNNNNNNNNNNNNNNNNNNNNNNNNNNNNNNNNNNNNNNNNNNNNNNNNNNNNNNNNNNNNNNNNNNNNNNNNNNNNNNNNNNNNNNNNNNNNNNNNNNNNNNNNNNNNNNNNNNNNNNNNNNNNNNNNNNNNNNNNNNNNNNNNNNNNNNNNNNNNNNNNNNNNNNNNNNNNNNNNNNNNNNNNNNNNNNNNNNNNNNNNNNNNNNNNNNNNNNNNNNNNNNNNNNNNNNNNNNNGAACUCGAAUACACUUUCCUUCCCUCACGGUGUCCUGACCACCGUCUCAAAUAGGGCACCGGAUUCACCCUCUAAUAACUUCACUUACCCCUGAGAAUUACCCAUAAUGCAACACUGCUCCAAAUCACAACCAUCACUCGACUCAUAAAGGCUAGAAGACCAUGAACCAUCGGAUCCCCGAUCCGAAUCCCACUCUACCCAUUCCGUGAUGACGGAAAAACUCAUUCUCUAUAUAUCAGAGCAACUCUCACGAGUUCUCCUCUUGCAACCGCACACACAAGUUGAACCAGCUCUAACACCUUCAGGUUGGGAAACCUGAUACACCGAUACUAUCCUCAAACAUCUCCCAGGAUGAACCACUAAUAUCCACCCUAUACCCUGAUCAGAAUCACACUGAGAAUUCAAGAUUCUCUCUCUCCCUGCGUCCCUUCUGAGCCUCAACAGACAUCACAAACCGGAUGAGUUCCUACUUCACUGCCGCGAACACGAUGCUCAAAACCAUACUCGAAAUACUCUAACCAUAACUCUGCUCUGCAGCUUUCACUUUCGUGAACUUGCACUCCCCUUCGGAGUUACACACCUUUCUCUUUUCCUUUUCCAAGGAACCCUCUUGGCCAUAAUGCCACCCCAACCUGUGCCACGGUGCUCGCCCAAGCGACACCACCCUUUUUGCGUAACCGCUAUUCACAUACUCUGGCUCUCAUUGCAGGGGCUCUCAAGCCCAUGCACUCCCUCCACUCAACAAAAUCACUACCUCGACUAAACAAGAUCACUAACCCGGGGCCAGACCUUCCAAUGUAAUCACACUGCAACAUACACAAUCCGAAAUCUCAAACUGAUCCAACAAUACCAUCAGAGUCUCCAUCAUGACUGGACCGACUCUCAUAACACACACUAGCCACUCGAGGCUAUAUCUCUGUGGGUCCGUACACCCAAACUCUGUGAACCCUCAGGUUCUAACUCUGGGAACCUUCCGGUUCCAACUUUAGAAACAUGCACAACAUAAAUCCCGUGGGAUUAAUGCAGUACAACCCAUCACGUACAUCAAGCAUACAAAUACUCUGAUCACAUAACCCCGGUUACCUACUCAAACUUGAUCCCGGCCUGCUCCCAGGCCUCCACAAUCAAAUGCCCUAGGUCUGUAUCCCGCCCCGCAUACCCGAAACUCGCUCUUGUCAGCCUAUACUCUGAGCUGACAGAACACUGCUGAAUCCCAACAGCUAAGCACCCUCACAUACUCAUCGAUCUCCCGGAGAAUUCUCCAAUUCUCCCCCACUUAGAGCACUGACUAACAGCCACCGAUCGCCAUUAACGACUUUCCAGAACAACCCCGCACAAACAAAACACUUACACACUGACUGCUUCCCACAAGCAUAAGCAACCCUCAGCAAAACACAUCUCCUCCCUGAUCAAUCCGCUCAAAAGAAUCCGGUCUUUCAAUUAUCCACUCCACGACUGCAGAUGCUACCUGACAUUCAACCCAGUGCCGCAUCUCCACUAUCAACCCUCACGAAUGAUAACCAACGGAAUUCCCAAACAAUAACCCAUAACCAAACCCACAACCUGCAAAAGGAUGAAUACCGCAUCAAAAACCGCACAAGGAUACCAGCACCAAAACACCAAACUAUAACCAUACCAAACCUUCAGGGAAUAACGGAUGCCAAAACGAAAACCUGAAACACCAAUCCAUAACCAUGCCCAAACCCGCGAACAACGAAUACCGCAUCGAAAUCCAUACAAAGAUACCAGCACAACAAUACCCACAAUAACCGCAAGAUAACAAGACACUAAGAAAGGAACAUACCCGCAGCUACAUCCGACACUGCUCUGACUUUCUCUGCCGCAGGCUGAUAAGCGUGACCCUGAGCCCUUUGGGCUCCACUCCUUCCUGACCUCUACUUGGAAUCCUCAGAGUGGCCAGUGCUGGAGCCUGCACCGGCCCUGCAGAAAACGGUGGACAGCUGACCCUCAAAUGUCCAAACUGACGGCAAUGACAACAAAUCCUCAAAUCCCGAAUCGUCACUGACUGCCGACAAUCCCGCGCAUAGUGCCCCUCCUUGCGGCAUGCACCACCGGACCAACAAGCUCCGGUGUGACCCCUCCCACACUUCCCACAAGUGUGGCCACUCCAAUCCCUCACUCUAACAUCAACGGUCCUGGACCGUUUCGGCGCCGGCUGCGACUGCAUCGGAGCCUGCCUCAGCUCACGCAACUGCAACUCAACCUCUAACUCACGCCGCAUGGCGGCCUCCUGCAACUCCAACAAGGUCUCGCACCUCUGCGCAGACACGAACUGUCUGAUAUCCCCCUUGAGCAUACUCAGAUAUCGGGACAUCUGAGCCUGCUCCGAAGCGAACUCAGGGCAAAACAUCGCCCUCUCAGCGAACAUCCUGGUGAUCUCAGUCACCGACUCUGAAUCCUGCUUCAGCUCAAGGAACUCUUGAGCCAAUCUCUCCCUCUCAUCAUGCGGAACAAAGCGGGUGAUGAACAUCUCUCGGAACUGAUCCCAUGAAACUGCAACCCUCUGCACAUCUGAAUAUGACCCCGUGGUCAUUCUCCACCAACCCUUCGCCCCGAGCCUCAACAGGAUCAGAGCACACCUCACCCUCUGAUCAGCAGGGCAUAAACACGUGAAGAAACACCCCUCCACGUCUGAUAACCAUCUCAUAGCAACAAUCGGGUCCUGAACUCCAUCGAAUGUGGGAGGCUUCAUAUAAUAGAAGUCUCGAUACUGAAAACCCCGACUAGCUCCUCCCCUUGCCGCUGCUACAGCNNNNNNNNNNNNNNNNNNNNNNNNNNNNNNNNNNNNNNNNNNNNNNNNNNNNNNNNNNNNNNNNNNNNNNNNNNNNNNNNNNNNNNNNNNNNNNNNNNNNNNNNNNNNNNNNNNNNNNNNNNNNNNNNNNNNNNNNNNNNNNNNNNNNNNNNNNNNNNNNNNNNNNNNNNNNNNNNNNNNNNNNNNNNNNNNNNNNNNNNNNNNNNNNNNNNNNNNNNNNNNNNNNNNNNNNNNNNNNNNNNNNNNNNNNNNNNNNNNNNNNNNNNNNNNNNNNNNNNNNNNNNNNNNNNNNNNNNNNNNNNNNNNNNNNNNNNNNNNNNNNNNNNNNNNNNNNNNNNNNNNNNNNNNNNNNNNNNNNNNNNNNNNNNNNNNNNNNNNNNNNNNNNNNNNNNNNNNNNNNNNNNNNNNNNNNNNNNNNNNNNNNNNNNNNNNNNNNNNNNNNNNNNNNNNNNNNNNNNNNNNNNNNNNNNNNNNNNNNNNNNNNNNNNNNNNNNNNNNNNNNNNNNNNNNNNNNNNNNNNNNNNNNNNNNNNNNNNNNNNNNNNNNNNNNNNNNNNNNNNNNNNNNNNNNNNNNNNNNNNNNNNNNNNNNNNNNNNNNNNNNNNNNNNNNNNNNNNNNNNNNNNNNNNNNNNNNNNNNNNNNNNNNNNNNNNNNNNNNNNNNNNNNNNNNNNNNNNNNNNNNNNNNNNNNNNNNNNNNNNNNNNNNNNNNNNNNNNNNNNNNNNNNNNNNNNNNNNNNNNNNNNNNNNNNNNNNNNNNNNNNNNNNNNNNNNNNNNNNNNNNNNNNNNNNNNNNNNNNNNNNNNNNNNNNNNNNNNNNNNNNNNNNNNNNNNNNNNNNNNNNNNNNNNNNNNNNNNNNNNNNNNNNNNNNNNNNNNNNNNNNNNNNNNNNNNNNNNNNNNNNNNNNNNNNNNNNNNNNNNNNNNNNNNNNNNNNNNNNNNNNNNNNNNNNNNNNNNNNNNNNNNNNNNNNNNNNNNNNNNNNNNNNNNNNNNNNNNNNNNNNNNNNNNNNNNNNNNNNNNNNNNNNNNNNNNNNNNNNNNNNNNNNNNNNNNNNNNNNNNNNNNNNNNNNNNNNNNNNNNNNNNNNNNNNNNNNNNNNNNNNNNNNNNNNNNNNNNNNNNNNNNNNNNNNNNNNNNNNNNNNNNNNNNNNNNNNNNNNNNNNNNNNNNNNNNNNNNNNNNNNNNNNNNNNNNNNNNNNNNNNNNNNNNNNNNNNNNNNNNNNNNNNNNNNNNNNNNNNNNNNNNNNNNNNNNNNNNNNNNNNNNNNNNNNNNNNNNNNNNNNNNNNNNNNNNNNNNNNNNNNNNNNNNNNNNNNNNNNNNNNNNNNNNNNNNNNNNNNNNNNNNNNNNNNNNNNNNNNNNNNNNNNNNNNNNNNNNNNNNNNNNNNNNNNNNNNNNNNNNNNNNNNNNNNNNNNNNNNNNNNNNNNNNNNNNNNNNNNNNNNNNNNNNNNNNNNNNNNNNNNNNNNNNNNNNNNNNNNNNNNNNNNNNNNNNNNNNNNNNNNNNNNNNNNNNNNNNNNNNNNNNNNNNNNNNNNNNNNNNNNNNNNNNNNNNNNNNNNNNNNNNNNNNNNNNNNNNNNNNNNNNNNNNNNNNNNNNNNNNNNNNNNNNNNNNNNNNNNNNNNNNNNNNNNNNNNNNNNNNNNNNNNNNNNNNNNNNNNNNNNNNNNNNNNNNNNNNNNNNNNNNNNNNNNNNNNNNNNNNNNNNNNNNNNNNNNNNNNNNNNNNNNNNNNNNNNNNNNNNNNNNNNNNNNNNNNNNNNNNNNNNNNNNNNNNNNNNNNNNNNNNNNNNNNNNNNNNNNNNNNNNNNNNNNNNNNNNNNNNNNNNNNNNNNNNNNNNNNNNNNNNNNNNNNNNNNNNNNNNNNNNNNNNNNNNNNNNNNNNNNNNNNNNNNNNNNNNNNNNNNNNNNNNNNNNNNNNNNNNNNNNNNNNNNNNNNNNNNNNNNNNNNNNNNNNNNNNNNNNNNNNNNNNNNNNNNNNNNNNNNNNNNNNNNNNNNNNNNNNNNNNNNNNNNNNNNNNNNNNNNNNNNNNNNNNNNNNNNNNNNNNNNNNNNNNNNNNNNNNNNNNNNNNNNNNNNNNNNNNNNNNNNNNNNNNNNNNNNNNNNNNNNNNNNNNNNNNNNNNNNNNNNNNNNNNNNNNNNNNNNNNNNNNNNNNNNNNNNNNNNNNNNNNNNNNNNNNNNNNNNNNNNNNNNNNNNNNNNNNNNNNNNNNNNNNNNNNNNNNNNNNNNNNNNNNNNNNNNNNNNNNNNNNNNNNNNNNNNNNNNNNNNNNNNNNNNNNNNNNNNNNNNNNNNNNNNNNNNNNNNNNNNNNNNNNNNNNNNNNNNNNNNNNNNNNNNNNNNNNNNNNNNNNNNNNNNNNNNNNNNNNNNNNNNNNNNNNNNNNNNNNNNNNNNNNNNNNNNNNNNNNNNNNNNNNNNNNNNNNNNNNNNNNNNNNNNNNNNNNNNNNNNNNNNNNNNNNNNNNNNNNNNNNNNNNNNNNNNNNNNNNNNNNNNNNNNNNNNNNNNNNNNNNNNNNNNNNNNNNNNNNNNNNNNNNNNNNNNNNNNNNNNNNNNNNNNNNNNNNNNNNNNNNNNNNNNNNNNNNNNNNNNNNNNNNNNNNNNNNNNNNNNNNNNNNNNNNNNNNNNNNNNNNNNNNNNNNNNNNNNNNNNNNNNNNNNNNNNNNNNNNNNNNNNNNNNNNNNNNNNNNNNNNNNNNNNNNNNNNNNNNNNNNNNNNNNNNNNNNNNNNNNNNNNNNNNNNNNNNNNNNNNNNNNNNNNNNNNNCCGAGUCGGCUACUUAACACGCGGUCAAGCCGCGACUCUACUCGCCGAGUCCAUCCAUGGACUCGCCGAGUCACUCUUCCCAAUUAACACUUUUGGCCCUUCAACUCUACUCUCGCUAUUUCGGGAUGUUACACUCAUGUAAUCUAAUACAUGCUACUCAUGUAUGAUCCCUUCGAAACAUGUAAGCUUCAAUUUUGAUGUAUAUAGGCCUUCAAUAAAAGAAAAUUAAUUAUAUUUUUAAGGUAUAUAGGCCUUCAAUAUUUUUUUCAAGAGUAAGUUAUACACUUUUUUAAGGUAUAUAAGCCUUAAAAAUUAAUUAUAUUUUUAAGGUAUAUAGGCCUUCGAUAUAUUAUUAAGGUAUAUAGGUCUUCAAUUUUGAAUCAUGUAAGCUUCAAUUUUGAGGUAUAUAGGCGUUCAACAUUUUUUCAAGAGUAAGUUAUACAAAUCGUCGAUCCGGUUUGUACAAUCUGUAGGUUUUGUCGCUAAAUUGUUCUACUUGUCUCAUAUUUAUAGUAAUUAUUAUAUUUUUAAGAUGUAGAAGUCUAAGGCUAUAUUGGGCGUAUUAGUUGAAAAUCUAGCUGUUAGCUGAAAAACCAGUUGAUAGUUAUAUAAAAAGCGAUGGUUGUGAAAAGUAGCUGAUAAGUUAGCUGAAAUAUAUGAAACGAUAUGAAAGGUCAUUUAAAAAAUAUUUUAUUUUAUAAUUAGUUAAGGAUAUAUUUAAAAAAAAUUAAAAUUUUUUUUUUUUAAUAAACUAGUUUAAAUACUUUUUCAAAAAAAACUAGCUUAUAAGCUACUGUUUUGUCAAACAUUACAGCUAAAAAAGAUGGAAAAAUAAGUUAGCGAGUGAAACUCAACCUAAAUAUUGAACAAUUUUAUACAAUUACUAUUUUGACUUUCAAUUAUAUUUGAGCCUCAUAUUCAAAUUUUUAUUCCCUAAUGCUUAACAUCUCUUAUUAAGGUAUUCAAAUUUUGUCUGGUUGCUAAAAGAGACUAAUGCAUUUGUGAUAUCUUAAAAUUAAUCAUAACCAAACUAUAUAAGGUCCAAUUUAUUCGGUUUGUUUUAGCAGUUGAACAGAAUAAAAUUUUGCAUGUAAAAAUAAAUAUUAAACUAAAAAAAAAAGCUUACUAAACUUUUUACCAAAUGAAAAAGAUACACCAAUACAUAACAUAUAUAACAUAUAUUGUCUUGUUUUGAAGUUAUAAAAUUCCUUUAAACCAUCAACAAUGUUGAUGCAACAUUUUUUUCAAGAAUUGUUGACCACCCAUGUGAUAUUACCGUUUUAACCUCUUCUAAAUUUCUAACUUCCCUAAGAAGCAUGGUCAAACAUGUCUCCCUCUCUUCAACUUCAACGUCACUAGAAGAGCUAAAAUUGAUAUAAGGAUUAUUAGGCUUAAUUACUUGUACGUUGAGCAUGAAUUCUGUUUUUUCAACUAAAUUAGCCACCCCGUCCCCUGAAUCAACUAGUUUCCCAUCUUCUUCACCCACAAUGCUUUUGGUCAAUUUUUUUUUUUUUUUUUUGGCUACCAUAAACUUUCGGCAGCAAGAUCUUCUGAUGCACUCGAUUUCGGAUUAGAAACCAUCCACGACUUCAUCAGCAUUGUUUUGUAGCCCAAUUUCUCUAUUUCUUUCCUUUUAUUCUUGAACACCAUUGCAGGUUAGUAUCUCUAGUCGGUGUCAUUUGAAUGAAAAGAAAGAAUUAUCUUUAUAUGGUCGGUCCGCCUUCCAAUUGUUUGAUGAAAUGUCUGAAAGAAGUGAACAUUGAUUCAAGAAUUUGAUUGCUAAGAAUAAAUCUGUUUCAUGUGUUUUAUCUUAAUUUCUAAUUCUUCAUUUUUCUUCUGACCUCACUGUUUCAUUUUUCUUAUUGUUUUUCAAAAUCGAUUCAAGAUCAUUUGUUUUAAUUCUGCCCAACUACAUAUCAGUCUUCUGUUGCGCUCCCAUUGAUACCAUUUGAGAACAUCUUUUUCAAAAUACUUCAUCGCAACAUCCAAACUUUCAUCAUUGGACAAUCGAUUUAGGGAAAAAAUAUUGAUCAACUUUUAAAUCCAAGAGCCAUCAAAGAUAGAUGUCUCUAAUUGUUUACCUAUGAUAUCAGAAAUUGGUUUUCGUUCUUGAACUCAUGAUCUUUAUCCAUCUUCAAAUGUUGAUCUAUUUCUUUUAUUUGAUUCUUCUUGAAAAAGCACAACUGACAUAUUUUCUUCUCUGUAGAGUUUUUUUAUUUGUUUGAACAGAUGCUUAGAGCAAAUCUAGACAGCACCAUCAUCUUCUUCCUUUUCUCUUCCAUAUUUUGUUUUUGCUGAUAAUUUUUUUUAGAUACCAAGGCUUUGUUUCACUCUUUUAGGCUUUAUUCCUUUUUUCAUCUUUAUCCAUCUUCAAAUGUCGAUCAACCUCUUUUAGGCUGCGUGACUAUAAGUAUCAUACACACUCUACGUGUGUAUGUGUCUCUGGCUGUGUGUUAUCUGCACCAGAACCUAAACAAAUCAGGUAACCAUCAGCGGCUAAAGAAACUUGGAUGCACUGCUGUUAGUUAUAUCAAAACAUAUACUUUAUUUUUUGUUUAAGAGGCUUAUUAUAUGAAGAUGAUGUUUGUAUUUUAUUCGUCUAAUUCUAAUAGAGUGGUUUGAUAUGUAAUUAAUAGGUAAAGCUGUGACCAAAACAAUUACUUAACAAGUGACAUUACUAGCAAAAGAUGAAGAUGAAAGUACAUACAUGGGGUAGUGUUCAGCGGCCUGUGUAUGUGUGUGUUUUAGGAAAAAAAAACUAUUUAUUUUUUAAUAAAACAUUGUAUUUUGAAAUAUUUUCUCAUAUGUAUAGAUUUUUCAAUAAAAUAAAACACUAAAAAAUAAUAAACUCUGGAAUUUUUUUAAUAAAAUAAAACACUAAAAAAUGAAAAAUCAACACCAUAUUCUUCAAUGAAAUAAAGUGCUAUAAAACACUUCUUAUAGCAACAUCCAUAUAGAUGUCUAUUUUUACAUCAUAAAAAGAUAUUUUGGUAUAUUUGUUUUUAUUUUUUGAAAAAAAAAUAAUGCCCUAAUAAAUAAAAACAAAAUAACAACACCCAUCAAUAAAAACAUCAUAAUAGAGACUUUGCAUAUCGACAUGGAUGUUUAUUUGUACAACAUAAAAAUAUAUAAAUUUGGGUCUUUUGUUUUUUUUUUCCAGAAAAGUAAUAUAACCUUAAAAAAUAAAAGAUAACAGUGAUUAGGCAUAUUCAUCAACAAAUGGUUUAUUAUUUCUCAUUUUUGCAACUAUAUUCUUUUCAAAAAAAUAUAUAUACUGAAAUUUAUUAUUUUUAUACUCUAAGAAAAGAUAUCAAUAUAAAAUGUUCCUACCAUUUUAACAAGAAUUAUCUUUCUUGCGUUUACACUUUACACACACCUAGUGAGUUGUGAUUCGUGUGGAGCAUAAAAUCCUUAUUUUCCUUUGAAAUAGAACCACACUAUGAAAGAAAUUAGAAAAGAAGAAUUGAAAUAAACUGCCCCAAAUCAAACGUUCAAAGAUUUAUACACUCUGUAAGGCAUAAAAGCCUUAUUUUCCUUGAAAUAGAACCAUUCAAACUAUAAAACAAAUUUAAAAAAAAAAAGGACAAUUGUAAUGGAUAGCUAGCCCCAUAUAAGACUUUCAAGGACUUUCAAGUUUUGGAAAUUUGUAUUUUUCCUAUACAUAUCUUUUUUCAUCUUAUCAUAUCUUUCGAUCCUCACUUUAUGUCAUUGUAAAUCCACAAAAGCAAACCAAUCAUUCAGGAAAAAGGACAAAUGGUGGGUUAGUGCCUGGAAACAACCAUAUAUAGCUAGCUGUCCAGAUCAAGUGCUUAAUUAUUAAGCCUAUUAAGUCAUAAAGAAUCAGUCCCUAAUUGCAUAAGAGCUGAGUGAUAAAUGAUGAGUCUCCAGAGAAUGUAUUGGAUAAAAUAAGGCUAAUUAUUUAUGUAUUUUGGAUUGAAUGAACCAUUUGAAUAAGAGAAAACAACCAUUUUACCCUUCUAUCUAAAAGUAAUGUAGAAUACCAAGUUGUUGUUAAUUUGUGAGAACUAUUGAAAUUUUAAACUAAAAAUCACUUUUAUAUAUACGACCAUGAGACUUACAUAUGUUUGUCAAAAACUACCAUAACUGUCUUUUGUCAAAGCAAACUUGCAGUGUAAUCUUACCAUUAUUUUCUACAGAUAGAGCAAAAUCCUUUUGGCUUUUGCAAUGCAUUGUUUCCCCAGACAACAAAUCAGAAUGCAAACGACUUGUUAUAUUCAGAAACAUUGAAUUAAACCCCAAUUUAACAAGGAUUCAUGCCUCUCAUACUCCCCUUGGGUUAUUAAACAACUUCUAUUUAUGUCUAAUUGAGACAAUUCUUCCAAUCCUAUGCAGAUUUAAUCUCCUACACAGAUUUAAUCUCCUACAUCAAUUACAAACACAACAGAGCCAUUAGCCGUAUAGCUUAACAACAAAAUAAGCAAAACUUAUACCUUUAUAAAUGAAGAUGAAUAAGAUCACUAUCAUGUUUCUUGUAAUUUGUUUAGUGAGUGAUAUAAAUUAGAGCUUACACCCUUGAUUACAGGGAAGGACAAAAGUGUGUGUAGAUACGAAAAACAUAACUCAAGACAAGGAAUGAAACAAUGAAGAUGUCACACCCCGAAAACCAAAGGCGGAAACAUUUCCGGGGUUGACUCCACGUUGAGUAUCAAAUCCAAUGUACAUAGUAAUCACAGUAAACAACCAUUACAUUACAUAUAUUUGAAAGUUUACAUUUGUUUCAAAAGUAAAUUGUACAAGUUUUAUACAUAUAUCAUAUGAACAAAAGUUGAGACGAGUCUUCUGAGCACUCUGUCUUCACCAAAAGAUAUCGCCGGGUACCUGUCUAACGUGGACCUGAGAAUACAAGCAGUUUGAAAAUCAGCAUAAAGCUGGUGAGUUCAUAAGCAGUUUUGUUUUGUGAAAAUGUACCAGUUUCCUUUAGUUUUUCCGAAAAGGUUUGUUAUCCAAGAAAAUCUCAUAUUUUCUUAUGUUAAACAGUUUAGUUAUCUUUCAUUACAGUUCAAUUACGCGUUAUACGAUACCCCAGGAAAAUCCCAUAUUUUCCUAAAUGCAAGACCGAUUGAAUAACACAGAGUAUAGUUUAAUACACAAAACUAUAUAUUGAGAAUCAUAGGAUUACUAUCCCGAAUUAGAUAUAAAAUACUUUAAUAUACACGAACUGUAGAUAGAAAGUAGUUUGAAAACCUUGGGACUAACAUCCCGAACUAGAUACAAGAUAGUUUGAUAUACUUGAAAAUAUAGAUUGAAAACCAUGGGAAUACCAUCCCGGACUAGAUACAAAAUAGUUUGUUAGAAACCAUGGGAUUACUAUCCCGAACUAGAUAUAUGAUAGUUUGAUAAAACCAUGGGAUCACUAUCCCGAAUUAGAUAUAAGAUUUUUUAAUAAAACCAUGGGAUCACUAUCCCGAACUAGAUAUAGAUUCUAACCAUAGGAAUAACAUCCUGCAAUAGAUAUGAACCCUGUAGACUAAAAACCAUGGGAUUACCAUCCCGAACUAGAUAUAAGAUCUAAAGAUAGAAGAUUGAUAUAAAAUCAAAUCCAAAACCAAAGCCGUGAAUAAACUUAUAUUAAUACGUAUUGUGAGUCGGGUAACCAUGCUGAUACAACAACGAGACCUCCUUGACGCUUGUCAGACGUCGGACGAUAUCCAGAAUUUGUCACCCCAGGCGUGCCCGCCUAACUGUAGCUAGCAGUUAAGGUGUGGGAUUGUCAGUCCCGAAUAGAUCUAUUCACAAAUUCCUCGCUCUCCCUCCAGGAGACUCUGGUUACACUUCCGGGGAGGAUUUACUGAUCAUCCAUAAAGGGUAGUGACUAACUCACAAACUAGUACUAAACUAUUAACAGGGUUCUCAUACGAUAUCAAACAUACAAAAGAUUAUGAAACAUAAUACAGUGAAUAUAGGUACAUACUAUGAAACUAUCUGACAAUACAUUCAAAUGAUACGGAGAUAAACUGAAUCAGACAUAGUUUAUCUAAUAACUUUAUAUACAUAUCAGUACAUGAUAAAACGAACACUAAAGAACCCCAAAUUAUUCCUAUAAUAAUUUGAUUAGUUUGAUUAUUUUCUUAACUAAAAUCCAUUUAGUUGUACUUGAUAAAUCAUCCCUUAUGCUCAGCAUAAUACAUAAAGGGUAAAAAUGUUUAUAAGUUUGCCAGAUAUUAUUUGAAACAUAUCAAUGUUAUAAUUCGAAAACACUUAUAGUUUGCUUGUAUUCCCCCCUGAAAACAUUGAAAAACACGGAAAAAGCGUAGGGGUAUGAACUCACCGGACGAGAAACAUGACGAUUUAGGAUGCUAAACGUUGGAUCGGGGCUUGCAAACGUACGAUAUUCCUAUGUAUAAUGAAAAGAUACACAUUUGUAUCUAAUUAGGACUUAGAUUAUUUAAUUGUUAGGGACAAACACUUUUAGUCGCGGAUACACCCCAUUACAAGUGUGUGGAAGGACUCGGGUGGCGUUUAAGGACUUGAAUGACCGGGAAAUGGAGUUUACUCUUCAAGAGUAAACUCAUACAAGAGUUUUCAGCCAAUAACACCCACUCCCCAUGAGUUUACGGCAGUAAACUCAUGGUGGGGUCAUUUGUGGGCAAAAUGGCUAUUGACACUUAAGGGGAAAAUUUCUAGGUUUGGUUUAAGGGCUUGGAAUAAAUUUUAAACACCAAAUGGACAUACUUAAGGGAGUUUACGGCCUAGCAUGGGACUCAUGGCCGUAAACUCCUAUAUACCCAUGAAUAAUUGUGUUAAUGAUUCCAAACAAAUCACAUGUGAUUGCUAAAAUUGUUCCAAGGCCUUACAUGAAUUUUUAUGGAACUUUUGAGGUGUUUUUGGAGUUUACGGCCCAUGAGACCCCCCUCAUGGCCGUAAACUCUCCUAGAGUGUGAUUCAUUAUGUUUUAAGGCCAAAAAACUUGUUUGUAUACACUUCUAAAAAUUAUUCUAAGGCUUUAGGGGUGUUAAAGUGGCUUUCUAACACCUUUGGAGGAGUUUACUCCCCAUAUUAUGGAGUUUACGGCCCAAGCAUAAGCCUUGGCCGUAAACUCUCAUUUGUCCCUCAAAAUAUAUGUUUAAGGCCCUUAAACCAUUUUUAGUUGGUUCUAUGAUUUAUUCCAAGGCUUUUGGUGAAGGUAUAUGACUUUAUAACAUGUUGAAAAUGAGUUUAUACUCAUGUUUGAGGGGUUUACGGCCCAAAGCAUGUGCCUUGGCCGUAAACUCCUUCAAAUCCCUCAAAAUCCAUGUCUAAAGUGUUCUAAGUCCAUUCCAUGAAGUCAUUUAGCCAUAUCUAAGUCCCAAAAUUGUUUAGGAGGGGUUUAAAGGCAUAAAAACCCCUUUACUAUGUGUUUACGGCCCAAGCUCCUUCCAGGGCCGUAAACUCAUAUACAAGGUCUUAAUUCAUGUUUUAAUCUCGAAUUUGAAGGCCAAAUAUGCUAUACAAUGAGUUUAGGAAGGUACCUUAGAGAUUUGAGGCCUUAAAAUUGAGUUUUGGACCCUUAAACUUAGAUUUAGGAGAGAGGUUAGAGAGAGAGUAGUGAGAGAGAGAAAAAGCUUCAAAUGAAAGGUUUAACACGUUUAUAUAGGUCGCAAAACUUGGACACGGUGGAAUUCUACCCGAUACCGGCAUUAAACGGGGCUUUUGGUCGCACCCGAUUAAGUUUCUGAGACUCGGCGGGGACGUUCCUAAUAUUUAUGAAAUACAUAUUUUAGGCUAAUUUCAUGAGUUCCUAAGGGGUUUGGACACUCAUUAGCAUCAAUUAAAUAUAUAUAAGUUAAAUUAACUUAACCCAAAAACGACAUCAGAAUGUUUCGAUAUACGACGAGUUAUACGGGUAGAACGGGGUUUUCGGCGAUGAACAACUUCGGGUUGUUACAGAAGAAAUAGUCACCUUCCGUUGAAGAACCUUGGCACUCUGUUCUUUCUCGUUAAAGCGAAGUAAUUGGGGCUUUCUUCAAGUUCAAAUUCAAACUUUCUUAUUAUGCUUCAGAUUCAGCUUCAGAAGCAGAAGCAGAAGAAGUAGCACCAGCAGAAGCAGAAGAAGUAGAAGCAGAAGUAGAAGCAGCAGCAAAAGCAGAAGCAGCAGAGGAAGAGGAAGAUGAAGAGGAAGAGGAAGAGGCAGCAGCGCCAGCAAAAGAAGAAGAAGAAGAAGUGACCUGUGACAGCUCACAUCCCGAUAAACUUAAAACAGAGAGUUUCCGGAGACUGAGAAUAACACCUACCCAAUGAUUUGUUUUGGCCAAUGAAAUCCCAUCCAUGUGAAGUUCCUCCAAAUGAGAUAGAUUAGACAACCACUCGAGGUUCUCAAAUCUACACCUUCCAGCAUAUGAAAGGAGAAGCCAUUGCAAGUUGGUGAGGUUUCCGAACUCUGGAGGAAUGGUUCCAUGAAAAGAGUUAGAUGAAAGGUCAAGGUACCAUAAUUCAGUCAAGGAACCAAUGGACCUGGGAAUGGUACCAUUAAGAUUAUUGCCGCCAAGGAGAAGGGACCUUAAAUGAGUCAACGAACCAAUGAAGGUGGGAAUGGUUCCAUGAAAAGAAUUUCCGGAAAGAUCAAGAUAGUUCAAGUAGGUUAAGUUAACCAAUGAAUGGCUAAUCUCACCUACAAGACCACAGGACAUCAGAUCAAGCUCUGUGACAUGACCACCUUUUUGGUUGUUGCACGUCACUCCACUCCAUUCACAGCAGUUGUCUUGUUCAGCUGUCCACGUAGAGAGACGAUCAUAUAAGGGUCUUGAAUGUGAGAUUUGAAAUGAAGGAGACCAUCUCUCUCCUUCUCAAAACACUUAUCAUCUCCUCCUCCCACUUCUGCGCGCCAAUUGGUUGGCAGUUGUAGUCUCAAGACAGAAGAAGAGAAGUGAGAAUAUUAUAAAAACACAAGGACUCAUGAUGUAAAUGCAAAUCUUGGUGAUUUUUUUUGUUUGUAUGGAUGAAAAUUUAAAGAUGCUCCAUGCAGCUUUAUAUAGUGCUGCAAACUGUGAAAAUGAAGGAUUCAGUAAUUCUCGUGAGAACGGUAGGAACAUAAUUCUUUUUUCCUUUUUUUUUCAUCAAUAUGAAAACAUUUUAUAAGGCUAAAAAAUAAUAAAUUCUGGGAUUUUUUUUAUUAAAAUAAAACACUAAAAAGAUGAAAAAUCAAUUCCAUAUUCAUCAAUGAAAUAAAAUGCGCUAUAAAACACAUCCUACAGCAACAACCAUAUAGAUGUCUAUUUAUAGGUCAUAAAAAGAUAUUAUGGUAUUUUUGUUUUUAUUUUUUAAAAAAAAAAUAAUGCCGUAAUAGAUAAAAAAAUUUAACAAUACUCCUCAAUGAAAACAUCAUAAUAAAAACUUUGUACAUCGAUAUGGAUGUAUAGCUGUACAACAUAAAAAUAUAUAAAUUUGGGUCUUUUGUUUUUUUUUCUUCGAAAAAUAAUAUUACCUUAAAAAAAAAUACUGAAAUUUAUUAUUUUUAUGCUCUAAAAAAAGAUAUCAAUAUAAAAGGUUCCUACCAUUUUUAACAAGAAUUAUCUUUCUUGCGUUUACACUUUAUACACACCUAGUGAGUUGUGAUUCGUGUGGAGCAUAAAAUCCUUAUUUUCCUUUGAAAUAGAACCAAAGUAUAAAAGAAAUUAGAAAAGACGAAUUGAAAUAAACUGCCCCAAAUCAAACGUUCAAAGAUUUAUACACUGUGUAAGGCAUAAAAGCCUUAUUUUCCUUGAAAUAGAACCAUUCAAACUAUAAAACAAAUUUAUAUUAAAAAAAAAAAAAAAAAAAAAAAAAGGACAAUUGUAAUGGAUAGCUAGCCCCAUAUUAGACUUUCAGGUCAUGGAAAUUUGUAUUUUUCCUAUACAUAUCUUUUUUCAUCUAGUCAUAUCUUUUGAUCCUCUCUUUAUGUCAUUGUAAAUUCACAAAAGCAAACCAAUCAUUCAGGAAAAAGGACAAAUGGUGGGUUAGUGCCUGGAAACAACCAUAUAUAGCUAGCUGUCCAGAUCAAGUGCUUAAUUAUUAAGCCUAUUAAGUCAUAAAGAAUCAGUCCCUAAUUGCAUAAGAGCUGAGUGAUAAAUGAUGAGUCUCCAGAGAAUGUAUUGGAUAAAAUAAGGCUAAUUAUUUAUGUAUUUUGGAUUGAAUGAACCAUUUGAAUAAGAGAAAACAACCAUUUUACCCUUCUAUCUAAAAGUAAUGUAGAAUACCAAGUUGUUGUUAAUUUGUGAGAACUAUUGAAAUUUUAAACUAAAAAUCACUUUUAUAUAUACGACCAUGAGACUUACAUAUGUUUGUCAAAAACUACCAUAACUGUCUUUUGUCAAAGCAAACUUGCAGUGUAAUCUUACCAUUAUUUUCUACAGAUAGAGCAAAAUCCUUUUGGCUUUUGCAAUGCAUUGUUUCCCCAGACAACAAAUCAGAAUGCAAACGACUUGUUAUAUUCAGAAACAUUGAAUUAAACCCCAAUUUAACAAGGAUUCAUGCCUCUCAUACUCCCCUUGGGUUAUUAAACAACUUCUAUUUAUGUCUAAUUGAGACAAUUCUUCCAAUCCUAUGCAGAUUUAAUCUCCUACACAGAUUUUUAUGAAACCAAUUAGAAAAGUUCCAACCUCCAACAUAAACAUUAACCCAGAAACAACUCUAAUUUAUGGAAUCUAUUAAAAAUUUGUCAAUUGAAACAAAAAGGCACCGUUUAACGUCAAAACUGAAAAUUAAUAAUAAUAAUAAUAUUAAAUGUGAGCAAGAGAAACAUUAUUCAACAGAAAAUGGAGAACAGAGAGUCGAGAAGAAAAAUCGAGAUUAAGAGAACAAAAAGAGAAUAGAUAUAUCGAGUAUUGAAUAGUUGAGAUGAUCCAACAACUUACCUGAUGGAAGACCGAGGGAGGAACGACGAAGACAUCUUGGAACAGUGAUGGAAGAUGGAGAAGAGAAGACGAAGUGAAGGCUGUAAAAACUGAAAAGAAAAGUAGGGUUAAAGGAGGACGAGGAUAAACGAGUAAAAAUCAAAUUCAUAAGCUAAAAGGGGAUAACAAAACCAAACCCACAAACCAAAAAAUCAAUAAUCAACUAGAAAUGUAACCCAUGCUAUGGACGGAGGCGUUUUAGAGCUGCAAAUGUUUUUUUUCUUUAUUUAUAUAAUGCAUGUUUGUUUUUGAAGAUGAAGUUUUUCUGUUAAUGUAAGACAAUUGAUAAAUUGAAAACCACAUCACAAUGUUAUUACAAAUGUAAAAUUGUAACUCUAAAAUAUUUAGAGUUUUCCCAAGAUAUUCUGAUGAUGGAGUAAUGAAUUUGAUACAAACCUUCAUCAAUCGGUACUAAUUCCCUGCAAGCUUUUUACUAUUUUCACCUAAGGGGUAAAAACAGAAAGAAAUCAACAUUAUUUGAUUCACAAUGAUUGCAAGUAUUUUUUUCAUUUAAUUAAGAAUGCAAAAUGUACUUGCUCAUCUUUACAAAUAUAACCUUUCAUCCACCUCGAAAAUGGCAAUAUUCAUAUUCUCAUGCAUUGCUACACUCCUUUCUUUUGAGUACCAAAAAUCAUACCUACCUAAAAUAUUUUCACUCUUCACCAACAUACCAUAGGGACAAAACCUAUAUCCCGUGCAAUUUUGGUCAAUCCUAAAAGUUGUUAGUAGAAAAUAAAUUUGUUUUAAAAGGAUAAAGAACAUGCUCCAUGAUUCAAAAUAAUGGAAUAGAAAUGAAAUUAGAGUCUAUAUACUUGGAUGGAAUGGAAUAAGCAAGGUUGCUUUGGUAGAAAUGGAACAAACUUACUUAAUAUAUAUUUUAAAGUUAAAGAUAAUAGAAGCUUACUAACCCAAAUAAGGUAUAACAAAAAUAAGAGUGAGCUACAAAUUUGGUACCUAUGGCUAUACUACAGUUAAAAUUGCAAAACUCGCCGGUUUUAAGAGCCCCUUUCUUUGUAUCUUGCAUGGUGUCCAUCGUUUUGAAACACUACAAAAUUUCACUGACAAACUAUUAGUAUUCAGUUCGGAUAAAGCUAAAGGAUAAAGCUAAAUCAGUUAAACAAACCCAUGAAUUAACUAACCCCUAAUCAAAAUCCUAAUACGCUGACUGUCGGCCAAAGCCUUCCUGCAAGCAUACUGAAAAAGAAAAAAAAAUCUUAAAGAUAGAAACUGAUACCAUUUCACUUCACAAUCCACUAUCAUCACUAUUAACAUAUAAAUUUGAAACCAAAUCAUAAAAGUAUUUCAUAGGAUUCACUUGUUCUUCAUCGAUCUGAUAUUACAAGUGCUUGUCGUCCAAAAAUCAUCAGAAAGAAUAGAUAUUUUCAUAGUUUUGCCUUGUACACAUAUCAUAAGUAAUGAACUCUCAAUGUACUUGAUGUAAAUUUGGACUUGAAAUAAUGUCACAAAAAGGGUAAGUGCAAUGUUAUUAUGUGAUAUUUAAGAAAGUAGAAUGCUAAUUUUCAACUUCAAAGAGCUAACUAAAAGUAAACACCAAAUUGGAUACAUACACAAAAUAUUACAUAAGAAUUGCAAUUGUUCCAUUUUAUUUCAAUCUUUCAGCUGUUUUGCAUUGUUCCAUGUCAAUGAAAUUGAUAAAUUUAGAUAUUUAAUACAUAAUUCAAAAUCAAGAAUUAUUAAAAUUAUUUAUAUUUUUAUACUGACACUUUAACCAUUUCUUGGAAAUGUGGAAACGUAGCUAUAACAGAUUAUAUGCUGGGGACACAAAUAUUGUCUUCUACUAAUAUAUUCUGGGAAAUUUAAUAAUUAGAAAAUAUGACUAUGGUACAUAUAAAGUGAUGUUCAAUGUAAAAAAAAAUGGUCGUUUCUAAUAAUUUACCUUUAUGGGGAAGUUGCUAACAGUAACAUUGAUACACACCAUUACACCUUAUGCAAAACAUAAGCUUGUUUGGGUCACCGGUCCUUUUACAUACCUGGGUUUUAGAAAAGAUAUGUAUACAAAUUAAAAAAGCAGCAUUUUUAUUAUAUUCAAAGUCCUUACCGGUAAUAUAGGCUAAAUACAAAACUCAAAAUCAAAAAACAACAUCAUGAACGCCUUAAAAGAGCUCAAAAAACAAUUAAAAUCUACAACCCCUGUGAUAAAUGAACUAACAACCUAGAUCAAUGGAUUUACCUUCGCAUUCCUGCAAGUGCCAAUACAUCGGACUUAUAAUUCUUUGCUACUUCAUAGUUACUCAGACAACCACCUAAAUCAUUAUAGCAAACCCUCCCUUCCGUUGAAACGGCUUCUAAAUCUAAGAAAAUUAGCACAGGAGCAAUCUUGACACCCAAAUAUUAGACAAUAGUUUUCUCAUCCAACACGCCAGAGAACAAAUUGGCUGCUAAAAACAAACCUUUUAAGGAUUAACAUAACAAACUUGUUAAAUUUUAGAAAACCUGACACAAAUACCUGGAGAAAAAAAAAAGCAUACAUCUAUAAAAAAUUUCUUGCUUCUUGCUUUCAAAAGACUGUUUGAGGGAGAUGGGGGGUCAAUUUUUCAUAGGGAAUAGCUCUGCGAGCUGCAAAAAGAAAAUGAAAACAUAAAAAUCAACAUGUUGACAUCAUAAAAUCCCGAAAUAAUCAUACCGAUAUAAUAAGAAUCUAGGUCAAUAGAGCAUAAAUCAUAAAUCGAUGACUUCAACAUAAAUCAGAUACAUAACUCCAAAAUAAGUACCGACGAUGUCAAUAGCGUAAGUCUGAAGAGUGCGGUUGAAUUAUGAUCGAUGAAUUUGAUCAGAACUUGAAGAGGAACCCACCGACAAAAAAAAAAAACUGUAUUAGAAUGCUUCAAAUUCAAUGAAUUGAGACAAUAAGUAUCUAGCCAGGAAGAUUAAAAAACAGAUAAAAUAAAUAAAAUGAAUCGACUUCUUGAAGAUGUUGAAAAUUACCAAAUUGGAACCCCGACUUCAAAUUAAAUCUGACAACCUGGAACAUGAAGGACGGUAACGGCGGCAACAAAUGUUUGAGGGUAUCUAAAUUCUUAGUCAAAGAAGAAGCAGAAAGAUCGGUGGCUGAUAUGGAUAACAGAAAAAGAUAACCCACCUAGGGUUUGGAAGUGAGACAGGGAAGUCGAUCGAAAAAAGAAGUGAGCUUCACAAAUUCCAGAAGUAGGAAUUAAUAGGCUUCAUCUCGUUUCCAGAAAAAUGAACGAUUAGCUUGAAGCAGGAAAAGUUCGUCUGGUGGUAGCAAUAGAUGAUUUUGUGGGUUCAUUAGUUGGGAAUUUUGAGGUCUUCUUCUCAACCUGUACCGGCACAGCUUUGAGCGAUUAGGGACGAUCUGCCUCUUUUCAAUCUGCUAUGCUUUUCGCCCCUCAAUCAGUCGAUUGUAAGUGUUGUUGGACCGCGAGAAGUAGUAUUGGAGACUUUGUGAUCGGGUGAGAGAUGGUCUGUAGGAAUUGUUCCAUCUUGUAAACGAUUGAAUGUUCAAAUAGAUGGUGAUUGAAAGAAAUCAGGGUUUGUGAGACAUUGUUGCGAUCGGAAUGAACAACGGGAUGGGGAAUGCAGCUGCAGAUGCCAGCUUGGCCGGAACAGCCAUAAAAAACAGGUGCAUCAAACAGAAACGAUAAUGUAAAAAAAACAGAGUAGCAUAAAGAAAAUAUAGAAGCCUAACGGAGAGAAAUUACCUGGGGAAGAAAAGAACGUACAACGAAAAGCAAAAGCGGCGGAGUUUCAGCGAAGAAGAAUGCGGAAGAAAGAAGAGAGUACAAGAGAGUACCACGUGGAAAGUGAAGGACAGUGAAAAAGACACGUAUAAUCUACAAUGAUUCGUCAGCAACCGGCGGAUGAAGAAAAAAAAACAAAUAAAAAAGGAAGAAAUAUAGUGUAGCAAAGAGUAGACAACUUUUUAAAUAAAGAAAGACAACAACAGGAUAAUAUAUAUNCUUAGCCUAUUUACUGUAGCUAAGGUUGGAUAAUUUUAAUAUAUUGUAUAAUAAAAACCAAUAAAAUCAAAAAACCAAAAAUUUGAACCAAAAAUACUUGAGUUUUUUUUUAAAAAAAUAUAUUUGGUUUGGUUUCAGCUUUAAAAAAAUAUAAAAACUAAUAAAAACUGAACCUCGAAUUUUAUGAAAUAUAUUUAUUCACUGAAUUAUAUGGUAUUUAUUUAUUGCGUGAGAGAUAAUAAAAAUCGAAGUUUUGUUUGGUGACUAAGCAGCGCCGGCCUUGCCUUGUGUCAAAUUAAGCAAGGGCUUAGGGCCUUGCUUGUUUACUUUUUAUUGUAUUUACCUCUUAAUUUUACAUCUAAAUAUGAAACCGAAUAAGUGUGAGGAUGAAUAAGUGAGAGGAGAAAGUCUGAAAGAAAAAUGCACAUGCUUGCCCUUCCCCCGUAUGUCUCCCACCAACAAAAAAAAUUUAUUGGGUUGUUCAUUUUUGAAAAGCUAAUAAGUCGAAAAAGUGUUUGACAAACUCAAAAGUAUUUUUCAUAAUAGUUUUCCAUUAGUUUCAAAAAGCACUUUUUAAAAAGCAUGUAAAACUUGGUUUUUAAAAACUGCUUUUGACUUUUUAACCAAAAUAACUUCAAAAAGCACUUUUUAAGCCAAACACAUUUUAAUUUAUUGACUUAUUGGCUUUCUCAUCAUAAAAGUUAAUCCAAACACUUUUAAAAAAACUCAUUUUACCACCACUAUAAGCCAAUAAACAUUUUUAUAUAUCGCCUCGUUCCAUAGUUUAAUAAAAGAAAAGAAGAGAAGAUAAAAGAAAGUCAUGAGAGAAAAUCAAAAAAGAGGAGAAAGGAAAGGAAAACAAAAUUUUGUUUUGAGUUCCCGAGUUGGAGAGAAAUGGAAGGAAAAUGAAUCAUUUUGUUCUUUCUUUUCAAAUCCUCCCAAAUCGGAAGGAAAGUUAGGAGGGAAAGUGAUCCUCUCAUUCCACUUCCUUCCUUUAAUGAAACUCAGAAACACCAAUUUGUUUUAUUUUCUUCUCAUUUCCAUCAAUUUCAUUUCUUUUCUAUCGUUAAGUUAAACUUGGGAACGGGGUGUAAAAGUACUUUUAGAGUUCAAAAAGCACUCACAAACACCCAUUUAAUAAAGUAUUGUGUUUCAUAUACAAGGCAACCCUUCUCCUUCAUUGUUUUUUGAUAAACUCCUUUUGCAAAUUUUGUGUUGUUUGUGGUUUGUUUCCAAUGGGCCUCAAACUACAAGCCUAUUUGUUGGUCAUUUAUUUUAGCAAAUAAGAUAAAAUAUUAUCCAGCCUAGUGAAAGUACAAUACAUAAAAUAUUAGUUUAAAUCUCUCUCUCUCUCUCUUUCUCUCUCUCGCACACACACAGAGGAACAAAAUUCUUGUUUUUCUCAUCAACAUAUAAACAUUUUUUAAGGAUAAAAAUUAAUAAAUUCAGGAAAUUUAUUUGAUAUAAAACACUAAAAAAGGAAAAAUCAACAUCAUUCAUCAAUGAAUAUAAUGUAAAAAAAUGAAGUUUAAUACCGAUAUGGAUGUUAAAAUGUAAGACAUAAAAAAUAUUAAAUUUGGUAUAUUUGUUAAAUAUAAAUAAUUAACAUUCAUCCGUUAGCACUACAAAUUCAUCAUUAAAAUAAAGUUCUAUAANNNNNNNNNNNNNNNNNNNNNNNNNNNNNNNNNNNNNNNNNNNNNNNNNNNNNNNNNNNNNNNNNNNNNNNNNNNNNNNNNNNNNNNNNNNNNNNNNNNNNNNNNNNNNNNNNNNNNNNNNNNNNNNNNNNNNNNNNNNNNNNNNNNUAUAUAUAUAUAUAUAUAUAUAUAUAUGCUUAGGUUAUUCUAUUUUAUUUAAUUAUUGUGUGGAUGUAAGGAUGAAUAUAGACCAAUGGUUUUAGUUCUUUUAAGUAAUGAUUUACCUAUCUUUAUAUCAGGAGACACAUGUUUAAAUUAGGAAACACAUGUUUAAUUAAUGCAAAUUUCGGAUUUUAAGGGAUACUAAUUCUUUUAAUUUUGAAUUCUGAUUUUUUUUAAUUAAUUCAUUUUUAAUUCUAACAUAAUUUUUUAUUUUACUCGAAUUUAUUCUUUUAGAUUGCAAUUCUAUUAGAACAAUAUUCUAUGAAAAUUCCAUAAUAUAUUCUAAUAGAGUAUAUAUUUUGAUUGAAGUAACUUCUUGUAGAAAAACAAUAUUCUUGAAGAUUCAGUUGAAAUAUAACGUAAUCUUUAUAUAUUCAAACAUUGAAAUGUAAAUAUAGAUUCAUACAUCUUCUUACAGAGAGAGAGAGAGAGAGAGAGAGAGAGAGAACGACAGUGAGGUGUGAGGCACAGGAAGAAGAAAGAAAUAUGUGUUUUGUAUGGUCGGUUAGGUUUUUAAUUCUUAAACUAUCUUGCCUAAAUUAAAGGGAUUAAUUAAACAUUUAUUUAAUUAAUAAAAUUAAUUAAUAGAUAAAAUUAAAAAUUUACCUUAUUUAGGUUUUUAAAUGAUUGGCUCACAUUGAUUCCUACAUCAUCAUAAUAAUAGUUAGAAUACUUGAACCUAUCUCUCUCUCUCUCUCUCUCUCUCUCGCUAUAUAUANUCCCUAAUUUUAAAAAACCUCACGGAUGGUCCAUGUGGUUUCAAAACGUUUAAUAUUUAGUCCUUUCGGCUCACUCCGUUACCAUUUAGCAGUUAACUUGUUUCUCAACAUUAAAUUGCAGGGGCAAUUUUGUCGUUUCACUUUUAACCUUCACUCUUUAAAAGAAAGAUUGCAUGCUCGGUUUUUGUGCAAACCCUUUAUCUGUGAUCAUCAUCUGUCUUCUCCCUUCCACUGUUGGUCAACCGUUACACCCUUUACAAUAUCUAAUCGCUUCGCAUUCAAAGAUGGUGACUUGCUGAUGUAGGAAUGAAGCAAUGAAUAUCACUUCAUGGACGGAUCGUAACCUUGAAGGAAAUUUUGGAACUAUACAAGAUGUGGGUUCCUUCGAUGGUCUGACCCUCCUAUGUGUGUUAGGGCAUUAGUGGUGAUUCAUAAGAUAAAUGAAUCAAUUGGAAGAGAGGGUUGCUAUUACGAGUACAGAACUAUGGAACUACCAGCUGAUGUUGUUUUGUUCAUGAGUGUUCUUUUUUUGGUUUUAUUUUAAUCAGUAUGUAUCUCUUUUCGAAUGAAUAUCUAUUUUCGUAUUUAUUCAUUAUUCAGGGGUUGAUGAAAGAAACCAUAUAGUGUAUACCAGGUCAUGAAGGCUAUUAUUCAAAAUCUUAUGAGGCUUGGGACACAUACAGCAGCAUGCUUCUAGGGAUACUUAAGUAAGUCAUCAAAUAUAUCCCCAUAAACGAACGAACACACAAGAAAAUAAAAAUAAAAAAAUAUUUUUGGAGUUUUUGAGAUUUAUUAAAAAAAAAUAAAAUAAAAGAAAAUAAAAAGAAUAAAAAAAAUAAGUAAGAAAAAAAAUAAGACGUAAAAAAAAACUUUGGAAAAAAAACGAAAAACCGAACCCGAACGUUCGGUUGGUUUCGGUUGGGAAAAAGUUGAAAAACCGAACCCGAGCGUUCGGUUGAUUUUGCUUCCAGAAAAUUUUGAAAAACCGAACCCGAGCGUUCGGUUGGUUUNNNNNNNNNNNNNNNNNNNNNNNNNNNNNNNNNNNNNNNNNNNNNNNNNNNNNNNNNNNNNNNNNNNNNNNNNNNNNNNNNNNNNNNNNNNNNNNNNNNNGAGUGUUUACAAUGCUUUUUGGGAAAAAUAGGGUUGUCACAUUGCCUUAUAUAAUGAGGUGGACGAAUUCUAUGGGAAACCCAUUAAGAAAUCGUCCAAGGCUUUAAGGAAUGGAGUCCAUGGGUUGCUUAGGGCUUAAGCAACAAGUUUAGGGUUUCCUUGUUAGAUAACCCUAAUAGCUCCUAUAUAUAGAGAUUCCUUAUGACUAAAAAACAUGGCUAAGACUAAUUCUAGGGUUUCACACGUUUUAGGGCAGCCUUCAUCCUCUUGCUCUUGGUGUUUGUGAACCAUUAGAGGAGUGACAUUUGUGACUCUCAGCUUUCUAAAGUCAAUACAAGAAGGAAUUGGAUUGUUAUUGCUACAUAACAAUCAAGGUAAUAUCUUAAACCCAUUCUCAUGUUAAUAUGAUUACUUGUAUGCUAGAAUUAGGGUUUAUAGUCUUGGAUAAAAUUGCAUGUACAAUAGAGAAACCUAGAUCCAAGCAUUAGGGUUUGUAUGAGCACAUAGGAUGUUCUUAUGACCAAAACCCAUCAGUAACAGAGCCAUAAAUGAAAAGAUGAUGUCUCUCCAGUUCAAGGCGAGGGAACUAUACAGAUCGUAACUGCUAUUAAACACUAAUGUACUCGAAAGAUCCCUCGUGUAAAACCCUUUCUUCACCUCGUCAUCUUGUUCGUGAAAUCUACGAACUCCUUGAACCGCCUCAUCCAUAACACUCAUCUUGAAUCCCAUGAUUCACUACCUGAAAAAUACCUAGGUUCGUGGAGGCUUUACGAAUCAUCUCCAUCAUUGAUGCUCUAUGGGUCGAUUGAAGGUCUAUGACCGGAAUCUUGACAGCAGCGGUGGAUAUUUUGGGAAUGGUGUCCUGUGGGUGAAAGAAGAUGGCAGGGAUUUUCCGGAUUCUGGCAUCGAUGAGGGCUUUGACGCCGGUUUUUGUUUGGUCGAAAGCUUUGAGCUCCGAUUGUCGAUCGUAGCUUGAGCCGACUCAAGCAAUGGUGGCAGCCACUUUCGUGAAGAUGAUCGUGCUAUAUAUGUGAAGGUAUUCUCUAGAAAUGUGAGUGAGGAUCCUUGCAAUUGUGGCCUUAUGAAUGUAAAUUGUUUGAUUUCCUGUGAGAAAUGAAGCGAUAGAGAUCGAUCUACGGAGGAUGUGGGUCGUUCUUUGAGGGAUGAAAAAACCCUAGUUUCUUAGACUUUUUGAGUACGUGGUUUUCUAAUAGGAACACGAUAUUUAAUGAGAUCGAUAAGGAGGUCAAGAGUGGAGGAGAAGCGGAUCGGAGAGGAGAGAGAAGGAGGGAGAGGGGAGAAGAUGAAAGAUAGAAAGAAGGUAGAAGACGGGUUUUCAAAAUUUUGGGGAUUUCGUUUCCCCCUCUACUAAACGCGCGUUUUCAUUAAAAUUAUAAAGCGACAAGUAUAGAGGACGUGCCUUUAAAAUAAAGUGCCCUCCGUGUUUUUAAUUUCUUUUCAUGAGACACUAAUUUAAGGGCACACAAUAAUGCGUGACGUAAAUCAUUAAAUUUUUUUUGAAGAGAUGACACUUUUUUAAUGUCACUCUCUUUUGCGUAACAUAAAUCAAUGAGUGUCAUGGUUUACACGUCAUAAAAGGGUCUUUUUCUUGUAGUGAACCUAAAUAUUGAACAAUUUUAUACAAUUACUAUUUUGACUUUCAAUUAUAUUUGAGCCUCAUAUUCAAAUUUUCAUUUCCUAAUGCUUAACAUCUCUUAUUAAGGUAUUCAAAUUUUGUCUAGUUGCUAAAAGAGACUAAUGCAUUUAUGAUAUCUUAGAAUUAAUCAUAACCAAACUAUAUAAGGUCCAAUUUAUUCAGUUCGGUUUAGCAAUUGAACAGAAUAAAACUUUGCAUGUAAAAAUAAAUAUUAAACUAAAAAAAAGCUUACUAAACUUUUUACCAAAUGAAAAAGAUACACUAAUACAUAACAUAUAUAACAUAUAUUGUCUUGUUUUGAAGUUAUAAAAUUCCUUUAAACGAUCAACAAUGUUGAUGCAACAUUUUUUUCAACAAUUGUUGACCACCCAUGUGAUAUUACCGUUUUAACCUCUUCUAAAAUUCUAACUUCCCUAAGAAGCAUGGUCAAACAUGUCUCCCUCUCUUCAACUUCAACGUCACUAGAAGAGCUAAAAUUAAUAUAAGGAUUAUUAGGCUUAAUGAGUUGUACCUUGAGCAUGAUUUUUUUUUAAACUAAAUUAGCCACCCCGUCCCCUGAAUGGCUGAAUCAACUAGCUUCCCAUCUUCUUCACCCACAAUGCUUUUGGUCGACUUUUUUUUUUUUUUUGGCUACCACAGACUUUCGGCAGCAAGAUCUUCUGAUGCACUCGAUUUCGGAUUAGAAACCAUCCACGACUUCAUCAGCAUUGUUUUGUAGCCCAAUUUCUCUAUUUCUUUCCUUUUAUUCUUGAACACCAUUGCAGGUUAGUAUCUCUAGUCGGUGUCAUUUGAAUGAAAAGAAAGAAUUAUCUUUAUAUGGUCGGUCCGCCUUCCAAUUGUUUGAUGAAAUGUCUGAAAGAAGUGAACAUUGAUUCAAGAAUUUGAUUGCUAAGAACAAAUCUGUUUCAUGUGUUUUAUCUUAAUUUCUAAUUCUUCAUUUUUCUUCUGACCUCACUGUUUCAUUUUUCUUAUUGUUUUUCGAAAUUGAUUCUGCCCAACUACAUAUCAGUCUUCUGUUGCGCUCCCAUUGAUACCAUUUGAGAACAUCUUUUUCAAAAUACUUCAUCGCAACCUCCAAACUUUCAUGAUUGGACAAUCAAUUUAGGGGAAAAUAUUGAUCAACUUUUAAAUCCAAGAGCCAUCAAAGAUAGAUGUCUCUAAUUGUUUACCUAUGAUAUUAGAAAUUGAUUUUCGUUCUUGAACUGCCCUCUGUUUCUUGAUCUUUAUCCAUCUUCAAAUGUUGAUCUAUUUCUUUUAUUUGAUUCUGCUUGUUGAAAUAGCACAACUGACAUAUUUUGAUCUCUGUAGUGUUUUUUGUUUGUUUGAACAGAUGCUUAGAGCAAAUCUCGAUAGCACCAUCAUCUUCUUCCUUUUCUCUUCCAUAUUUUGUUUUUGCUGAUAAUUUUUUUUAGAUACCAAGGCUUUGUUUCACUCUUUUAGGCUUUAUUCCUUUUUUCAUCUUUAUCCAUCUUCAAAUGUCGAUCAACCUCUUUUAGGCUGUGUGACUAUAAGUAUCAUACACACUCUACGUGUGUAUGUGUCUCUGGCUGUGUGUUAUCUGCACCAGAACCUAAACAAAUCAGGUAACCAUCAGCGGCUAAAGAAACUUGGAUGCACUGCUGUUAGUUAUAUCAAAACAUAUACUUUAUUUUUUGUUUAAGAGGCUUAUUAUAUGAAGAUGAUGUUUGUAUUUUAUUCGUCUAAUUCUAAUAGAGUGGUUUGAUAUGUAAUUAAUAGGUAAAGCUGUGACCAAAACAAUUACUUAACAAGUGACAUUACUAGCAAAAGAUGAAGAUGAAAGUACAUACAUGGGGUAGUGUUCAGCGGCCUGUGUAUGUGUGUGUUUUAGGAAAAAAAAAACUAUUUAUUUUUUAAUAAAACAUUGUAUUUUGAAAUAUUUUCUCAUAUGUAUAGAUUUUUCAAAGUACAUUGCCUUUAGAAAUGUAACUGUUACUUUAACUGGUAUGCCAUGCAUGUGGAUCGAGUUUUCAAGUAGAAACAUGAUUAUUAAAGUCCAUGAGCAGAAUUUUUUCUACAGCAAAUGAUUAAGAUAUUAAAAAAAUGGUCCCUACCCAAUAGAAAAUUUAAAAAUUAUGCCCUAUGCAAAAUGGACAUUGGAACUUAUGAGUUUUGCAACGCCAGUUGGAAAUUACCGGUCAUAAUUGUAUUUUUAAUGGUCAAACUCAAACGUGUACAAAAAGUUGACUGAAUAUGAACAAAUGUGAUAAAUAGUUAUCCUCAUAAGUCAUUUUCUCUUUUUAUUAUACACCUAACGGUUAUUAGUACAAAAAAAAAAAAAAGAACUUUCUUAAAUAUAAAUAGAAAUAUUAACUCUUCAUGAUGCCUUAUCUCACAAAACACUGGGAAAUGGCCACCCUUGGUGUUGGUGGCAAUUUUAUUGAUAACUGGGACUUAAAAACCCAUGCCAAAUACAAAAAUGAAACAUGGUUUUACAUGACUAUCUAUGUUCUUCUUUUUUUCAAAUUUGCAAUGAACACCACAACCUUCACAUAAACCCAAUCUUCGAAGCUAUCAAGAAACAUAAAAAAAGCAAAUCUUCCACGACGGUUGAGAAGCAAAGCACCACAUGCUAUCCAAAAUCCAACAGUGAAACCAAUGGCCCCACCAAUAUAGAACCAACCUUGAAGUUCGUCUAUACCUUCACCCUCACUUUCACCAAUGAUGUGUUGUAUUCCUGAUUGUUCAUCUCCAGAACAUUUUUUGGUAAGGGGAGGUCCGCAUAGCCCUAAGUUCCCUUCGUAUCUUGAAGGAUCAAAGGACUGAAGUUGUGUGCUGGAUGGGAUUCUCCCUGACAAGUUAUUAAAUGACACGUCUAGGUCAUUCAGUAAACUCAUCUGAGACAUGGUUGAUGGUAUUUCUCCUGAAAACUUGUUUCUAGAUAAAUCCAAAGUUAAAAGAUUUUUCAUCUCACUGAUGUUCCAUGGAAUCUUUCCAAAAAGAGCAUUCAUUGACAAGUUCAGUGCAAUCAGUUGAUCAAGAUUAGUGAUCUGAUAUGGGAUUUCCCCUGUUAAGUUGUUGCUUGAGAGGUCGAUGCUCCUCAACAACUUCAUAUUACUUCUGAUGAAUUCACGUUCACUUCCUUGCCACUGGAUCAUCACAUGGUCAACAUUAUAAGAAUAUCUUAUUAAUGGAUUGUUAGGAUCUAAAUUCUGUAGUUGAGAGAAUCCUUGUUGCACCAUGAUCGUAAGAUUACUCAAACAUGAGGGGAUUCUUCCAUGGAAAUGGUUCACUGACAAGUCUAGAAUUUGAAGACUUGCUAAUUGACAUAAUUGUAAAGGGAUGCUUCCAGAGAAGUUGUUUGAUCUUAAUGUAAGAACAUACAACCCAGAUAAGCUUUCCCCGAUCCAAACAGGCAAAUUACCAGAAAACUUGUUGGCCCCCAAAUUCAAUGACUUUAAGCUUGUGCAAUUCUUAACGGACAAAGGAAAUUCUUCAGAGAAAUUGUUCUUGUAUAAAUCCAAUGCCUCUAGGUUAAUCAUAGAUCCAAGAGAGGCAGGAAGCCUUCCAGAAAGAUUAUUGUGUUCUAAAUUAAACAUUUGUAGUUCUUUGAAAUGCCACAAACAGUCUGGAAGUUGUCCGCUUAGAAAGUUAUGGGAGAGGUCAAGAAUAACUAAAAAGCCAUGGACAACCUGGCAUAAGAAGGAGAUUCCUCCAGAAAAUUUGUUUCUGGAAAGAUUUAGUAAUGCCACAGUGGAAGAGACAUUAGUUAUUGGACCAUCAAAGCGGUUGGAGCUUAAAUCUAUCACUGAAUUGCUGUCAAAAUUUGAUGACAGAUCUGGUACUUUCCCACUUAUGUUGUUGGAAGAAAGAUUCAGGAAUGUCAACCGGGAAGGCCAUGAGUCCCAAAACUCGAGAGGAAUAGUAUCUGAAAUACCAUUAUUUGCAAUAUCAAGACUGGUAAGAUUUUUCAACUCUUGAAUCCAUUUGGGGAAGUGAGGCCCUAGCUUGCAAGAGCUUAGUUGAAUAGAUUCUAUAUGAGAACGGUUUGACAUGUAAUCUGAGGAAGGAAAUCCAUGGAGUGAGCUUUCGGAAAGAUCAAGAAUUUUAAGGUUGGGCAGUUCCCACAGUUUCUUACUUAUAGUUCCUUUUAACUGAUUCUCAUAGAGGAUCAGAUGUGUUAGGGAUGUAAACUUUUGGAUGUCAUCAGGCAAUGACCCUGUAAAUUGGCUUCCUGAAGCAGACAACCGUUGUAAUGAAAGCGAUGUGCAUCCAGACAAGUUGUUGAGAAAAUCAGGAAAUUUGAUAACACCAAAGUUGUUAUAGAAGUAAAAAUGUUCCAAACUACAGAGGUUACCAAGAUAUUUGGGUAUCCCAUCUAACAUGUUUCUGGAGAGAUCAAGGAUGUGAAGCUUAUUGCUGGUCAAUGGGAACAACCAACGAUACAUGGAUGAGGUGAGACUGUUGUUUCUAAGAGAAAGGUCUACAAUAGAUGAGGAAGAAGAAGAGUUGAGAAAUGAAGAAGAAUAUGGAUACAUGACCUGUGACAGCUCACAUCCAUCUAAACUUAAAAGCCAGAGUUUCGGGAGACUGAGAAUAACAUCUACCCAAUGAUUUGUUUUGGCCAGUGAAAUCCCAUCCAUUUCAAGUACCUCCAAAUGAGAUAGAGGAGACAACCACUCAAGGUUCUCAAGUCUACACAUUCCAGCAUAUGAAAGGGAAAGCAAUUCCAAGUUGGUGAGGUUUCCCAACUCUGGAGGAAUGGUUCCAUAAAGAGAAUUAGAUGAAAGGUCAAGGUAUUUUAAUUCUGUCAAGGAACCAAUGGACCUGGGAAUGGUUCCAUUAAGAUUAUUGCCGCCAAGGUCAAGGUACCUUAAUUGAGUCAACGAACCAAUGAUCGUGGGAAUGGUUCCAUUAAGAUUAUUGCCGCCAAGGUCAAGGUACCUUAAUUGAGUCAACGAACCAAUGAUCGUGGGAAUGGUUCCAUUAAGAUUAUUAUAGCCAAGGUAAAGGGACCUUAAUCGAGUCAAGGAACCAAUGGACCUGGGAAUGGGUCCAUUAAGAUUAUUGCCGCCAAGGUCAAGGUGCCUUAAUUGAGUCAACGAACCAAUGAUUACAGGAAUGUUUCCAUGAAAAGAAUUGUAGUGAAGAUCAAGAUGAUUCAAGUAGGUUAAGUUAACCAAUGAAUGGCUAAUCUCACCUACAAGACCAAAGAGCAUCAGAUCAAGAUCUGUGACAUGACCUGUUUGGUUGUUGCACGUUACUCCACUCCAUUCACAGCAGUUGUCUUGUUCAGCUGUCCACAUAGAGAGGCGAUCAGAAGGGUCUUGAAGGAGAGAUUUGAAAUGAAGGAGAGCGUCUUUCUCCUUCUCAAAACACCUGUUCACACCGCCAUUAUCAUCUCCUCCCUCCACUGCUGCCAAUUGGUUGGCACUUGUAGUCUCAAGACAUAGCAAGAGAAGUGAGAAUAUUAUAACAACACAAGGAUGCAUGAUGUAAAAUUGUAAAUGCAAAUCUUAAUUGGUGAUUUUUUUUUUGUUUGUAUUGAUGAAAAUUUGAAGAUGCCCCAUGCAGCUUUAUAUAGUGCUGCCAACUGUGAAAAUGAAGGAUUCAAGUGGAUGGCCUCAAACUGCACAACUAUUUGUUGGUCAUUUAUUAAAAAUUAAGAUAAAAUAUUAACCAGCCAAGUGAAAUUACAAUGCAUAAAAUAUUAGUGUAAAUUACACAGAAAUAGAAUGGUUCAAGUAAAGACAAUAAUUCUCGUGAGAACGCGUAGGAACAAAAUUCUUUUUUUCCUCUUUUUUCAUCAAUAUGGAAACAUAUUUUAAGGCUAAAAAAUAAUAAAUUCUGGUGUUCUUUAAUAAAGUAAAACAAUAUAUAAUAAAAAAUCAACACCAUUCAUCAACGAAUACAGUUUUAGAAAAAUAUAUAUAUUUUUUAUUUUGGUAUGGAUGUUUAAUUGUAAGGCCUAAAAAAUAGAGAUUUUCGUAUAUUUGUUAAAAAUAAAUAAUUAACAUUCGAUCAUCUGUGAAAACAACAUACUCAUCAAUGAAAUAAAGUGCUAUAAAACACUUCCUAUAUCAAUAUAAAUGUCUAUUUUUACGUCAUAAAAAGAUAUUUUGGUAUACUUGUUUUUUUUUCGGAAAAGAUAAAAAUAAUUAAGCAAAUUCAUCAAUGAAAACACCAUAUUCGUCAAUGAACAAACUGUUAAUAAAGACUUUGUAUAUCAAUUUGAUUAUCUAAUUGUAUAAUCUACAAAUAUAUAAAUUUGGGUAUUUUUGUUUUUAUUUUUUGGUAAAGCUUGGCGGCACAUACAAGCCUUGAAGUCAUGGCGCGCCAUGGCGGAGCCAUGACGAGCUUUUUAGAACCUUGAUAUAUAUAUACAAACAAACAUAUUUUAUAAAGUAUAAAUUCACUUNNNNNNNNNNNNNNNNNNNNNNNNNNNNNNNNNNNNNNNNNNNNNNNNNNNNNNNNNNNNNNNNNNNNNNNNNNNNNNNUAUAUAUAUAUAUAUUCUUAAAAAAUAAAAGAUAACAAAAGAUAGGCAUAUUCAUCAACAAUGGUUUAUUAUUUCUCAUUUUUAGAAACAAACUAUAAGAAAAAUUAGAAAAGAAGAAUUGAAAUAAGUUGCCCCAAAUCAAUCGUUCAAAGACUUAUACAUCAUGCGGGCCAUAAAAUCCUUAUUUUCCUUUGAAAUAGAAUCAUUUUAUAAGGCAGAUUAGAAAAAGAAAAAUUGAAAUAAAUUGCCCCAAAUCAUACGAUUCAAAAGCUUAUACAUCAUGUGGAGCAUUAAAGAUGAAGAAUUGAAAUGAAUAGCCCCAUAUUAGACGUUCAAAGGCGUAUAUCUUAUCUGGAGUAUACAAAACUUAAUUCCCAUCGCAUCAUAAUAACCAAACUAUAAGACAAAUUCGACAUGAAGAAUUGAAAUAAUUUGCCCCAAAUUAGACGUUCAAAGACUUCCAGGCUUUGGAAAUUUGUAUUUUUUCAUUUUGUGAUAUCUUUUGGUCCUCAUGUUAACUCAAAGUGGAAAGAAAAAUAAUAAUAAAUAAAUAAUCAGCCUCUACGGGCCUAAGUGCUGAGUGAUAAAUGAUGGGUCUUCAGAGAAUGUUUUUGGAUAAAAUUAGACUAAUUGUUUUUGUAUUUUGCAAAGAAUAAACCGUUCAAAUAAGAGCAAAUGGCCAUUUUACCCUUGUAUCUAAAAGUGAUGUAGAAUUAGAAUAGCAAAUUGUUGUUUGUUUGAGAACUAUUGUAAUUUGAAACUAAAAAUCAAUGUGAUGCGACCAUGAGACUUGUAUAUGUUUGUGAAAAACUACCAUAACUGUCUUGGUCUUGUAGUUUUUAAAGAAGUUGAGACACGAUGAACGCAACAUGCAUGCUGUAGAAGACCUUUAUCAAAGCAAACUUGCAGUGUAAUCUUACCAUUUGUCAACAUAAUUUGGAAAUAUCAUAUGAAUUCUUUCCCUACAGAUAGAGCAAAACCCUUUUUAAAGGAUCGUUUCCCCAAAACAACAAAUCAGAAUGCAAACGAGUGGUUAUAUUCACAAACAUUGAAUUAAACCCCAAUUUAACAAGAAUUUAUGCAUCUCGUCUUCCUUUUCAGUUAUUAAACAACUUCCAUUUAUGUCUAAUUGACACAAUUCUUCCAAUCCUAUGCAGAUUUACUAUCCUAAACAGAUAUGUGAUACCAUUUAUAAAAGUUCCAACUUACAACAUAAACAUAAACCCAUAAACAACUCCAAUUUAAGGAAUCUAUUAUAAAAUUGUCAAUUUAAGCAAAAAGGCACCGUUUAACGUCAAAACUGAAAUUUUUUAAAGAAACAGAGAAACAUUAUUAACAGAAAUGGGAGAACAGAGAAUGGAGAAGAAGAAAAAUCGAGAUUGAGAGAACAAAAAAGAGAAUAUAGAUAUCGAGAAUGAGUACUUGAGAUGAUCCAACAACUUUCCUGAUGGAAGACCGAGAGAGGAACGACGAAGACAUCUUGGGAAAGUGAUGGAAGAUGGAGAAAAGUAGACGAAGCAAAGGCUGUAAAACCUAAAAAGAAAAGUAGGUUAAAGGACGAGGGUGAACGAGUAAAAAUCGAACAAAACCAAACCCACAGACCAAAAAAUCAAUAAAAACCAAUAAAAUCAAAAAACCAAAAAACUGAACCCAAAAUACUUUGAGUUUUUAAAAAAAUAAAAUAUUGGGUUUGGUUUCACUUUUAAAAAAUAUAAAAACUAACAAAAACUCAAGGUAUGAAAUAUAUUUAUUCACUGAAUUAUAUGGUAUUUAUUUAUUUAUUGUGUGAGAGAUAAUAAUAGGGAUGAACAUUUGGACCAGAAAACGAAAACGGGCCUGAACCGGAUAGAACCAAUCGGGCCGGGACCGGAACGAUAUUCUUGUGCAUUUUUAGAACCAGAACCGGUAGGAACCGGUCAUUGGAGUCGGCCCAAAACCGGGAACCGGACUGGAUUAAAUAUAACUCAUGUCUGCUGAACUUCCAAUAGUUCUUGGAGGCCUUAAAAAACGAUCGGUCCAUAGUAAGUAAACGUACGGCUACACAAACAAAGCAUAUCAUAUUAAAAAAAAUCCUGCUUGAACCCUAGCGACAACUUGUGUAACGCCCCAUUUCUAGUAUGUAAAUUAAAUAUAGUAUUUUCCCUUUCUUAAGAGGAACUCGACGAGUCAGUAGCCCGACUCGUCGAGUAGAGACGGGAUUUGCACGCGUUUUGAGUGAGCAACUCGACGAGUUCGUAUCCCGAACUCGGCGAGUCCUCCAGGAUGAAACCCUAAAUCCCAGGAUUUGUACCCUAUUUAAAUGUCAUUAUAGCCUCCCACCCCAGCCUCCAACACCUCUAGAGCAUUUCUCUGUAAACCCUACUCCCCAUUGUUGAGCUUGAGUGUUUUUUGCUAGCUUGGAAGUUGUAGAAGAGAAGGGAGGAAAGAAGGCCAAUAGAAGAGAAAGGAGAUCCAGAAUCUAACUUCCAUUUGCUACACAUUCUGGUAAUAAAGUUAUUACCUUGCUUAUUCUUCCAUUAAACCAUAUUUUUAUGCUUGUUUAUGGUUCUCUUGGAACUUUAUAUGAUUCAAACUCGAGAAUUGAACUCUCCUUAGGAUGGAGACCAUAGAUCUGGAUGUUAUUGAGCUUUAGGAGCUCAAUGUAGCUACCUUUAUGAAAGUAUAGCCUUGUUCCAAACUCUAAGUGCUUAUUGUUGGAUGAUUUUGGUGUUUUAGUCCCAUUCUCGUGUGCAUGCACGUAAAGUUGGAAACUUUACGUCUAAAACCAGCCCUGGAAGCCCAAAUAUAUGAAUUGGAUGCAAUAAAAUUGACUAGAAUCGACUAUAUAGUAAUGGCAUGCAUGGAACUCGACUAGUUGUUCAUACAACUCGUCGAGUCAUAGUCUGGACGUGUUCAUAUGAUGAAGGGGAACUCGACGAGUUGUUCAUACAACUCGGCGAGUCGAAUGAAGUUAGACUCGAUGUUAGUAUCAAAGAAGAACUCAUCGAGUUUUUGCCAAACUCGACGAGUUGAAGCAGUUAGAGGAUUAGAAAGGAUGUUAGGGACUUGGCGAGUUGGAGGCCCAACUCGACGAGUCCAGUCAACUAAAAGUUGACUUUGACCAAAAAAUUGACUAUGAACAGGGGUAAAAAUAGUCAUUUUACCCUAAGAGUAGUUAUCGGUAUCUGAUUUAGUGUUUAUGGGAUUUGUAGUCGGGGAGUUCCGGAGCAGCAAUCAGCCAGUUUCAGAUUUAGCAUCUCAGCAGCCAGCGCUACGAGGUGAGUUUCCUUCCAGUAGGAACGGGUCUACGACCAUAAUGUCGGCCCGUUUAGUUAGCAGUAGUUCCGUACUUCGGUCCGAUGCAGUAGUUUGGUGUGCUUGAUGUCUUUGUGAUUCAAACAUUUCUUUGUGUUAUGUGUUAUGAACUUCGGUUCGAUGCAGUAUGUAGUAUAUGUGUUUAUGCUAGUAGAUAUGAUUAUGAUAUGCUAUGUUCAGUAAGUUUCCGGACUUCGGUAUGAUGCAGUUUCCGGACUUCGGUCCGAUGCAGAGGGCAAGGCCCUGGUUAGUUCCGGACUUCAGUCCGAUGCAGUUUCCGGAAUUCGGUCUGAUGCAGAGGGCAAGGCCUUGGUUAGUUCCGGACUUCGGUUCGAUGUUGUUUCCGAACUUCGGUCCGAUGUAGUGGGCAAGGCCCAAUACGUGUUUAUAUGUUAUUGUAUGGUAUGUGGUAGCUUGGGGGAGCUCACUAAGCCUCGUGCUUAUAGUUUCAGUUUUGGUUUUAGGUACUUCAGCUGACAGGGGGAAGGGCUCGGGAUGAUGGCAUGGCACACACCACAGUUUAGCCUGGGAGAUUGACUCUGAUAUUUUGAUAUCAUCUUGACACUAGUUUUGAUUUGAUAGUUUAUUAUGACAUCUGAUAUACAUGAUUUUUGGUUUUUAUCUUUUGAUAUUUGAUAUUAUGGUUUAGCAAUGUUUUUUAAACAAAAAUUUUUAGGUUGUAUUUUUGGGAUGUUUCAACUUCAAAACGCAUGACUAAACCAAUAUCAAAGAAAAAAUUAAGUAGGUUGUUCAUGUUGGACUUCGAUUGUUCGAUCAUCAAUUCAUCAUCAUCUUAAAUCGACAUAUCCACAUCUUGAUUCCAUCCACAUAUGCUCUUAAUCUUAAAUCAACAUUUAUUAUCCACAAAUCCACCAUCAUUGAUCUAGUUCUUAAUUCGUAACCAUCAAUAGGCAAUGCCAAAAGGUGAAAAAAGUAGUCUACAACCAUCAACUUCUCAACAAUCAGCUUAAAAUAAUUCGAUAUAUAGAUGCUCAUGAAGAUCAAGUAAGAUUAUAUAUUUGUAUUUCAUGUUUUAAGUUCCAUUUAACAACGUAGUUUGUAGUUUAUUGAUAGUUGAUUUUAUUUACUUCUUUUUAUAGUUUAUUUUAACAUAUUUCAUCCAUAAUUUAGUUAAUUUCCAUGCAUAUUUUCCUUUUUGUUAUUUUUUGUCCAUUUCGGGUACUUUCUAGUUUUGUGAGCUUAAUUGCAGAUUUUAAGAAGAUUAGCGGAGUGGGAUCUUUAGGAAGCGAUUGGACUUAGAGGAAGUCAAGGAUCUUGGGCUUUAUAAUAAUGGAGUUAAUGCAUGGAGUGGGCUUGAUGAUUAUUUGAAGGCUUGGAGAAAAUGAAGUUUGAAUUUGCAAGAUGCGGGAGAAUAUUCAAGCGUGCGUAGAUCAUUAAUCGGGCGAGUUCACGAGCUUUGGAGGAUUUGGAGAAGUCAAAUUGGGCUUAAAAUGAAGAAAACAUGAAGAAAAAUGGGCUAGGAGUUGAUUGGAUACGAACUAGGCCAAGUGAGCUAAGCUAUGGAGGCCCAAACCUCAAAGAUGCUACGUCCAGGGACCACGCGCGCAACAGUAUGCGGGUCACGCAACCCCUUGCAGGGGCAAUUCCGGAAAUUCUUCUUUUGAGCUAUAUGGGGAAGGUUGGUGUGCCACUUUUUCAAAACUCUUAGACAUCCGAAUUUGGAGCAUUCUCUCUGGAGUUUUGAAGAUUUUUGAAGGCCAAGAACACCUCAAGAACAUCAUCUUUUCACCUCUUGAUUCUUGUUUAAUGUUUGGUACAAUAUUCUCUAACUUUAUUUCUUUGAGUUUAGUCAUGCUUGGCUAAACUAAUCUUGGUUGACUUUUGUUGAAUCCUUUGAACUUUUGUUGAAUGUUGAAGGAUCCAUGAACAUGUUCUUAAAUCUUUAUGGGAAUGUUUUGUGUUUUUUAACAUCUUAUCACUACUUAUAUGUUUUUAUUCAUGAGUUUAAAUGUGUUUGUGGUGAUUAGUUGGCUAAUUUCUUGAUUAAGUAAAGGAUCCUCAAAUUAGCAAGCAACAAAUGAUUUUUGUGUUGUUUUUGCUUCACACAAUCAUAAAAACAUUUUCUCCAACAUGGUAGCAAAAGCAUUCGACUCCACUUGGAUUUGGUGACUUUUUGGUUCUUAAUGCUAGUUGACUUUCACUAAUUACAUGCUUAAUGGAAAUUGUGACUUUAACUAAGGAAAUUGUUAUGAGAGUCUCUAACCAUUUUAACAACUAAGAAAAGUGUAGGUAAUCUCAAGCUGCUUGGAUUACUAUAUCCAAAUUAAGGAUUUAAAACAAGUAUUGCACCAUUGGAUUCUAAUGAUAUGUUCAUCAAAAGUCAAAGUGAGGAAACCUUAAGUCAACCAUCUUCCCCUUAUUGAUUUUACAUCAAACUUGUAUUUUUGUUGAAAUUGUUUAUUUAAAUCUUAGUUUAAUUCUAGUUUAUUUCAAGUAUUUCAAAAGACCAAUCCCCCCAUUUUUAAUUUAUUGUUAUUUUACAAGUAUUUUUACAAAGAGAUAUUUCGUAGAGUUAUAAAAUUGAACCAAUCUCCGUGGAUCGACCACUAUACACUAUUUUAGUGUAAAAGAUUUAGGGUUAUUUAUUUUUGUUGGUCUCGACAACCACCAUUUAUAGACAUACAUGCAAGAUUUUUGUUAGAUUAGUUUGUAGUAUGAAUGUAUGAUUGUCAAAACUAAGAAUUUGUUUAGUAAUAUAAUUAAUGUAUGAUAUUGACAAUGUAGGAUUUGAAUGGGUUACCAAAUAUACCAUCAUCAAGAUACCGAAAAUCGGAUGUUCAUGAUGCUAAUAAUCAAGAUGACAUUCUGACUAAUUGGAUUGGAAAAGACUUUGAUGACCAAGUAAGAAUUGUACUUUUUUUUUGUUUCAACAAUAAAUCGUAAUAUGACUUUUUCUUAAAAUGUUUAUAUCUCAUGAAUUUGAAGUGGGUUUGACAUUAUUAUUUUUCUUACAUGUUAUUUAGGUUUUAUAGAUAACUUUAGACUAUAAAAUCUCUUGAUUUGGUUAAAAAUUGAAUGAGUUACAAGCUCCACAAGGAAGCAUAUGAAAUCAGAUUUUUUUUCUAUUUCAACUUUAAAACGUAAUCUGACUUUUUCUUAAAAUGUUCAUAUCUCACUCAUUUGAAGUGGGAUUGAGAUGAUUCUUUUUUCUACAUGUUAUUCACGUUUUGUAGCUAAUUUUAGAUGAUAAAAACACUUGAUUCGGUAAAAAUUGAAUGAGUUACAAACUCCGCAAGGAAGCAUAUCAAGUUAGAUUUUUUUUUAAUUUUGUUUCAACACUAAAACAUAAUCUGACUUUUUGUUAAAAUAUGCAUAUCUCACUCAUUUUAAGUUGGAUUGACAUGAUUUUUUUCCUACAUGUUUAGGUUUUGUAGCUAAUUUUACACUAUAAAAACUCUUGAUUUGGUUAAAAAUUGAAUGACUUACAAAGCCCGCACGAAAGCAUAUCAAAUCUGACUUUUAUUGUUUCAGCACCAUUUAACAAUGUAGUAAUUUUAUGUUUUAUUUUGAGAAUAUAGGAUUAUGAAGAAGAUACAGAAGAAGUUUAUAUAGAAGAAACAGUGACAUGCCAUGUUAUGCUAAGUGACGAAUCAGAGCAAGAACAGGGGCAUAAGAACAACAACCAUAAAAAAACCAAAAUUUGCAAUCCAGUAGAAACGAAGACAACAACAACAAAACAGCACAAGCAAAAAAUUAAACACCACUACCAAAAAAGCGAACAUGACAAAAAUAUCAAACAACACCAAAACCCAACAACAAAAAAAUUUCUCAAAAGGAGUUAAGGGACCAGAUUAACCCAACCAGGCGAUGUGAGGGUAAAGGUAAUUGUACCGCUCCUAUUUGGGAUUACUUCGAGAUAGAAUGGAUAAAGGCUGAAGAUGGAAUUGAAAGAAAGUGGGACAAAUGUAAUUAUUGUUUAAAAUUACUUGCCGCAGAUGCAGAUCAGAAUGGGACAACUUCAAUAAACAAACAUUUUAAUGGCUGCAAGUAAAAGGAACAUACGUAAAUUAUAACAAUAGUCUCUAAAAUUAGCAAAUUAGGAAUGAUCUUUAUGGUUUGGAAUUUGCAUCGAUUGGUUUCUAAGUCUAUUUUUUCUAUUUUUUCCAAUUAGAAAGUUCUUAUACUUUGAUGUUGUUUUGAAUUUGGUCCCUAAUCAAUGUAAAAAGACAAAAAAUAAUUAAAAAACAUUUUCAUUGUUCCUUUUGUCUUUAAAUUGCUAUCAAAAUGCUUUAAAAUUUUAGACAAUUGCUAUCAAAAUACAAAAUAUACUCUCAAAAUGUAUUAAAUUUUAGUCAAAUGUUGUACAUUCUAGAAAAAAAAAUGGAAGAGGCUUAUAUAUUCUUUACAAUUAUACAUACAUGAAAACGAAUAUAUACUUGAAAAAAUAGUUUUAAAGAAUAUAUAAAAAGAAAGCUAUAAAAAAUUAACGAAAAAAUAUUAAAAAAAUUGAACCAAAACUCUUAUAAAAAGAAAGAUACAUAAUAAAAAAUACAUAAUAGAUCACAAAUGACUUGGAAGGGUAACCAAUUAUAUACUUUGUAUAUAUUUCUGACAUUCCUUACCUCCAGCCACACUUUUAAUCUGGGUUUUUUUUGGAGGAAUCGAACACAACAAAAUCAGAAAAUGAACUCAUAGAACACAACCAACUCUGUGUUCUUGGUGUUUGUGUGUGAAAAUUCAAAUAUUAAAAAGGAAGAUAAAACUGUUUGAGGUUUUAUUCCUGAAAUUGAAGCUGAUGAAGACAAACACAUGAAAGUCCUAAGGUUUUUCUGGUUCAAUUUGCUCCAGAUUUCGGUAAAGAACCCUAACACCUCGUUCCCUAGUGUCAUUUAACGAGGGAAGUUGAGAGAAAAGGAGGGAAUCUGAGAGAAAGAGGAGUACGAUCGUGUUCCCAAGUUAUUUUAUUGGGAUGAUUUGGGCACAAAAGAAAGGAAAUCAGAGGAUAAUCUUCCCUCCUAAUCUUCCUCCCAAAUUGGAGAGAUUUGGAGAGAAGAGAAUCAAGGAUAAAGAUUAGAACACACGGUUUUUUUAACCUAUCUAUAUAAUCACGUACAUACACACAGAGAAAAAAAAUCAUCCUGCAUCUUCUCUUUGGAAGUCCGCUGCAGCUUCAAUCCUCCAUCAGGUUACACUGUCUUCUCCAAUGAAUUUUUUGGUUGUUAAAUCUUGUUCAUCAGGUUACACUUAUGUUACAACCUUUUUUUUCUGGUUCAUAUAAUAUGUUUACUGUUCAUUAUUGUUCUUAUAUGUUUCAGAUCACAUUACCUGUGAUAAUAUGUUCUUAUAGUUUGUUUCUUCUCAUUUUUUGUUAUUAAAGUUGAAUUGAUUCAUUAGGUUAUUUGUAAUAAUAUGUUUAGAACACCAGUACAUGUUUCCUCUUAUGAUAUUAUGUUUAGAGCAUCAAUACAAGUAUCCUCAAGUUCAAUAUAUGUUUACAAUUUUUUUUUUCUGAAUUUGUUUCUUCUUCAAGAUCCAUUGAUCCGAUCCUCAUACACACUCAUUCUGACGACCAAGGGAUGUAUAACAUGUCAACAACAUUUUGUGAUAGUUCCUUUCAAUAGCAAGUACCUGCAUUAACUAUUACUCAAUGCAAUUCUCAAAGUAUCUCUUGUUGGACUAUUUUGCCCUUGCUUUUAUUUUGGAUGUAUGGCUGUUUUUGCUGCAAAAAAAUAAACACAAAAUUUUCUAUUGAUUUUUAUAGAGUGUUAUGAAUAGGUGGGUCAAUUACACGUUUAAAGAUGAAAAUAAUAAAGCUUUUUGUUGGCCUAAACGAUGACAUAAUUGAAACUAUAAAAAACUUAUCAAAGUUUACAUACAAGUAUUGCAAAAUAUUUGAUUAAAAUAACCAACACUCAUAUAAACCGGAUACAACCCAAGUCAAAAAUUCAUGCCUACCAAAGGAACUAUGAGUAAAUUUUUAUUUACUUUAACUUUUCAAAAAGCUAAGGUGAUUCCUCAAAUUUUUCAAAGGUGGUUCCUAAGUUUUUUUCUACAAUAAUUAUAAAUAAUUUUAAAAAUUAAGGUGGGUUAGAUGACCCAUGUAAGCCCUUCUUAAAUUUUCCAUUGCCACUUAAUAAUCCUUCACAUUUUUUACGUAAAAUAGGUCACAUUGAUUUCAAUGGAUAUUGACCUUCCUUCACCCGCUCAUAUUUUGAAAUCAAGACAAAUGCAAGUUGUUCAUCUAAUUUGCUUGUUGAUUGCUAUUCUGGUACAACACAAACUUACCAUCAAGAAUGGUCCUAAUUUACCUACUAGAGAAACUCUUUUAAAACGUCGACGUGUACGGGAAGAGUUGUUACAUAACCUUUCAAAUGGUGGUCAAUGUCGUCAGCUUAUCCGUAUGAGUGAGCAAGCUUUUAAGAAGCUUUAUGUUAUCUUACGACGUGAUGGUGGUCUUCGACCUACUCAACGAAUGUCUGUUGAAGAGCAUGUUGCAAGAUUUUUGCACAUUAUAGGUAAUGAUUUGAGAGACACAUUUGUCUCUUGGAUGUAUCGGCGCUCGAAAUCCACAACGAGUAGGUGUUUCCAUAGAGUUUUGCGCUCGGUUAUAGCAUUAGAAAGUCUUUAUAUUCAACAACCACAAGGUGAUGUUGUCCCUAAAGAAAUUCAAGAGAAAAAGAGAUUCUUUCCUUACUUCAAGAACUAUGUAGGAGCAAUUAAUGGUACACAUGUUCGUGUCAAAGUACCUAAUAGAGAUGCCCCUAGAUAUCAUGGCCGCAAGGGUUACCCAACGAUAAAUGUGUUAGCUGCUUGUUCAUUUGAUUUAAAGUUUACGUAUGUCUUAACCGGUUGGGAGGAUACUACAUCAGACUUAAGGAUACUAAAGAAUGUGCUUAAUAGAGAUGAUAAACUAGUAAUUCCAAAUGGUAAUUUCUAGUAUCAACUUUUUAUUUUUUAGUUUAAAUUAUUAUUAAAAAACUAAUUACAAUUUAAUUAUAGGUCGCUAUUAUUUAGUAGACGCGGGUUUGCCUCACUCAACUAUAUUAAUGGCGCCAUAUAGAGGUGUUAGGUAUCAUCUAAAAGAAUAUUCCACUCGGGUACCACAAAAUGCUAGAGAGUUGUUUAAUCUUCGUCACGCUUCAUUAUGUAAUGCUAUAGAAAGGGCAUUUGGUGUUCUAAAAAGAAGGUUCCCUAUCAUCAGAAGUACACAAGAACCUUUUUAUUCUUGUGAAACACAAUCAGACAUUUUUUUGGCGUGUUGUAUUUUGCAUAACUUUUUGAUAGUUGAAGAUCGUGACAAAGAUCUUGAAGAUGAGGUAUUACAGGAAGUGUUAAGUGCACAAACAGAGGAAGUCAGACAUAAUUCAAGUGGUGCGCGUGAGGGUAACAACAUGGCAGAGCAAUUUAGGAACUCAAUUGCAAAUCAAAUGUGGACUAAUUACUUAUUGAAUCCAAACAAUGAAAUAAAUAUGUCAACAUAGUUUAAGAGUAAUUCGUUAUAUUACUUCAUUUGCAAUUUGAAUUUUUAUUGAACAUUGUUUUGUGAAUUCAUUUGUGUUAUUUUAAAUUUUUGUUUAUGUUACUUUUGAUAAAUUGUACACUUUAUAACUAUGUUCUUUUUAUAAUAAUGUAUGUUUUUUUAUGUUAUGUAGAACCCGAUAAUGAACAAGCAAGAACCUAUUGUAAAUACUGGUAAGAAAUCACUCUUGAACUGGACAGAACAUAUGGAUGCUGCAUUUGUUGAUGCAAUGGUACAACAACAAGAAAAAGGAAAUAGGCCUUAUGGAAAUUUUACAUCACAAGCGUAUGCGAAUAUGGUUGAGGAGAUCAAUACGAAACUUACAAUGAAUUUUUAAAGUCAUCUAAAAAAUCGUUUGAAAACUUUGAAAUCUACUUUUUCACAAUGGUAUGACAUGUUCACUGGGAUUUCCUUGAGUGGGUUCGGUUGGAAUGCUGAUACCCAACUAAUUGAAGCAGAUGAGGAGGUUUGGGAUAACUUAAUUAAGGUUAGUUUUCAUUUAAGGUUGUAUUUAGUUUAUUUUUAUAUUAUGUUAUUAUGAAUAAUUUUAAUGUAUUUUGGGGUUUUUAAACAGUCAAAGCCUGAUGCAGUUGCACUGAAGACAAAAAAGGUGGCCCACUUUGAACAAAUGUUGGUAUUAUUUGCAAGAGAUAGAGCUUCAGGAGAAAAUGCUGAAACUGCAAAGGAGAGAAAUGUUAGGUUUAACAACACUACGAACAUCAAAAUAGAAAGUAUUUCAAAGGUUGAUUCUUUAUUAGCAAGUAAUGAUGUUAGACUGGAGAACCAACGUGUAGAUGAUGAUGAAGAUGACAUUCAAGUGGUGUCUCCUACACCUGAACAAAAUUCAAGUGCGAAAAAAAUGUAAAACUAAAAAAAGAAAACUCGUAGAUGAAGUAGAACAGGAAGUUGAACCUCAGCCUCAACCUGAACCUGAAACAUUUGAAACAAAGAUUAUGAAUGCUGUUAGUGAUGUGGCUAAUGCAAUGAGGGAAGGUAACAAAAUUUUUGAAAGAGCUUACCAUCAUGAGUUAACAGGUGAUGAAAUUUAUCAAGAAUUGCAGCCGAUGGGAUUGGAAGCCCAUGAAAUACCAGGUGCUCUCAUGUAUUUGGCUCGUAACCAAGCAGAUGCGAGGACGUUGUUUACAUGUCCAAUGAACAUAAGGAAGGAUAUACUAAAAACAAUGAUGGGUGCAGGUAAAUGAUGAAUUGGGAGAAUCGGUGUUUAUUUCUUGGUUCUUUGUUCAACUUUUUUUGGGUUUCACGAAUUGAAUUAUGGUUUUUCGAAUCGUAGUUGAAUUAAGUUGCAUUGUUUUGGAUGAUUUUUAUAGUUUGGUUUCUUUUCAAUUAGACAAAUGCUAUUAAAAGAUAUCCACAACUUUUUUUAUUUUAAUAUUAUUUAUGUGUUGCUAUUCAUUGGUAAUUUAAUUUAAUAUUAUAUGUAGGUUGUAUUUGACAAAAUAUAUAUGUAUGUGUGUAAAUGAAUGUUUAGACAACAAAUAUGACGUUAACAUGCAAAUCAAUUUUUUUUUUCAAUUUCAACUAUGUAUGUAAUAAUCUUGCUAAAAAAUAGGAUAAAAUUGUAAUGUUGUUAUUUAGCUUUCUUUUCUUUUCUUUUCCUUCGAACUCGGGAACACACUUUUUAAAAAACUUCCCUUCCUUUCCUUCGGACUCGGGAACACGAAAAAGUUAAUCAUUUCCUUCCCCUCCCUUUCUUUUCUCUCCAUAUUUUACUUCCCUUUAUUUUCUUUCGUUUAAUGAAACUCAAUUAAACUCGGGAACAAGGCGUAAGGUUUUGAGAGAGAGAGAGAGAGAGAGAGAGAGAGAGAGAGAGAGAGAGAGUUGUGUGUAUAUAUAUGUUCUUGUGUAUGAGAGAAAGAGGGGUUGGCCCUCUUUUAUUUUUUAAUUACUAAAAUAAAUAAAUAAGUAAUAAACUUUUUAAAGAAAAUGAAAGAAAAAUGGAAAAUAAAUACACCAAGGAUGUUAUAGUCAUUUGAAUUUUCGGAGGGACCAAAUACACAACGAAACUAACUCAAAAUAACCAUCAAUUCAAUAAAAAAAUGCAUACCAUAAGGACAAUUUUUGAUGAUUUUAUCGACGGCAUCACGCUAUUGUGAGUUUAAUAGUCUUAUAUUACUAUCUAUCCAAUACACAGGGUAAUAUCUAUAAAACAUGGGGACCAUGUUGGUAAAUUCACUAUUAAACAAGGACUAAUUCUAUAAUUUUGUGAACUGUAUGACCCUUUUUUGUUAUUUCUCUAUUAGGAAGGGACUUUUAUGUACUUUUAUAUGUAAAUUCGUUGUCAUUUAAGGACUAUUUCUUUAAAUUCCUUACUAAACAGGGGUUAUAUUCUAAUUUAUUAAGCAAAGAACCAAUUCUAUAAUUUUUUUUUAAAUCAGAUAGGAAUCAUUUUUUAAUUUGCUGAUAUACAUACAGAGACCGUUUUUGUAAUUUUGUGACAUAAAUGGACGGUUUCUAUAAAUUCACUUUUAAUAAGGAAUCAUUUAUAUAACUUUUUCAAACAUAAGUACUAUUUCCGUAAAUUCUUUAUUAGAUAAGAGCCAUUUCUUAUAAAAUACAUACAAUUAAUUCCGGUAGACUUGACGAACAGUAUCAUGAAUUUGCCACUGUAUUAUGGGUAACUUGUCGCUUCCGGUCCCUCCCUUUCACUAAAUUGACCCGGAAUUGUGCAUCGGCUGUAGGUUUGGAGGUUAGUUUCGGUGUUUGCCGUUUUUUCUUCCAAUCGCGUUGCUUCAGUGAUCUUCCCUGUCCUCCUCACGCACAUACUCAUGGAUGAUGGAACCCUUCCUAUUAAACAUCUUUCUUCAUUACUGAAUACACAUACCAAUGAUGAUCUCGUUGUCUGCCAAGAACAAAUUGGGUUUUGUUGAUGGAACAAUUCCUAAACCUCUGAUUACUUCAUCGUCUUAUUCUAAUUGGGAUCGAGCUAAUUCCAUGGUGAUUAGCUGGAUUUUAAACUCUCUAUCCAAGAAUAUUGCUGAAAGUGUUCUUUUUCUACAAACUGCUUAUGAAAUUUGGUCAGAAUUGAAACAACGAUAUGAGCAGUUAAAUGGAGCCAUGCUGUAUCAAAUUCAGCAACAGUUGUAUUCAAUUUCUCAAGGUACUGAUGAUUUUUCACUGUAUUUUACCAAAUUGACCAAGAUUUGGGACGAAUUACGUGUUGUUCAAGAUCUACCUCCUUGUUCUUGUGCUGCUGCAACUGCAAUUCAUAAAUUUCUUGAAGAACAACGUCUAAUUCAACUUUUGAUGGGACUAAAUGACUCGUAUAAAAUACUCAGAGGUCAAAUUCUUAUGAUGAAACCAUUGCCAACUGUUUCUACUGCUUAUUCUCUCAUUAUUCAAGAAGAACAACAACGUGGAAUUAAUAAUCUAUCGAUUAUUAACAAUGAAGCCAUUGCGAUGCUUGCUUCUUCUGAUAAUUCUUCCAAGAAACAUCUUGUCUGUUCUCACUGUAAGAAAAAUGGACACACAAAAGCUCAAUGUUAUCGAUUAAUCGGAUUUCCAUCCAAUUUCAAGUUUACUAAAACAAGGAAAGAUGAAAAUAAGUCUAUGGCUCAAAACGUUGAAGUAAUCUCUGCAUCAUCUCCUUCAAUUUCUCCUGAACAAUAUCAACAACUCAUGGAUCUGGUCAAUUCUCACAAAAUUGGUCAAGCAUCUACUCAAGCAAAUCUUUCUGUGGUCAAUGGAGCAAUGAAUGAUGAAGGUAAACAAGAUUCAUUCAUUCGUUUUGCAUUGAAUGUUCGCAAAUCUUCUUCAAUUUUACAAGAACAAUUUUCUUGGAUUAUUGAUACUGGUGCUACUGACCAUAUGUGCUCUAACAAAGCUUUAUUUUCUUCUAUUUCUAAACUUCAUCAGCCUCAAUUCAUUGGUCUUCCUGAUGGUUUUAAUACCACUGUUGAAUUCAUUGGAGAAAUUCAGUUACAUGAUUCUAUUGUUCUCAAAGGAGUGUUGUAUGUUCCUUGUUUCAAAUACAACCUCAUUUCUGUGCCAAAACUUACUGCACAAUUACAAACUUUUGUUAUUUUCACUGACAAAGCUUGUAUGCUGCAGGACCCUUUAUCGAAGAAUGAACUCUCUCUUGGCAUUUUUGGCACACAAGUCAAUGAUUUGUAUAUUUUUGAUCACAGACUCAUCAAAUCAAAUUUGUCAUUCUCUUUUUCUGUAUUGUCUUCUUUGGUUACCAAUAAGACUCUUGCAAUGCAUGCUGAUUCAAAUGUAUUGUUGUGGCAUAGACGUUUAGGACAUGCUCCAUUACAUAUUCUUCAAAAUCUUUCUGUUGUUUCUUCUCAUUGUAAACUCACGUGAACUUCUUCUUUAGGAUUUGGUUUUAUGUUUGAAAAAAAACAAAGAUGAUUAUUUACCCAUCUGUUUAAUUAAAUUUUUUAUUUUUAAUUCAGGGAUUUGCAAUAUGGCUCGAUUUACUAAUUUACUUGCAUCACCAUGGCCAUUAAUUAAGACAAACUCCAAUGGCACUGUAGCAAUGCUAUUUCCUGCAUAUUCUCUUUGACUUUGAACUAUGUUUUAAAUUCAAAAUGCAUAGUACCUUUGACAAAAAAAAAAAAGAAAAAAGCUUUAGUUGUAAAUUAUUAUAUAGUCGUAAAUUCAAUUCUGGGUAUAUUUUUCUUUCUUCUUUAUGUCCUAAUGCUUUUGGAUUUAGUAAAGUGUGUGCUAUAUUUUUCGGUUACGACACACUUGUUCCAUUAAUUUAUUUAUAUUAGCAUCAUAUUUUCAUUUUUUUUUCUGAUUACAGCACUGUAUUUUGAAAUAUUUUCUCAUUUGGGUAGAUUUUUCAAAGUACAUUGCCUUAAGAAAUAUAACUGUUACUCUUAUUUGGAAUGCUAUGCUUCUGGAUUGAAUUUCAAAGUAGAUUCACAAUUAUAAAAGUCCCUGUGCAGAAUUUUUUCUACAACAAAUGGUUCACAUGUUAAAAAAAUUAGAUAAACUGUGCAGAACUGUAUAACUUUUACAAACAAGAUUCGAAUUACGAACAAAUUCCAAANUUGCAACCCGAAUUGGAAAUUACAGGUAAUUGCUGGUUGUUAAUACUAAGUAAUGGGAUUUAACAUUUAACUUAGGUAAGGUAUAAUUUAAUGUAACAAUGUGAUUCGAUGAAUUGAACAUUGAUUUACUGAUGCACAGAUAAGGCCUUUGGAAACAUAAAGUGUAUAUUAUUAUAUACUCAUAAAGAAAAGAAAGGUAUAUGGAUGGAUAAUCGUUCUAGCACUAUAUUUCCUAGAAAAUUUGUCCAUCCUAAGUAUAUUUGUCAAAUGUGUAUAAAAAAAAUAAUUGAUUAAAUGUGUACAACUGCAAAACUUCAUUACUCUCACAAGUUUAAUUGUUGACGGUGAAGUGGUUGGAAACCAGGGUAACCUUUAAUUACAGAUCAUAAUGGUACUUUUUUUAAUACUUUAAGUAAGUUUAAUGGUCACAUGUGUACAAAAAUAACUGACUAAAUGUGAACAAAUGUGAUAGAUGGUUACCCUCAUAACACAUUUUCCCUUUUUAUUAUAUACCCUUAAUGGUUAUUAUUAAUUUUUUUGUUAAAAAAAACUUUCUUAAAUAUAAUUAGAAAAUAUAAACUUUUUAUGAUCCCUUAUUUCACACAACACUAGAAAAUGGCCACCCGUGGUGUUGGUGGCAAUUUUAUUGAUAACUGGGACUUAAAAACCCAUGCCAAUUACAAAAAUGAAACAUGGUUUUACAUGAAUAUCUAUGUUCUUCUUUUUUUCAAAUUUGCAAUGAACACCACCACCUUCACAUAAACCCAAUCUUUGAAGCUAUCAAGAAAUAUAAAAAACGCAUAUCUUCCACGACGGUUGAAGAGUAAAGCACCACAUGUUAUACAAAAUCGAAUAGUGAAACCAAUGGCCCCACCAAUAUAGAACCUUUCCAAAUCAAGUCCAAAAUGUUACCAGUCAGCCCCUCCUCUACAAAAUCUUCUCAUCUUAGGUCCGGAACUUACCCUUUAGUCCCUGCUUCCAUAAAUCCUUACAAAUUAAGUCCCAAAAUUACACUUUAACCCCUGUAGAUUCAAAUCUUGACAUUUGACUUCCCGAAACCAACUCCCAACGAAUUAUGAUUUGGACAAUAAUAAUAUAAAAUAAUAAUAAAAAUUACUUCUCAGGGUUUCGGGUUUAUCAUUUAAUUGUUUUAUUUAAAACGGAAUGUUACAGAUAUAAAUGAUAAAUACAAUUAACAAAGUAAAUAACCAAAAUGACCUUUUGGUAAAGCGAAACUCACAGAAUAUAUCCUAUCUAACCAUGGGGUAAACCCAUUGGAACAAUUAAAGAUGAUGUAUGAAAUGAAGUAAGUUAAGCAUUUUAACAAACAAUUUGUGUGCAAAAAAAUUUGUGCUUUAAGGAAAUUUCAUGUAAAAUCACUUCUUUGCCUACUGUGAUAACAAUCACAUGAGGAAGUAAGUAAUAAAAAUCAAAUCCUAAAACUAUAGUUGCUAGUUUAUCCGGGUGGGAAUCAAAAAGCUUACCGGAGUUGAGGAUACGCCAGAUGCACGACGACUUUAAUGGUGGACGAAAAAGGGAGAGCAUCGGGCGCAGAUGGUGAACGAAGGAGUGAGAGAUGCAUAUUAGGAAAUGAUUCGCGUGUUGCCGAAUUUCUUGUGUGUUUAGAAAUGAUAUCCAACCUAAAACAUCAACAAUCCCAAUGUAUUGGAAAAUGCCAUACGAAUGCCACGUAUCCAUGAAGCCGAAGAUGGAAAAUUGACAAAACUAAAAACCAUGUUUUGUUCAUCGGCGGAAGCAAAACCACCUAACUCAUGCCAAACCUUCCAAGCCGUGAGCUCCAAACUUGUAACUAUUCAUAAGUCGUAUCCACAAUUAAUAUGUUAUAUAAUAUCCUACAAAUUGUAAGCACAAGACUAAACUGCAAAUUUGGUCCCUGUGGUUAUCAAAAAAAUAUGGACAUGGUCUAAAAUUUUUUCAACUUGCACCAUUGGUCCAAAAUUGAAUUCUUUUUGUGGUUUUGGUCCCGAGAAAAGUUGAAAUGACCUUUUUGCCCUUUUACUUUUAUUUUUGAAUUUCUUUAUUAUUUUUUUAACAUUUAAAAAAAGAAAAAGAAAAAAUAAAGUGGCCAAUAUUCUACCCACCCGUAACCCUGCUCUCUUUUUUACAUUCUUCAUCUCUUUGACUCCCCNNNNNNNNNNNNNNNNCCAUUCUCAUUCCUACCACCACUAUUGUUGUCUUCAUCCCUUGGCUUUGUCUAUGUUAAACACAUUAACCUGCAAACUUACCUAUGUUCUUUACGUUCUUCACAACCAUUGAUCAAAUAUCAAAACACAAAAAACACUUCGCAUGUAGAUACACCUACCUGCAACUUAGAAAAAACCUACCCUGCCCCCCCCCCCCCCCCCCCUCUCUCUCUCUCUCUCUCUCUCUCUCUCUCUCUCAGAUCUGCAAAAUCCCUUUUACAACACAAUUAAUAUGAUCGAUGACUACACCAAAAUAUCAUGGAACGGUGGGAGGUUAAUCUAAACCAUCCAUGCUAGAAACCAACCUGUAACAUUUUUCGUAGCUAUUCAACCUCUCCGAAAAAAGGUAGAAACUGGUCUCUAAGAUAUGAAGCACAAAAAAAACUAUGAGAUGUAUCAGAACAAUGGGGAAGAAGUAAACAAACUGAUUCCCACCCCGAGUCUAUUCCUGUCUCUGCCUCCUCCAUUCACUCCUCUACUCUCUCAUUGUUGGUUAUCCAAACACCAACAACCAAAUGAACAUAAUUGGUUCCUCACGAAUCCCCAAAUUGAAGAUCUCGCACAUAACCUAAUCAAGUAAAAGUGAGAUUUCUUCAACGGAGAUAAUAGUUGAAGCAAGCCCCACUUCUAAUGAACAUAUUGAAGAAACCCAAAAUAGAAAAAUUAGUUUUUUUUGUCAACAACUUCUCAAGCAUUGGAACUGAUCAAGAUGCAGGUCCUAAAGUAGAAACAAUCUUCGUUUUCGGCCUCUACUUACCUACUAGUUGCAGGCUCUGGUCAAUCGUCAUUUGAUCCAUAUUCUUUUCGAUCGAUUGGCUCUGUUAUAUUCUCCUUGGAAAACACCACCAACUCCUCAUUUGCAUCAUGUACAUCCCUUGGUGACAACGAAAUGGGUCGGUGCUGGAAUCUCAGCUUUCUUGUUGGUUUUGGUUUUAGUGUGUUUUGGUUUUUGAUUAGGUGAAGAAGUGGUGAAGUGAAGGAGUUCGAUGGGUAUCAUGUUCCAAAUUAGGGAUACAAGGCAGAAAAAAUGGGAUAAAUAAGGGAGAGAGAGAGAAAGAGAGAGAGAGAGAGAGAGAGAGAGAGAGAGAGAGAGAGAGAGAGAGAGAGAGAGAGAGAGAGAUAAGGGUACAUAUGGUGUGGGUGGCCCACUUUCUUUUUUCUUUUUCAUUUUUUCAAAUAUUAAAAAAAGUAAAGAAAUUCAAAAAAUAAAAUUAAAAGGGCCAAAAAGUCAAUUCAAUGGACUAAAACCACAAAAAGAAUUUGAUUUUGAACCAAUGGUGCAAGUUGAAAAAAUUUUAGACUCUAUCCACAUUUUUUUGAUAACCACAGGGACCAAAGUUGCAAUUUAGUAUAAGCACAACUGACCACUCUUACAAAUUUAAUAUAAUAUAUAUCAUUUUAUAAUUUUGUAUUAAACUAUUAUGAAAGUGGUUACUUAUUUAAAAGUUUGUAGAAAUCACUCGAUCUAGGCUAAUUGGUGGACUGGGGUCAAUGGUUAAUCGGUUAGAUGGGGAUUAAUUGGAGACCAUUAAGUAUUAAAAAAAUUAUUAAAAAUUAAUAAAUAUUACAUUAAUGCUAAGAAUAUAAGUAAACAAGUUAACAAAUAAUAAACAUGUACUACAUAAUUUAGUUUUAUUUUCAAUUUGACAUGCUAGCUAGAAGCUUGAUUAUCACGAAUGUCAUAAACACCAUAAGAACCACAUAAUACAUAUCGAUCACAAUUAUCCAUUUGUGCACUUAAAAUCAGGUGUUUCUACUUCCACCGAUAUCAAAGCACUGUGUGCUUUCCCAACCCAAUUGAAUGAACACAACAUAGUUCUUGAUAGCGAACUAAAAGCAUAGACCAUGCAGAUAAUUGAAAACUAUGAUGAAGCAGACAUUAAAAAUCGAUAAUAGAUAGAAAUGUAAUUAACCAAGAUCAAGCAAACAUUAAAAAUAUGAGAUCAAGCAGACAUUACAUACCUUGAGUAAGCCUUGAGUAAUUGACCAUUCCCAAACGGUGUCUGAAGUUGUAAAAUUCCUUUAAACCAUCAACAAUGUUGGUUGGUUGCAACGUUCUAUUCUACAAUUGUUGAGCACCCUUGUGAUAUUACCUUUUUAACCUUUUUCUAAAUUUCUAACUUCCUAAAAAGCAUCAUCAAACAUGUCUCCCUUUCUUCAACUUCAACGUCAUUAGAAGAGCUAACACUAAUAUAAAGAUUACUAGGCUUAAUGACUUGUACCCCGUCCUCUGAAUCAACAAGCUUCCCAUCUUCUUCAUCCACAACUUCGCCUACAUCAUUUUCUAGCCCAAUUUCUCUAUUUCAUUCCUUUUAUUCUUGAACUCCAUUGCAGGUUUGCAUCGCUAGUCAGUGUCAUCUGAAUGAAAAGAAAGAAUUAUCUUCAAAAGGUCGGUCCGCCUUACAAGUGUUUGAUGAAACGUCUGAAAAAAGUGAAUACUGAUUGCUAAGAAUAAAUUUGUUUCAUGUGUUUGAUCUUGAUUUCUAAUUCUUCAUUUUUCUUCCGACCUUACUAUAUGAUCUUGUUUUGCCACCAACACUUGAUCACAAAAUGUUAUGUCCAACUGCAUAUCAGUCUUCUGUUGUGCUCCUAUUAAUGAUACCAUUUGAGAACAUCUUUUUCAAAAUACUUCAUCGCAACCUCCAAACUUUCAUCACUGGAAAAUCGAUUUAGGGAAAAAAUUUGGUUUUGGUUCUUGAAUUGCCCUCUGUUUCUUGAUCUUUAUCCAUCUUCAAAUGUUAAUCUAUUUAUUUUAUUUGAUUCUUCUUGAAAUAGCACAACUGACAUAUUUUCCUCUUCCAGGUACCCCAUAUUUUGUUCUUGCUGAUAAUUUUUUAAGAGAUGAAGGUUUUGUUUCACUCUUUUAGGAUUUGUUCCUUUUUUCAUCUUCUUCCUAAACAUCAGCUGACUAAAGAAACUUGGAUGCGCUGCUCUUAGUUAUAUCAAAAUAUAUAUUAUUUUUUGUUUAAGAGGCUUAUUAGAUAAAGCUGACUAAAAAAAUUACUUAACAAGUGACAUUAAUAGCAAAAGAUGAAGAUGAAAGUACAUACAUGGGGGUAGUGUUCUGUGGCCUGUGUGUAUGUGUGUGUUUUAAUUAGGGAAAAAAAAAAUUUGUUUUUAAUAAGAAAACAUGCUUCAAAAAGAAAACAUGAAACCAGGAUGCUAAAAUAAAGUCAAUGGAAGUACAUGCUAUUUCCAGCAUAUUCUCUUUGACUUUGAACUAUGUUUUAAAUUCAAAAUGCAUGGUACCUUUGAACAAAAAAAAAAGGUUUAAUUGUAAAGGAUAAAAUAAAAAGGUUGGAUUUUGACAUAGACAUUUAUGUUGUGAUCGUUUGAGGGGUGACAAUUAACUUUUGUCCAACCAGAGUUUAACCAACUCAUCUUCAAAGGGCAAUAUAACAUACUCACUGCAAAUUCAUUUCUGGACUUCAGACAUACACUUAAGUAGGUUUAUUCUCACUACUGGAAAACAGGUAAUACAAUACACCCUCAUCUAAUACGGUUGUAAUGAAAACCGUAUUAUAAAAUGGCUAAAUUAAUUUAAUACACACAAAUGAAGAAAUCUAAUAGGCUUAAUUAGGUCAGGUGUAAUAGAUAAUAUUUCCAAUUAAAAUUUGUAUUUUUACAAUUAUUAACAAACUUUAGCCUUUGCAUCGACCAGAAUGUUUAACAAAACAUUGGAUGUUCAUUUGACGCAACGUCAAAAUCGAAUUGACCGUUCAUUUGUAUUUUUCCCAUUUUGCCCCUGUAGAUUGCCUUCACUCUUUUCUGGUCAAGCGGCUUACUUAUCAAAGAAUCGAUGAACGACAACAUCAACUGCAAAAUUGAUCACUCUUUCUCUCUCUCUCUCUCUCUCUCUCUCUCUCUCUCUCUCUCUCUCUCUCUCUCUCACACACACACAUACUCUCGAUCGAUCAAUCGAUCGACAUACUCCGACGCCUCUCUUCACUGGCGAGCACCUCUUCAAAACUCAUCGUCAAUCAAGCUAAUUCAGUGUCUCUUCAUCGCCGAUUCAAAAUUGAUUUCAGAUUUAAAUUCGUCGGGUCUUCAGUAUUGAACAACCAGGUGUUCUUUCUAAUAAGUUGUUUAAUUAAUGUCACAAUACAUUAGCAAUUGAUAGAGUUAAUUCCAUGUUCAAACUGUUCAUUCUAUUGCAUAUUUGGUCAUUUGAUUUCCGUUUAUUGGAGUACAUUGACAACUGUAUAUGCAUGAAACUUACGUUUCUUCAUCUGGUUCGUUCUUUGCAGCUCAAGUUCCUCACCCUCAUCUCCAGCCUUCAUCAGAGAACCUUCCGUAACUAUUUCCCAUGGCGUCUGCUUCUCUCUGCACAUUUCAAUAACGAUUCCGAUCUCCUCAGCUUCAAAUCCCCUCUCCUUUAGCAACAUUUCUUCAAUUGGAUUUUCUGAGAGAAAGAAGGUGUUCAUUCUUAACUUUGUUCCUAAUUUUUUGAUUUUCUUAGCAUCAUUUUACAUAACCAGUUGAAAAUUUUGGGUUUUAGCUACAUGUUUUCACUAUGGUUUGAAUAUAACCUGUCUUUUUAUAAAAUGAAAUAAUUAACUGAAACAAACAAACUGAUGCCAAACCGAGAUUAGUAUGAAUCUACAUAUCUGCUAGAUAAUAAUAAUUGAUUAUAUUGAUUACAAACGAGAGUGUUCUCAUUCUAAUGAUUUUCAAUGGAUAAUGAGAUUGGUGUUACAUCUGCCACUAACUUUGAUAUCCUUAUCCGGUUUGAUUAAUGUUAAAAAUGUUAAAAUGGAGAUUGUUGUUGGUAAUGUGGUAUAGACCCCUUGUAAUUAACUUUGUUUAUCUUAGUGCAUAACUAAAAUUUGACUGUAGAUUUCAACAUUCUAGAACUGAAUGAUAGCUAUGGUUUCUUGAAUAGUGCAGGAGCAUCCAAAAUAAUCGGAGUUUUGUUCAUAGAAUCAUGUGUUCAUCAAAAGAGCCACCAGCAGAAACAGGGCUCACAUCAAAAGCAUUUGAAUCACUAAAGAUUGGGUCAACAACCAUCAUAGUGGAAGCUCCUAAAAUGUUGAAGACAACAACUUCUUUGCCUUGUCUCAGAGUUAAUUCUGUUUUAGUUAAAGCCGAUGAUGUUGGCAGGUAAAUUUUUUACCGAACAUCUAUAACAAGAGAGCUUUUUGGUGGAAUUUUUUCAUUAUAAAACUUUAAAUGAAAAAGCUCCUUUUAUCUCCAUAAUAGAAACGUUAUUUUAGUUUGUUAUUUGUGGGGACCUUGUAUAUGUUGUCUAUAUACAAUUGGUUGAAAACCCAUGGAUCCACCAAAUCAUUGAAAGCUUGUUAAUUAACAAGCUCUUUGAAAAAGAUCAUCCAAUAACUUCUUCAAUUUUCUUGAGUUUUUUUUUUUUUACAUGAAAAAGCUCCUAUUGUGAUGUUCUUAUUAACUAGUUAUUUGGUUUCAUUUCAUACCUUUUUUUAGUAAAUAUCAUAUAUGCUUAAUAAAUUUGGAACCAGUUAAAAGGGUGAAGGAUAUCUUUAAUUAAUAUACACUAACAGAGACAAUGGUGCCUUUAAAGAGAAACUUAUUAAUUUCAUGAACAAAAGUUGAUCUAUAUUAUAGCAAAUUUUUUUGAAGGUUGUGUUCAAAGUAAACAACUGAUUUUGAUAUUUCCAUUUCUAAACUAUACUUAAGAGUAUUACUUUGAUGGAAGAUCAUAGACACAUCCUCAAGAUUAUAGUUUUUGAUUAAAGUAAAAAACUAAGAAUACACAUUUGAUAUAUAAGAAAUAAGGAAUAUUAUCACCAUAACUAUAGCAUGCCACCGAUGUUAUCUUGUUUAAUGCACCUUGUGUGCAAGAUUUUAUUAAGGCAUUGUAUUUUUUUUUUUUUUUUCGAAUUUACCAUUUAUAGCAUCUUACUUUCAAUUUUUCUUUUUGUUUUUUAGAUAUUAUUCUUUGAAAAUUUUAUCAACUACUUUGUAAUUUGUAGAGAUUGAUCCUUCGCUCACAACUCACAUGGGAGGGACAAUGAGUUUUUAACAUCAUUAUAAAUGGUGAUAACAUGUUUCAAGAGAUUAAUAUUGUCAAAAUGAAUGGAGAUAUUAAUAGUGCUCUUGUGCUAACAGUCCAUGUUAGCAGGAGGAGUUUGACAAUAAUUUUGCAGCUUGUAAAAGGUAGUCAUACCAGUCAUAUCAUAAUCAGUGCCAUAGAGACCAUAGAGAUCUUUGAAAUUGUUAGAGCCGAGGCCAAUACUUCAAUUGAUUAAGGUACUUUUAAAACAUUUCUUGGAAUUUGAAGCUUUGAAAAGGAUUCUUAUGAAGUAAAAAUUAUUUUUUUAUGUUGUAGUAAAAGCUUUGCAGAAAUUGAAGAGUUCUUUUCAGUUGGAAUGGCGAUCCAUGUGUUCCACAGCAGCAUCCAUGGAGUGGGAUUGGGUGAUGAAUAAGGCUAGAAUGCACAGCCGGAAUGGGCUAGAAUGUAAUCAGGAAUGCAUUGCAGGAAUGGGGGAUGUGACAUCAAGUACAAUUGUUUAUGGUGUAUUAGAUUCUUUUAUGUGAUGGUUUUAAUACUAUAGAUAGGAUACAUAUAGAGUACAGUUAAAUUACAGGUAAUUGCUGGUUGUUAAUACUAAGUAAUGGGAUUUAACAUUUAACUUAGGUAAGGUAUAAUUUAAUGUAACAAUGUGAUUUGAUGACUUGAACAUUGAUUUACUAAUGAACAUAUAAGCCUUUUGGAAACAUAAAGGGUAUAUUAUUAUAUACUCAUAAAGAAAAGAAAGGUAUAUGGAUGGAUAAUCCUUCUAGCACUAUAUUUCCUAGAAAAUUUGUCCAUCCUAAGUAUAUUUGUCAAAUGUGUAUAAAAAAAUAAUAAUUGAUUAAAUGUGUACAACUGCAAAACUUCAUUACUCUCACCAGUUUAAUUGUCGACGGUGAAGUCGUCAGAAACCAAGGUAACCUUUAAUUACAGAUCAUAAUGGUACUUUUUUUAAUACUUUAAGUAAGUUUAAUGGUCACACGUGUACAAAAAAAACUGACCAAAUGUGAACAAAUGUGAUAGAUGGUUACCCUCAUAAGACAUUUUCCCUUUUUAUUAUAUACUCUUAAUGGUUAUUAUUAUUAUUUUUGUUAAAAAAAAAAACUUUCUUAAAUAUAAUUAGAAAAUAUGAACUUUUUAUGAUGCCUUAUUUCACACAACACUGGAAAAUGGCCACCCAUGGUGUCGGUGGCAAUUUUAUUGAUAACUGAGACUUAAAAACCCGUGCCAAAUACAAAAAUUAAACAUGGUUUUACAUGACUAUCUAUGUUCGUCUUUUUUGCAAAUUUGCAAUGAACACCACCACCUUCACAUAAACCCAAUCUUCAAAGCUAUCAAGAAACAUAAAAAAAGCAAAUCUUCCACGACGGUUGACAAGCAAAGCACCACAUGCUAUGCAAAAUCCAACUGUGAAACCAAUGGCCCCACCAACAUAGAACCAACCUUGAAGUUCGUCUAUACCUUCACCCUCACUUUCACCAAUGCUAUGUUGUAUUCCCGAUUCUUCGUCUCCAUGACAUUUUUUGGUAAGGGGAGGUCCACAAAGCCCUAAGUUCCCUUCGUAUCUUGAAGGGUCAAAGGUCUGAAGUUGUGUGCUGGAUGGGAUUCUCCCUGACAAGCUAUUAUCUGAGACGUCUAGGUAAUUUAGCCAAGUCAUUUGAGACAUGCUUGAUGGUAUUUCUCCUGAAAACUUGUUUCUAGAUAAAUCCAAAGUUAAAAGGUUUUUCAUCUGACCGAUUUUCCAUGGAAUCUUUCCAAGUAGAGCGUUUUUAGAUAAGUUGAGUGCAAUCAGUUGAUCAAGAUUGGUAAUCUGAUAUGGGAUUUCCCCUGUUAAGCUGUUGCUUGACAGGUCGAUGCUCCUCAACAAUACCAUAUUACUUCUGAUGAAUUCCCGUUCGGUUCCUUGCCACUGGAUCAUCACAUGGUCAAUAUUAUAUGAAUAUGUUCCUAAUGAAACUCCACGAUCUAAAUUCUGUAGUUGAGAGAAUCCUUGUUGCACCAUGAUCGUAAGAUUACUCAAACAUGAGGGGAUGCUUCCAUGUAAAUGGUUCACGGACAAGUCUAGAAUUUGAAGACUUGCUAAUUGACAUAAUUGUAAAGGGAUGCUUCCAGAGAAGUUGUUUGAUCUUAACAUAAGAACAUACAACCCAGAUAAGCUUUCCCCAAUCCAAACAGGCAAAUUACCAGAAAACUUGUUGGCCCCCAAAUUCAAUGACUUUAAGCUCGUGCAAUUCUUAACAGACAAAGGAAAUUCUUCGGAGAAAGCAUUCUUGUAUAAAUCCAAUGCCUCUAGCUUAAUCAUAGAUCCCAGAGAGGCAGGAAGCCUUCCAGACAGAUUAUUGUGUUCUAAAUUAAGAACUUUUAGUUCUUUGAAAUGCCACAAACAGUCUGGAAUUUGUCCGCUUAGAAAGUUAUGAGAGAGGUCAAGAAUAACUAAAAAGCCAUGGACAACUUGGCAUAAGAAGGAGAUUCCUCCAGAGAAUUUGUUUCUGGAAAGAUUUAGUAAUGCCACAGUGGAAGAGACAUUAGUUAUUGGACCGUCAAAGCUGUUGGAGCUUAAAUCUAUCCUUGAAUUGCUGUCAAAAUUUGAUGAAAGAUCUGGUACUUUCCCGCUUAUGUUGUUUGAAGAAAGAUUCAAGAAUGUUAACUGGGAAGGCCACAAGUCCCAAAACUCAAGAGGAAUUGUAUCUGAAAUACCAUUAUUUGCAAUUUCAAGAUUGGUGAGAUUUUUCAAUUUUUGAAUCCAUUUGGGGAAGUGAGGCCCUAGCUUGCAAGAGCUCAGAUAAAUAGAUUCUAUAUGAGAACGGUUUGACAUGUAAUCUGAGGAAGGAAAUUCUUGGAGUGAGUUUUCGGAAAGAUCAAGAUAUUUAAGGUUGGGCAGUUCCCACAGUUUCUUACUUAUAGUUCCUUUUAACUGAUUCUCAGAGAGGUACAGAUCUGUUAGGGAUGUGAACUUUUGGAUGUCAUCAGGCAAUGACCCUGUAAAUUGGCUUCCUGAAGCAGACAACCGUUGUAAUGAAAGCGAUGUGCAUCCAGACAAGUUUUUGACAAAAUCAGGAAAUUUGAUAACACCAGAGUUGUUAUAGAAGUAAAAACGUUCCAAACUAGAGAGGUUACCAAGAUAUUUGGGUAUCCCAUCUAACAUGUUGCCAGAGAGAUCAAGAAUGUAAAGCUUAUUGUUGGUUAAUGGGAACAACCAAUGAUACAUGGAUGAGGUGAGAUUAUUGUUUUUGAGAGAAAGGAUAUGAAUAGAUGAAGAAGAGUUGAGAAAUGAAGAAGAAUAUGGAUAAAUGACCUGUGACAGCUCACAUCCUGAUAAACUUAAAAGCGAGAGGUUCGGGAGACUCAGAGUAACAUCUACCCAAUGAUUUGUUUUGGCCAGUGAAAUCCCAUCCAUUGCAAGUCCCACCAGAUGAGACAGAGGAGACAACCACUCAAGGUUCUCAAGUCUACACAUUCCAACAUAUGAAAGGUAAAGGUAUUGCAAGUUGGUGAGGUUUCCCAACUCUGGAGGAAUGGCUCCAUUAAGAUUAUUGUAGCCAAGGAAAAGGUGACUUAAUUGAGUCAACGAACCAAUGAUCGCAGGAAUGGUUCCAUGAAAAGAAUUGAAGUCAAGAUCCAGAUAAUUCAAGUAGGUUAAAUUAACCAAUGAAUGGCUAAUCUCACCUACAAGACCACAGUUCAUCAGAUCAAGCUUUGUGACAUGACCACCUGUUUGGUUGUUGCAUGUCACUCCACUCCAUUGACAGCAGUUGUCUUGUUCAGCUGUCCACGUAGAGAUGCGAUCAGAAGGGUCUUGAAGGAGAGAUUUGAAAUGAAGGAGAGCGUCUUUCUCCUUCUCAAAACACUUAUCAUCUCCUCCUCCCACUGCUGCCAAUUGGUUGGCAGUUGUAAUCUCAAGACAAAACAAGAGAAGUGAGAAUAUUAUAAAAACACAAGGAUGCAUGAUGUAAAUGCAAAUCUUAUUUGGUGAUUUUUUUUGUUUGUAUUGAUGAAAAUUUGAAGAUGCCCCAUGCAGCCUUAUAUAGUGCUGCCAACUGUGAAAAUGAAGGAUUCAAUAAUUCUCAUGAGAACAGUAGGAACAUAAUGCUUUUUUCCUUUUUUUUUCAUCAGUAUGAAAACAUUUUUUUAGGCUAAAAAAUAAUAAACUCUGGAAUUUUUUUAAUAAAAUAAAACACUAAAAAAUGAAAAAUCAACACCAUAUUCUUCAAUGAAAUAAAGUGCUAUAAAACACUUCCUAUAGCAACAUCCAUAUAGAUGUCUAUUUUCACAUCAUAAAAAGAUAUUUUGGUAGAUUUGUUUUUAUUUUUUGAAAAAAAAAAUAAUGCCCUAAUAAAUAAAAAGAAAAUAAAAACAUCAGAAUAGAGACUUUGCAUAUCAACAUGGAUGUUUAUUUGUACAACAUAAAAAUAUAUAAAUUUGGGUCUUUUGUUUUAUUUUUCCCGAAAAGUAAUAUAACCUUAAAAAAUAAAAGAUAACAGGGAUUAGGCAUAUUCAUCAACAAAUGGUUUAUUAUAUCUCAUUUUUACAACUAUAUUCUUUACAAAAAAAAAAAAAAUACUGAAAUUAUUAUUUUUAUGCUCUAAAAAAAGAUAUCAAUAUAAAAGGUUCCUACCAUUUUUAACAAGAAUUAUCUUUCUUGCGUUUACACUUUACACACACCUAGUGAGUUGUGAUUCGUGUGGAGCAUAAAAUCCUUAUUUUCCUUUGAAAUAGAACCAAACUAUGAAAGAAAUUAGAAAAGAAGAAUUGAAAUAAACUGCCACAAAUCAAACGUUCAAAGAUUUAUAGACUCUGUAAGGCAUAAAAGCCUUAUUUUCCUUGAAAUAGAACCAUUCAAACUAUAAAACAACUUUAAAAAAAAAAAAAAAAAAAAGGACAAUUGUAAUGGAUAGCUAGCCCCAUAUAAGACUUUCAAGGACUUUCAAGUCUUGGAAAUUUGUAUUUUUCCUAUACAUAUCUUUUUUCAUCUUAUCAUAUCUUUCGAUCCUCACUUUAUGUCAUUGUAAAUCCACAAAAGCAAACUAAUCAUUCAGGAAAAAAGGACAAAUGGUGGGUUAGUGCCUGGAAACAACCAUAUAUAGCUAGCUGUCCAGAUCAAGUGCUUAAUUAUUAAGCCUAUUAAGUCAUAAAGAAUCAGUCCCUAAUGGCAUAAGAGCUGAGUGAUAAAUGAUGAGUCUCCAGAGAAUGUAUUGGAUAAAAUAAGGCUAANUGAGUCUCCAAGAAUGUAUUGGAUAAAAUAAGGCUAAUUAUUUAUGUAUUUUGGAUUGAAUGAACCAUUCGAAUAAGAGAAAACAACCAUUUUACCCUUCCAUCUAAAAGUAAUGUAGAAUACCAAGUUGUUGUUUGUGAGAACUAUUAAAAUUUUAAACUAAAAAUCACUUUUAUAUAUAUACGACCAUGAGACUUACAUAUGUUUGUCAAAAACUACCAUAACUGUCUUUUGUCAAAGCAAACUUGCAGUGUAAUCUUACCAUUAUUUUCUACAGAUAGAGCAAAAUCCUUUUGGCUUUUGCAAUGCAUUGUUUCCCCAGACAACAAAUCAGAAUGCAAACGACUUGUUAUAUUCAGAAACAUUGAAUUAAACCCCAAUUUAACAAGGAUUCAUGCCUCUCAUACUCCCCUUGGGUUAUUAAACAACUUCUAUUUAUGUCUAAUUGAGACAAUUCUUCCAAUCCUAUGCAGAUUUAAUCUCCUACACAGAUUUUUAUGAAACCAAUUAGAAAAGUUCCAACUUCCAACAUAAACAUUAACCGAAACAACUCUAAUUUAUGGAAUCUAUUAAAAAUUUGUCAAUUGAAACAAAAAGGCACCGUUUAACGUCAAAACUGAAAAUUAAUAAUAAUAAUAAUAUUAAAUGUGAGCAAGAGAAACAUUAUUCAACAGAAAAUGGAGAACAGAGAGUCGAGAAGAAAAAUCGAGAUUAAGAGAACAAAAAGAGAAUAGAUAUAUCGAGUAUUGAAUAGUUGAGAUGAUCCAACAACUUACCUGAUGGAAGACCGAGGGAGGAACGACGAAGACAUCUUGGAACAGUGAUGGAAGAUGGAGAAGAGAAGACGAAGCGAAGGCUGUAAAAACUGAAAAGAAAAGUAGGGUUAAAGGAGGACGAGGGUAAACGAGUAAAAAUCAAAUUCAUAAGCUAAAAGGGGAUAACAAAACCAAACCCACAAACAAAAAAAUCAAUAAUCGAUAAAAACCAAUAAAAUUAAAAAACCAAAAAAUUGAACCAAAAAUAGUUUGAGUUUUUUUUUUUAAAAAAAAUAUAUAUAUAUUUGGUUUGGUUUCAGUUUUAAAAAAAUAUAAAACCGAACCUCAAAUUUUAUGAAAUAUAUUUAUUCACUGAAUUAUAUGGUAUUUAUUUAUUGUGUGAGAGAUAAUAAAAAUCGAAGUUCUGUUUGGUGAUUAAGCAGGGCCGGCCUUGCCUUGUGUCAAAUUAAGCAAGGGCUUAGGGCCUUGCUUGUUUACUUUUUAUUGUAUUUACCUCUUAAUUUUACAUCUAAAUAUGGAACCGAAUAAGCGUGAGGACGAAUAAGUGUGAGGAGGAAGUCUAAAAGAAAAAUGCACAUGCUUGCCCUUCCCCCGUAUGUCUCCCACCAACAAAAAAAAUUUAUUGGGUUGUUCGUUUUUAAAAAGCUAAUAAGUUGAAAAAGUGUUUGACAAACUCAAAAGUAUUUUUCAUAAUAGUUUUUCCAUUAGUUUCAAAAAACACUUUUUAAAAAGCAUGUAAAACUUGGUUUUUAAAAACUGCUUUUGACUUUUUAACCAAAAUAACUUCAAAAAGCACUUUUUAAACCAAACACAUUUUAAUUUAUUGACUUAUUGGCUUUCUCAUCAUAAAAGUUAAUCCAAACACUUUUAAAAAACUUAUUUUACCACCACUAUAAGCCAAUAAACAUUUUUAUAUAUCGCGUCGUUCCGUAGUUUAAUAAAAGAAAAGAAGAGAAGAUAAAAGAAAGUCAUAAGAGAAAAUAAAAAAAGAGGAGAAAGGAAAGGAAAACAAAAUUUUGUUUUGAGUUCCCGAGUUGGAGAGAAAUGGAAGGAAAAUGAAUCAUUUUGUUCUUUCUUUCCAAAUCCUCCCAAAUCGGAAGGAAAGUUAGGAGGGAAAAUGAUCCUCUCAUUUCCCUCCACUUCCUUCCUUUAAUGAAACUUAGAAACACCAAUUUGUUUUAUUUUCUUCUCAUUUCCACCCAUUUCAUUUCCUUUCUCUCGUUAAGUUGAACUCGGGAACGGGGUGUAAAAGUACUUCUAGAGUUCAAAAAGCACUCACAAACACCCAUUUAAUAAAGUAUUGUGUUUCAUAUACAAGGCAAUCCUUCUCCUUCAUUGUUUUCUGAUAAACUCCUUUUGCAAAUUUUGUGUUGUUUGUGGUUUGUUUCCAACGGGCCUCAAACUACAAGCCUAUUUGUUGGUCAUUUAUUUUAGCAAAUAAGAUAAAAAUAUUAUCCAGCCAAGUGAAAGUACAAUACAUAAAAUAUUAGUUUAAAUCUCUCUCUCUCUCUCUCUCUCUCUCUCUCUCUCUCGCACACACACAGGAAUAAAAUUCUUGUUUUUUUUCAUCAACAUAGAAACAUUUUUUAAGGAUAAAAAUUAAUAAAUUCAGGAAAUUUAUUUGAUAAAUAAAACACUAAAAAAGGAAAAAUCAACAUCAUUCAUCAUGGAAUAUAAUGUAAAAAAAUGAAGUUUAAUACCAAUAUGGAUGUUAAAGUAUAAGACAUAAAAAAUAUAAAUUUUGGUAUAUUUGUUAAAUAUAAAUAAUUAACAUUCAUCCGUUAGCACUACAAAUUCAUCAAUGAAAUAAAGCUCUAUANAGCGGCUUUUGAAAGCUACGAUUGCUGAUCAGGUUCUGAAGUCAUACGGAAAAUAGUUAUUAGACUUAUCCAAGUGGGAGACUGUUGGAUUAGUGUCUAAGUCCAUAACUAUUUUGGUAUGUACUUGACCCGAUUAUGAGCAUGGUCCUUUUGGGUUGCCUUCACCAUAGCAAUAUGUAGGAUGAAUUAAGGAGAGAGAGGUUUAAAUAUGAUUUAUUAAUAUAUUAUGAGAAUAAUAUAUUAAAGGAGAAAUCAUAUUGUUUAAUUAAUAUUAGUCAAGAAUUAAUUGAUAAUUAAUUUUGUGGCUAAAAGAGAUUAAUUAAAUUUAGGGGACUGGACUGCAAUUAUUGGAUAAUUGAGUUAUUGGGCUAAGGAAUGCUAAAGGAAUAAGGGGUGAACGAAAUUAUGAUGGGAGCCCAUCAUAUUUUCGUCCAUAGCCAUAUCCAAAAGGUUCCAUGGGCUGCUUAGAGUUUAAGCUGCCCAUUAGGGUUUUGACUGAAACCAUAGCAGCCCACACAAGUAUAUAAAGGACCCCUUAGGCCCUAAAAACGUGGACAACUGAUUCUCUAGGGUUUCUAGCCGUUUUUGGGCAGCCUCCUUUCUUCUCCUCUUCAUCCAAGUUGUAUAUGGUGUUUGUGACUCCAUUAGAGGUGCAACACUUGAUGCACUAAGCUUUUGAAGCCAAUUCAAGCAAGGAAUUGAUUGUUAUUGCUAUAUAACAAUCAAAGGUAAUUCUAUAAACCCUAAUUCAAUUUAUUAUAUUUUAUAUCUAAGUUUAUUAGUCUUGGAUUCAUUGCAUGUACAAUAGAGAAACCUAGAUCCAAGCAUUAGGGUUUGUAUGAGCACAUAGGAUUGUUCUUAUGCCUAAAACCCAUCAGAAUAUAGACCAAUGGUUUUAGUUCUUUUAAGUAAUGAUUUACCUAUCUUUAUAUCAGGAGACACAUGUUUAAAUUAAGAAACACAUGUUUAAUUAAUGAAAAUUUCGGAUUUUAAGGGAUACUGAUUCUUUUAAUUUUGAAUUCUGAUUUUUUUAAUUAAUUCAUUUUUAAUUCUAACAUAAUUUUUGAUUUUACUCGAAUUUAUUCUUUUAGAUUGCAAUUCUAUUAGAACAAUAUUCUAUGAAAAUUCCAUAAUAUAUUCUAAUAGAGUACAUAUUUUGAUUGAAGUAACUUCUUGUAGCAAAACAAUAUUCUUGAAGUUUCAGUUGAAAUAUAACGUAAUCUUUAUAUAUUCAAACAUUGAAAUGUAAAUAUAGAUUCAUACAUCUUCUUACAGAAAGAGAGAGAGAGAGAGAGAGAGAGAGAGAGAGAGAGAGAAUGACAGUGAGGUGUGAGGCACAGGAAGAAGAAAGAAAUAUGUGUUUUGUAUGGUCGGUUAGGGUUUUUAAUUCUUAAACUAUAUUGCCUAAACUAAAGGGAUUAAUUAAAUAUUUAUUUAAUUAAUAAAAUUAAUUAAUAGAUAACAUUAAAAAUUUACCUUAUUUAGGUUUUUAAAUGAUUGGCUCNUAUAUAUAUAUAUAUAUAUAUAUAUAUAUAUAUAUGACAAAACUUCAAAAAUGGUCCCUAUGGUUUCACAUAAAUCUAAAGUUUGGUCCCUAAUUUUAAAAAACCUCACGGAUGGUCCAUGUGGUUUAAAAACGUUUAAUAUUUAGUCCUUCCGGCUCACUCUGUUACCAUUUAGCAGUUAAAUUGUUUCUCAACAUUAAAUUGCAGGGGCAAUAUUGUCGUUUCACUUUUAACCUUUACUCUUUAAAAGAAAGAUUGCAUGCUCGAUUUUUGUGCAAACCCUUUAUCUGUGAUCAUCAUCUCUCUUUUCCCUUCCGUUGUUGGUCGACUGUUACACCCUUUACAAUAUCUAAUCGCUUCGCAUUCAAAGAUGGUGACUUGCUGAUGUAGGAAUAAAGCAAUGAAUAUCACUUCAUGGACGGAUCGUAACCUGGAAGGAAAUUUUGGAACUGUACAAGAUGUGGGUUCCUUCGAUGGUCUGACCCUCCUAUGUGUGUUAGGGCAUUAGUGGUGAUUCCGGGUUUGAUAAGAUAAAUGAAUCAAUUGGAAGAGAAGGUUGCUAUUACGAGUGCAGAACUAUGGAACUACCAGCUGAUGUUGUUUUGUUCAUGGGUGUUCUUUUUUUGGUUUUAUUUUAAUCAGUAUGUAUCUCUUUUCGGAUGGAUAUCUAUUUUCGUUUUUAUUCAUUAUUCGGGGGUUGAUGAAAGAAACCAUAUAGUUAUAUGAGUAAAAUAAACGACUUACCAAUUUGCUACGAAAGCAAAUAGGCCUUGUGUUGCGGAUAGAACGUUAUAGGCAAGAGCUCCUGUAGCUUCAUCUUAGUAUAUUUGAGCACACUUCAGGUCACUCCGCUAUUUCCAAAGGAAGAAAGGAAAGACUUUCUAGUUUCUUCUUGCUUGAGCUGAGCACUUAAGCCUUAUGUUAUUUGAUAUUUUUCAAAAAUUUACACUAACACUUCUAACUUUGAGCUUUCAACUAUCAACUUUUUUUUUGAACAUAUGUUUAAACUCUCUUAAUUGAUAGUUCGUAGGAUUGAACCCCACCCCCACAUUUCAAAUUUGGGUGGCUUGCCACUAGAAAAAAAAUUGAUAUUUAAUUUUGUAAUACAUUUUCUUAAUCUUGUGCAACUAUUUUCUUUCCGAAAAAAUGUGUUUGUAUAUAUAUGACUAACUAGUUUCUAACCCGUGGAAACCACGGUUACUAAAUUAAUUAACCUCUCAUAGUAAAAAUUCGUACUUAUUAAUCAAUUAUUUUAAAUAAAUUAUUAAUUAAGAGAUAUAUGAAAAUUUUAAAGUUAUUUAUAACUUCAAAUUUAACAUAUAAUUAAAAAAAAAGUAAAUGUUUCUAUAAAAAGUUUAAAUUUUAUUAUUAAAAAACCUUAUCGUCAUUAAUUAUGAUAGUGGUUUGCUUAAUAUAUUUUUCCUGACAUGUAGCAUAAUAUUAAUGAGAAGUUGUAUUAAAGUGAUAUAUGUCAAAAGAAUAUUAAAGUUAUUCUUUUAUUAGUAUUAGUAUAGGGAUGGAUUUUUUAUUUUUGAGAAAUAUUUGGUCAAAUGAGUGUGAACUUUUUAUUUUAAAAAAUAAAAAUAAAAAUAAAAAUGAGUGUGAACUAAUGAAAUAUUCAUAGUAAACAAUUAUAGGGAUAUUAAGUUUUCGGUUUCCAUUCACACACAUAAUCAAUUGUUGACGUGGCCUUUAACAAUUUUGUUUGAGCAUAUAAUUGGUGGUUGGUGUAUGACACUUUAUAUGUAUGUCCUACAUGUUGUUUUGCAAUAUCAUGUGUUUAUGGUUACACUCAAAGAUGGAUAAUGUUCCUGAUGGAUGUGUUUUAGAGGCUGAAUUUGUUAAUAAUAUAGACAUUAAAGCAACCACUAAGAUUUCUAUAUAAAUUAAAAAUAAAAGCAUCCACGACGUCCCUACUUCACUUAUACCAUUACAUAACAAGAUGUUGAGUGCUCACCAAAUAAUCUUAAAAGAGGACCAAUGAAUUGUCAAAAUUAAAUUUAUUGAAAUAUAUGCCUAUUACCCUAUCUUAAUUUUGAAAGAAUCAGAUUUAUUUGUUUGGAUUUAAUUUGGACAACUUGUUGUAGGACAUUGCCACUUUUCCAUGUGUUACAUAUUUGUUCGUGGGCUUAGUCAGCAAUGCAAUUGGACUCACUAUUCAGGGCUUGUAGGAGAUCUGGUUGGACCUGCAGUGUUGAUACAAGCCAAGAGUAGGACCAAAAGUGAGAGAAGUUGUAGAAGUUAAGGACGGGGGCUUGUGUUUGAUAUUCUUAGUCAACACUCGGAUCUUUUAACCCAGUUUCCGACCCGAUCGUUUAACCUAGUUUCCGACCCGAUGGUGUUAGUAACACCCAUGUAUAUAAGGCUAGAUCAACCACUAAAUUUUGCAUCACUACAAGAAAGUAGAGCAUUACCGGCGACAGACGUCGUCGCUAAAAGCGCGCCUUGUCGCCGCUAAUAGUAUUAGCGGCGACGUGUCGUCGCUAAAACGUCGACGCUGAUGUUUUGUCGCUAUUAAUCAAACUGUCGCCGCUAAUGCGUGUCUGUCGUCGCUAAAACCCGUCGCCGCUAAUAAGCACACGUCGUCGCUAAAACUCGUCGCCGGUAAUAAGCUAUUGUCGCCACUAAAGGUGUCGCCGGUAUUAGUUUUUUUCUUUUAAAAAAAAAAAAAACUAGUAUGAUAUUAAUUAAUCUAAUCCUACAUCAUUCCAUUCCAAAAUAUUAAUACAAUAUCCGUUUAAAAUACUCGUCUGAUUUAACCUAGAACAAAAUAUCGAAAAUACUAGUCUAAAAUACUUGCACAAAUAAAACAUAAAAAAAUCCUACAACUAUCUACUCGUCAUCAUCGCUCUCCUCGUUUCCUCCGGUUUCAUUUCGUUGUGGCAACGAACGAAACCAAUCUUCAAGUGCAGCACUACAUGCCGGAUCUUUUAACAUUGUUUGAAGCAUUUCCAACUACAAAUAAAACAACAUAGUCUUAUAAGUAAACUAGCAUUAUAACAUUCUAUAUACAAAAUAUACAUUCCACAUAUUGGGUAUAAAACAUUAUAACAUUGUACUAUAACUAAUAAUUACCAAAUUUUGAAACUAUUACUAAACCAACAAUUACCAACAUUUUAAACAAUUACCAAAAUUAAAUAAUCUUGUCACCUGUGAUUGUGGUGGUGGCUGUGUCAUUGGUUGUUCCUGAUCGUACAUCGAAACAACCGUAGAAGGUUUACGCCCGAUGCCUCUGAUAUGGCCACGUCGAACACCCAAUAUUUUUUCAAAACAAUUUUGUGUAUCCUUUGGUGUUAGACCGCUGGCUUCAGAGGAAGCUUGAGUUUGUUGACUGAUCUUAAAGAGUAAAGCAUUCUGUAUUUUCAAAAAAGAAAUAAAUAUAAUAAAAAUUAGAUUACUAACUACCCUUUGACGAUAUAAGCACUUAUAUGAAAAUACAAAUUAACCACUUACGUAUUGUUGCUCGACUGCAGGACUAGUAAACACCCCUUGGCGAUCAGUAUUGGCCUUACGAAAUGCUUCGAUUCGAGCGAUGUCCUAUUUCACAUUAAAAAUUAGAUUAAUUAUAAUUUAAAUAAACAGUUAAAUAUAUCAUAGCUUACUUCUUUGAAACAUGCAUUGCUAUACGAGCACGAUCCCCCUCUGUUUACAACUUGUUGUUGUGCACGGACUCCUUUGUUUGACGCCGAACGCUUUAGAAAUUCAGGAGUUUGAAAAUGCUCGACUGCUUGCGCCCAAUUUUCACGUGACAUACCAUCGAGGGGGUUGGCUAAUGCCCUUGGGAUAUCUGUAAGCCCCCCGACAUUCUCAAAAUAAGUAUGUGCUUUAUUUUUUCGUCCUCUAUAAAUUCUUUGCAAGGUCGCGUCAAUGCUCUGCAACAACUGAGCACGCUCGGGAUCCAAGUUAACCUUAUCUAAAUCAAACUUAUUCUACAAAUACAAAAAAGUUAGUUAGUUAAAUACCAAUUAGAACUAAAUUUAAAAUAUUGUCCAAGUUACCUUUAAAUGAACCACUGUGGCAUUCCUUAAAGCGGGGGAAACAUUGUCCCAACCAGAUACGUUCAAAGGGAUGUUCAUCCAUAUAUACUUCCCAAUCUCACGGGUAAACCAAUUACCAUGGUUCCCGAUAGGGGAAUAUGUCAACUCUCUAUCGAAAUCCAAAUCUACAGGUUUUCCCUUGUUUGCCCGUAUUAUCUUUGAUAAUUGAAUGUUUUUUGCUAGGCCUCUUCUUUUCUUAGGGAGCUCAGCUGAAAAAUAUAAUUAAAAAUAUUAGUCAUGAUAACUUAUAAUAAAUGGAUAAAAAUAUCUAACAUAUAUAUCAUAAUAAGACUUACCAUCUUGUUCGUGUUGACAACGACCAAAACCUCCGGGAGGUGGUGGAUCCCCGGCUCCAUCACCUCCAUGUCCUAAGCCCAUAACAUCCGCCAUCACGUAGAAGAGUAUCGCCCAACUAAACCCCAUAUAUAACCUGCAAAAUUACAAUAUGAAUAGAAUUUACACAUAUUACAUAUACAAAAAUAAUACAGUUUCUAUUAUAACAUUGUAGUUUCCAAAUUGCAUACAAAUACAUACACAAUAUAACAUCAUACUUUUUUUUCCUUUAAUAUUGCAUCCUACUUUUUGUUCAAUUUUUUCCAUGAACUAAUUUAUUAUACAAAUAUAACCUUUAUAAAAAAUAUCAUUUAAGUCAGUAACAAAAUGGUAAGAAAUUAAUAAUUUCUAAAAUUUAAUUAAUCUAAGGCUUACUUAAUCUAAAAUAAAUCAAUAUUAUAAAAAAUAUAAAUAACUUUCUGAAAUUUUACAUUAAAACUUUGGAUUCAAUUUACACAUAUUACGACUAGAUUUUUAAUUAUUUUUUAGAGCAAGGGACCAAAAUCGUACAAAUCAGAAGUUGAGGUUUGAUCAUAUAUAUUUUGUAAUGGAGUUUGGUUAAAUCAGGAGGUUUGAUACCUCCUGUAUCCUCAUCAUCGUUCAUCCCAAAUGAGAAGCAAAAAAAAAGAUACAAAUUAAUUGCCUUGUGUUUAUCAUCUACCAACAAAUCAAGAGAUUAAAAGGGCCAACAAAUCAAGAGAUUAAAAGGGGAUGGAUGGAGUGGACUUAGGAAGAAGGAAGCUAUAAACAAUAUAAAAUGCAUACAAUCUAACAAAUUGCACAAACACUUUUAAUCUCAAAAUUACUAACAAUUUAUCAUACAACAUAGCAACAAAACACGAAAAUAAUAGAAAAUUGGAGAAAUUUGACCUUGAAUGUGGGCAAUUUCGGUAUUGAGCUCAAGGAUCGCCGGUUUUCAACGUUUUGAGGGAAGCUAUGGCGGUCUUAUGGUGGCAGAAGGGGCUAGCACCGGUAAUUUACCUUCGUCCUCCACUUAGUCGAAGUGAUCAAACCGAGAAGCAGCAACAGAAACGAGAGAAGGAAAGGAUACAAGCAGAGGAAAAAAUGUCACCGAAAAGGAAACUGGAAAGGGUAAUCUGUAAUGGGUAUUAGCGGCGACAAGCAAUAGCGGCGACAGAAGGGUAAUAGCGGCGACAUCAGGGCAAUAGCGGCGACACCUUUGGAGGGAAAAGUUAGCGCGUUUUCGCUUUCCUCUACAACCGUUGGAUUGAAAUCAAAUCGGACGGAUAGGGAUAAUUUGACACGGAUCGCCGAUUUUGAGCAUUACCGGCGACGCGUAGCAAUAGCGGCGACGUGUAACACGUCAAUUACAUGUCGCCGCUAUUGCUCUCCGUCGCCGCUAAAAGCGUCGCCGGUAAUGCCAACAUUUCUUGUAGUGCAUCUGGUGUGACAGCACCAAAAUGUAUUAAAAGUUAGUUUAAUUAUAAUCUUGCAUGUUGUAUAUUCUGCAAAAAAAAAAAAAAAAGUUCGUUACAACCUUUCAGACCAUAGUUCUUGCAAAGAAAAACAUUUAUUUCUAUUAUUGAUAUUUGAGAAUCUUAUCUUAUUAUGAUUUUACUUAAAAAGACAGAAUUAGGGGCAUUGUUUGAAGAACCACUAGCAAAGGAUCCUAACUUGUAGGAUUCUUCCCUAGAACACAUUGCACAGAUGUUCUCUCUUUAAAAUGUUACUUGUAAAUUGAGAAUAUGAAUAAUCUAAAUCCACUCAGUUGCAUCAUUCGUGUCGUAGGUUGUUGGAAGCAUCGCAAACACCCACAAAUUGAAUUUAAUCGUUAUCAUAAUCUGAUAAAUUAUAACUUCUCUAAACACAUGCAUGCAUUAAUUCGUUGGUAGACAUUAUAUAUGAUAGACCCAUCAAUUUUAUCAUAAGUUUCUUUUAGGUUAGUCCAAACAUCCACCAACACUUUGAGAGAACCUGGCUAACAUAUAAGUUUUAUGACACAACCUAAAAACUUGGACAAAACUAAAGCAACAACCAUAUGCCAAUAUCUAUCCUGUAACUCAUCGUUCUCAGUCCGAAAACAAGAGUCAUUCACAAACCCUAGCUUAUUCUUAGCGUUAAGGACUAGUUUAAUUAGUAGCACAGUGUGUUACAAUGUUACUGAUCAUCUUUUUCAAAAUAGUACAUCGCAACCUACAAACUUUCAUCAUUGGACAAUCGAUUUAGGGAAAAAUAUCCAUCAACUUUUAAAUCCAUCUUCAAAUGUUGAUCUAUUUCUUUUAUUUGAUUCCUGUUGGAAUAGCACAACUGACAUAUAUUCUUCUCUGUAGAGUUUUUUGUUUGUUUGAACAGAUGCUUAGAGCAAAUCUGGACAACACCAUCAUCUUCUUCCUUUUCUCUUUCAUAUUUUGUUUUUGCUGAUAAUUUUUAAAAUAAAAAGGUUUUGUUUCACUCUUUUAGGCUUUCAGGUAACCAUCAGCUGCUAAAGAAACUUGGAUGCACUGCUCUUAGUUAUAUCAAAACAUAUAUAUUAAUUUUUGUUUAAGAGGCUUCUUAGAUGAAGAUGAUGUGUUUGUAUUGUAUUAGUCUAAUAUAGUGGUUUGAUAUGUAAUUAAUAGGUGAAGCUGACUAAAACAAUUACUUAACAAGUGAAACUACUAGCAAAAGGUGAAGAUGAAAGUACAUACAUGGUUACCCUAAUAAGAAAAACAUGAUUCAAGAAGAAAACAUGAAACUAGCAUGCUAAAACAAACAAGUCAUGUGUGUUUUUUCUGUUGCGAUCGUUUCAAGGUUGACAAUCUACUUUUGUCCAACCAGAGUUUUACCAGAGCUUUUGGAUUCAGUAAAGUGUGUAUGUGUGUGCUAUGAACAAAUGUGAUAAAUGGUUACCCUAACAAGUCAUUUCCCCUUUUUAUUAUACCCUUAAUGGUUAUUAUUAUUACUUUUUUAAAACAACUUUCUUAAAUAAAAAUAGAAAAUAUAAACUUUUUAUGAUGCCUUAUUUCACACAGCGGUGAAAAAUGGCCACCAGUGGUCUUGGAGGCAAUUUUAUUGAAAAAUGGGACUUAAAAACCCAUGCCAAAUACAAAAAUGAAACAUUGUUUUACAUGACUAUAUAUGUUCAUCUUUUUUGCAAAUUUGCAAUGAACAUCACCACCUUCACAUAAACCCAAUCUUCAAAGCUAUCAAGAAACAUAAAAAAAGCAAAUCUUCCACGACGGUUGAGAAGCAAAGCACCACAUGCUAUGCAAAAUCCAACAAUGAAACCAAUGGCCCCACCAACAUCGAACCAACCUUGAACAUAGGUAGGGUAUUAUUUUAAUGUAACAAUGUUGAUUUUCUGAGUUGAACAUUGAUUUAAUGAUGAACAAAUAAGGCCCUAGGAAACAUAAGGUGAAAUAUAUUAUUAAUUAUAGUCUUAAAGAAAAGCAAUGUAUAUGGAUGGAUCAUCCUUGGAGCACUAUAUUUCCUAGAAAAUUUGUUGAUUAAUCCAAGUUUAUUGGUUACAUAUGUACAAAACAAGUGACUAAAGAAUGACCCAAUGGGACAGUUGUUUACUGUCGUAUAGUCAUUUUCCCUUUUUAUCAUUACCCUUAUUUAGGCCUGCCAAUCGUGUCGUGUUCGGGUUGGCGUGUCGCGGGUUGGCGGGUCAAAAUAUGCCAACCCAAACACGACCCAUUUAAAUAUACAAGUUACGGGUUGACAUGUCACGGGUUGGCGGGUUUGGAACCUAAACCCAUAUAUGACCCGCCAACCCAUUUAUUAAUAUGGGUUCAUAGGUUGGCGGGUUCGUGGGUCAGAUUUGGGUUCGUGGGUACGAAUUUUAGACAUUUAAGUCUUAAACAUCCAAAUGAAAUUUAAAAACAUUCAUAGAAACAUGUUACAGACUUGACAUUAUAAGUUACGACUUACGACCUUAGACCAUCCACUUGGAGUCAAAAUGUCAAAAUUGUCAAAUGGUCUAUGAAUCAAUGGUAUAUAUUAUAUAAUACUUAUUAAAUAUUAAUACUUGAUACAUAAAUACAUUUAAAAAUAAAAUGAUUUUUUUUUAUUAAGAAUAUAAACGGGUUGACGGGUCAACCCGUUUAUUUUUUGAGAAACUCAUAUAUGACCCAUUUAAUAAGCGGGUUGGCGGGUUAGCGGGUUGACGGGUUGAAAAACUCAACCCAAAUCCAUUUAUUUUGUGUCGUGUCGUGGGUCGUGUCGCAGGUCGUGUCGAGAAUUGCCAGCCCUACCCUUAUUGGUUAUUUAAAACAAAUAAAUAAAAAUAAUAAAUAACUUUCUAAAAUAUAAACUUUUUAGGAUGCCUAAUUUCACACAACGGUGAAAAAUGGCCAUCCGUCGUGUUUGUGGCAAUUUUAUUGAUAAAUGGGACUUAAAAACCCAUGCCAAAUACAAAAAUGAAACAUGGUUUUACAUUUAUCUAUGUUCAUCUUUUUUGCAAAUUUGCAAUGAACACCACCACCUUCACAUAAACCCAAUCUUCAAAGCUAUCAAGAAACAUAAAAAAAAAAAGUAAAUCUUCCACGACGGUUGGUGAGUAAAGCACCGCAUGCUAUGAAAAAUCCAACUGUGAAACCAAUGGCCCCACAAACAUAGAACCAACCUUGAAGUUCGUCUAUACCUUCCCCCUCACUUUCACACCAAUGCUAUGUUGUAUUCUCGAUUCUUCAUCUCCAGGACAUUUUUUGGUAAGGGGAGGUCCACAAAGCCCUAAGUUCCAUUCGUAUCUUGAAGGGUCAAAGGACUGAAGUUGUGCGCUGGAUGGGAUUCUCCCUGACAAGCUAUUAUCUGAGACGUCUAGGUAAUUUAGCCAAGUCAUUUGAGAAAUGGUUGAUUGUAUUUCUCCUGAAAACUUGUUUCUAGAUAAAUCCAAAGUUAAAAGAUUUUUCAUCUGACCGAUUUUCCAUGGAAUCUUUCCACGUAGAGCAUUCUUUGAUAAGUUCAGUGCAAUUAGUUCAUCAAGAUUGGUAAUCUGAUAUGGGAUUUCCCCUGUUAAGUUGUUGCUUAACAGGUUGAUGCUCCUCAAUAAUACCAUAUUACUACGGAUGAAUUCACGUUCAGUUCCUUGCCACUGGAUCAUCACAUGGUCAACAUUAUAUGAAUAUGUUAUUAAUGAAUAAUCUACUUGAGAGAAUCCUUCUGUCACCAUGAUCUUAAAAUUACUCAAACAUGAGGGGAUGGUUCCAUGGAAAUGGUUCACGGACAAGUCUAGAAUUUGAAGACUUGCUAAUUGACAUAAUUGUAAAGGAAUGUUUCCAGAGAAGUUGUUUGAUCUUAACGUAAGAACAUACAACCCAAAUAAGUUUUCCCCAAUCCAAACAGGCAAAUUACCAGAAAACUUGUUAGCCCCCAAAUUCAAUGAUUUUAAGCUCGUGCAAUUCUUAAUAGACAAAGGAAAUUCAUCAGAGAAAUCGUUCUUGUAUAGAUCCAAUGCCUCGAGCUUAAUCAUAGAUCCAAGAGAGCCAGGAAGCCUUCCAGACAGAUUAUUGUGUUAUAAAUUAAGAACUUUUAGUUCUUUGAAAUGCCACAAACCAUCUGGAAUUUGUCCACUUAGAAAGUUAUGAGAGAGGUCAAGAAUAAUGUAACAUCCCGAAAUAUCAAGAGUAGAGUUGAAGGGCUAAAAGAGUAAUUUAGGAAAGAGCGACUCGGCGAGUAGAGUCGUGACUUUGUCACGUGAUUAAGUAGCCGACUCGGCGAGUCAGUGAGAUGGACUCGGCCUCCUUAUCACCCCUUGAGUCCUAGAAAACCUAAUUUCGUGGAGAAACCCCAUNCCUUAUAUAAAGAUCAUUAUGUUUUCCCCCCAGCCUCUUUAUCACCCCUUGAGCCCCAGAAAACCCUAAAUCGCGGAGAAGCACCAUUGUUGAGUGGAUUGGAGCUUGGAGAAGUAAUUGUUGAAGGAAUUUUGGGAGAUUGAAGGCUUGGAGCAAGGGGCUUUGCUUGGAUUCGAAUUACAUUGCAGUUGGGGCAUAUCUUAGAGGUAAUGUCUCGUUAUUGGAUUGUUGUUAUAUUGUUUCUUCAUUUUGGGGUUUGUGGGAACUUGUCUAUGGAUGUAAUUGGAAGUCUAGAGGUUAGAUCUGAGGUUGCUACCUCAGAUCUGGAAUGAAGAAGAAUCAGAGAGCAUGAAAGUCCCUGUAUUGGAGUGUUUAGUGAAGCUAUCAUGUCCCAAACCCUAGCUCUAAAGUGAAUAAGGCCUAGAUCUCUUUGGAUUCACGUAAAGUUUGCCACUUUACGUGAUGGAUGAGUGGUAGGAGGCUAGAUCUAUGUUUUGGAGCAAUUGCAUGGCCUGGAAUGCUUCUGAAUGGAUUCAGACCGGUGGUACUCGGCGAGUCACAUGGGUGUACUCGACGAGUUGGAUGAAGAUGGCCUGGAACUCGGCGAAUUGUAUGAACAACUCGGCGAGUAGGAUGAAGGAAGCCUUAGAAUCGGCAAGUCUGUUCUUGGACUCGGCGAGUCUUGUUGAAGAGUCCCAAAUAUUUUAUGGUUGAGUCGAAAAUCGGCGAGUCAAGGGAUGACUCGGUGAGUUGUGUGCGAGUGGACUCAGAGUUGUGGGACUCGGCGAGUCUCGGGGUAACUCGGUGAGUUGAGUCGCGGAUUGGGGAAGUUCUGAGCAUGGGGAAUCGACGAGUCGACGGGUUGACUCGGCGAGCAGGGUCAACCAGGAGGGUUGACUUUGACGGAGGACUUUGACUUGGACCAAGAGUUGACCGUUGACUUUUAGGGCUUGGUCAGCGAUGUGGCCUUUAGGCCAAAAGAGGGGUAAAAUAGCCUUUUACCCUUAAGAGGGUGCCAUGAGAGGGUUGAUUCUAGUCUCGAGAGUUAUAUUCAUGAGAGUAUUUGCCUUAUGUGUUAGGCGGUGGCGAGUUCGAGAUUCAAGUGUGGAGAUAUCUGCUUUCUGCUUUCCAGGUGAGUCUUCUCACUAUACUUUACCUUGAGUAGGUAACCAGAGUUAUGUGAUUAGAGUAUUUGUAUGCUAUAUGUACGUGAUGUGUUGUACUGCAUUAUUUCUAUGUGAUUUAUGUUGUGCAUGUUUUUAGAGUUGGAACCGGAAGGUUCCCAGAGUUAGAACCUGAGGGUUCACAGAGUUUGGGUGCACGGACCCAUAGAGUUAUAGCCUCGAGUGGCUAAUAUGUGUUAUGUGUGGUAUUUUGGGGAACUCACUAAGCUUCGUGCUUACAGUGUUUUGUGUUGUGUUGUUUUUUUUUCAGGUUUCUUUCAGUAUCACAGGACGGCACCGACUUGAUUGUACACACCAGAGAAAGAGUCAUAUUUUGGAGGAUCCUGGUUUUCUAUGCAUGUGAAAAAGGAGUUUUGUUUUUGUAAUUCGUUUAUAAAUGAGAUUUUAAACAAGUGUUUCUAAGAAUUUACGAUUAUUUUAAAUAAAAAAUUGUUUUGAAAUUCACAGUGUUACAAGUUGGUAUCAGAGCCUUGGUUUGAGGGAUUCGGAUGCGCCUUCGGGUAAAUCUGGUCUCAAACUGAGGAAGUAAGAAAAGUUUUCAAAUAAAUAAUUUUCUAAAAGUGAAUAAGAGUUUAAAAAGAAAGCAAGAAAGAGUAGUGUGUACAAUCAGCCAGAGCCUGACCGGUGAUUUCCCAAAAUACCCUUACUUUUGUGUUAUGAGAUAUUUAUGAUGCACUUUAUGAGAUAUUAUUGCAUGCUAGAGGCAGGCUAGGUAUUUCACAUCUUAGGACUAGAGUGGCCUGAUCUGUGAUGCCUUAGCCUAGGACUUGUUGUUAUAUUUGUGUUAUGCUUUUGAAUAUGUGAUGAGCGAGAGUAUCCAGUUAGAACCCAUGAGGGGUAGAGUUACAGAGUUCAGUGGUACUUCCGAGGAUGAGCCGAGAAAGUGGAGUUAUCACAGAGAGGGAGUCCUAUGUAUUCUUCGAUGCUCGAAUGUUGCUUGCUUUGUGCUUUGUGGAACUCUCGAUGAUGGGAGUCAACUACCAAGUGAAUAUGACGAUAUUCAGGAGGUAGAUGGCUGGCAUCAUAGGGAGCUCUUCAGUAGCUGAUAGCAAAGAAGUGGGAGGACAACGGAAGAGCCUAGGGAGUAACCCUAGCCAGAUGAGUGCGCUGGUAGAGUAGAGAAUUUCGCUGGGGAGCGAGCACGCGCGAUGGGAUUGGUGAAAGAUCAGGUCGAGCAGCUACUUAGGAGCUCUGGGAUGGUCCGUGUGGAAAGUAUGGGUAGAUGUGGCAGGUAGUAUGGGCCCGUACUACUGAAAGCAGAGGACCCAUACUUGAUACAGGGAGUAUUCUGAAGGUUCUAAGGAGCGGAUUGAGGAGUGAUGUUAUGGUUCGAGUACCAUACAUCGGAGCGGAUUGAGGAGUGAUGUUAUGGUUCGAGUACCAUACAUCGGAGCGGAUUGAGGAGUGAUGUUAUGGUUCGAGUACCAUACAUCNNNNNNNNNNNNNNNNNNNNNNNNNNNNNNNNNNGUUAUGGUUCGAGUACUAUACAUCGGAGCGGAUUGAGGAGUGAUGUUAUGGUCCAGGUACCAUACAUCGGAGCAGAUUGGGGAGUGAUGUUAUGGUAGGGUACCAUACACCGGGGCAUAUUGAGAAGAGAUGUCAUGGAAUGAGUACCAUGGUUUGUAGUGAAUGAUGCUUGUGGUUCUCCGGUUAUCCGGUCAUGAGUAAGUUCGAAGAGGCGUCCAUUGAGAGGGAGAUCGAGAGCCCCUCAGAGUAUUUUAGUAAGGAGUCAGUGAGAAGGGAGAAUUUCGAUCUGAGUUGAGUAAUCAGUCGAUAAAGGAGAUGUCACCUCCUAUGAUCUGGGAGGUCCUGAUUAUGUUCGUGUGAAAAAUAUGAGAAGCAUGAUGUUUUGGUUUUGGGUUUAGGGGUAAACCCUGCAGGUCGUCAUUGAUGAUGAUUUCCCACCAGAGUAUCAGGUAGCAUGUGUGCUGUGAGGCAGUGAUUUAUCAUGAGCAGAUAGUCAGUUGGGACUGAGAUAGUCGAGGGCCACGCUACACCUAUUGAGUAUAGUAGGGUGUACGGUAGUGGUUGAUAUGGGCAUAUUUAGUUAUAAACUUCAUGCAUUAUCUUAAUACUUUAUGUUGAUUUUAUCUCAUUUAAUGAACAAAAGGUGCUUAAUUAGUUUAGAAUUUCAUUUUUCAGCAAUAAUGACAUGCUCGGAAGGAAAAGGAAGCGGAACUAGCGAUUGGAGGCUUGGAUAUUGGAUUUUGAAGAAAGAAGGAUGUUGCUGGACAGCUUGACCCCUCGUCAGUGUUUUGGCCAUAUCUCAUGAAUCGUAACUCCGAUUGACGAGAUUCAAAAUGUUCUGAAAGGUAGACACAAUUUCGGACGACCUUCGUAUUUUGAGAAAUGCUGAUUCGAAACAUACUCAGCGAGUAGGGUCGAUUACUCGGCGAGUUGUAUCGAACUUUCGCGAUUUUGGACGCGCUGACUUGCUGUACACGGGUUUUAAGUGACGGACUCGCCGAGUAGGUCACUAGACUCGCCGAGUAGCCUCUGUUUUGUGAAAAUCUAUAUAAAGGGACUUUCAGAUCGAUAUCAUAGCAUGGAGAGAAACCCUAGGAGGCUGAGAAACGAUUGGAAGUGUUGCUAGGUCGUGAGGAACUGAAGAAUCAACCCUACAUUCAAUUGUGAAGAGAAUCAAGACAAUUUUGGUUUAUUCUUAGUAACUUUUUGAUUUGAAUCAUGUUUACAUACUUUGAUUUCGUUUUUGAGUUUAUGUUUACUGCAAUCAUGAGCUAAAAACUUAUUCUUCUGUUAGGGUAGACAAUUUUGUGAACAUGGAUUGAUUAUUUGAGUAGGAUUAAUUUUAAUUGGUAAUUAUGUUUUGUUAAGCUUGUUAAAGAACCUUAUGUGUUGACAAUAACUAUUCUUCUGUUAAUAAAUCAGUAAUUAAGUUGUAUGAACAUCUCUUAGUUAUUAAUUUCAUAUGAUUUAUUGUGACCACAUAGUUGUAUGUCUAGGAAUAACGAACGUGAAACUAGAAUUAACUAGAAGAUAGGUAAGUUAAUGUGUAAGCUUGUUGGAUGAACAUCGACAAGAGGUUAAUUGAAGGGCCAAUUUAGUUAACCACUACAAGUCUUACUUAACCCGAAUCAAUAAUCUAGGAAACCCGUUAAUUUAGACAACUGGCCAUUGCUUGAGUUAAUUUGUUUUCUAAGAAUUAGGAAUAGCGAACGUGAACCUAAUUAUCUUAAUCGGUAGCCAAUGAAGAAUUAAUCUGAUACAUUAAAAUCAUCCAUGGGAACAAAUGAGUCGUACCUAAACAGAAGUCCUCUUUACUAUUGAAUUUAGUUGGUAAUUAAUUGUUUUAGUUGCUAGUUAGUUAAUUUGUGUGUUGGUUAUUCUAAUUAAGUUUCUAGUCUUGUAAAACUAGAGAAAACCCCCUUUUUGUUAUUUGUUUUAUUUAGAUAAUAUUAGCAUUUAUUUUAAUUGUUUACCGUUCCCUGUGUUCGAUACCCUACUUGCUUGAACUAUAUUACUAAUCGAUAGGUACACUGCCUUUCGUGUGUUUAUUUUGUGUCUAAGUUAGUAGGAUUAAAACUAGUUCGUUUUACACACAUCAAAUUUUUGGCGCAGUUGCCGAGGAAUGGUUCUAAAUAGUUAAUUUUAUUUGCUAAUUGUUAUUAUUUUUUUAUUUGUUGAUUAAAUUUUUUUUUAUUUAGUAUGUAUUUUCCAAAUCUCGAUGCUUUUGAUGCUUUUCUUGAGAAAGUAGUACAGGAAAUUGAGCAAGAAGAUGAGGAGUGUGGAUGGGAUGAAGAUUUGAAGAAAUUUGAUAGAUGGUUAGAUAACAUCUUGCCCAACACACAAGAACAAUCUGAGUCACAAGAGCUAGAGUUAAAAGAUGAAGAAUUUAAUCCAGAAAGAGAUUUGGAGGAACUAGAAAGAUUGCUAGCAGAGGGGUCAGAUGAAGAACAAGAAAAACCUAAGUUGCAGGAACCAAGUUGUGGUUUGACCAUUACCACGACAUGCCCCCUGUAUUUUCGGUUUGUGUUUUGAAGCAUGGGGUGACGACUCCAACUUUGGAGAAAGUUCUAAAUCACGAUCCAUUUAUGAUUAGUAUCUAACCGGUUCCAACCCUUGUCAAUAUUCAUGGGUUUUAUGAAUUCAAUCUCAUUUGGCCAAUUUUUGAAGCAAAGAGUCGAAUUUUACAAAUUGGUCCAAAGAAAAUAUUUAAUGCAACGGAUGGAUUGACAUUGAGUUUAUUGGAAGUUUAUUAAGUUGGGAGUCCAGCUAAAGACUCGCACAAAAAGAAGCGCUUGCGGGAGGCAACCCGUCAUUAGAGUUUUCUUUUCUUUUUCUUUCUAAACUUCUAGUGUUUAAGGAUAAUUUAGGAUUUUUUUUAUUUUAAUGUUUUUUUUAUUANNNNNNNNNNNNNNNNNNNNNNNNNNNNNNNNNNNNNNNNNNNNNNNNNNNNNNNNNNNNNNNNNNNNNNNNNNNNNNNNNNNNNNNNNNNNNNNNNNNNNNNNNNNNNNNNNNNNNNNNNNNNNNNNNNNNNNNNNNNNNNNNNNNNNNNNNNNNNNNNNNNNNNNNNNNNNNNNNNNNNNNNNNNNNNNNNNNNNNNNNNNNNNNNNNNNNNNNNNNNNNNNNNNNNNNNNNNNNNNNNNNNNNNNNNNNNNNNNNNNNNNNNNNNNNNNNNNNNNNNNNNNNNNNNNNNNNNNNNNNNNNNNNNNNNNNNNNNNNNNNNNNNNNNNNNNNNNNNNNNNNNNNNNNNNNNNNNNNNNNNNNNNNNNNNNNNNNNNNNNNNNNNNNNNNNNNNNNNNNNNNNNNNNNNNNNNNNNNNNNNNNNNNNNNNNNNNNNNNNNNNNNNNNNNNNNNNNNNNNNNNNNNNNNNNNNNNNNNNNNNNNNNNNNNNNNNNNNNNNNNNNNNNNNNNNNNNNNNNNNNNNNNNNNNNNNNNNNNNNNNNNNNNNNNNNNNNNNNNNNNNNNNNNNNNNNNNNNNNNNNNNNNNNNNNNNNNNNNNNNNNNNNNNNNNNNNNNNNNNNNNNNNNNNNNNNUUUGACACCCAAGACAUGGAUGAGUUGUUCCCAUGUCUAAAGUCAAUUGAAGAUGGAGCUGAAGAGAAGAGAUAUCAACCUCGCCACUACUAUCCCAGGGGAGUUUGUUCCAAUUCUCUCCUUAUUUUUAUUGUUCUUUAUCAUGCAUAAUAUGCAAUGGGGACAUUGCAUAAAUUAAGUGUGGGGUAGGGGGUUGGUUGGUUACACUAGUUAAUUUUGAAAGUUUUGCAUAAAAUUUGCUAGGAUUAAUUUAUAAAAUUUUGGUAAAGCAAUUAGGGAUCAUGCUAGUAUUAUAUUUGAUGAUUGCAUGAAGACCCAAAUGUUUAGUUGAGCCUAUAUACGUUCUAGUGCAUUUGUGGCUUCCUUAUUCUAGUGAAAUCAUGGGACAAAAACACGACCUCGCUUAGUUUGAAGGAUGCAAUAUGUUUAGCAUCGUGUACCAGAAAUGUAUCCAGGAAAAUUAUUAUCUUUAGCCAAUAAAGGUUGAAGUUGAGCGCCCUUGCUUAAGCAUGUAGGUUUUGAGUGAAAAAAAGUGAGGUACAUGUAAAAAAAAAAGAGAAUUACAAGAAAAGUUGUAAGAAUUUUGGAGCAAUUAAAGUGAAGAUCAAAAGAUCGAAAAUUCCGAAGAAAUUCAAAAAGUUGAAGAUACCAAAAAUCAAACAACAAGGUGGUGAAUUCAAAGAAAUUAAAGAUCAAAUGUCAAAGAAGUGAAGAAUUCCAAAGAGCUCCAAUGUGGUAUCAUAAAUUGUAAUUGUCUAGAUUAUGUAUGCUUGGGUUGCUCAACCAAAAAUACCUUGAGGUUAAGAGGUUUUCUGAGGAUGGAUUCGGAGGGAUGCAUAAAAUGAGCAUUGUUCGGAAAAAGUGGGCGAAUGUUUAUGAGGAUUGUGAGUAUUUGGUGUAUGUGGGGUUAUUAGGAAAAUUUUAGACACAAAUGCAUGCGUUGCGGUCUUGGCAUAAUGGUUGGGUUUGAUUGGGAUUGUCUUAUGUAAUAUUAGUAUACUAAAAUUUAGUUUUGCUUGGGGGCAAGCAAAAGUCAAGUGUAGGGUAUUUUGAUAUGGGCAUAUUUAGUUAUAAACUUCAUGCAUUAUCUUAAUACUUUAUGUUGAUUUUAUCUCAUUUAAUGAACAAAAGGUGCUUAAUUAGUUUAGAAUUUCAUUUUUCAGCAAUAAUGACAUGCUCGGAAGGAAAAGGAAGCGGAACUAGCGAUUGGAGGCUUGGAUAUUGGAUUUUGAAGAAAGAAGGAUGUUGCUGGACAGCUUGACCCCUCGUCAGUGUUUUGGCCAUAUCUCAUGAAUCGUAACUCCGAUUGACGAGAUUCAAAAUGUUCUGAAAGGUAGACACAAUUUCGGACGACUUUCGUGUUUUGAGAAAAUGCUGAUUCGAAACGUACUCGGCGAGUAGGGUCGAUUACUCGGCGAGUUGUAUCGAACUUUCGCGAUUUUGGACGCGCUGACUUGCCGUACACGGGUUUUAAGUGACGGACUCGCCGAGUAGGUCACUGGACUCGCCGAGUAGCCUCUGUUUUGUGAAAAUCUAUAUAAAGGGACUUUCAGAUCGAUACCCUAGCAUGGAGAGAAACCCUAGGAGGCUGAGAAACGAUUGGAAGUGCUGCUAGGUCGUGAGGAACUGAAGAAUCAACCCUACAUUCAAUUGUGAAGAGAAUCAAGACAAUUUUGGUUUAUUCUUAGUAACUUUUUGAUUUGAAUCAUGUUUACAUACUUUGAUUUCGUUUUUGAGUUUAUGUUUACUGCAAUCAUGAGCUAAAAACUUAUUCUUCUGUUAGGGUAGACAAUUUUGUGAACAUGGAUUGAUUAUUUGAGUAGGAUUAAUUUUAAUUGGUAAUUAUGUUUUGUUAAGCUUGUUAAAGAACCUUAUGUGUUGACAAUAACUAUUCUUCUGUUAAUAAAUCAGUAAUUAAGUUGUAUGAACAUCUCUUAGUUAUUAAUUUCAUAUGAUUUAUUGUGACCACAUAGUUGUAUGUCUAGGAAUAACGAACGUGAAACUAGAAUUAACUAGAAGAUAGGUAAGUUAAUGUGUAAGCUUGUUGGAUGAACAUCGACAAGAGGUUAAUUGAAGGGCUAAUUUAGUUAACCACUACAAGUCUUACUUAACCCGAAUCAAUAAUCUAGGAAACCCGUUAAUUUAGACAACUGGCCAUUGCUUGAGUUAAUUUGUUUUCUAAGAAUUAGGAAUAGCGAACAUGAACCUAAUUAUCUUAAUCGGUAGCCAAUGAAUAAUUAAUCCGAUACAUUAAAAUCAUCCAUGGGAACAAAUGAGUCGUACCUAAAUAGAAGUCCUCUUUACUAUUGAAUUUAGUUGGUAAUUAAUUGUUUUAGUUGCUAGUUAGUUAAUUUGUGUGUUGGUUAUUCUAAUUGAGUUUCUAGUCUUGUAAAACUAGAGAAAACCCCCUUUUUGUUAUUUGUUUUAUUUAGAUAAUAUUAGCAUUUAUUUUAAUUGUUUACCGUUCCCUGUGUUCGAUACCCUACUUGCUUGAACUAUAUUACUAAUCGAUAGGUACACUGCCUUUCGUGUGUUUAUUUUGUGUCUGAGUUAGUAGGAUUAAAACUAGUUGGUUUUACACACAUCAANUUCGUUUUACACACAUCAGUGGUAUCAGUGGGGAGUUCAGUCGAGUUUAGCGGUGCAGAGAGUUUUCUAUCGAUGGGGUGUCGAAUAUGGGAGUGGGUCCCUGAUCUUGGGAUGAUCCCGGUGUUGGAGCAUUGGUUGAUGAAUUGAGGUGAGGGGUACGAUGACUUUAUGGUUCAGUCUAUGAGCCAGGGAUGUUAUUGAGCAGUUGAGUUGUUUGGUACUAGAUUAGUACGAGAUUUGGAACGGCUAGAGGCAGACGUGACGAGAAGUUCUUGAGGAGUUCACCAGUGGUUCAAAGUAUAUGAGGUCGAUUCAUUUCCUUAAGGGGAUUAUCGGGCGUUGUGUAGCACUUUCCGGAGGCAGGUGCGAUUUUUCUGGAGAAAAUAGUUAUGGGUUGGUUGUGUGCUAUUUGGUGAUGGUUCGAACCCUAAGUGGGGGAGAACCGGGUGUCGUAUGUAAGAAAGCAGAGAAUUAUCAAGAGCAGUUAUAAGUGGAGUAUAGAGAUAUGCGGUAAGAAAUCAUGAGACCAGAGAUGUCGGUGAUCGAGGAAAGGGGUCAGAGUGAGUUAAUGCGGGAAGUACUUGUUUGAGAAGGAUGAAUGUCUCCACGACAGGUGUUUAUUGGUCAGGAAUCGGGCAUUGGUCGGUGUUGGGGCAAGUAGAUAGAGAAUGAUUGGGCAGCCAACUCCCGGUUCGGUAUGCGUAUCCUUGUUUGGAUUUUGAGCGACGGGAAAAAGGGUUUCAGAGAAUUAUCAGCGUAUUUCGUAACGUUAGCGUUUCUUCGUAUUGCAAUUGAGAAAUUAGAUACACCGAAGUUGCAACUUGGGAAAAAUGAAGAUCUAAUUAUGGGGUUCAGAGGGAAUGUAUUAUUGCAUCUAUAUGGUGCUUGGGGCAGGAGAUCAGUGGUUGUGGCAGGGUCUUGUGAUGUUCGGUGGGGGUGUUCCGAGAUAUUUGGGUAUUGAUAUCUUUAUUUCGAAGUAUUCGUGAAUCUUGAGUUGAGACGACUUGUGGUAUAUCAGGUAUCUAUGGAUCUAGUGGGAACCCUUUCGAGUAUGGGCAUCUAGGGAGAUUAUUUAGGAGAGUAGAUCUUCGCAAGGGUGGGCAUAUUGAUAUGUUGAUUGCCUCCAGAGUCUGUGAUGCAUAUUCGAGUCAAGUAUGGGCAGCUGCUUAUGAUGGUCUGCGGAGCAUGAGCUAGUGGGGUCAGAGGGUGUUGUGAUACUGCGGGGAGCCGUAGUACUCACUAGUUAAAGGGUGUUGUGAUACCGCGGGGAGCCGUAGUACUCACUAAUCAGAGGGUGUUGUGAUACUGCGGGGAGCCGUAGUACUCACUAGUCAGAGGGUGUUGUGAUACCGCGGGGAGCCGUAGUACUCAAUAGAUGGCAAGGGAGUGUGAUGAUGGAAUGUUCUCUGAUCAGUGUAUGACGUGGAAGAGUGUUGGGCUUGAGUAGCCCUAGUAUUGAGUUUUGGAGCCUGGAUGUUGGAUCGGGGGCGAGACUGGGGUCCCCAUCUCUGUCAGGAAAUGUGGUGAGAUGCGCAAGGGAUAUGCGCAGCAGAAACCAGAGAUCAGAGUUGAGACGAUCCUCGGUUGGAUUGUAUUUUCUCGCAUAAGGAAAAGAGAAUUUCGUGACUUGCGUGUCACGGGGCCGGGAUAGUGGUCACGGGUAGGAAGUUAGUGGGAUAUUUGGAUCAGGAUAUGGGUGACCUUUGGAGGCUCAGCUGUGGAGUCAAAAGUUGACCUGGUGCUCAGUCUAGAAGAGGGAUAUGAGAAAUGAGCUAGAGCUUAUCAUGAACAUGUCUGAGGACACCUCAGAGGGAGAGAACGAUUCAGACGCUCAAAGACAUGCUUCGAGCAUGUGUAUUAGAUUACGGAGGGAAUUGCGGCACGUAUUUAUCCUUGGUUGAGUUAUCCUAUAUCAACAGCCAUCAUUAGUGCAUUGGUAUGCCACCCUUUGAGUUGUUGUAUGGGAGGAGGUAUCGGACCCUCAUUUGCUGGGGAAAGUGUUGAUUCGCGGAAGUGGAUGUAGUAGUGAGAAUGGAUGAUUUGGAGUAUGAUGGUCGAACAUUGUGUCUGUGACAGUGGUAUGGAAUGACAUCAUGAUGGGAUGUUUGCUGAGGGCGCGGAAGGGAUUCUGCGGGUGUAGAGCCAAGAGUCUCAGGAUGGAUGCAGGGAUGGAGUCUGGGACUCCCAGCUUGAUUCUGAUCAAGGGCUGUGUGUCGAGUUUUCCUAGUAGUGGUGGUUCUCCUGGGGAUGUUAGAGAUGUCGUCAGUGUGACGGGUUUUCCUAACCCGAGAGUGCGAAGGUUGGUGCGGCAUGAGUGUGUAAUUGCAAGAAGAGGACUCAUGGGAGUUACUCUGGGAUUGAAGAGUGGGUCUUUCCGUCAUCACGGAUUGGAUAGAAUGGGAUUCGGAUCGGGCAUCCGAUGGUUCAAGGCUUCUAACCCUUAAGGGUCGAGUGAUUGUUGAGAUUUGGGUCGAGUGAUUGUUGAGAUUUGGGUCAAUGAUGCUUCAUGGGUAAUUCUCGGAUCGUUGAGUGUGGUUAUCAGAGGGUACAUCCGGUGCCCGGUUCGAGACAGUGGUCAGGACACCGUAAGGAAAGGGAAAGUGUGUUCGAGUUUCGAUGGGUAUGCCUUGUGAGACCUGGUCCGAUUAAGGCCAGGUGGCACGUUGUGGGAAUAUUUCCGGAGUUGAGUUGCUGUAGGCUUCGAGGAUGAAGCCUAAUUUAAGUGGGGGAGAAUUGUAACAUCCCGAAAUAUCAAGAGUAGAGUUGAAGGGCUAAAAGAGUAAUUUAGGAAAGAGCGACUCGGCGAGUAGAGUCGUGACUUUGUCACGUGAUUAAGUAGCCGACUCGGCGAGUCAGUGAGAUGGACUCGGCCUCCUUAUCACCCCUUGAGUCCUAGAAAACCUAAUUUCGUGGAGAAACCCCAUUGUUGAGCAAAUUGGAGCUUGGAGAGGUGGUUCUUNACCCCUUGAGCCCCAGAAAACCCUAAAUCGCGGAGAAGCACCAUUGUUGAGUGGAUUGGAGCUUGGAGAAGUAAUUGUUGAAGGAAUUUUGGGAGAUUGAAGGCUUGGAGCAAGGGGCUUUGCUUGGAUUCGAAUUACAUUGCAGUUGGGGCAUCUCUUAGAGGUAAUAUCUCGUUAUUGGACUGUUGUUAUAUUGUUUCUUCAUUUUGGGGUUUGUGGGAACUUGUCGAUGGAUGUAAUUGGAAGUCUAGAGGUUAGAUCUGAGGUUGCUACCUCAGAUCUGGAAUGAAGAAGAAUCAGAGAGCAUGAAAGUCCCUGUGUUGGAGUGUUUAGUGAAGCUAUCAUGUCCCAAACCCUAGCUCUAAAGUGAAUAAGGCCUAGAUCUCUUUGGAUUCACGUAAAGUUUGCCACUUUACGUGAUGGAUGAGUGGUAGGAGGCUAGAUCUAUGUUUUGGAGCAAUUGCAUGGCCUGGAAUGCUUCUGAAUGGAUUCAGACCGGUGGUACUCGGCGAGUCACAUGGGUGUACUCGACGAGUUGGAUGAAGAUGGCCUGGAACUCGGCGAGUUGUAUGAACAACUCGGCGAGUAGGAUGAAGGAAGCCUUAGACUCGGCGAGUUUGUUCUUGGACUCAGCUAGUCUUGUCGAAGAGUCCCAAAUAUUUUCUGGUUGAGUCGAAAAUCGGCGAGUCAAGGGAUGACUCGGUGAGUUGUGUGCGAGUGGACUCAGAGUUGUUGGACUCGGCGAGUCUCGGAGUGACUCGGCGAGUUAGGUCGCGGAUUGAGUGAAGUUCUGAUUAUAGANGGAGGACUUUGACUUGGACCAAGAGUUGACCGUUGACUUUUAGGGCUUGGUCAGCGAUGUGGCCUUUGGUCCAAGAGAGGGGUAAAAUAGCCUUUUACCCUUAAGAGGGUGCCAUGAGAGGGUUGAUUCUAGUCUCGAGAGUUAUAUUCAUGAGAGUAUUUGCCUUACGUGUUAGGCGGUGGCGAGUUCGAGAUUCAGGUGUGGAGAUAUCUGCUUUCUGCUUUCCAGGUGAGUCUUCUCACUAUACUUUACCUUGAGUAGGUAACCAGAGUUAUGUGAUCAGAGUAUUUGUAUGCUAUAUGUACGUGAUGUGUUGUACUGCAUUAUUUCUAUGUGAUUUAUGUUGUGCAUGUUUUUAGAGUUGGAACCGGAAGGUUCCCAGAGUUAGAACCUGAGGGUUCACAGAGUUUGGGUGCACGGACCCAUAGAGUUAUAGCCUCGAGUGGCUAAUAUGUGUUAUGUGUGAUAUUUUGGGGAACUCACUAAGCUUCGUGCUUACAGUGUUUUGUGUUGUGUUGUUUUUUUCAGGUUUCUUUCAGUAUCACAGGACGGCACCGGCUUGAUUGUACACACCAGAGAAAGAGUCGUGUUUUGGAGGAUCCUGGUUUUCUAUGCAAGUGAAAAAGGAAUUUUGUUUUUGUAAUUCAUUUAUAAAUGAGAUUUUAAACAAGUGUUUCUAAUAAUUUACGAUUAUUUUAAAUGAAAAAUUGUUUUGAAAUUCACGGUGUUACAAAUAACUAAAAAGCCAUGGACAACAUGGCAUAUGAAGGAGAUUCCUCCAGAGAAUUUGUUUCUGGAAAGAUUUAGUAAUGCCACAGUGGAAGAGACAUUAGUUAUUAGACCAUCAAAGUUGUUGGAGCUUAAAUCUAUGGCUGAAUUGUUAUUAACUUUAUGACAGGUCGGGUACUUUCCCGCUUAUGUUGUUGGAAGAAAGAUUCAAGAAUGUUAACCAGGAAGGCCACGUGUCCCAAAACUCGAGAGGAAUUGUAUCUGAAAUACCAGUAUUUGCAAUAUCAAGACUGGUAAGAUUUUUCAAAUUUUGAAUCCAUUUGGGGAAGCGAGGCCCUAGAUUGCAAGAGCUGAAAUGAAUGAAUUCUAUAUCAGAAAGGUUUGACAUGUAAUCUGAGGUAGGAAAUCCUUGGAGUGAGUUUCCGGAAAGAUCAAGGUUUUGAAGUUUGGGAAGUUCCCACAGUUUCUUACUUAUAGUUCCUUUUAACAGAUUCUCAGAGAGGGACACAUCUAAUAGGGAUGUAAACUUUUGGAUCUCAUCAGGCAAUGACCCAGUAAGUUGGUUUGUUUCCGCAAACAACGAUUGUAAUGAAAGCGAUGUGACAAGUUAUUGAGAAAAUCGGGAAAUGUGACAACAACAGAGUUGUUAUCGAAGAACAAAGUUUCCAAACUACAGAUGUUACCAAAAUAUUUGGGUAUCCCAUCUAACAUGUUGUGAGAGAGAAAAAGUUCACGAAGCUUAUUGUUGGUUAAUAGGAACAACCAAUGAUACAUGUGUAAUACUAUGAAUCUUGAUGAUUUCAUUGAUACAAAUGAGUCCCCUAUAUAUACAGAGGGUAUAGGAGAGAUUAUAGGGAUUUAGAUAGAACUAUACUAGGAAACAACUAAUCAUUAUCAAUUUACAAUAAAUACAAUAAAUGGAGAUAUAUUCUACUAAUAGUCCCCCGCAGUCGAAACUGUAGCCGAGUGGAUGGAGAGACUGGAACGGAAGCGGGUGAAUAGCUGACGCGGUAAUCCCUUUGUGAAGAUAUCGACAUAUUGGUAAUCUGUGGGAACAUGAAGCACACGAAGAGAACCCAAACGAACUUUUUCUCGAACAAAGUGAAUAUCGAUUUCAACAUGUUUUCGUGUGUUGGUGUUGGACUGGGUUGUGUGUGAGAUAAACCGUAGAGAUGUUGUCGCAGUAAAUAAUCGUGGCUUGGCGCACCGGAAGAUGGAGCUCGAGAAGUAGGUUGCGUAGCCAUGCGGUUUCAGUUGCGGUGUUUGCGACUCCUUUGUAUUCUGUCCCGGUGCUAGACCGAGAGAUUGUGGGCUGCCUUUUAGAGGACCAUGAGACUAGGUUGUCUCCAAAGAAGACACAGUAUCCGGAAGUGGAGCGUCGAGAAUCAUGGUAUCCCCUCGGUCAGCAUCUGAAUAUGCAGUUAGGUUGGUAGAUUUGGAGGGAGUAAUGUGAAGGCCAUGGUUGGUGGUUCCUUUGAGAUAUCUGAGAAUGCACUUAAGAAAAUUGAAGUGUGGUUCACGAGGAUCAUGCAUGAAGAGGCACACUUGUUGUACCGCAUAGGCUAUAUCCGGUCGUGUGAUAAUGAGGUAUUGUAGAGCACCGACAAGGCUACAGUAGAGGGAGGUGUCAGAUAUUGGUUUUCCGACAGUGGCACUAAGCUUGGAACCUAUUUCGACAGGGGUUGCACUUGGCUUGCAAUUGUGCAUGUUGGCACGGGUUAAGAUGUCGUUGACAUAUUGGGCUUGAGAAAGGACUAUACCACUAUUUUGAUGUUGAACUUGGAUGCCUAGGAAGUGGUGAAGUUUGCCAAGGUCUGUCAUUGCAAAUUCUUUAGAUAAUAGAUCAAUGAAGUGUCGAAGAAGAGAUGUGCUUGAGGCAGUUAAGAUGAUGUCAUCGACAUAAACUAAAAGAUAUGCCAUUUGGUUUCCAUGCUUGUAAACAAAAAGAGAAGUGUCACUAUUGGUGCUUUUAAAACCGCAUGUUUGAAUGAAUGUUGCAAAUCGUUGGUACCAGGCUUGAGGGGCUUGUUUGAGUCUGUACAGAGAUUUUCGUAGGUGGCAUACCUGUGAUGGGUUUUUGGCAUCGACAAACCCCGGGGGUUGGAACAUGUAUACGGUUUCAUUUAACUCCCCAUGUAAGAAGGCAUUCUUUACAUCCAACUGAUGAAUUGGCCACGAUCGUGAUACAACAAGGCUAAGCACAAUCCGUAUCGUUGUGGGUUUAAACACUGGACUAAAAGUCUCAUCACAGUCCACACCCACUUGUUGGCAUUUACCAUUGAUUACUAAGCGUGAUUUGUAUCUUUCAAGUGUCCCGUCGGCAUGAAAUUUGUAUCGAAACAACCACAUACAUCGUAUAAUGUGAGCAUCGUGUGGGCGAGGCACUAGAUCCCAUGUGUGAUUUUCUAUUAAGGCCUUGUAUUCAUUGGUCAUAGUUGAGUUCCAGUUAGGAUCAGAAAUGGGCAUUUUAUAAGAUUUGGGUAGGGGUAAAAUGGUUGGAAUUUUGGAUGUGGUGUGAAGGUUAAAUGGGGUGUUUGGUUUAGAGAUGCCUACUCGGGAGCGAGUGGUCAUGGGGUAGGNNNNNNNNNNNNNNAGGGGGGUUUGGUGGGUGGGAUGUUGAUCGUCUAGAGUAUGUGAUGAGGGAUGGAGUAUUUGUUAAGGGUGGUGAUGGAUUUGUGUGAGAUGUGGGAUCUAAGGAGGAUGUUUCGGAUGGGAGAGUGGGUGUCAUAGUCUCGGGAGUUGGUUCGGAUGUGGGAGAAUUUUGAGUUGGAGAGGAUUGGGGAUUUUGAAAUAAGAGAGGUGAGGGGCCGGUGUCUAAGAACGAAUAAUUUGGUGGUGAGUUUGAUGGAAUAGUGGCAUAAGGGAAUGUUGUUUCGUCAAACGUGACGUGACGAGACAAGAUGAUUUUACCAGUGGAUAAGUCGUGGCAUCGGUAACCACAGUAAUUGGCUGGGUAUCCUAGGAAGACACAUGCGGUGGAUCGUGGGGAGAGUUUGUGUGAUCGAGUGGCGGAAAGGUUGGGGUAGCAUGCACACCCGAAGACCCGUAGGUGGUCAUAUGAAGGGUGUUUGAGGUAGAGUGCGGAAGUUGGAGCGUGGAAGUUAAGAAGUUUGGUUGGUAAGAUAUUAUGGAGGUAAGCGGUUGUAUAGAGUGCAUCAACCCAAAAGGUGGGUGGGAGAGAAGCAUGAGUGAGGAGAGGGAGCAUGAGUUCGUUGAUGCGACAGAUCAUGCGUUCUGCUUUUCCGUUUUGUUGGAGGUGUGUGGAAAAGAGAAGCAGAUGAGUAAGCCGGUGGUUGUGGCGAAUUGAUGGAAGUGGUGGUUUUCAAAUUCUCCUCCUUUGUCACAUUGAAAGGUUUUGAUGAUUUUAUGGAAUUGAGUGUGUAUGAAUUUGUGGACGUGUUUGAAUUUGUCAUAAGUUUCAGAUUUAAAUUUUAGGGGAAAAACCCAUGUAUAGUUGGUGUGGUCAUCGAUAAGGAGAAGAUAGUAUGUGUAACCACUUUUGCUUGGCAAAGGAGAGGUCCAUAAGCCAGUAUGGACUAGGUCAAAGGGUGUAAGAGUAGUAGAUGUAGAGUCAGUGAAUGGGAGACGUUUGUGUUUUGCGAGUUGACAUGAAGAACAUACAAAAGAAUUAUCAAGUUUAUUGCAAGAGAUAAGUUUAUUAGAACUAAGAAAGUCCAUUACAUGAUGACCCGGAUGUCCGAGUCUAUUAUGCCAAAAAGACGAAUUAGCGAAAACAAAACAAGAUAAACUUGGAGUGAUAAUAGGAACGUUGAUUGGAUAAAGAUCCCCAAUGCUAUUGUGCCUCGUCAGGAGUUUCCCAGUCUUGUAAACCUUCACAGAUAAACCAUAAGGGUCAAAUUCAACAGAUACAAGAUUAUCACGAGUAAAUUUUCGUACGGAUACAAGGUUUUAACAAUGUCAGGUGUGUAAAGUAUGUUUUUAAGAUGGAUAGGUUUGGAGGGGUAGGGUAAGGUCGAAUGACCUGAUCCUAAAACCGGCACCCAAUUUCCAUUGCCAACGAAUACGGUAGGACUAGAGCUGAUGCAUGUCGGGGUGCUCCUAAAGUAGGAAAAACCGGUUGUUCCUCUUUUCUUCAGGAGUGUGAUAGUUACUGAAGGUGAAUGCAGAAGUAUGUCCACGAAAAGUCAUUUCCAGCCUAUGAAAAAGCUACAGAAAAUGGCAGAGGUUUGUCUCACUUUACAAAUAUGUUGCACAUUUGAUGCUUUUAUAUUUGUUUAUAGUAAGAUCAUUAUUAUUUUUGUUGAUAAUGGAAUAUGCCUAUCCUUUAGAGCAAGCGGGUAAAUUUGUGGAAUUGAGGAUCAAUACAUGCAAUUAGCAAAAAAAAAAGGUUAUUCACAUUUGUGUGCUUUAGUCUUAAUAAUUUUAUGGAUGAUACUUUAUAAAAAGUUUUUUAAACAUCAAAAUAGUAAAGUAUGUUGCUAUUUCUAAACUUUUUCCCAUUGCAUCAAAUCUCCGCACUCAAUUAUGCAUGACGCCCUUCAGUUGGCAACAAAGUAAGAUCGUGUAUUUAUAUCUCAUGUUCUUUUUUUCUCAAAAUAAUGUUAAUAUUCUAUAUAAAUUUAAUUUCUCUUAACAGGACACCCAGUAAGGAUUUUAUUAGAUUGGAUCAAAAUAUACUGUAUCCACUUGCUAGAAAGAAAUAAUUAUAUACUUAGAGACAAAAUUUAAAUUUUUUUUAAUCGUUUUAACUACUAAACCGUUUUAGUAUUAAUCAUAAUGAUAACACUUCACUUUUGUUGUUAACCAAUAAUACUUUAUCUUUUCAUUGAAACCACAAAAGUUUCAGAUAUCUUCUUGGAUUGACCAUUUGACCUGUUAUCACAUGCUUUCAGGGGGAAACAUAAUUAAGUGGCAUAAAAAUGGUUGAUUUGAAUAAAUUUAGGAAACCUUUGCUGUUGGAAUAGAAAGAAAAACAAAGUAAGUGUGGUGAAACCACAGAUCUGUCCAAAAUAGUGUUUUCAUUUUUUUGUUUUUUUUUUAUUGUAAUAUGCCCUUUUAUCCCUUUUGUCUUCUUUUGUGCUUUGAGAUUUUUCUAUGCAUGAAAAUGUUGAUAAAUCUUUUAUGUAGGUUGCAUAUGUGCACAUGGAAGUAGAACAAAAAACUGUUAGAAUUGGGGUAUAGAAAACUUGCAAAUUCUAAGAAUCGUGGCUUUCACUUUCAGAUUAAAGUAUUUGGGUGGUACUCCCAAUCUUUAAUCGGAUAAGACUCAGAAUUGAGAGAAAAUAGAAGAGAGAAUGUUUUGAUGUUAUGAAGAAGAAGGGUACCAACCACAGAUUCGGAUAUGAUCAUAUAACAGAAAAAACUUCCUGUCUUAAAACUGCCACAUGACAGUUUUUUUGUGUCCUAAAACUGUCCACAAACGGACAUAAACAACCUUAAAUCUGGGUCUAUUAUGUGGAUCAAAAAACUGGGUACAUUUAUCAAAAUCAGGAUUUCUGAUGCAAUUUUAAUAUAGUAACAUAACAUAUAUAAAAAAAAAUUUCGCGCUGACCUGGCAGCUCGAUCCCAGCUAGGGGCUCUGCCCUUGAGUAGUCAAGUUGAGACACUGGAGAUCUUUUAUUAGGUAGAAGCUCAAGACUAGGAUCUAUAGGAGUGCUAACAGGAGAACAAUUCUCAAAGUGAAACUUUUUCAAGAUCUUCUCAAUAUAAUGAGAUUGAGAAAUUGAAAUCUCAUUGUUUCCUUUUCUAAUUCUUAUACCAAGAAUUACCUCAGCCUCCCCCAUGUCUUUCAUAUCAAAACUAGAUGAUAAAAAUUUCUUCGUUUUAUCAACUUCUUCUAAAUCAGUACCAAAAAUCAACAUAUCAUCUACAUAUAAGCAAAUCAUGACUCCUUUACCAGAAGUAUCAAAGUUGCCAUAUACACACUUGUCAGCUUGGUUUAGUGCAAAACCAUUAGAAAAGACAACGUCAUCAAACUUUUGAUGCCAUUGUUUUGGUGCUUUUUCCAAACCAUAUAAUGAUUUCUUCAGCUUGCACACUUUGUGUUCAAUUCCAGACAUCACAAACUCUUCAGGUUGUUUCAUGUAUAUUUCCUCAUCCAAGUCACCAUUCAAGAAUGCAGUUUUUAUAUCCAUUUGGUGAAUCACAAGAUUAUGUAUAGCUGCAAGAGCUAAUAAUAAUCUAAUAGUAGAAAUUCUGGUAACAGGAGAAUAAGUAUCAAAGAAAUCAAUGCCUUCCUUUUGUCUAAAGCCUUGGAUAACCAAUCUGGCUUUAUACUUAUCAAUAGUGCUAUCCACCUUCAUUUUCCUUUUGAGGAUCCAUUUACAUCUUAAUGCCUUGCAACCAGGAGGUAAAUCAGCCAAUACCCAAGUAUUGUUAUGCAUGAUAGAAUCAAUCUCAUCAUGAAUUGCCUCUUUCCAGAAAUGAACAUCCCUAGAAUCCAUAGCUUCACUGAAAGUCUUUGGAUCCUCUUCAAUAUUAAAACAAUAUUGAUGUUGAGAAAUAGUCUCAUUCCUUGUUCCUUCAACUAAAUAUAGUUGAAAAUCAGAUCCAAAAGACUUAGCUUUUCUAGCUCUGGUGCUUUUCCUAGGUUCAAAACUUGCACCACCAGAAACAUCUUCAACUUGAGUAGUACUCUUGCUAGAAGAUUGAUGAACCAUGUCCCUUGGUCUAGGUAUAGAUGUAAAUCUUUCUUCAUCAAAGAUAGCAUCUCUUGACUCUAUCACUGUGUUUACAGACACAGAGUCAUUAGAUUCUAAAACAUAGAAUCUAUAUGCUUUGGAAUGCUCAACAUAUCCAAUAAAGAUACAAUCUAUACCUCUCUCACCCAAUGUUUUCCUUUUGGGUUCAGUGAGCCUUACAACUGCUCUACAACCCCAAACUUUGAGAUAACUCAAAUUUGGUACCUUUUUACACCAAAGUUCAUAAGGAGUAUUCUUACUCCUUUUAUUUGGAGUUCUAUUUAAGAUGUAACAUGCAGUUAACAUUGCCUUACCCCAAAACCCUUCACUUAAACCAGAAUAUGACAACAUGGAAUUAACCAUUUCUUUCAAGGUGCUAUUCUUCCUUUCAGCUACACCAUUUUGUUAUGGUGUAUAUGGAGCUAUGGUUUGAUGUAUUAUUCCAGUUGAUUCAAAAUAAACUGGAUCAUAAUACUCAGCACCUCUAUCAGGACGCAAUACUUUUAAUAAUUCAUUUUUAUGAAGCUCAACUUGUUGUUUAUAAAUUUUAAAUUUAUCAAGUGCUUCAUCCUUAGAAUGUAGCAAAUAGAUAUAACAAUAUCUAGAUGCAUCAUCAAUAAAAGGAAUAACAUACUUCUUGUUUCCAAGGGAAGGUGGUGCAUGGAAAUCACAUAAAUCACUAUGUAUAAGAUCCAAGGGACAUGGUUGAAAGGUUAUCUAGUGAUUUUAGUUAGCAUGCAUGUUUUACAUUUUUCAUUACAAGAGAUUGAAAGAUUUACAUCUAUGGUUGAAAGGUUGUCUAGUGAUUUUAGUUAGAAUUGGUGUAUAGAAAACUUGGAAAUUCUGAGAAUCGUGGCUUUCACUUUCAGAUUAAAGUAUUCGGGUGGUACUGCCAAUCUUUAAUCGGAUAAGACUCAGAAUUGAGAGAAAACAGAAGAGAGAAUGUUUUGAUGUUAUGAAGAAGAAGUGUACCAACCAUAGAUUCGGAUAUGAUCAUAUAACAGAAAAAACUUCCUAUCUUAAAACUGCCAAAUGACAGUUUUUUUUUUGUCCUAAAGCUAUCUACAAACGGUCAUAAACAACCUUUAACUCGGGUCUAGAAUAUGGAUCACAAAACUGGGUACAUUUAUCAAAAUCAGGAUUUCUGAUGCAAUUUUAAUAUCGAUCCCAUCCAGCGGCUCUGCCCCUUGGACUCCACCAGGGGCUGCCGCCCCUUAGACCCCGCUCCUAGGGGCGCUGCCCCCGGACCCCCGUCGGUUUAGGGGCUUCGCCCCUAAAUAGCAGUAUACUUUCAACAAAGACAAAAUUAAACAAAUGUGCACUCCACACCAUACCGAUUUGUUCAAUAAUUGUCAAAGUAACAUUGAUCAACAAAUUAACCCCAUUACACUUAAAUAACAUUAGUGAUAUAAAAUCACCAACAAAAACUGCAUAUCAAGAAGUCAUUAAAGAGUAUCGUGCAGUUGCACAUGCACGAAUGAUCAAAUAUGGACAAGUUAAAACUCCUGAUCUUCCUAAGUGCCAGAUUUCAAAGUAUUUUGUUAAAUUCAGAAAGGUGUGAGUAAUUAUUCCAUUUAAUUAUGAAAAGAAUACAUAAAUUAAACACAUGUUUAUAAUUUCAAUAUAUGUUUGUUUUUAAUAUCAGAUUGCAAACCAUCCUUUAUUGGUGAGGUGUAUUUACACAGAUAAAGAUGUCAUCAGAUUCGCCAAAAUGUUGCAUCCCAGAGGUGUAUUUGGUGUUGAGUGUACUUUGGAUAGAGUAAUUGAGGAGGUUAAGGGUUACAAUGACUUUUCAGUUCACAAGGUAAUUAAUUUGUCCCUAUUUUGUUUUAAACUUUUGAUUCAUUACUUUUAACAAAAUCCUUAGGUAGGAAAUAUUCAAUAAAUUGCCAAAAAUAGUAAUGUAAUAUAUGCAAAUGUAGUUUACUUUUUCCCUAGGCGAUACUCCUCUUUAUGAGAGUCUUCUUCACAAUCGUUAAGUUGUUGGUGUUCUCCAAUAUGUUACAUUAUACAAAACGGACAUCGUUUAUGCAGUCAACAAAGUCUGUCAAUUCAUGCGUUCUCCAACAACCAAACACUGGUUUGUUGUUAAACGGAUUCUAAGGUAUCUUCGCGACACCAACAGUUUUAGACUUCGGCCCACACUGUCCCGUGACACCACCAUUCAUGAAUAUGUUGAUGCAAACAUUGCGGUUACCACCUACUCUAAAGUUGAUUAGGUUGGGUGUUUGGAUGGUGGUCGAUCCACUAGGAGACACAAAAUCUAUCUUGGUUCGAAUCUUGGUCAACAAGUAAGCAAGUAAACAGAAGACUGUGUCUCAUUCAUCCACUAAGGAAACAGAAGACCGUGUCUUGUUCAUUGAAUGAGGCUGAGUAUAAAUCCCUAGCUGAUACGGUAGCCAAAGUAACCUGGCUUGAAACCUUAUUAUGUGAACUACGCAUCCCGGUCACUGUAGCACUAGUUUUAUGGUGUGCUAAUUUUGGUGCCACUUAUUUGUUUGCUAAUCCUAUCUUCCAUGCCCGCACAAAACAUUUUGAGGUUGCUACUAAGAGGCUAUCAGUUCAUUUGAUAUCCACAUUUGAUCAAAUUGUAGAUAUAUUCACUAGGCCAUUGUCUUCACAAAGAUCUGAGGGGUUACGACCCAACCUUCAAGUCCUUACCAGGCCUUAGCUUGCACGAGAAUAUUAGACAAAUUAUAUUAGUAUAGCGUCUACUAUGUAAUUAUAUUUUAGUUUAUACAUACAUAUAUAUAUAUAUAUAUAUAUAUAUAUAUAUAUNUAUAUAUAUAUAUAUAUAUCCCUAAUUUAUUAUGUUAAUGAACAAUAAUACAAUACGUUUACAUCAAGUUUACUCCUAACUUUAGUAAACUAGGAAUGGUCUUUAGGGUUUGGAAUCUGCAUCUAUCGGUUUCUAACUCUAUUUUUUCCAAUUAGAGAGUUCUUAUAAUUUGAUUUCCUUUUGAGUGAUCAAGUAUUAACAAAACCUAAAUAAAAGUGAACAAAUUAAAUAUAUUUAUGGUAAUAAGGCCUAGGGUCCCAUUUGGACAUGAGGCUGAUCCCAUUCACUACAGACACUAAGUAUAAAGGUAAGAAAAUGUAUGUUUUAAUAAUAUUGUUCAAAGUACUGAAACAUAUACAUGUUGAACCAAACUUGUCAAUGUCGUUUUUGUAAUUAACUCUCCAAUGAAGAACCCACUUCCCUGGAAGGUUGUAUCCUACAGUUAGUUGCCAAUUUUCCUCAUCCUUACCACUGUCUAAUCUGAUUAAUAUAAAUGAUAAAUAACUUUAACAAAGUAAAUAAACAAAAUGACCUUUUGGUAAAGCGAAACUUACAGAAUAUAUCCUAUCUAACCAUGGGGUAAACCCGUUGGAACAAUUAAAGAUGAUGUAUGAAACGAAGUAAGUUAAGCAUUUUAACAAACAGUUUGUGUGCAAAAAAAGUUGUGCUUAAAUGAAAUUUCAUGUAAAUCACUUCUUUGCCUACUAUGAUAACAAUCACAUGAGGAAGAAAGUAAUAAAAAUUAAAACCUAAAACUAUAGUUGCUAGUUUAUCAGGGUGGGAAUCAAAGAGCCUACCGGAGUUGAGGAUACGCCAGAUGCAUGACGACUUCAAUGGUGGACGAAGAAGGCAGAGCAUCGGGUGCAAAUGGUGAACGAAGAAGGAGUGAGAGACGCAUAUCAGGAAAUGAUUCGCGUAUCGCUGAAUUUCUUGUGUGUUUAAAAACGACAUCCAACCAAAAAUGCCAAAACAUCAACAAUCCCAAUGUAUCGGAAAAUGUCAUACAAAUUCCACGUAUCCAUGAAGCCGGAGAUGAAAAAUCGACAAAAAUAAAAACCAUGUUUUGUUCAUCGGCGAAAGCAAAACCACCUAACUCGUGCCAAACCAUCCAAGCUGUGAGCUCCAAACUUGUAACUAUUCAUAAUCCGUAUCCACAAUUAAUAUCUAUAUCUAUAUCUAUAUCUAUAUCUAUAUCUAUAUCCAUAUCAAUCUAUCUAUAUCUAUAUCUAUAUCUAUCUAUAUCUAUAUCUAUAUAUAUAUAUAUAUUAUAAAGCUAACAUUUUUCCUUGAACCUCAUGCAUUUGAAACUCCUAAGGCUGUUCAACUUAUAUUUUUACUCAAACCAUAUUCAUUUGAAACUUCCUAUUUAAAUGAAUACCAUUCAAAAGUCUCUUAAUAAUGAUUAACUAUUCAAAAGUUUUAUAACUUAUAUAAUAUGUUUAAUAAGCAAUUAAUAGAUAGUCUACUAUAAAAAGAUCAAUCUCUUUGAGUAGAAACACAAAUACAAAUCACAUACAAAUUUCACAAAGUAAACAAGUUUAAAGGUUUUUGUGUUUGUUUGAGGGCUUUGGACCAUUUUCGAGCCAUGUUAUUAUGUUAAAGUUUUUUAAUUUGUAAGUUAGUUAUAUACUAAUCCUUAUAUAUAUAUAUAUAUAUAUAUAUAUAUNUGGUUUAAGUAUUCUUUGAAGACAAUCAUUGUAUAUUGUGGAUGAAAUUUAAAUGUAAAUUAGAUUAGAUGCAUAUUAUCGAUCAUAUGAUAUGGAAUGUGAUAUAAAUAGUAUUUAAUUAGAUAUUGUAUAUAUAUGUUUGUAUAUUUGUGUUGCUUCAAAGAAAUAAUUAAUUAAAAAUCAUGGAUAUGUCAUAUUAUCCAUAUUAUCCAUAUAAGUCUUUUUUAAAAUGCAAAUUAUCUAUCUUAUAACUUUAUAUUUUAUUAUAUGUUUUAACAUUUUAAUUAUAAUAGUAAGUGUUUUUUAAAUGUUUUCUUUCACUUAAUAAUAAUAAUAAUAAUAAUAAUAAUAAUAAUAAUAAUAAUAAUAAAUGGUAAACUAGAAAAAUCAUGGAUAUUUUAUAUUAUCCAUGAAAGUCUCUUUUGAAAUGUAAAUUGUCAAUAUUAUCACUUUAUUAUUUAGUAUAUCUUUCAUAUUUAAGUAAUAAUACUUAGUGUUUCAUAAAAGUCUUGUUUAAAUUAUUAAUAAUAAUAAGUGGUUUAGGUUAAUGAGCAAUAAUUUUAAAUGAUAAUAACAUCAAAUUAAAAAUUAUGUAACGUUAGUUACAAAUAAUUUGUAUUCUAAAUGUUCAUCAUUUUUGACAUUAGAAAAUAAUCGCAUAAGUAAAAAAUUUAAAUUAAUCAAUCAUAAUAUUUUUUAUAAAUAAUACUAAAUAGAUAAUUAUAUUUAAUUCUAUUAACGAGGAAGGUGGGUUGAUGUCAAUGAAUAAUAUUGUUCAAAAUAGUUGAGAUUUUAUAUAUAUAAUUUAGUGUAAAAAUAUUAUGUCAAAGUUAAUGUCAAUAAAUAACCAUUUUAAACAUAUAUUUUUCAAUAUUUUAACAAUCCUAUUUUUAACAUGCAACGCGCAAAAAUUCGUCUAGUGUUAUAUAAUAUCCUACAAAUUGUAAGCACAACUAGACCACUUUUAUAAAUUUAAUAUAAUAUAGACCAUUUUUAUAAUUUUGUAUUAAACUAUGACGAAAGUGGUUACUUAUUUAUAAAGUUGCAGAAAUCGUUGAUGUAGGCUAAUUGGUGGACUGGGGUCAAGGUUGAUAGGCUAAGCGGAAAUUAAUCAGGGACCAUUAAUUAUUAAAAAAAUACUCCAUCCGUCCCAAUAUUUGUGACAACCAUCAAAUUCUAGUCAAUUCAAAGUCAAAUAAAGUCAACAAGUCAAACCGGUCAACUCAACUAACCCUUGUGUACUAGGGCUUACGUUAUAUAUUUACUAAACAACUCGCUAUUCUGAUGAGAAAAUCAUAAAUCGAAAAGUACAUACAACCAGAUCUCCUUAACCUAAAACUGUGGUAAGUGGCAAGCCAAACCGAUAAAACAAUGUUGCAUACUCAUCGGGAGUGUAUAAGAUCCUUAAACAAGGCUUUACAGGGUUUACAGACCCAUCAUCGCGAAGCCGGGUACUCAAAAAGGUCACAAAUGAAACCUCUCCCAAUCGUUUUCACUAAAUCUCUCUCAAAUAUCUCUUUGUAUGAGAAAUCCCUUUAAGAAUGUCAAAUCUCUCCUAAAUCUCUCCAAGUAUGUGAAAUCUCUCUCAAAUAUCUCUUUGUAUUGAGAAAUCUCUCCAAGAAUGUCAAAUCUCUCCAAGUAUGUGGAAUCUCUCUCAAAUAUCUCUUUGUAUGAGAAAUCUCUCUAAGAAUGUCAAAUCUCUCCCAAAUCUCUCCAACUAUGUGAAAUCUCUCUCAAAUAUCUCUUUGUAUGAGAAAUCUCUUCAAGAAUGUCAAAUCUCUCCCAAAUCUCUCCAAGUAUGUGAAAUCUCUCGCAAAUAUCUCUUUGUAUGAGAAAUCUCUCCAAAAAUGUCAAAUCUCUCCCAAAUCUCUCCAAGUAUGUGAAAUCUCUCUCAAAAGUUCCUGUAACGUUUUAGAAUCAUUCGGGUCAUUUCGACCCUUAACCGGGUCAAAAACGGUACAAAACGGAGUGAAAACGAGUAAAAUAGGCUUUAGGAACCGAAACCCUUCUUAGGAACCGAAACCAAGAAGAGAGGCCUCUCGGGCCGAAACUCGCGAGGACCGAGCCUCUACUCUGGGUCUCCCUUCUCGGUUCCCUUACCCGCCUCUCGGUUCCCUUGCUUCCCUCUCUGUCUCCUCGCCUACUCUCGGUCUCUAUCUCUCUAUCCGCCUCUCUGCUUCUGUUCGCCUCUCAGCCUUCUCUCCUCUCGGUUUCUGUCUCUUUCUCUCCUCUCUGUCUUCUCGCGCCUCUCUGUUCUCUCUUCCCACCUCUCGGUCUCUGCUCCCUCUCUUCUCUUCUCUCGGUUUCUUCUCCCACCUCUCGGUCUCUGCUCUCUCUCUUCUCCCCUCUCGGUUUCUGCCCUCUCUCCUCUCGGUUCCAACAUCAGAAGACCGAAACUCGGCCAGAUUUCGGAAUUUUGUCAUUUUUAGCCCAUUUUUGAUAUUUUUAACAUUUUAAGCCCGUUUUUCGUGAUUUUAAAGCGGGAUUUUCUCCAGAAAUUAUAUUUUAACAUAAUAAACCCUAAAUAUUCAUAAUUUAAACAUAUUUUCAUGAAAAUCAUUAUUUAAAUAAUAAAAAUCUAAUGGGUGAUUUAUUUAAGGUGGAGUGUUGACCUUGCCUUAUCUUAUGUCACAAGCAACCACCCCACACCCACUCUAUGACCAGCCAUACCUCCCCACCUUACCUAGGUCACUUCAAUGUCCCCUACACUCAAUUUCUACCCAUUCCCACGUUUUUAGAGCUGGAGCAAAACAUCCUCUCUCCUCAUUUCUCUCAUUUGCUCUCAUUUCACCAAGAAUCAAACAACCACUUUUCUCUCAAAAUUUUUCUACAAAAUUCGAGAUUCAAGGGCUGAUCUUGAGUUUUUCCUCCACAUUUGGUAAGUAUAAUCCAUCCUUCAUAUGAUUAUUUCACUUCCUACUACACAAAUCAAAGAUAUCUUACACAAACUCCAUCAUAUUUGUGUUAGAUCUUCGAGUCUUCAAGUGAUUCUUCAAGUGUUCUUGGGUUGAACACUUCUCUUCUUCAACACUUAUCUACUGAAAUCACUCAAGGUGAGUUCAUACCCCUACAUUUUCAUGUUUUCUCAUGUUUUCAGGGGAGGAAUACAAGUUAAAACACCAAGAACAUAACUAAAAAUUUUCUAACAGCCUUCAUCAGAAAAUUUCAACUCCAUUCACGGACUGUUUUGGAAAUUUUAAACAUUUUUGUUUUCAAAACUGUACAAGGUGCAAAUAGUUCAAGUUCUUAGAUUUAAAAUGACUACUUGCACAUCUCCAUACGAUUUUUCUACAAUUUAUGGUGAUUUUUACAAAACUGCCUAUCAUUUCAAACAACAAUCCGGACCAGUCUGUGAUUUUGGACUUAUUCACCCAAGUUUGAGGUCAUUAAAAUCAUAAAAAAAAUUAUGAGUAAACUAGACACAUUUUAUGAAAUCUCAGAAUUUACGGAUCUAGUUUUCGACUUCGUAUGAUUUUUCUAUGAUUUUUCUAAAACAGUGCAGAAAGAUUAAGAAUUAGUUAACAACUUCUAACUAUCAAAACACUUUGUAACAUGUUGAGCAAAGUGUUAAGUCUUUGAUGACUUCGUAUAUUUCAUGCAUUUCUUGUUAUGAUAUAUUUGUAUAAUAGGAAAUUACUUACUGAAUUUAUAAGAAUCCUCCAUCAUAAUCAUUAGCACAAAACAAAGCAAGUUAAACAUAGCUAUAUUGUACUAUACAUUUGACUUACAUAGAAUGGGAUUCUUAAACCCCAUAAAGAAAUAUACUAAACUAUAAUAGGUAUAGUUAGGGUUCAUAUACAUUUCAAACAUUUUAAUAAACUAUAAUAGUUAUAGUUUAUGAUCAUUUACAUAACAUACUCGUACAAAAGGAGUACAAAUACAAAGUGUCGGGUUUAUAUAUAAAAGGGGUAUAAAUACAAAGUGCCGGUUUUUAUACAAAAAGGGGUACAAAUACAAAGUGUCGGGUUUAUAUAUAAAAAGGGGUACAAAUACAAAGUGCCGGUUUUUAUACAAAAAGGGGUACAAAUACAAAGUGUCGGGUUUAUAUACAAUAAGGGGUACAAAUACAAAGUGCUGGUUUUUAUACAAAAAAGGGGUACAAAUACAAAGUGUCGGGUUUACAUACAAAAAGGGGUACAAAUACAAAGUGCCGGUUUUUAUACAAAAAGGGGUACAAAUACAAAGUGCUGGGUCUUUAUAUAAAAAGGGGGUACCGAUACAAAGUACCAGGUUCACUUAAAAUAGUUAUUAUGAUAUUAAAACUAUAUUUCAUCUAGAUUUGUUAGACUUCAACUAAAAUCACUGAGUGUACAUGUUUGAGUCAUAUAAGAAUUUAGUCUUGAUUGGCCUAAAAUUAGUGGUGCCUGCCUCAUCUUCUAUUCCUUGUUUGGUUGUGGACCUAGGGCAGACCCACUAUAUUCAACAUUUUAUCUAAUUUAAACCUUAUAUAACUUAUAUACGCUGGACGAUUAUAGAGGAACUCUACGGGUCAUUCUAGUGUUCAUUAAUGCAUCAUAUAGGAAUAUUUCUAUUCACACUUAACUAAGAAAAUAUUGGAUUUUUCUGGAAAUCAAACCAUAUCGAUUUUACAAGGAAAACGGUUUCUACUUCAAACAAAACUCUUAUGAACUCACCAACUUAAUUGUUGACCCUUUUCAAAACUACUUGUAUUCUCAGGAAAUCAAUGAAACAGGAAAACUUCAGCGCUUUGAGGAUGGGAUGUUAAACCAUCAAUAAUUUACUUUUGUCAUCAUAAUGUAAUUGAUUUUGAAACAUGUAAACAUAUACUUUGGUGUAACUUUUUCAAUUAGAUUUAUGUUGGUUGUAUUUACUUUGAGCACUAUUAUAUUCGUUGUUGUGAUACUGUACAUGAAGUCCUCUACCCCCGGACGUUUCCGCCAUCCUUGGUUUGGGGGUGUGACAGAUUGGUAUCAGAGCAUUGUUUAUAGUGAACUAAGUAUAUCGAACCACAUAAGAUAUACAAACUAUAAAUGCAUCGGGACUAAGGUCUCUGAUUUAAAGUUUUCAAAACAACUAUACUUUUAGAAAUAAAUAGCUUCUUGUUAAAAGUAUACAUGCAUGCAUACAUACUAAGGUCAGCAUCAUUUUAGGACAAAACAAAAGUAAUGAUUGUUGGAUAUCACAGGUAAGCUUGGGGAUGUAUGGUCAGUCUUGGGAGUGGCAUAGCCUGAUCAACUAUGCUGGUCCGAGGAGUGAUUAGCAUAUGCCCAAGAAUGGUUGUGAUGUGGCAACAAGUCAAAAAAAAAAAAAAAAACUUACCGACACUACCACAAUGAAAUACCAUAGGGGUAUUUGGUGUUAUUAUAAUUACUUAUCUGAGAACUAAAUAGAUUUUUAUCAAUAGGUCAAUAAUUGCUUAGUGGAUACAUUAAAAAUUUUAUGUAUCCAGGACGUCAUAGACUUAGAAUCUGUGGAUCUUUGCUCUACUUCCUGUUCUCGUUGGAUUGGGGAUUUAGAGUUAGGGUCUCUUAUUCGAAGUUCUAUCCUGUCCCGAAUACAUAUGACUAGUAUGCACUAAACAAUGCGUUGAAGUACCUGAUAAAGAUCAUCAUGUAAUUAUCUAAUUAGUACGUCUACUUAGUUAUUUCUUAUAUCCCCAUUUCUCGCAUGGAUAACAUGGCUGGAUUUCCUUCCCCACGAUGACCCGUACUACCCUAACCACGACAAUACCAAAUGGCUCGGAGAGGAGUCAGAGAAUGAUUACGCAACCCCUGUGGAUGGUCACCAACCUGAAGGCUUUGCUGAUGAUUCUGACCCACAACCUAAAGUGGAGAACUUAACCCCGAUGACCCUUGUUCCAAAUCCCAACCCUCGACCGGUUUUUCAAGUCUCGAUGCCUCCUUGGGUAGAGUGCUUGGAAACCUAGAGCGAAGAACAAGACCAACCUAUGUCGUUUAAUAGAGAACGAAGCUUCUACAACAUAAACGAAGGAAGCUCAGUAGAUAGAAUUUUUCCAAUCCUGGUCCGUAGAGUUGCCCGAAACGAGAUUCAGGGUAGAACAACUCUCCAUAGUAUCGCAGAGGUUGAUGCAAAUGCAAGAAUACAUACGAUCCGCACCAAUCGCCUUGAGCACACUCGUGAAUAGUCUGAGAGAGACCAUGAAACCUUGAUGAGAGCACAGGCUGAAACACGAACCGAAGUCAUAGAACUCCGAAUACGCUAGAGGGUGUACGAAAGGCCCAUGCUUGAUAUGGAGCGGCAACUAGCUAAACUGAGGGUUCACCAGAGGGAAGACCACCGCCAGUAGUAGAUGCCUUACUUUCUUUCCCUAUUAACAAGGAAUUUUUCUUUUCCCUAUCUAUGCCCUAUGUGGCAUUUUCUACGAAACCAUCUUGUACUGUAAGUACUUUUAGUUAGGCCUUUAGGCGGCCAAAACUCUCCUGCUCCGGAUGUGAUGUAAGACCCUCUCCAAGGUCAAUUUUCCCCAAUUUGCUACAUCUUAAACAUCAAUGACGUUGUCAGUCAGAUGAAUUCUGUGACACUCUUUGUUCGAAUACUUCCUAAUGAGUCUAUCUGAAACCCACUUUAGUCAAGUUGUUGGACUAGAGUAAUUUAGCUCCGGGAUCGUUCCCAAUUUCUUUCCAAGGUUGGAUCACGUUAUUCACCAACCAAUGGAACCCGAUUUUGAAACGAUAAACGUCAUAAGAUCAUUCUCCGAACUUACUCCUACUCUACUAUAAGACUGCAUCAUAUGGAUGUAGGUCAAACCUUCGAGAACAUACUUCAAUUGGUCAUAAUAAGGACCUAGCUUGGGUAAAGUGUAAGGCUUCACUUGGAUACAAAACCUACUAAACUCAUGAAGUUCAUUCAUAUGGACUUCCUUUAUGAAUUACAUAUAAGGCAUUCUUAAAUCGGAGAAUAAUGCAGGAAAAAUCUAAUUCUAUAGCAACUGACUUGUCUUUGCUAGUAGAAACUUACCAUCUGAUCAUUUUUUUUUUUUUUUUUUUUUUUUUUUUACAUNNNNNNNNNNNNNNNNNNNNNNNNNUCCCACCAAGGAAAAGACCCAGCCCUUCCGGCAGCACAGCACCACCACCUCCAACGCCACCUCUUCAGUUUGAUCCCGCAAUGUUCCAAGCUGCAGUAACAGCAGCCGUGGUGGCUGUAAUGUGACAAAUUGGUACAAAUAGCACUGGUGGUGCUGGAUCUGGAGCCACAAACUCUAACCACGAGGAUAGUACAGGACGCACAAAGGAAUGCACUUACAAGGACUUCACAAAUGGAAAACCCGAUUCCUUCGAUGGAGGUGGGGGUGUCCUCGCACUAAUUCAAUGGUUCGAGAGAACCGAAGCAAUCUUCGAGAUUUGUGCUUGCCCCGAAGCGAGCAAAGUCCAGUACGCGACAUUCACCUUCAUCGGAAGAGCUCUCACUUAGUGGAAUGGCAGAGUUAAGUCGCUUACGCUUGCAGUGGCUAACUCGUUAAGUUGGGAGGACUUAAAGAAGAUGAUGCUGAAGGAAUAUUGCUCAAGAGGUGAAGUGCAAAAGCUGGAGCAAGAACUGUGGAAUCAGGCAAUGACCCUGUAAAUUGGCUUCCUGAAGCAGACAACCGCGAUGUGCAUCCAGACAAGUUUUUGAGAAAAUCAGGAAAUUUGACAGCAGCAGAGUUGCUAUGAAAGAACAACCAUCCCAAACUAGAGAGGUUACCAAGAUAUUUGGGUAUCCCAUCUAACAUGUUGCCAGAGAGAUCAAGAUAUAUAAGGCUAUUGCUGGUUAAUGGGAACAACCAACGAUACAUGGAUGAGGUGAGACUGUUGUUUCCGAGAGAAAGGUAUUCAAUAGAUGAGGAAUAAGAAGAGUUGAGAAAUGAAGAAGAAUAUGGAUACAUGACCUGUGACAGCUCACAUCCUGAUAAACUUAAAACAGAGAGUUUUGGGAGACUCAGAAUAACAUCUACCCAAUGAUUUGUUUUGGCUAGUGAAAUCCCAUCCAUGUGAAGUUCCUCCAAAUGAGAUAGAUUAGACAACCACUCGAGGUUCUCAACUCUACACCUUCCAAAAUUUGAAAGGAAAAGCCAUUCCAAGUUGGUGAGGUUUCCGAACUCUAGAGGAAUGGUUCCAUAAAGAGAAUUAAAAGAAAGGUCAAGGACCCCUAAUUGAGUCAAGGAACUAAUGAUCGUGGGAAUGGUUCCAUGAAAAGAAUUUCCGAAAAGAUCAAGAUAAUUCAAGUAGGUUAAGUUAACCAAUGCAUGGCGAAUCUCACCUACAAGACCACAGGACACAACUUCAAGCUCUGUGACAUGACCACCUGUUUGGUUGUUGCACGUCACUCUACUCCAUUCACAGCAGUUGUCUUGUUCAACUGUCCACGUAGAGAGGCAAUCAUAAGGGUCUUGAAGGAGACCUUUGAAAUGAAGGAGACCAUCUUUCUCCUUCUUAAAACACCUGUUCACAGCACCAUUAUCAUCAUCUCCUCCUCCCACUGCUGCCAAUUGGUUAGCACUUGUAGUCUCCGGACAUAACAAAAGAAGUGAGAAUAUUAUAAAAACACAAGGAUGCAUGGUGUAAAUGCAAAUCUUAAUUGGUGAUUUUUUUUUUUUGUUUUUACUAAUGGAAAGUUGAAGAUGCCCCAUGCAGCUUUAUAUAGUGCUGCCAACUGUGAAAAUGAAGGAUUCAAGUGGAUGGCCUUAAACUGCAGACCUAUUUGUUGGUCAUUUAUUUAAAAAUUAAGAUAAAAUAUUACCCAGCCAAGUGAAAUUACAAUGCAUAAAAUAUUAGUGUAAAUUACACAAAAAUAGAAUGGUUCAAGUAAAGACAACAAUUCUCGUGAGAACGCGUAGGAACAAAAUUCUUUUUUUCCUCUUUUUUCAUCAAUAUGGAAACAUAUUUUAAGGCUAAAAAAUAAUAAAUUCUAGUGUUCUUUAAUAAAGUAAAACAAUAUAUAAUAAAAAAUCAACACCAUUCAUCAAUGAAUACAGUUUUAGAAAAAUAUAUAUAUAUUUUUUAUUUUGGUAUGGAUGUUUAAUUGUAAGGCCUAAAAAAUAGAGAUUUUCGUAUAUUUGUUAAAAAUAAAUAAUUAACAUUCGAUCAUAUGUGAAAACAACAUACUCAUCAAUGAAAUAAAGUGCUAUAAAACACUUCCUAUAUCAAUAUAAAUGUCUAUUUUUACGUCAUAAAAAGAUAUUUUGGUAUACUUGUUUUUUUUUUUUUUUAAAAAGAUAAAAAUAAUUAAGCAAAUUCAUCAAUGAAAACACCGUAUUCGUCAAUGAACAAACUGUUAAUAAAGACUUUGUACAUCAAUUUGGUUAUCUAAUUGUAUAAUCUACAAAUAUAUAAAUUUGGGUAUUUUUGUUUUUAUUUUUUGAAUAUAUAUAUAUAUAUAUAUAUAUAUAUAGGGUUGUAAACGAACCAAACGAACACGAACAAUGUCUUGUUUAUGUUCGUUUGUUUAAGUUAGUCGAACAACAAACGAACACGAACGGAUAAACGAACGAGAUUUUCUUGUUCAUGUUCGUUCGUUUAACAAAUUACUUUGUUCAUGUUCGUUCAUUUAUGUUCGUGAACAUGCUAAAUGAACAUAAACGAACAAACAUAAACGAACANAACGAACAAAGAUAAAAAAAAAACACAAUUGAACAUAUAUGAACAUAAACGAACAUAUAAUAUAACAAUAUAAUAAAAAAUAAUUGAAUAUAGAUGAAUAUAAAUAAACUUAAACGAAUGAACAUAAACGAACGUAAAUGAACAUCAUAAACGAACGUUUACGAGCAUAAAUGAACGAACGAGACCAUUGUUCAUGUUCGUUCAUUUAACUAAACGAACGAUAAUUUUUGCUCAUAUUCGUUCAUUUAUUAAAUAAACGAACAUAAACGAACUUUUAGUCGAAACGGUUCGCCGAACGUUCAGUUCGUUUACAGCCCUAUAUAUAUAUAUANNNNNNNNNNNNNNNNNNNNNNNNNNNNNNNNNNNNNNNNNNNNNNNNNNNNNNNNNNNNNNNNNNNNNNNNNNNNNNNNNNNNNNNNNNNNNNNNNNNNNNNNNNNNNNNNNNNNNNNNNNNNNNNNNNNNNNNNNNNNNNNNNNNNNNNNNNNNNNNNNNNNNNNNNNNNNNNNNNNNNNNNNNNNNNNNNNNNNNNNNNNNNNNNNNNNNNNNNNNNNNNNNNNNNNNNNNNNNNNNNNNNNNNNNNNNNNNNNNNNNNNNNNNNNNNNNNNNNNNNNNNNNNNNNNNNNNNNNNNNNNNNNNNNNNNNNNNNNNNNNNNNNNNNNNNNNNNNNNNNNNNNNNNNNNNNNNNNNNNNNNNNNNNNNNNNNNNNNNNNNNNNNNNNNNNNNNNNNNNNNNNNNNNNNNNNNNNNNNNNNNNNNNNNNNNNNNNNNUAUAUAUAUAUAUAUUCUUAAAAAAUAAAAGAUAACAAAAGAUAGGCAUAUUCAUCAACAAUGGUUUAUUAUUUCUCAUUUUUAGAAACAAACUAUAAGAAAAAUUAGAAAAGAAGAAUUGAAAUAAAUUGCCCCAAAUCAAACGUUCAAGGACUUAUACAUCAUUCGGGCCAUAAAAUACUUAUUUUCCUUUAAAUUAGAACCAUUUUAUAAGGUAGGUGUAAAAUCCGUGUACUACACGGAUUGAUUAAAAAAAAUUAUAUUUGAAGAUAUAAACUUUAAAUAUUUUUUUAAAGAAAAAAUUAAAUAUUAAAAUGUAAAUAUUAAGUAUUUUUUAAAAUAAAAUUUCAAAAUAUAUAUACAAACAAAAUGAUGAAUAAAUAAAUAAUUAAAUUUAUAUUAAUAAAACAAACUAUAGAAAAAUAAUUACAUUUUGACCGGAUAACAUUUUUUUUAGUUUGCCAAUAAAAAGCAACAAAAUUUUAUUAUUUUUUUUUAUAUAGAUUAUUUUGUCUAAAAUGACAAUGAACUUUAAAAAAAACAUGUCAAUUUUAAAUUAUAUAUAUUGAAGAAAACAUAUUAAAAUUUGAAAAUAUAAGGAAAGAAAUUAACGACACAUUAAUUAAUUUCUAUUACCUAAACAUUAGAUAGUUAAUUAAGAAAAUCAAAAAUUACCAUAAAAUAACAAGUGGAAAUUAAUUUUUAAGAAUUAACCACAAAAUUACAUGUGUCCAAAUGCAUAAGAAAUUGACAAGUGGCAAAAAGUUCUUUAUUUAUUAGGAAGGAUUAGAAAAAGAAGAAUUGGAAUAAAUUGCCCCAAAUCAUAGGAUUCAAAAGCUUAUACAUCAUGUGGAGCAUUAAAGAUGAAGAAUUGAAAUGAAUAGCCCCAUAUUAGACAUUCAAAGGCGUAUAUCUUAUCUAGAGCAUACAAAACUUAAUUCCCAUCUCGCAUCAUAAUAACCAAACUAUAAGACAAAUUCGACAUGAAGAAUUGAAAUAAUUUGCCCCAAAUUAGACGUUCAAAGACUUCCAGGCUUUGGAAAUUUGUAUUUUUUCAUUUUGUGAUAUCUUUUGGUCCUCAUGUUAACUCAAAGUGGGGAAACAAAUAAAAAUAAUAAAAAAUAAAAUCAGCCCCUAUGGGCCUAAACGCUGAGUGAUAAAUGAUGCGACUUCAGAGAAUAUUUUUGGAUAAAAUAAGACUAAUUGUUUUUGUAUUUUGCACUGAAUAAACCGUUCAAAUAAGAGCAAAUUGUCAUUUUACCCUUAUAUCUAAAAGAUGGCCAUUAAGAAAACCGAUACCAACCGCUUUCAAUUCUGUUUUGUGGCUUUAGGUUGUGUGGUAUAACAUAUUUCUUUUAUUGAGUUAUAUAAUAUUUCAUGGUAAUGUAUCUUGAUUACUUUUUUACUUAUCACUAAUAUAUGUUCAUUUUUAUGUAGAUUCGUACCUUCCUUAGGUGCAUGAUACCGUUGAUAUAUGUGGGUUAUUUACCCCUUCUUGGGAGCUAUCUGACAACAAUGUACUUCGCAGUGGCUUUAGAUGGAAAUCAUGAACCCCUACUCUUAGCAGUUGGUUUGGGAACCUUAGAGUGUGAAGAAUCAUGGAGAUGGUUCAUGAUGAGGUUAAAAGAUUGUUUAGGUGAGGACAUAGAGGUUGGUUUCAUAAGAAACCUAUGUGAUAAAAUAGACUUUGGUGUUCAGAGUGCCUACCCGGAUUCCUAUCAUGGAUAUUCUCCUAAAGAUAUAGCUCGAAAAAUAUGUGAGUUUGUCGGACAUAACAAUACGGAAGUCGAAUCGUUGUCUUGGAAGUCAUGCAAUGCAUAUAGCGUUGAUGAUUUUUACUUGUGUUUGGAAAGGUUGCAAAGUACAUGUAAGAAACCACCUUUCUACACCUUGCUUAGGAGUUCAAUUUACUGGCUUGACGAUAUACCGAUUUCAAAAUGGACACGAGCAUUUUUCCCAAAAAUACGUUACAAUGUUAAAUCGAUUGACGUCCCUGAAAUUUCGCAAAUUAUAUCCAUACGUGAGUUUCCUAUAACAACGAUAAUUAAGUUAAUCACUACGUCGAUACAAUCAAAGUAUGGUGAAUGGGCUGAAGUGGCAGGUAAGGGAGAUUGUUAUAUUUAGUUUUUUUAUUGUGCUAUUAUUUUUCUAAAAUUUUCAAAUUUUACAGGGAGGUUGUCUGGUGGGUUGACCCCUUACGUUGAGAGUAAGGUUCAAAAAAGUCUCAACAAGUCUUAUAAUUGUAAUGCAAGACGUUUGUAUGGGGAUACAUUUGAAGUCGAUGACAAUUUUGCCACCACCAACGUACAACUUGAACGAAGGGUAUGUAGUUGUGGUAAAUGGCAAAAAAGCGGUAUACCAUGUGGCCACGCUAUAGCAUGUCUAAGAACCCGUACAUCUGAAUCCAUUCACAGAAUGGUUGAUUACAAGUUCACUAAUUAUGUGUAUCGACUUGCAUAUGGAUCUGAGUUGGUGAAUACUAUACCAUCACAUGUGCAUUGGGAAAUACCAAAUGAAACGGUGGUCCUGUUACCUCCCUCAAUGCAGUAGUUAUUCAUGUAGCACCUUUAUAUUUUAUGUAGUAUUAUGUAUUAGUUUUUUAUGUACCCCGUUUUUAUUUUAGUGUUGUGUUACGUAUUAGUUAUCCAUGUACCCAGUUUAUAUUUUAUGUCGUAUUAUGUGUUAGUUAUUUAUGUACCCCAUUUAUAUUUUAUUGCGUUCUAAAUAUUGGCUAUUGAGGAAACAACAUACAUUAAAAGAAAUGGACGUUUAUUAAAUAGUAACGACUAGACACAUACAACAACAAGCAACUUAAAUAACGAAAAACAAUUAACUUAACCAACAUGCAUAUUAAAAAUAAGGGACAUUCUUUAAAAGAUUCCAUGCAUCUAAGUGGGUAAACUCGCUACCAUCAUAUUCAAAACGGUAUAGUUCCAAAGCCACCUGUCGUAGAAUGUCUUCAUCCGUAUUUGCAUGUUCGUUAUCCAACUCGUUAUAAAUACGUUGAAAUUGUUUCACCUUCAUUUUCAUAUCCAGAAACUUCGCUUUGACAUCUCUUCUUCUUCGAUAUUGAGUGCGGUUCAUUAAAUGGUGAAACAAAUGACAGACACGAGACCAAAAUGAUCCAGCACGAACUUGUGGGGGACCCGGUGGAAAAUCCACCUCUACAGUUGUAAUCCAAGCUUGAACCAAAGCGACCUCCUCUGCGUUCCUCCAUAUAUGUGGUGAGUCCAUAAUUGCAAGGGGGGAAGUAAUACGAUACAAUUACAAUGGAUAUUAAAAACUAUUUAUAACAACUCCUUAUUUUCCUGGUGCAAUGACUUGUCAAUUCAAGUAGCAAUGUAUUGUGUUGUCAUUUGACGGGGGAUGACUUGUCAACUCGAACAUUGAUCUGUUGUGUUAUAAGUAUAGUACACUGCAUUCGUCAGUUAAUUUUGACUAUGAAUUGCAGACAUAUUAGAAGAUUGGACUGCGAUUUUGUGUAGAAACUACUAUAAAUUGACCUUAAGUUACAUGCAANUUUUAGAUUCUACUGUCACACCCCAAAACCAUUGAACGGUGGAAACGUUCUGGGGCGGAGGACGUCAUGUACAGUAUCACAACAAUGAAAAGUAGUAAACAAGCAACAACAUCAUCCAUUGCAUUAAUAAUAUAAUUUUGAUACAAGUGUGUUCUGUCAAAUUUUGAUAAACACUAAAGCAUAAAUCAAAAUGAAAAAUGAGUCUUGAACAAGCUCCAUCUUCCUUUCUCCUUGCAUCGGUACCUGUCUAUGAUGACCUGAGGAUACAAGUAAUUUUGAAAGAGAGUAUCAGUUUUAAAGCUGGUGAGAUCAUAAGUAAUUUUAGUGUCUUAAUUUGUAUGAAAAUACUUGUAUGUAUUUGAAAUGUAAGUAUUUGUAUGUAUACGAAUUGUAAGUAUUAAAAAUGUAAAUGAAUUGUAAGUAUGAAAAUGUAUAUGAAUUGUAAGUAUGAACAUGUUUGUAAAACAACUGUAAACGUUUGAAAAACCCUAGAAAUCCCUAUGAUUCCUACUAGUAACAAAAGGAGUCUUCUACCAAGACUUAACUGCUCUGAAUGUAGUCUUCUACCAAGACCUAACUGUUCUGAAUGUAGUCUUCUACCAAGACCUAACUGUUCUAAUUGUAGUCUUCUACCAAGACCUAACUGUAAUAGUAUUACCCUUUAGUACUCGGGCAAAUAACAAUGUUAACUGAAGACAUCCGUAGAUGUACAUUUACCUCUGUUGCUAACAGCUGGGUAUAGGAAUAGUCAGUCUCCAAAAGUAUACCUGUAAUGGUAUCAACCGUUGACAUCCGUGGAUGUGCUUUUACCUCUGUAGCUAACAGAGAUUCUAGGAAUGGUCAGUCCCGCAACGUAUCCUUGGGUACUAGGAUAUUAAAUCCAAUUUAUCUUGUCGAUUGUGUGAUUGAAUCACAAGGUAAAGAUAAGAACAAGGAUUAUAUAACAGAAUCUAUUCAUAUAAAGUGUACUAGUAAUUCCUGUAAGUGUACUCAUGUACAUGUGACCAUAUCUAUGUAAUAGUAUAGUAAGGUACUGUAAUGUUCUAGCUGUAGUGUACGUGCUCUCUAUCUAGUAAGUAUAGUAAUGUAUUGUAAUGUUCUAGAAAGUAAGACUCAUGAAUGAACUGGCUCAUUGUAUAAUAUUUCGUUCUAGUAAUGGUUCUAGUAUCUUCCUAAACUACCCCUAUGGUAGUUUACUAGUAAUCUAACUGGUACGUAUGGACAUGGAUGUAUACCCUUGCUACCCAAGGGCAUAGGAUGAACUGGAAGGACCUUUAUGACUAUAUAUGUAUAUAUGUUAUAUAACUAAUAUUUAAAUGACCUUCGGACGAGUACCCGAUAUCCCCACAGACCACAUCUCAAGCGCGAAAAGGAAAUAGGGUGGAUAGUCGUCCUAAGUCUUUUAAAUAUUUCUUAUAUAACUAUACAUAUAGAGGCAUGCAAUUUAUAAUAUAAAAGCAUAAAAUAAGUUUUGUAAAACCUUUGAACAUAAUUAUUAUCUAAGAAAAGAUCGACUUGAUGUCAAUUUAUAAAACGUUUUGAAGGCAUGGGUUUGAUAAAACAACUUUAGUAUAAGGAAACUUUUGUUUGAAUCACAAUUGUAAAUAAGUUUGAAAAGUAAUAUACAGAGUAAAAUGUACAGAGAAAUAAGGAGUUUUAGACACAUAAAGUGUUUAUGAAAUACAUUUGAAGGAAACUGUUUAGUAAAACGGCUAAUGAGUAGCCAAUCAUUUGAAUGCUGCUUAUUAAUCACAUGUGAUUGAUAUAAUAAUUAGCAUAAUUCUACUUGUAUCCUCCCCCAUAAAACAUUUAAAAAAUAGUUUAAAACAUUGAUUAAGGGGUAUGAACUCACCUGUAGUGAGUGGUUCUGAUGAAAAUGUUGGAUCAGUUGCUAAGUAUCAAGUGGUGACUUGAGUACACACGCGAAUCCUAUUUAGCAUAUAUUGGCAUAUAUAUGAAUAUAAUUAGUGUUAUGAACGACUGAAAUAAUGAUUUUGGAACCACCUUAGGGACUACUAAACACUUAUAAUGAAGUGUUACAAUCAUAUAUGAUUGUAUGAGGGUUUAUAAGGCUAUACAAGAGGGUGUAUGGCCAAAAUACACACUAUAUGUGUGGGGCGGGCCUAGUGUGCUGCCNNNNNNNNNNNNNGGCCAGAUGGUGUUCUUGGUACCUUGUAUGAAGAUCUUCAAGGAGAAUGGAUGAUACUUGAGAGGAUUUCGUGUUCUAUGCUUGAAGAAGUGAAGGAAGUGUUCAAAAAUGACUAAGUGUGGUAUAUAUAGGUGGAGUGUGCGGUUGGGAAGGGUGUGAGGCCGCAAACACAUGUGUAUGGCCGUACACUCCAUGUGUUGGAGUGUUUGGCCUCUUUUUGAUUCCUACACUUUGAGUUAACCCAUUUCCACACUCCAACAUUGAUUAUAACACGUUUAGAACGCUCCAAUAGACCCUAAAUGGUACUACAAGAUAGCAAAAUGAGUCUAUUAUUGAUAAGAAAUGAAGAAUGCAAGCUAGAAAUUUUCGGGUUGUCACAUCUACUCUCUUUGUUUCAAUCAAAAUGAGUUUUAUAUCAUGGAGCAAUGAAGAGUUCUUGGUUCUUACACGUGCUUAUAUUCAUGUGUACGAGACAAGCAAGUUGAACGAUCCAAUGUUUUGGAGCCGUUUAACCAAUAUUUUCAACACUGAAAACCGAAUGCCUACAAGAAACGAUCGUGACGAACUAGACAUUUUAGCAAGAUGGUAAGAAAUGAAAACCGAAGUUCUAUUAUUCAACGAUCUUUAUACGAAAAUUGACGACACCCGUUUAAAUGCUACUGAGGAGGUCAUCUUGGAAGCUGCUAAGGAGGAAUACAAGUCAUUAAGUGACGGGUUGGAAUUCCAGUUUGAAGCCCCUUAGAAUAUUUUGAAAUAUAUCCCGUUUGUUUAAAAUCUAUUUUAGUUUAUUAUGUGAGUACUAGGUUAUUUUCAUGUAUUUCGUAUGUAUUGGAUGCAUCUCCUAUGAUUAAUUUGAAUUAAUAAACGCCCAUUGCAUUAGUUUUCACAAUACAUUAGAAUACAUUACUAACAAGAAUUCCAUGAACCAUUACAAACAUUACAACAAUUAUAUGAAAAACAACGACAUAAUACAAACAAAGCAUUAAUGUAAAACACAAGUGCAUGGGUUAUUCUUAACAUAAAUUAGAGCGGUCUACAUGAAAUAUUGUUUAUUUUUAACAACCUUCCAAACUUCCUCAUAUUCGAAGUCUCUACCGUCAUGCUCACAGAUGUAAAAAUCUGUAACAACUUCCAAGAACUCUUCUUCAUCCCGAUAACGAACAUUGGUACUUUUCACAUAAUUACAGGCUCGAUUGAACCAUGUCACUUCUUCCUUUACAUCAAUCCACUUAGUAACAACAUCUGAUUUUUAUCUUUGUUGUCCUUCUCCCAUCUCAUGGUUAAACAAAGAUGUUAUGCGAGUCCAUUCAUCACCAAUUAGGCAAUGCGGGGGAGCAAGUAACGAUACACCAUCCUUAACACUUAGCCAGCAUCGUGUAAGAACUAACACCUCGUUUGUCGUCCAUGGCCUUUCAGAAUUGGAACCAGGUACUUCAUUCGAAGAACUUGCUGCAUUCGACGACAUUUCUAGUUAUGGGAGUUCGUUUCGUUUAGGUGAUUUCGGUGUUUGGUUUUUAGAUCUUAAAUAUCUAUUUAUAUAAAAAAAUACAGGACUAUGAAUUAAAACUUUGAAUAUGAAAUGGUUGCACUUGGACUACGAUUUUCAGCUUUAUGCAGUGAUUUAUCAUGUCAAACUAUCAUUUAUGUCUUGUCACUUAAGGGUUCCACUACGAUUUGCAGGUUACUACAGUGACUUGUCAUUACUGUCUAGUCAUUUCAAAGUUGGACUUGUCAUUACUGUCUAGUAUGUAUAAAUACCACUUAUAGCACAAGUUUAUUACAAUGUCGACUUUAUUAUGAGUUCCUCACACAAAUUCGAAGUUUGCUCAUGCAACGAAGUAGAUUGUUACUACUGUGAUUCGGUAGACCCUUUUUUUACACCCUCUUCAGCCGGGCCAUAUAUGUCACAUGAAAAUUUUGAAGAAUUAAAGAAGGCUGAAGAACAACAAGAAGAGGACAAAGAGUCAUCCCGACUUCUCACUCAACUUGCUAAUGAUAUUGAAUCGGAAUGCAAACAAGCUCAAGAAUGGAUUGACCUCAAUAAAAACAAAAUCAAAGAGCAUAAAGAUUGGAUAAAAAAGAGUAAGAAGGCAAUCAAAACGACUGAAAAACGGCUUGCUGAGAAGGAUGAGCAGUUGAUACACAUUAUGGUAAAAAAGGAUCGUUUCGAAGACAAAAUGAGAAUUAGGGAUGACUAUAUAACAAUGGAGAAAGAGAAGUACCCAUUGUAGUACCCUGAGUUUAAAAAUUAGUUACAAAAUUUUUGUAAUAUUAUCAUGAUACAGAUUAGGUUGUAAAAGGAUCGUUUGUUGUUUUUUUUAAAUAACAUGUUGUAAUUGUUAAAAAAAUCUGCAAACUCUAUUUUAUAAUAUAAAGGCUUCAUUAAUUGUUAUAAUCAACAAACUAAACUAAAAUAUGAAAGCAUAGCAAUGUCUUGUAAGAUUUAAUAAAAAUAUUACAAUACAUAAUAAGUUAACAACUCGUCAUUACUCUUCAUUUCAAGGUUGUUUUAUAUCAAAAUCAGUGUUAUAAGUUUGUGAGCAACUCGUUGAACCACCAAUAUUAAAUGCCAUUUCUGCAGUAGAAAUUAUGUGAAGUACUCCACUACAGGACGCCCUUCCAGUACAAUUAUUUCUCGUGUGUCCUAGUUGACCACAUGUAGAACACUCUUUUAUAAUUGGACCCUCGCCUUGGGAUGGAAUGCGGUUUGUGUUUCUUGGACUGCCUGGAUGACGUUUAUCCAUUAUAGAUGGCUUAACAAUCAUCAAAUCAUCAGGGAUCUCCCAUUCGGGUGGCUUUGGCAGAGGGUUUAUUGAUUCCUCAUAUGUUUUCCUCAGUGUUUUGGUAAAGUAAGCAUUUAAUGCAUACCUCGAGCAGUCUUGGUAUUUGUUGACUGUUAAACAUCUUCUGACAUGACCACAAGGUAUCCCAUCAAGUUGAUAAUGCCUACAUGUACAUGUCAUAUGUUGGAAAUCAACAAUCACAUUUUGUGCCCUCUUUUUGACAUCGCAUUUCGUAUUUGAGAUCAUGCGAACAUCCCAUUUAGUAAAAGUUUUCUUGUUUUCUUUUACAACUUCAUCCGCCCAAGGGGUAAGUAUUGUUGUUGCUUCCGCUAAAAAAAGAGCCAAAAUGAAGAAGUUAAGAUCAAUAACAUCAAAAUUAAUAAAACAUUAAUAUUAAAAAUUUACUUAAUACCUGCAAAGUUACGUCUUUGAAACCACCAUUGUUGCAUUGUAGCACGAAAAAAAUCGAUCAACAUAAGUAUUGGCACCUUAAGUGCGUGUCUAGAUAAUGCAUUUAUAGACUCCGCACUGUUGGACGACAUAAGAUUGUAUCGGUUCCUUUAAAAUGUGCCCUUGACCAAGUUUCUGGAUUUAUACUUUUUAAGUACUCCCAUACUGGUUGUUUUGUCUUUUUCAUAACAUCCAUGACAGCAUCAAAAGCAUCAACUGUGUACGCCCUAUACGCCUCCCAAAAAAUUCCUUUAACUGUCUUACUCUUGCCGAAUCUAGAUACUAUGUUGAAAUACAAAUGGACACCACAUAUUCCAUGAUGAGCGUGAGGAAAAAUGUUGGCAACGGAUGUUGCUAUAGAUGGAGACCUAUCAGAUAUAAUUGUAAGCUCCUGCAUAUUUCCUAUGCAAUCACGUAGUUUUUGAAAAAACCAUGUCCAAGAAUCGGUACACUCAUUUUUGCAUAUACCAUAUGCAACCGGUAAUAUUUGAUUUUGUCCGUCCUUAGUAACUGCAAGUAGCAUGGUACCUUUGAACUCGCCCUUUAGGUGAGCUCCAUCUACUACUAGGGUCGGCUUACAAAAAUUGACAAAAGCUCGUACCUACAAUACAUUGUAUAUCUAUUCAAAUACACCAAAAUAAAUAUUAAAAAAAAAUUAGGACAUGAUAAUACUAACCGAGCAACCGAGUGCGACGUACAAAAACUCAAACCGAUCAUCAGCAUCUGUUUUAANAUCAUCAACAUCUGUUUUAAUAUGUGUCACCGUACCCGGAUUAUGUUUGACCAGAUUGUGAUAAUACGCCGGAAGUUUGGUAAAAGAAUCCUCUUUCGUACCCCUUAACAACAACAAUGCAUAUUGCUUCGCACGCCAUGCCUGAUGGUAUGAGAUAUCGAUAUUGAAUUGAGCAUUCAUAUCAUUAACAAUAUCUUUUCCCCGAUAAACUCUACUAUAGUCUUCAGCCAAAACAUCAGCAACAUAUUCACCCAAAACAUAUUUGUUUGCUUGUCGAUGAUUAGGUUGCAACAAUGUUGAAGAACAUGUGUGUACAUCAACAAAUUUAUUCACUUGGAAAAGUCCAUCAGUAUUUUUAAUUGCUUUUGCUCUUAGUAACCAAGAACAAUUUUUCGAAACACACACAGCUUCAUACCUUGAUUUGGUGGAUCUACUUGUCCUCGUCUGGAAACCUUCUCGAAGACAUUUUUUACCAAUACACCGCUUUAAAAGUUCUUUGUUUUUAAAUAUACUCUCACAUUGAAUCUUUUGAAGAUUAAUGUCUACCAUCUGUGUUGGGAUAUCUUCAUUAAUAUCAACUAGGCAUGCUGGUACAGGGGGCAUAUCGUGAAAAAGGUUAUCGGGAAACUUAGCUUUAACUUCAUCACCCAACUCAUCUCUAUCGGAAUUGCUUUGUAGCUCGAUUAUAUCUAACGUACAUCACCAACAUCAACAUAAUGCCCGUAAACAUGUUUUUUUUUCAUUUUUUUUACUUGAUUUUUUUUCUUUUUACUUUUAUCUACCACACGCCUAUUCGUAACUUUAACUUCUUAUUCGGAAACAUCAUCACAACGACCACCCACAUCAUUAAGAUAUGUACCAACAUCAUCAUCACCAACAGACUUGUAAUUCUCAGGAUCCACGUAGUGAAUAGGUGAAUAACUAACAUUAACAUUUUCAGCAACACUGUGAAACUGAGGUACACUAGGAGUAUUGAAAGUACCUAUCAGAUCGUUGCUCCCUUUAUAACUGCAUAAAAUUACCAACAAGCUGAUUUCCAGUUUGACCACCCCCAUUUACCUCAUCAACUUCAUCAACCACCACAAACACUUUCACAACCCUUCCUCCACUACAUUUGAUUACGUUUAUCAACAUUCUAACAUCCAUGUCUUCAACUAUAGCUAUAUAAUAAUUUAAUUCAGGAUUAUGGAAAUGAAGACUAAUUCUAUAUGUGUCUAACAAACCAAUUUUGCUUCUCACCAAAGAUAAAAAAUCACNNNNNNNNNNNNNNNNNNNNNNNNNNNNNNNNNNNNNNNNNNNNNNNNNNNNNNNNNNNNNNNNNNNNNNNNNNNNNNNNNNNNNNNNNNNNNNNNNNNNAUCAUUCUCAUUUCACAACUCCAAAUCCUUUUUUCAUAAGUAAAAAAAUAUCAAAUUCUCCCUACUUAUAGAAUAUGCUAGAUUCUAAUAUUCUAUGCAAUCAUCCUUUCGUAAUAUCACUAACCAAAGUCACAAAGACUAUUGUCAAUGAAAUUACAAAGUCUUUUAUCGGAGAUUGUUACAAUACAAUUCCUUAGAUAUGAUGUCUCUCACUCAAAGUACAUUCCUUCGAACAUCCUUUUGCACAAAAGUCUCUAAUCUAGACAUAGAUUUUCAAUAUUCAAUUCCUAGUAUGGACACGCUUCCAUAUUUUCCAUAUGACAACUCAUUCUUAAUAGAAUCUUAUCUAUUCNAUCUAUUCAUAAUAAUGUCGAUAUGGUCCAUCCAAUACCAUGCUUCCAACUACUCACAAGCAACCAAUCCUCGUCGAACUUUGGAUUGUCCUUUGAUAGUUGUUUAAUUAUUUUAGCCAAAACCGAUUCUAGUCCCUUUUCCUCUAAAUGCGCUAGACAUUUGGAAAAUUUUAAAUGGUCAAACAUUAAAGCAUUUGCAAUCGAUCCUUUACCCGAAGCGUAUGGGACAUGAUGCAUAAUGUUUUAUUUUCUAUGUUCUCAAAAUUCGAAUUUUGAAAAGGAAUGUCGUAAUCAUAAUCGAAAUUUUAAGAACACACUAUGUACCUUUGACUAAAUUUAUUAACAUUUCUCAACCUAAGCCUUUAGAUUUGAAAUAAAGCAUAAUAUUCUCUCCCUUAAUUAUAGCAAAACAACUUUACAACCUUUACGACUUUGCAAGGUAUAACUCUUGUUUUCUAUAAUUAAUAUUGCCAACUUGCAAAACUUUCCAUAAUAAUCAUAAAAUCAUAACUUUUAUGCUCCCACUAUCAUGAUGAUUAUUAUAAAACAUAACACUUAUGCUCCCACUAGCUUCGACAUGUAUUCAUAAACAUCUUAACUUUCAGAAAAACAACACUUAUUGAAUUUCUUAAGUUCAUGUUUCUAAUACUUAGUGCUUUGAUAAUCUUUUAUCAAGGCUUCUUGAACUUGUACACCUUUGCCUUUGAUAGUUCAUAUGUGUGUCUAAACACUUAAGACUAAUUGCCAAACCUCACAAUUCAAAUUAUGGAAAGGAAUACCGUAACCAUGAUUGAAUUCAAGAAUGCAACUUUACAAUUACUAUCUUCUUAAAAUCUUUCUUAGUAAAAGAAUUUCCUCACAAUCAUUUUCAUGAAGGAGGAAAUCUUAUGACACUUAGAUUUUAAACGGUGUAUGUGUUUCUAUCCAUGUGAAUUUGUUAAAACCAAAGUUUACGACAAAUUCAAACUCAUAUGGACCGAAUUUUCUUAAUCUUGAUCUCUUGCCUUAUGGUAGCACAGCUGCCCACCACGUCUUCCAAGUAGUUAAGCAUCUCACCUUUUUCCUAUCAAUGUACCUUUCAUUGAUCAAGGUGCUUUGCCUUUUAUGCGUUCAAAAUGAGAACUCAUAGAACUCUCAUGCAUAAUUAACUCGAUAAGAUUGGCACAAAAUCAAAAUAAUGUCAUCACAAUAGCUUGUAAACCUUAACUCGUGUGCUAAUGAUGAUCAAUAAGGUUUAUUUAAUUUGUUCUUGAAACCUUUCAANNNNNNNNNNNNNNNNNNNNNNNNNNNNNNNNNNNNNNNNNNNNNNNNNNNNNNNNNNNNNNNNNNNNNNNNNNNNNNNNNNNNNNNNNNNNNNNNNNNNUUAACUUGCCAUCUCCCACCGGUUACAAGACAAACCAAAUAUUCAUUCAUUUUUUAGAGCGAACUUUAGAGAAAUUUCCUAAAUAAAUAACAACCAAACUGAUAAUUUUCUACAAAACUUUUUAUAUAGCAACAUUAUUUCAUAGUCAAACCAAUUAAUUUCAUAGUCAAACUAAAAAAAAUAAUAAUAAUCAUUAAAAAAUAACCGCAAUUUCGCAGAUGGAAUCAGAGUAUAUUGCAGAUGGGGCUAUUCCAUCUUCGAUUUUACCCUACAAAUUAAAUAUAUAUAGAGAAAAAAAUUUUAAAAAUAAUAAAAUAAACCACCUACGAAUGUACAAGCAGCUAAAGCAUAGUUGUGCUUUAGCUGCUUGUACAUUCGCAGAUGGAAAGCCCAUUUCGCAGAUGGGACUAUUCCAUCUGCGAAUUUCGUGGUUAUUUUUGCAACUUCGAUUUUUUUGGCUAUUUUUGUAAUAUAAUUAGUGUAAAUGGCUAUUUUUGUCAUUUUCUCCUUCUAAAUUUCUAACUUCCCUAACAACUAAGAAACAUGGUUAAACAUGUCUCCGAUGNAAAAAAUCAUGAUGAAUAUGAAUGUGUAAAAAUUAAGUAUUUUUUAAAGUAAACUUUUGAAAUAAAUACAAUAAAUAGAAUAAACCACAUUGACCAUUUAUGUAAUUUGUCUUAAUUAAUAUAUACUGAUAACACUAAUUAAUAUAAAUUCACAAAUAGAAUUUAUUAAAUAGAAAUAAGAACUCAUAAAUGGAAGGUUUACUACAUACAUUAAUUCACAUUAAUUACUAUGAGGUGACAUUUAAUAGGUGGGAGUUCAAUAAAAAUGAAAAAAAAUACAAAAAUGACAAGUGGAAAAAAAAUAAUUUAAAAUUCUAAGAAAAUGACAUGUGGCAAAUUCAAUAAGAAGUUGACAUUUGACAAAAUGAUCUUUAUUUAUUAGGGUACUAGGUGUGAAACUCGUAUAUUAUACGGGUUGAUUUAAAAAAUGAUUAAACUUAAAGUAUAAAAAUAAAAUAUUUUUUAGUGUACAACUUUAAAAUAAGAAAUAAAGAAACGUAUUUAUUAUAAUUUAAUAUCAUAUAUAAAUACAAUUUAAUAUCAUAUAUAUGAUAUUUAAUACUUUACAUAUAUAAAUAUAUGACUUUAAUUAAAAAUUAAAACAAAUAAAAAAUUGACAAGUGGAUAAUAUUUAUUUCAAAAUUACCACAAAAUGACAAAUGUCAAAACUCAUGAGAGAUUGACAAGUGUCANUGAUGAAUACAUAAUUCAAUCUAUACGAAUAAAAAAUAUUUUCAUGUUUAAAAAAUCAUGAUGAAUAUGAAUGUGUAAAAAUUAAGUAUUUUUUAAAGUAAACUUUUGAAAUAAAUACAAUAAAUAGAAUAAACCACAUUGACCAUUUAUGUAAUUUGUCUUAAUUAAUAUAUACUGAUAACACUAAUUAAUAUAAAUUCACAAAUAGAAUUUAUUAAAUAGAAAUAAGAACUCAUAAAUGGAAGGUUUACUACAUACAUUAAUUCACAUUAAUUACUAUGAGGUGACAUUUAAUAGGUGGGAGUUCAAUAAAAAUGAAAAAAAAUACAAAAAUGACAAGUGGAAAAAAAAUAAUUUAAAAUUCUAAGAAAAUGACAUGUGGCAAAUUCAAUAAGAAGUUGACAUUUGACAAAAUGAUCUUUAUUUAUUAGGGUACUAGGUGUGAAACUCGUAUAUUAUACGGGUUGAUUUAAAAAAUGAUUAAACUUAAAGUAUAAAAAUAAAAUAUUUUUUAGUGUACAACUUUAAAAUAAGAAAUAAAGAAACGUAUUUAUUAUAAUUUAAUAUCAUAUAUAAAUACAAUUUAAUAUCAUAUAUAUGAUAUUUAAUACUUUACAUAUAUAAAUAUAUGACUUUAAUUAAAAAUUAAAACAAAUAAAAAAUUGACAAGUGGAUAAUAUUUAUUUCAAAAUUACCACAAAAUGACAAGUGUCAAAACUCAUGAGAGAUUGACAAGUGUCAAAAAAAACCUUCAUUUAUUAAAAAAGAUUNNNNNNNNNNNNNNNNNNNNNNNNNNNNNNNNNNNNNNNNNNNNNNNNNNNNNNNNNNNNNNNNNNNNNNNNNNNNNNNNNNNNNNNNNNNNNNNNNNNNNNNNNNNNNNNNNNNNNNNNNNNGUAUAAUUUUUGAACAAUUUGUAUAAAAUACUUAAAUUAUUAAUUCAAAUAUAACAUUAUAGGCUCAACUUAAAUAUAAAUUUUAUUUAACUUAAACAACCCAAAGAUUAUUUUAUAAAUAAUUAAAAGUGAUAAAUUGUAUUGUCUUUCUAAUAAUGAUUGUAAGUUGGUUAAUAAGGUUAAAUAAAUAUCAAACCUAAAGUGUAAUCAUAAAUAGACUAAAUUUCAAUUUUUAAAUAAUAUAUUUAUUUCUAUUUAUAAAGUUAUGUAUUUAAAUUUUAACACAUUAUACUUAAUUUAUUAGAUUUAAAAUGUUGUUGCAUGUAAACCAUUAUCAGUUUAAAGCUACAAUUUUUGAACAGUUUGGACAAAAUACUUAAAUUGUUAAUUUAAAUAUAACAUUACAGUGUCAACUUAAAUAUAAAUUUCAGUUCCACUAAAAAAACCAAAUAAUAUUUUGUAAAUAGUUAAAAGUGAUAAAUUAUAGUAAUAAAUGCAAAAACUAAAUUGUAAUAUCAGUUUAACUAAAAUAUUUCCUAAAUAUAUUUAUAUAGUCGUUAAAAAAUUUCAAAUACGUAGCUUAAAAUAACUUAUAAUAACAAUAGUUGCAAAUAACUCUAUAUAAAUUAUUAUAUUGUUAACUUUAAAAUCAAAAAAUAAUGUUUGAUGUUUUAAAUAAUUAUAAUGAUAGAAAUUAAAACAUUAAGCAAAUACAUUUUAAAAAAUUAGUUAAAAAUAAUAACUAUAAAUAAUAUUAAACCAUAUAUAAUAUUUAAUUUUAUUGAUGUGUAACUCGCGAGUAGAAGUCAUUAAAACGAUUGAGAUUAUGACGUUAUAAUAGAUUUAUAUAUUAUCAUAUAAUUCAAAAUAGUCAAUAUAUUAUAUCAAACUAAUAUACGAAUUAUUAUAUCAAAUUUAACAACAAUGUUAGUGUUAUAUUUUAAUAUAUAUAUAAAGACUUCAACUAUAUAGGUGUUUCUGCGCAUUACAAUGUCAACUCAAAAAUAUAAAUUUCAUUUCCAUAUUAAAAAACUAAAGAAUAUUUUAUAAAUAGUUAAAAGUAAUAAAUUGUAGUGAUAAAUGCAAAAACUAAAUUGUAAUCUCAAUUUAACUAAAAUAUUUCUUAAAUAUAUUUUUAUAAUCGUUAAUAGUUUCCAAAUAAGUAGCUUAAAAUAAUUUACAAUAACAAUAGUUAAAAACAACUCUAUAUAAAUGAUUAUAUUGUUAGCUUUAAAAUAAAAAAACAAUGUUUGAUGUUUUAAAUAAUUAUAAUGAUAGAAAUUAAAACAUUAAGCAAAUAAAUUUUAAAAAAUUAAUUAAUAAAAUCAAAUCAUAUAUUAUAUUUAAUUUUAUUCAUGUGUAACUCGCGGGUAGAAGUCAUUCAAACGAUUGAGAUUAAGAAGUUAUAAUAAAUGUAUAUAUUAUCAUAUAUACAUUUAUUUUUUCUUAUUAAAACAUUCUACUUUUCCAAAAUACAAUUUCAAUUUUUUGGACUAAAUACAAGAAAUAGUACUGUAUUUCCAAAAUAUAAUGUUGUGAUAAGGAAAAGUGAAGGUUGGAUUCUUCAGUAAUGCGAUCAAUAAAAGUACAUUGCAUUUAAGUUUUGAAUUGUUAUAUAAUAAUCUACUAAAUCUUGACGGAAUUUUCCUUUUUCUUUCAGGUUGUUCAACUUUCAAAUAACCAACGAAUUACUUAUACAAUGUAACUCUUCUUGGAUUCAAAUUUUAUAUCAAAAGUUUUUGCAUCGUUAUGUAUUAUCACCUUACAUUUUGUUGAUGAAUAAAAAUUGAAAGAGACUGUUGCCAAAUAACUUUCUUCUUGAAUUGGGGUUUUAGUUUUUUCUAUUAUUCAAAUGAUUUUACAAAUUUAUUUAUUGGGUUUUGUUAAAAGUUUGAGUGAGAAUCUGGAUUUUUGUAUGACAUAAACUAUUUUGAAGUUUGGAUGAAGUUGUAAAAAAAAAAUGACCCCAUUGCAUAGCAUAAGUUUUUUCUGAGUUUCAAUAAUAUCCCAAUUAACCAGGACCAUUUCAUAUUGAUGGACUUCCGAAAAGUUACCCCUGUAUAUUUGAUGAUGAAAUUUGAGUUGAGAAAAUGAAACUUUAAAAAUUAACUUAUUUUUAAAAAUUAUUUUUUUAGAUAAUAAAAUAACUAAGGCAAUAUAACGGUGAUCAUUUGAUAUGAUAUAUUUUAAACCAAAUUUGAGUUGUAUUCGAAUCGUGUAAACUUUAAAUUUGAGGUAUAUAGGCCUUCAAUAAAAGAAAAUUAAUUAUAUUUUUAAGGUAUAUAGGCCUUCAAUAUUUUUUUUGUCGAGAGUAAGUUAUACAAAAUUUUAAGGUAUAUAGGCUUUAAAAAUUAAUUAAAUUUUAAGGUAUAUAGGCCGUCAUUAUUUUUAAGGUAUAUAGGCCUUCAAUUUUGAAUCAUGUAGGUAUAUAGGGUUUCAAUAUUUUUUUUCAAGAGUAAGUUAUACAAAUUGUCAAUCUGGUUUGUACAAUCUGUAGGUUUUGUCUCUAAGGGGGUGUUUGAGAUUGUGUUUGAAAAGUGCUUAUUUGCUUAUUGGCUUUUUGAAAAGCUAAUAAGUCAAAAAAAGUGUUUGGCAAACUCAAAAGUACUUUUCAAAAUUGUUUUUCCAUAAGCUUCAAUAAGUACUUUUUAAUAAGCAUAUAAAACGUGGCUUUUUGAAACUAUUUAUGGUUUUUCAACCAAAAUAACUUCAAAAAUCACUAAAAGUUUAUCCAAACACUUUUUAAAAAACUCAUUUACCACUAAGCAAAUAAGCACUUUUAUCUAAAAGCAUUUUUCUAGUUCAAAAGCACUUCCAAACACCCCCUAAAUUGUUCUACUUGUCUCAUUUUUAUGGUAAUUAUUAUAUUUUUAAGAUGUAGAAGUCUAAGGCUAUGUUAGUGUUGGCUGAAAAACUAGUUGAUAGUUGUUACAUAAAAAUGUAUUUGAUAAUUGAAAAUUCAGCUGAGAAAAAACAAUGGUUGGGAAAAAUAGUUGAUAAAUUAGUUGAAAUAUAUCAAAUAAUAUAAAAAGUCAUUUAAAAAAUAUUUUAUUUUAUAAUUAAUUAAGGGUAUGUUUAAAAAGAAUUAAAACAAAACUUCUAAAAAACUAGUUUAAAUACAUUUUUAAAAAGGUAGCUUAUAAGCUAUUGUCUUGUGAAACAUUAUAACUAAAAAAUAUCGAAAAAUAAGUUAGCAUGUCAAACACAACCUAAAUAUUAAACAAUUUUAUACAAUUACUAUUUUGACUUUCAAUUAUAUUUAAGCCUCAUAUUCAAAUUUUUAUUCCUUAAUGUUUCAAAUAUCUUAGUAUGGUAUUCAAAUUUUGUCUAGUUGCUAAGAGAGACUAAUGCAUUGUCUUUUGUAAUAUCAUUGCAUUUAGUGGAAUGUAAUAACUCAUAAAUAAACAUUCUAUUUGGCGGGAUAUGAUAUCUUGAAGCUAUAAAUUAAAUUGUAUUAUGAUACGUGAGCAUAUCAACAUGACAAAAUUGUUUCUAGAAUGUUAAUUUUUCUAAUUUUUAAUAUAGUUGGUUUAAAAAGAUAUUGUUCAAUUGAAUGGUUACAAGUUUUUAUUUUAAUAUGUGAUCCACAUCAAUUGAUUGUUGAAUGAUACUAGUUAAAUGCAAUAUUAUUUUUGUAAAGUAAUCACAAAUUUUAUAUUUUUGACCAUUCAUAAUAAUUAUAUGUACUAUUCAUCGUAUUAAUUGUAUAAUAUAAUGAUUUGAUGUUCAGUAAUGGUUUUCUUUUACUAUUACCAUAUAUGUAUAUAGGGGUAUUUUGUCAUUUUUUCGGUUUUUAGUUUAGUUUGUUUGGUUUUAUCCGUGUUUUUAAAUCAUAAAAUUAAUCAUAACCAAAAUAAAAAAGGUCCGAUUUAUUCUGUUCGGUUUACCAGUUGAACCGAAUACAACUCUUCAUGUAAAAAUAAAUAUUAAACUAAAAAAAGAAAUUACUAAACUUUUUACCAAAUGAAAAAAAAAUACACUAAUACAUAACAUAUAUUGUCUUGUCUUAAAUUGUAAAUUCCUUUAAACCAUCAACAAGUGUUGAUUGCAGCAUUUUUUUCUACAAUUGUUGAGCACCCAUGAGAUAUUACCAUUUUAACCUCUUCUAAAUUUCUAACUUCGCUAACAACUAAGAAACAUGGUUAAACAUGUCUCCAUUUCUUCAACUUCAAUGUCACUAGAAGAGCUAAAAUUAUAUAUAUAUAUAUAUAUAUAUAUACACACACACACUAGGUGUGAAACCCAUAUAUUACACGGGUUGAUCAAAAAAGUUAAAUAUAAGGUGUAGACAUUAAAUAUUUUCUAAAGUAAAAUUUUGAAAUAAAUAUAAAUAAAAUGAUGAAUAAAUAAUUCAAUCUAUACUAAUAAAAAAUACUUUCAUGUUUAAAAAAUCAUGCUGAAUAUGAAUGUGUAAAAAUUAAGUAUUUUUUAAAGUAAACUUUUGAAAUAAAUACAAUAAAUAGAAUAAACCACAAGGAUCAUUUAUGUAAUUUGUCUUAAUUAAUCUAUACUGAUAACACUAAUUAAUAUAAAUUCACAAAUGGAAUUCAUUAAAUAGAAAUAAGAACUCAUAAAUGGAAGGUUUACUAUAUACAUUAAUUCACAUUAAUUAGUAUGAGUUGACAUUUAAUAGGUGGGAGUUCAAUAAAAAUGAAAAAAAAUACAAAAAUGACAAGUGGAAAAAAAAAUAAUUUAAAAUUCUAAGAAAAUGACAUGUGACAAAUUCAAUAAGAAGUUGACAUUUAACAAAAUGAUUUUUAUUUAUUAGGGUACUAGGUGUGAGACCCAUGUAUUACAUGAGUUUAUUUAAAAAAAUUAAAUAUGAAAUUUUAACAAUUUGAAAAGUUCGAAUUUAUAAGAAGAAUGAGAAAAAUUUUAAAUUAUUAAAGUUAAGGAAGCUUUAGUGUAUUGAAUACAUUACAUAUAUAAACUCUUUCUAAUGAAUACCUUACAUAUAUAUUAUCUUACAUAUUAAAUGUGAAAUUUUAAUUUAUAAAUGAAAAAUACAAUAAAAUGACAAGUGGAAAAUAGAAAAUUUAAAAAAUCUAGAAAAUGUCAUGUGUCCAAAUAAAUGAGAAGAUGACAUGUGGCAAAAAAAACCUUUAUUUAUUAUAGUAUAUAUAUUUUUUAGUUUUUGUUCCUUCUAAUAUGAUUACAUAUNGUUUAUACACACACACACACACACACACACACACACAUAUAUAUAUAUAUAUAUAUAUAUAUAUAUAUAUAUAUAUAUAUAUACUAUCUUAUAAAGGAAAUCUAACUAUUUCUAAAAAUAGAUUGAUUAUAAUAUUAAUAUUUUUUUAAGACGUUCUAAUUAUUAAGCUAAUAGUAUAACUAGGCUUCAAUAAAAUAAUAUUAAAAUUUUGAAAUCGGCCCUUUCAUAUAAAGUCAAUGUUUGAAUACUAAAAUGUAGGGAAAUUUGCCUCCCUUAUCUCAGAUUUUGACCCAUUCUUCAAAAAUUUGCAUUGGCCUUCCCUCAUAUCUCGGCUAUAACAUUGAUGAUCAACUUUGUCCUGCACUACAAAUACUCUUUAGAAACCCUAGAAGCAUAAGCACUAGACGGUGCUACUUCCAUCAACACCCAAGGACAGAAGACUUCCAUCAACACCCAAGGACAGAAGAUGUAAACGACGACCACCACGCUUAACCACCAAUGCCUCUCUCUCUCUCUCUCUCUCUCUCUACGUACAUAUAUCGCCCACCAUCAUUCAUUCUUAGUCUUUUAUUUUGAUCGAUGCCAGGUUAGAUUUUUCUCAUGCUUCUGGAACUAAUCAGAUAUUUUGCAAGAUUUGAAGACUGAGGCGAUGAAGUACAUGAAUCUCGAUGCCUUUAACAAUUGUAUACGAAUUAUUUCUUGAAGAUCGAUGAUUGAAGCAUUUCCUAAAAAGUAUUGGUGACCUCCUUUCGCCUAUGUCUCAGCAUCGAGUAUUCAAGUUGAAAUUUUCAAGAUUCAAGGCUCAAAUUUCACAUGGCAUAUCAAAGGGGCCCAAAUUUGCUUAUGGUUUAUGUAUGAUAGUGCAACUACCAAGAACAUGCCCAUCUCCAGCUAGGAAGGUAACCUUCUAACAUGUGUUAGCUUGGGGUUUUGAUUAAAUUAAUUUUUGUUUGUGGAUUGAUUGUUAGUUUCAAAUUUAGUGACUUUAUUUGGUAUAAAACUUCCAUAAUAAUAAGGCCUUAAAGGUAGGGAUAAAUGCAAGAACUAACAAUAUAUUCAUUUUUUUCUCUCUUCAGUAGUUCAAAUUUUUCAUGACUAUGAAAAGGAACAUGAUAGUCAUCUGGUGAAUAUGACAUUUAUAGGCCAAUUUUGGAUAGGUUAUAGGUUUCAUAAAGAAUGAAAGUGAUCAGAAACAUACCAUAUGCAGCAGAAGACAUACACUAAGGAGAAGAAUAUUAACAUUGCUAUGGGUGUUUGAAUCAAUACCGGAAUGAAAAGGAUUAACAAUAGGUUUCAGAAUGUGCCCUUUGGUAGAUGCAAGGUGAAAAGGUUAUAUUUGGGGGUAAUACAAUCAUUUUACAUGCAUUUAAAGUUAUUUUAAUGAUGUUUCUGAGAAAAGCCAAAAAUGUCCGAGAAUGUUGAAAUCGGGACCACAUUUGUAAAAAGAUUUUCAUGGACUUGAUCAAAAAAAUACACUUAAACAAAGGGACCAAAACUGUAAUUUCAUCUUUUAUUUAUUUUUAUUAUAUUAUUUUAUUUCUUAUUAAAUUUUCACUUCCAGCAUGACUACAAUUUGCUAAUCCUAAUGACAAGCAACACAGGUGCUCAUGGAUGAAAUGGUAGGAAUACUGAAUACAUGAUCCUUUUUGAUUAGUUAGAGUGAACUUAUUUUGUUUGUUCAAUCAUGAUCCACCAUUGUUAACAUAAAAUAUUUAAAAUUCAUUUUUUUCUUCUAAUUAUUUAAACAUAUUAAUGAGUAUGUAUGUUUUUAUAAAAGACAAGUUACAAGGUUAGGCAUGUAAAAGUUGUUUUUUUUUUUUUUUUUUGUAGAAUUUGUACAAAAUAUCAAUAUUUUUUUGUAAAUCGUGAGACUAUCCAAGACAACGUUUAUGUUGAUAGUUUAGCAAUAAACAUAGUUGUAAAUAUAUUUUUUCUAAUUGAUUGUUUUUGCAUCAAUUUUGUUUUCUGCUACACAUUCUUUGAAAUAUGAUAUCUCCUCAAAAAGAAAAUAAAUGUCGAAAGGAAACUAUUUGCUAAGUUUUAAAGAUUUAUUUUCAUAUAGAAAUGAUAUGAUAUUAUUGUGUGUUUGUGGGUUUUUUAAUGUAUUUGUUUUUGAUGAAUGUGUUGUGUGUCAGUUUGCUCCUAUUUCCAAUUUGUAAAUGUCGAAAGGAAACCCUUUGUUUGUUUGUUUGUUUUUGUUUAAUUAUUUAUUAUUAUUAUAGCAUCGAAAUUUUUUGUUUCGUUUUGUUAUUUGAGUAUCCUUAGGAAAUGUACAACGACUUCACCCAUACCAAGUCAAUUUGCUUGGAAUUGUAACCAGUUAUAUCAGAUUCGAAUAUUUUAGAAUCCGUUCUAGGUACCUCUUUAAACACGUGAUAGAAUUUCGUAAAAGGUAGUUGUUUGUUUACUUUUGUUGUAUCAUUAAUGUUAGAAUUUAUCCACCAUAAUAUUUGGUUAUACAUUGGAGCUCUAUGUUAUUUGAUUAUUUAUAAAUGUUAGGUGCUUUUUUAUUGAUAAGAUAAGGGGAAAGGUUGAUCCAUCCUAUGAUUAUCACAUUUGGAUAUAUAAAUUAACUAGGUUAAAACCCGUGGAACCCACGGGUGCUGUUUUUGAAUUGAAUUUAAAAAUUAAUUAUUUAAUAAAAUAUUAUAUCAAUGAUUCUGAUAACUUAUAAAUUGUAAUAUUGAAUAUUUAAAUAAUUUUUUUUUAUUGGUAAUUAUUUAAUUACUAACUAAAUGGGAAGUAUUUAAUUAGGAAUGAAGAUUUUUGAAAACUAUUUUUUUUUAUUCAUCAUUCUAAUUGGACAUAUGCAGAUGAUACAAUACCAAUGCGUGUAAUGAAAUUAACAUAAAAUACAACAAUACGUAAUUAUAAAAAAAUACAGUAAUAUGAUGGAUUAAGUGUGAUUUCCUAAAAUUGAAUAAAACGACGUUACAAAAAAGUUGGCUACAAAUUUCGAAAAACUUCCUUAUAAACAACAUUGGAAGUUUUAUUUCUGAGUUUGCCAUCUUUAUCUAAAAUUAAUAAUUUUAAUCCCUCUCUACUCUGAACUCUAGAUAAGGCAACAUACAAUUGUCCAUGUGAAAAAACUGGAUCUUUCAGAAACAGACCAACCUUUGACAACGAUUGUCCUUGACUUUUGUUAAUAGUCAUUGCAAAACAUACAGCCAAAGGAAACUGUCUUCUUGUGAAUUUGAAGGGAAUCUUUUUUUCUGAUGGAGUUAAAGACAUUCUUGGAAUAAAAGUCCGAUUUCCAAUAUUAGUUCCAGUUAUUAUACGUGCCUCAAUAACACGUUUGCCCAAUGAUAACACCUGUAGUCUUGUGCCAUUACAUAAGCCGUUUUUCUGAUCAAUAUUUCUCAGUAACAUUACUGGAACACCAAUUUUUAAAACUAAUUUAUGAUUUGGUAAACCGGAUACUUUGAGUCCAUUUAAUACAUCAGGAGAGUAUAGAUUUGCAUCAAAUUGAUCAUGGAGAAAUUCGGAUUCACAUAUGCAGUCUGAACUUAAAUAUUCAACUUGAUCUCCUGGAAACUUCUUAAGUAAACGGUCGUUUAUUUCCUGGACAACUUCAUUUUUUGGAGCAAGUAUCGCUCUUUCUUGGAAAUAAUUUAUAUCGCUAUAGUACUCUAAAAUUGUUAUUGGGUGUAAUGAUUAUUGUUUUCGAAUGGUAUGUGUUCGAUUGGUUAUUGGGUUUGUAUACAGGGAUCGAUUUUAAACGGAGGUUAAAGAUUGUGGGAACGAAUAACUGUUAAAUUCGAUGUUUUCUGGAACGAAGCCUUGGUUAUUAAAUGAAUCAUACGAAGGAUCUGUUAUUUGAUUUUGGAAUUGGGGCGAAUAAUCGAACGAUUUGGAGUUGCGAAUUUGAUUUUGAAAAGCCAAUCAGUUGGGUUCGCAUAUGAAAACAGAUAAGUUUUGAUUUUGGAUUCGCAAUUGGGUUAAUUGGGUUAUUGAUUGAGGGACGAUUCGUGAAGAAAAAUGCGAAGUCAAGAAGGACUGUGAAAUGUGAUUUGUUCAAUAUUGGAGUCAAAUGCAGUUCACGUGUAAAAGCAAAAAUGUUCGCAUUUGGUAAUACAAAUCAAAAUUGGGUUUCGCAUAUGAGGUUGUAUGGAUUGGGGUUAAAGAUGCGAAGGUGAUUAUGGUUAAUAUUAAUUUCGCAUUUGGUGAGACAAACAACUCAAAUGCGAAUGAACUAAAAAAAAAANUUAUACUAAUUAACAACCUGGAUGAGCUGUAACAUUUGAACAAUAAUAACCCCAUAGGCAAUAUCGGCAAAAAAUUUAAAAUAUUAAGAAAAAAUUCAAAAAAAUAUUUACAAGCAAAUAAACUUCAAAAUAUAUUUUAUUUGAGUUAUAACCAAAAUCAACUAACUUGUCCACUUUAAAACAAUAAAAGUAUCCAAAAAUAUUCAAAACCAAUAAUAUUUGACAUCCUAAAUACCCCAAAAUAAAAAUCAUACCAAGCAAUUAAAAUAUCUUUAUAACCAAAACAAAUGAUCAAAAUAUAUUAAAUGUGUCUUAUAACCGAUAGAAACUCACUUUUCAAUUUUUGGAAUCAAGAGUGGAGUUUCCUCUGCGGUUGACUUUCUUUUAGCCUUAGUUGAACUUAAAUCAUAUCCAGAAUCAACAUCAUAAAUUUCUUGGAGGUUGCGCUUCAAAUCACCUGAUAUUUUGCUUGGACUUGUUGCGGUUGACUUAUCAACUGUUGAGGGUGUAAAACUUUCGUCUGUUUGUGAGAUCACAUCCUAAUUUAAAAAAAAAAUGUUUGAUUCCUAAAAAAAAUAACUAAUAUAAUUAAAAGUUUAUAAAAUAAAAUGAAAAACCUUUUGAAUAGGAUGUACAACAUCAUCGGAUUCCAAAGCAACUUGAUUUAAGGAGACAGAUUGAAUACUCUAAAAAAUAAAAUGGAAAUAUGUUAAUCGUUAUGUACUUUAACAUUAAAGAAUUGUAAAUUUUCAACAAUAAAAAAUUACAUACCAUAAGUUCUAUUUUACUUUCCAAUUCACAAACAAUGGACAUAUCUUCUGUAACUCUGAGAACUGUGUAGAUGUUAUUAUAGUUGUUGACAUUGUAUUCUGUAAUAUCUACAACAAAACCAAACUUGCGGUUUUUCAACACGUUAAGUUGCAUUGGAAAUAGGGCAUCACUGUCUCCGGCCUGUAAGAUAUAUUUUAAUAAAUUAAUAAAAUAAAGUAAAUGUUUUCUGAUUUUAAAGGUAUGAAUAAUAUACCGCAUCAUGUAUCUUUUUCAACUCGUAGGCACUUAUAUUUAACAACCUCCUUGCUUCCCUAUCAAAAAGAGUCAAUCCAAUGGUUCCAGUACAAUCUUGUACGUUGAUUGGAAUUAUAUACCUAAAACAAAAAAAAAUUAUGUCAUUGUUAGUGUUGUUUUAAGAUUGACAAAAUUAAUAGAAAUAAAUAUGUGUAUACUUUAUAACUGACUGAAAUUCAGAUUUUUUGCAUUGUGCAUUUGUACACUCGACAACCAUAGUUUCUGAAAUUCCCUCAGGGUUGGUAUACGAAUGAUUGGUUUUGGGAACAGGGAUUAUUUUUUUUCCACAUUUUUUGCAUGCUUCAUAAUACCAUGGUAGAUUCUGCCUUAUAUUAACAAUGGAAGCAACUAAUAAAAACUUCAUUUCCUGUAUCAUAUCAAAUGUAAAAAUUAUUAAAAUAAAUUAUGCAAAAAUAAAAUGUAAAACAUAUAAAAUAAUGCAAUAUACCUUAAUUGGUUCGGUGAUCUCACAGAUUGUUUUUAAUGGAAAAUUGCCCUUAAAGUCAUCUGUAUAUGAAGAAGAGUAGCUUUGAAGUGUAGUUAUGCUUUUUUCAGUUAUACCGAAAUUGUCAUGACAUUUCAACCUGUGAUGUUUAAUUUAGAUUCAUGAAUAUUAGGUUUUGUGUUUUUUUAAGUUAAAAUACAUUAUAAAAAAAUAAAAAACAAUUGGAAACUAACUUAUAAUAAGAUGGAACACAAAUAUAUAAUAAACAUGAAAACGACAAUUAUACCGAAAAUGCCCCUGCAACAUACUAACACUAACAGAUAACAUAACAAUGAGUAAAACAGAAAAAUUAAAAAUCAACACAUGACAAUAACAACUGACUUAAUGUACUCAUAAAUUUUAAAAUUCUAAAUUUUUUUGAGAUUGUAUUUAGAUAAAAACAAACAAAUUUUAAAAUUUCAUACCAUAAAAAAAAGUUACUGUGCACAUCUGAAAAAGACUAUUUUUAAUUUUUUUUAAAGAAAAUGAACUUGUAAUGUUCAUUAGUUUUUCGUCUUUUAAACUGAAAAGGUAGAAGAAGUAGACGAUUAAGAAGAAUUACAAAAAAGAAGAAGAAGAAUAGAAAUCAUACAAUGAGAACGUGAUAGAUACAGAUAAAUUAAGAACAUGGAGGAAAUAGAAAUAUUGGUAAUUCUGAUUUUGAAUACACUAACCUGAUAUUUAAUUCUUGAAGCGUUGCAGAAUAACAAAGAAUGAAGAAGAAUACGUUUGCUGUGGUUUCUAUGGAGCAAAAUUGUUAUGGAGCAGAAUGGUAAAAACAAAAUAACCGUAUAAAUGAUAUCUACGUUUGCUGAAAAAUACUGCAGAUUUUUAGGGAUUUAAUGAUUGCAAUAUAUUGAAUUUGCAAUCAAAAUAAACAAACUUUCAAAUUUAAUCGUGAUUUUCGAAUCUGAUUAUUCAUUAACAUAUUUUUUCAAAUUAUUUCCAUAAUCUUUAUUCAUUUAAAAUUAAUGCAUGAAUAUUUUGAAUGCAGUUGACAGCUAAAAUUUCCUGAUAUAUUGCAUCAAUUUGAACUUUUAUUCAAUUUUCGGAUUCAAUGGCAUUUACGUAAAUAUAGAAGAAAAAAUGAGCGGGAAAACUCUAUUUUGGGGGGCUGGGAGAAUGCCACGUGGCCGAGUUCUACUUAUUUAUUAGAAUUAGGAUUGAUCAUCGUGUAUUUUAUUGAGAUUUCUCAAAAGUAUUAGAUAAUUCAUGAUCUAACCAAAAUAUAUUACUUUUUAAAAUUGAAUUUAAAUAUCAAGUAGCAUUGGCAUUGUAAUUGUUAACGAUUCUAUAAAGCUAAAAAUUAGAACGGUCCCAAUCGUUUCCAAACUUUAGGUACCGGAACAGUAACCAAAGUUAUCGGUUUUAGUGUCGGAACUGGGUUACAGAGUUGUUCUGGUUCAUCCCUAAACAUACUUAUAUUUUGAAACCAAAAAUAUUUUUGUCUAAACAAGAAACAACAUAUGUAUUGCGAUGGUUACAACUAUUCGUUGUUACAAAACCCACCGAUAACAAUAUAAAUGUUUCCGAAUGACAAACACAUAAUGUUGAUGUUGGACAAUUUACAUAUUUGCCCCUGGUGUACCUGCAUAGUAACUGGUUGAUGAGUUUUAACUGUGGCCUGGUGUUAGAAAUAAAAGUGGCGGCUUGUUGGUUAGGUCUUGUGCAUUGGUGCUUUGCUGCAUUGUGAAAGUUGAUUUAUUCACCAUUAUGCCCUUGGUCUAUUUCUUUUUUUCAAAUAGAAGAUGGUGUAAUUCCCCUGAAUGAAUGGUGGUUUUAACCUGACUUUUAAAACAAAUCAAAUCCAAGUUGUUAUUUUUAGUGAUAUUUUGAGAAUGCAUUGUUAUAAGCUGGUGGUUGUAGAUUUCACGUCUGCUGCAUAUAUGCUGUCACAUGGUGGAUUCCUUUUCUUUUUUUCUUCUUUUCAAGUGUUUUUUGUUAUAGGAUCUGUUGUGAUUUUCUAAUUUAUUUAUCUCUUUGUAAUUUUGUCUAGCUUCUUCUACAAAUGCCUCAUGAAGACAAAUUUUGGAGGUCAAUAGUUUUACUAGCGUAUAUAGACAAUAGUUUAACUAAAAAGAAUAGAGCAAUUAGCAUGGUGAGUCGCUUAUAAUUAGUUUUGGAGUUUUGAUUUUUGAUCUAAUAUCAAAACUAUUACAUUCUUUUUGGUCCAAUCAACACGAUUCGUGUUUUUUUAUUUGCCUUCACAUCAAGUUCUACUUUCACAUGUUCUAUAUAUAACAAAUUCACACACUUACAAAUUUUAAUAACUUGCAUAUGUUUCUAUCUGCAACUUAAAAUUUGUUCAUUUUCAUAUUAUUAAAGGUUUUUAUUUACAGUUUUAUAUGUCUUCUACCCUUAGUCAAUUGCAGAAGAAUCAAGAGUACUUGUCCUGUACAUUUAUGAAAGUUGUAUCAUUACUUGACUAAAUUAACAAUUAUUUUAGGCAUUUAUAUAGAAAAAAUGAAGUUACGUACGUGAAAUGUAUAUGUUAAGUUAGUAAAAAUGAUUGCAGAUUAAUGAAAACAACAAUCUUAAUUUAAUAUAAGCCAAAAUAAAAACAUAUUAAAAUUCCAUAAAUUCAACACCAUAAAACAUCAAACUUAUUUGAAACAAUCCAAGAAAAGACAAAACCAUAAAAAUUCCAGCAUUAUAAAACAAAUCUACUAAAAUAACUUAGGUGUUAACAACCGGAUCUUCAUCACCCUGAGAUGGUUGGUUUUCAGAUGCAACAGUAUGCAAACCAAGCCUGAAAAAAAUAAAAUUGAAGGCAUUAAUAAGUUUAAAUCAAACAAUUAAAUAACUACACAUACAGUGAGAAACAGAAAAAAAAAAAAAAAAAAAAAAAAAAAAAAAAAAAAAACAGUGUUUUUUGGUCCUUUGUAAAACAAAGGACAAAUGAUCUUACCCGACAUCAACAUGAAAUUCAUCAUCUUCUUCAUCACGGAGCCUAUAACAUCUGUUUGGGCUUUGAACUUUGACACGGGGUCUCUUCGGUGGUGGUGACAAUGUUUUUGGUUUUGUUGAAUCUGAUGUGUCAAAAAUUUUCACAGCUUCAUCAUCCAACUUUUCAUCUUCAGAACUUAGGAUAUCAACAACCUCAUCCCAAUUCCAGUUUAGCAGUGCCCAUUCUCUUUUCUAAUCUUUUUCCUGCUUCUCAUGCAUACAAAGUUGAAGCUUGGUUUGAUCACAUUCCUGCUUAUUGUUACUCAAGUUCGACAUGUUGGCUGUUUUUCUAUGUCAAAAUUAGUAUUAGUUGCAACAAAACAAAUAAAUCAGUGUUAGUGGUUUACCUCCGCAUUACCUUCUAUUAAAAGUUGGAUGCCCGAUAAUACUGUUACGGAAUAUUGACCCAACAAAUGGGUUGUGUAAUGGCACCCGAUUGAUAUGCAGAAGCUUUCAGCAAAAUGUUAUUGAUGUAGAAAUAGUUGUUGGUCAACAUGCUGGAAAAAUGAUAUUUUUGCCUAAGAUUCCUUUAUGUCCAUCUGAUGAUGACAUGUUCCCAUUCAAGCUAAAGAGGAAAUAGUUUCCUAUUCGAUUGUGGUUUGCAAUGACAAUCAAUAAAGCUCAGGGACAAACAAUUCCAAAUGCAGGUAUUUAUCUUCCAGACCCGGUAUUCUCGCAUGGACAACUUUAUGUUGCAUUGUCCAGAGGGGUUUCACGUUGCAAUACAAAAGUAUUAAUGAAGCCUAACGAAAUUUCAAAAGGUGAUGGGGUUUAUACAGCAAAUGUGGUGUACAAAGAAGUAUUGCACGAUUAAUAUUUUGUGCUAUUUUGACUGGUUUCUUUUUAUUGGUUAUUUGAUGUAUCAUGUAACAAAUAACACCAUAGUUUGAUUAUAUUGUCUUCAACAUGUAAUUUCUUUUGGAACAUAAUAUUUUUGUAAAGGAAACAUAUCACCGAAAGAACCUACGUGCCCCGCUGCUUUGCGCGGGUACACUACUAGUGUGUGUGUGUGUGUGUAUAUAUAUAUAUAUAUAUAUCCAUGUUUAAUAAAAACCUCUCUUAUGUGCCACUUUUCAUUUUUUUAGACUUCAUUUUGCCACGUGUCAUUACCCAAAAUUUGUUUUACCGCUCAUCUUCCUUCCUUUGUUAGCGGAUGUUAUCCCAAAAAAUUAGGGAUCUUAAUUUAAAACUUAGUUGUUAUCCCAAUAAAUCACGAAUCCUAAUUCCUCUCUUAAUUUUUAUAUUUGUAUUAUGCAUUCCACUAAUGCAUCUCACCGUUUGCUAUUCCCUAUGUGAUGCGUCGAUUAAGCUCUGGAAUACACAGCUCUCUCCUACAUCCUUCUCUCUCGCCAACAGUCAGUUCUAGAAGAAAGCAAUUAUACUUCCGCCUCCGCCAUGUAUUCUCCCUGCAACAACUGCAACAACAGAUAUACCACUUUUCCAUCGUCGGUGAUUAGGUUGUUCCUCCGGUAACCGGCCUUCCCACCAAGAAAACGCACGAGCCAAGAUUCGUCGUUUUGGGUUCCGGUUGCACUUACCUGCAUACUUGGACAUCCGAGGCAAGAUUCCCAAAGUCAAGCCUUAUGCUUUCACGAAACUGCCAAGAAUCAUGCUUAUAUGCGCUCCGACUGUGAACCCUAAUCCCCUCCGGUAAGCAUCGGGUUUGAAUUUUUCAAAAUUUUACUUAGUUACACAACAUCGAUGAGGGGAAAAUGCUUAUGCCAUACAUGUUUUGUGGAUAUGUUGUUUGUUUUUUAAUGAAUGGGUUUCAAUUUCACUUUGUGUUUUGAUUUCAAUUUUUUUUUUUUUUGCUUCUAUUAAUGGUGAGCUUUAUAAUUUCCAGUUACUAUUCAGGUUCAGCAAUCUUGAGCAUGAUUUUUUUUUUGCUAAUGUGAUUUCUUAUAAGUAAUGUAACAUGCAGAUACUUCCAAAGUUGGUAUGCAUAAUGAUAUGUUAUACAUGAGCUUUGUUUUUUAUUCAAAUUACUUUUUUGAUUAAUUAACAAAGAUUUUGUGUUAAUUGGACAGGUGGUUUUAAUUGGUUUGGUGAAAAGCUUUUUUUUUCUUCUAAAAGUGAAGAAAUCAAACCUUUUUUACUGUUGUAUAUAAACAAACUUCAUUUUUUUACAUCCCAUGGUUUUACCUCCACGGUUUCCUCUUUUCAAUCUUAAAAUCAAAAUAAUAUUGCCCAAAGGUUGAUAAUCAUCAUUUUAUUCAACAUGCUCUGGUCAGAUGGGAUUUUUUUUUUCUACUAAAUUUUUUGGCAUCCAAGUUUCAUCUUCUGUUUUGUUAUUAUCAUUUGAGAUAAAUGGAUAAAGUUGGUUUUGUUUAAAGGCGCGAUGGAGUGUACCAUUAAGAAAGUAAGAGAAAGCAACAUAAACUAGACGACUUGAAAACAGGGUGGAGCUGCAAAAGGAGCUUUUUUUCAUCUUAUCUAAGGAAUUACAGGUACUAGGCUUGUAUUUUUAGUCUUUAGUUACGGUUGAACCGUGUAUUUGUCCUAAAAAUUGGUUAAACCUUUUGGACAUGGUAAAUCUUCUUUUAUGAUAGCAAUUGGGAUACUAACACAAACAGGAGACAGAAGACAGGAAAUGGAACUAUCCUUACGGUCAUUUUCUAAAUCAUUGAUUAAUCACUCUUUUAGACACAUUUUUGGUUGAGAGUUUGGUAAUGGGGUAAUUAGUUAUUCCUAAAUAGUUACUAAAGUGAAAAUAAGUUUUUCUUUUUUACUUAAUCUUUUUUUCAUAUUUAUACUGGAUAUGUCUGUUUGUUUGGUUUCUAUUAUUCAAAAAUGGAAUUUAAAUUUAUUUUUCUAAAAUUGUGCUUGAUUUGUACAAUAUAACAUCCUACUAUCACCUCUUUUGCCACGUGUCAUGUUGAGAAAGCAUCCUGGGUUGUUUUUUCCCCAGUAAAAUGCAUAAACUAGCAAUGUAUCUUCUAUUGUCCUCUUAUUAUGGCAAUGUACUUUCAUUUCCUUAUUACAACAAUAUACUUUGAAGAUUAUUUGGUUAGAGCUUAGUACUUUAUCACAUAUUGCUUUAUUUAAUGGUAUUAAGACCUACCAUAGUAUUGUGUGUGGAUUGGAAUACAAAAAGACUUGAAAAUUUAUGUGUUCUCUUUUAAUGUUAUCUGUCUUGCACUUUUUACUACAUAAAGUUCUAAAUUUCCCAUUCAUGAAACUAAUUUUUCAAAAACUCAAAGGUAGAUGCUAUAUUAGAAACAAAAGUAAAUAUUUAGAAAAUAGUAAAUUUCAAAACUUGAUAUAAUCUUAACUCCAUCAAAAGUUAAUUUUAACAAAAUAGCAAUGUACUUUUAUUUUUAUGUCAAAUAUUGAAUCAUUCUUUGAUUUUUUUUUGUCUCUUUAAACAUUACUUUUUUACAGGGAUCAUUUAAGACCUCUGUUUGAUUAAUUAUUUUCCUACAAGGAUCGUUUAAUUUAUGUACACUGCUAUUUAGUUAAAUAUUAUUUUUUAUGCAUCUCUCUUACAAAAUUUUAAGUUCUAUCCCAUAUUAAUUAAGCCUUUAUUUGUUUCUUUUUCAUAUAUUAUUUUAAUGUCUAAUAAUGAUUUUAGAGACUUAAAAUUUAACUAUAAAAUUUUAACACGACCAUAUAAGUGGUAUUUGUGAAUACCUAUUAUAUAAACCUCUUAUAUGUUAAUAUUGUGGAGGCCAAGCUUCAAAAUUAUAAAUAAAAAUCUUGUGAAUGAAAAAGCACAUGCAUAAUGUCCCAUGUAUCUUAAAACAAUUUCUUAUUUAUUAACAUAGUAAUAAUUAUGUUUUUCAAGUACCAAAGUUAAUUUAAUUUUUGAACCGUGGAUCCACGGGUUAUAUAUAGAUAUAUAUAUCCCGUGAGAUUGAAGGAAAAGUAAACUUCUAAGUUUCUGACUUUGGCCACAAACUUUUAUAAUAUUUAUAUUUUUGCCUAAGAUGUUAUUAGUUUUUGGGUUUUGCCACAUUUUUAUAGCUUUUUCCAAAACUGCCCCUUUUGUUUUUUUCUUUUAUACUUGGCCACCAAUUUUCCAACUCCGUUAACUUUGGUCACAUUUCUUUGUGUUUUAUCCAUUUUGCCAAUUCAAAACUCAAUUAAAGUCAAAACCUUAUUCACCUAUGCGGAGCAUGGGCUUCUCCUAGUUAAUAUAAAGAUUAUUAGGCUUAAUGACUUGUACCUUGAGCAUGAAUUUUUUUUUUUUAACUAAAUUAGCCACCCCAUCCCCUGAAUGGCUGAAUCAACUAGCUUCCCAUCUUCUUCACCCACAAUGCUUUUGGUCGACUUUUUUUUUUCUUUUUUUGGCUAGCACCUUUUUUCGGCAGCAAGAUCUUCUGAUGCACUUGAUUUCGGAUUAGAAACUAUCCAUGACUUCAUCUACAUUGUUUUCUAGCCCAAUUUCUCUAUUUCUUUCCUUUUAUUCUUGAAUUCCGUUGCAGGUUUAUAUCUCUAGUCGGUUACAUUUGAAUGAAAACAAAGAAUUAUCUUCAAAAGGUCGGUCAUCCUUCCAAGUGUUCGAUGAAAUAUCUGAAAGAAAUGAACAUUGAUUCAAGAAUUUGAUUGCUGAGAAUAAAUAUUGUUAUAUGGUUCAUGUGUUUGAUCUUAAUUUCUAAUUCUUCAUUUUUCUUCUGACCUCACUGUUUCAUUUUUCUUAUUGUUUAUCGAAAUUGAUUCAAGAUCAUUUGUUUUAAUUCUGCCCAACUACACUGGAAAAUGUAAACUUUUCAUGAUUCAAGAUCAUUUGUUUUAAUUCUGCCCAACUACAUAUCAGUCUUCUGUUGUGCUCCCAUUUUUCUUAAAUAUAAAUAGAAAAUAUAAACUUUUCAUGAUGCCUUAUUUCACACAACACUGGAAAAUGGCCACCCGUGGUGUUGGUGAUAAUUUAUUGAUAACUGGGACUUAAAAACCCAUGCCAAAUACAAAAAUGAAACAUGGUUUUACAUGACUAUCUAUGUUCGUCUUUUUUGUAAAUUAGCAAUGAACACCACAACCUUCACAUAAACCCAAUCUUUGAAGCUAUCAAGAAACAUAAAAAAAAGCAUAUCUUCCACGACGGUUGAGAAGCAAAGCACCACAUGCUAUCCAAAAUCCAACAAUGAAACCAAUUGCCCCACCAAUAUAGAACCAUACAUCAAGUUCGUCUACACCUUCACCAUCACCCUCACUUUCACCAUUGAUGAGUUGUAUUCCUGAUUCUUCAUUUCCAUGACAUUGUUCGGUAAGGGAAGGUCCACAAAGCCCUAAGUUUCCUUCAUAUCUUGAAGGGCCAAAGGUCUGAAGUUGUGUGCUGGAUGGGAUUCUCCCUGACAAGUUAUUACAUGACACGUCUAGGUAACUCAAUAAGGUCAUUUGAGACAUGCUUGAUGGUAUUUCCCCUGAAAACUUGUUUCUAGAUAAAUCCAAAAUUAAAAGGUUUUUCAUCUGACCCAUUUUCCAUGGAAUCUUUCCAAGUAGAGCGUUCUUUGAUAAGUUGAGUGCAAUAAGUUCAUCAAGAUUGGUAAUCUGAUACGGGAUUUCCCCUGUUAAGUUGUUGCUUGAGAGGUCGAUGCUCCUCAACAACUUCAUAUUACUUCUGAUGAAUUCACGUUCAGUUCCUUGCCACUGGAUCAUCACAUGGUCAACAUUAUAAGAAUAUCUUAUUAAUAUAUCGUCAGGAUCUAAAUUCUGUAGUUGAGAGAAUCCUUGUUGCACCAUGAUCGUAAGAUUACUCAAACAUGAGGGGAUUCUUCCAUGGAAAUGGUUCACCGACAAGUCUAGAAUUUGAAGACUUGCUAAUUGACAUAAUUGUAAAGGGAUGCUUCCAGAGAAGUUGUUUGAUCUUAACAUAAGAACAUACAACCCAGAUAAGCUUUCCCCGAUCCAAACAGGCAAAUUACCAGAAAACUUGUUGGCCCCCAAAUUCAAUGACUUUAAGCUCGUGCAAUUCUUAACAGACAAAGGAAAUUCUUCGGAGAAAUCAUUCUUGUAUAAAUCCAAUGCCUCUAGCUUAAUCAUAGAUCCAAGAGAGGCAGGAAGCCUUCCAGAAAGAUUAUUGUGUUCUAAAUUAAGAACUUGUAGUUCUUUGAAAUGCCACAAACAAUCUGGAAGUUGUCCGCUUAGAAAGUUAUGAGAGAGGUCAAGAAUAACUAAAAAGCCAUGGAAAACUUUGCAUAAGAAGGAGAUUCCUCCAGAGAAUUUGUUUCUGGAAAGAUUUAGUAAUGCCACAGUGGAUGAGACAUUAGUUAUUGGACCAUCAAAGCGGUUGGAGCUUAAAUCUAUCACUGACUUGUUGUCAAAAUUUGAUGACAGAUCUGGUACUUUCCCACUUAUUUUGUUGAAAGAAAGGUUCAAGAAUGUUAACUGGGAAGGCCAUGUGUCCCAAAACUCGAGAGGAAUUGUAUCUGAAAUGCUAGAAUUUGCAAUAUCAAUACUGGUAAGAUUUUUCAAAUUUUGAAUCCAUUUGGGGAAGAGAGGCCCUAGUUUGCAAGAGCUUAGUCGAAUAGAUUCUAUAUGAGAACGGUUUGACAUGUAAUCUGAGGAAGGAAAUCCAUGGAGUGAGUUUUCGGAAAGAUCAAGAUAUUUAAGGUUGGGCAGUUCCCACAGUUUCUUACUUAUAGUUCCUUUUAACUGAUUCUCAGAGAGGGACAGAUGUGUUAGGGAUGUGAACUUUUGGAUGUCAUCAGGCAAUGACCCUGUAAAUUGGCUUCCUGAAGCAGACAACCGUUGUAAUGAAAGUGAUGUGCAUCCAGACAAGUUGUUGAGAAAAUCAGGAAAUUUGACAGCGGCAGAGGUGUUAAAGAAGUACAAAUAUUUCAAACUACAGAGGUUACCAAGAUAUUUGGGUAUCCCAUCUAACAUGUUGCCAGAGAGAUCAAGACGACAAAGCUUAUUGCUGGUCAAUGGGAACAACCAACGAUACAUGGAUGAGGUGAGACUGUUGUUUCCAAGAUAAAGGAAUUCAAUAGAUGAGGAAGAAGAAGAGUUGAGAAAUGAAGAAGAAUAUGGAUACAUGACCUGUGACAGCUCACAUCCUGAUAAACUUAAACGCGAGAGUUUCGGGAGACUCAGAAUAACAUCUACCCAAUGAUUUGUUUUGGCCAGUGAAAUCCCAUCCAUUUCAAGUACCUCCAAAUGAGAUAGAGGAGACAACCACUCCAGGUUCUCAAGUCUACACAUUCCAACAUAUGAAAGGUAAAGGUAUUGCAAGUUGGUGAGGUUUCCGAACUCUGGAGGAAUGGUUCCAUAAAGAGAGUUAAAAGAAAGGUCAAGCUCUAUUAAUUCAGUCAAGGAACCAAUGGACCUGGGAAUGGUUCCAUUAAGAUUAUUGCCGCCAAGGUCAAGGUACCUUAAUCGAGUCAAUGAACCAAUGAAGGUGGGAAUGGUUCCAUGAAAAGAAUUGGAGUAAAGAUUAAGAUGAUUCAAGUAGGUUAAAUUAACCAAUGAAUGGCUAAUCUCACCUACAAGACCACAGGACAUCAGGUCAAGGUAUUUUAAUUCUGUCAAGGAACCGAUGGACCUAGGAAUGGUUCCAUAAAGAGAGUUGUAAGAAAGUCUAAGGUACCUUAAUUGGGUCAAGGAACCAAUGGACCUGGGAAUGGUUCCAUGAAAUGAAUUUUCAGAAAGAUCAAGAUAAUUCAAGUAGGUUAAGUUAACCAAUGCAUGGCUAAUCUCACCUACAAGACCAAAGGACAUCAGAUCAAGCUCUGUGACAUGACCUGUUUGGUUGUUGCACGUCACUCCACUCCAUUGACAGCAGUUGUCUUGUUCAGAUGUCCACAUAGAGAGAUGAUCAGAAGGGUCUUGAAGGAGAGAUUUGAAAUGAAGGAGAGCAUUUUUCUCCUUCUCAAAACACUUAUCAUCUCCUCCUCCCACUGCUGCCAAUUGGUUGGCAGUUGUAGUCUCAAGACAAAACAAGAGAAGUGAGAAUAUUAAAAAAACACAAGGAUGCAUGAUGUAAAAUUGUAAAUGCAAAUCUUAAUUGGUGAUGUUUUUUGUUUGUAUUGAUGAAAAUUUGAAGAUGCCCCAUGCAGCUUUAUAUAGUGCUGCCAACUGUGAAAAUGAAGGAUUCAAGUGGAUGGCCUCAAACUGCACACCUAUCUUGGGGUCAUUUAUUUAGGAAAUAAGAUAAAAUAUUAUCCAUCAUAGUGAAAUUACAAUGCAUAAAAUAUUUCUCUUGAGAAUGGUAGGAACAAAAUUCUUUUUUUUUUUUUACCUUUUUUUUCCUCAAUAUGGAAACAUUUUUUAAGUCUAAAAAAUAAUAAAUUCUCAUUUUUUUAAUAAAAUAAAACACUAAAUAAUGAAAAUUCAACACCAUUCAUCAAUGAAUACAUUGUUAAAAAAAAUUGUUUUUUAUAUCGCUAUGGAUGUUUAAUUGUAAGGCCUAAAAACAUAUAAGUUUUGGUAUAUUUGUUAAAAACAAAUAAUUAACAUUCACCCUCGAAAACAACAUAUUCACCAAUGAAAUAAAGUGCUAAAAAACACUUCCUUAUUAAACUAAGUUGGUAGUUUAGAAUCAGAUUGUUAAUAUUAUUACUCUUUAGGGUAUCAAAGUGUAAUUAUUCUUUUCUUUAUAUUUGGUUGUAAUAUUGUCCAAAUUAAUAAUAAAAAUCACGUUAUCAAUUUCUUAUUUCUGUUAUGGUAUCAGAGAGUACUUUCCUCUAACCCUAAUCCCAGUUGGAGCGGCAACCCUAAAAUUCAGACUGCAAUUACAGUCUCUGUUCCUGCCAAUCAACAGCAAUCAGGUAAUCGUGAGCCCUGAAGUUUUUCGUUCUAUUGUUUCUCAUUGUUCCUUACCUGUUUCGGACAAAUUAUCAAAUAAUUUAUGUUCUUCUUGUCAAUGUGGAAAAUCAUCAAAACUAUCUUUACCUGAUUCUACCUUUCAUAGCACUAAUAUUUUAGAUCUUGUUUAUUGUGAUGUUUGGGGUCCCUCUCCUGAACCAUCCUUUGAUGGUCAUCGUUAUUUUCUUUUGUGUGUUGAUCAUUAUACUCGUUAUAUGUGGAUUUAUCCUUUAACUCAAAAAUCGGAUGUUCACCCCAUUCUCACAAACUUUAUCACCAUGACUGAACGUCAAUUCAACACUAAACUAAAAUGUAUUCAAUCUGACUGGGGGGGUGAAUUUCGCCCUCUCACCAAUCUCUGUCGCAGCCUUGGCAUCAUUCAUCGGCGGUCUUGUCCUCACACCAGUGAGCAAAAUGGCUUUGUUGAACGUCGUCAUCGUCACGUUGUGGAAACUGGACUCUCUCUGUUGGCUCAUUCCAGUCUUCCUCAACGUUUUUGGAACUUUGCUUUUGAAACAGCUGUAUACCUCAUAAAUCGCCUCCCUUCUCGUGUCUCAUCCAACAAAACCCCUUUUGAACAUGUCUUCAAACGUAAACCUGAUUACUUCUUCUUACGAGUUUUUGGCUGUCAAUCUUUUCCUUUUCUUCGUCCGUACAAUCAUCAUAAAAUUGAAUUCCGGUCUACUCCUUGUGUUUUUCUUGGCUACAGCCCUGCUCACCAUGGUUAUCGUUGUCUUGAUCCCUCCACUGAUCGGAUCUACAUUGCUAGGCAUGUUCGCUUCAAUGAACACGUCUUUCCUUAUCAGCCUUCACCAAUACCUCCACUACCUUCUACCUCUCCUUACAUCUCUAAUUUUCCCGAACCACCACCUAGUUUUCCAUCUGACCCAACCCGACCUCCACAGUCUCCACCAUCAUCACCACAAUCUCCACCAUCAUUAUCUCAAUCUCCUUCACCAACUAAUACCAACUUACCACCUCCACCACCAGCUCCUCGGCCUCGGCCAUCCAACCUUCGCCCUAAUCCUAAACAACCAGAUCGAUACAACCCCGCUGCCUACACCACCUCCACCUCCACAUCUCCUCCCCUUGAACCAACCAACUUUACCGUUGCUAACAAGUUUUUAGAAUGGCGUCAAGCAAUGGCCGAAGAGCUAUCUGCGCUCCAUAGGAAUGGCACGUGGACCCUUGUUCCCCCUGUCUCUAAUGCUAAUAUUGUUGCUUGUAAAUGGGUUUACAGGGUAAAAACUGAUGAACAUGGAAAGAUUACCAGGUACAAAGCCCGUCUCGUGGCAAAAGGCUUUAAUCAACAACAUGGUGUGGACUAUCAUGAGACUUUCAGUCCGGUUAUCAAGCCCGCCACCAUUCGUACNAAGCCCGCCAAUUCGUACGGUUCUCUCUCUAGCUGUCAGCAACAAAUGGCCCCUCAGACAGUUAGACAUUCAGACUGCUUUUCUUCAUGGAGAUCUUGAGGAAACCGUAUACAUGCGCCAACCUCCGGGCUUUAUUGAUCAAACCAAACCUGAUCACAUAUGCUUGUUGCAUAAGUCCUUGUAUGGCCUCAAGCAGGCUCCUCGGGCUUGGUUUACAAAGUUGUCUACUCCGCUUCAUCAGCUGGGAUUUUAUGGGUCCAAAACCGAUCCCUCCCUUUUUAUACUAAACUCAUCUGGCUCUCUUGUCUAUCUUCUGGUUUACGUGGAUGACAUCAUCAUCACCGGUAACAACUCCACUGUUGUUGACUCACUCAUUCAGAAACUCAAUUCUCUUUUUGCACUUAAGGAUAUGGGAGAGCUGCACUAUUUUUUGGGAGUUGAAGUUGUUCACAAGGGGUCUGACUUGGUUCUUUCCCAACGGAAAUAUAUUCGUGAGAUCUUACACCGUGCUGGUCUUGCCGAAUGCAGGCUAAUAUCAACUCCUAUGAGCACUUCUCACGUGUUGUUACCCGAUGAUAGCCCCUUACUUGAUGAUCCUUCUCGUUACAGGCAGACAGUUGGAGCUCUUCAGUAUGCUACUCUUUCUCAUCUUGAUAUUGCUUUUGCAGUUAACAAAGUCUGCCAGUUCAUGCACGCUCCUACUGAGAACCAUUGGGCCGGUGUCAAACGCAUCCUUCGUUAUCUUAAGGGCACUAUCGACUUGGGGUUAUGGAUUCGACAUAAUACGGGGUAUCAGCUUCAAGCCUUUUCCCAAUUGGCACUCCAAUCUUCAUGCCUUCUCGGACUCUGACUGGGCAGGUUGCCCAAUCGAUCGUCGAUCCACGGGGGGAUUUGCUAUCUAUUUAGGUUCGAAUCUCAUCUCUUGGUCUGCUCGCAAGCAGAAAACUGUAUCUCGAUCUUCAACAGAGUCCGAGUACAAGGCUAUUGCAGAUACUGUUGCUGAAUUGAUUUGGUUGAAGUCCUUGCUUCGAGAACUUGGUUUGGUUAGCACGGCACCCACACUUUGGUGUGACAAUCUUGGUGCAACAUAUCUCACGGCUAAUCCAGUUUUUCACGCUCGUACUAAACAUGUUGAAGUUGACUAUCAUUUUGUUCGUGAACAAGUAACUCAGGGAAAACUAAAUGUCAAGUUCAUCUCUACAAACGACCAAAUUGCUGAUAUUUUUACAAAGCCCCUGUCAUCUCAGAAGUUUGAGUUUUUGCGUUCCAAGUUGCAGGUUGCUAACCGCCCUGAACUUGCGGGGGAAUAUUAAACUAAGUUGGUAGUUUAGAAUCAGAUUGUUAAUAUUAUUACUCUUUAGGGUAUCAAAGUGUAAUUAUUCUUUUCUUUAUAUUUGGUUGUAAUAUUGUCCAAAUUAAUAAUAAAAAUCACGUUAUCAAUUUCUUAUUUCUGUUAUUCCUAUAUCAAUAUAGAUGUCUACUUUUACGUCAUAAAAAAAGAUUUUGUAAAUUUGUUUUUAUUUUUCAAAAAAACCAAUGCCCUGAUAGGUAAAAAAAAAAAAAAAAAAAAAAGUAACAUUCAUCAAUGAAAACGUCAUGUUCAUCGAUGAACAAACUGCUAAUAAAGACUUUGUAUAUCUAUAUGGAUGUCUUAUUGUAUAACAUGCAAAUAUAUAUAAUUUUGGUAUUUUGGUUUUCAUUUUUCGAAAGAAAAAAAAUACAAGUUUAAAAGAUAAAAAAUAACAGGAUAGGCAUAUUCAUCAACUAAUGGUUUAUUAUUUCUCCUUUUUACAACUAUAUUCUUUUCAAAAAAAAAUAUACUAAAAUUUAUUAUUUUUAUGCUCUAAAAAGAUGACAAUAUAAAAAAAAAUGUUUUUGCCAAUUUUAACAAGAAUUAUCUUUCCAUUUUGUUGACACACCUUGUGAGUUGUAAUUCGUGUAGAGCAUAAAAUCCAUAUUUUUCUUUGAAAUAGAACCAAACUAUAAGACAAAUUAGAAAAGAAGAUUUGAAAUAAACUGCUCCAAAUCACACGUUCAAAGACUUAUACAUCGUGUGGGGCAUAAAAUCCUUAUUUUCCUUCAAAGUAGAACCAUUUUAUAAGACAGGUUAGGAAAAAAAAAAAAAAAAAAAAAAAAAAAAAAAAAAAAAGUGGAAAUAAAUUGCCCCAAAUCAUACGUUCAAAGACUUAUAGAUCAUGUGGAGCAUUAAAGAUGAAGAAUUGAAAUGAAUAGCUUCAUAUUAAACGUUCAAAUGUGUAUAUCUUGUCUGGAGCAUAAAGAACUUAAUUAAUCCCAAUGGGACCAUAACCAAAAUAUAAGACAAAUUAGACAUGAAUAAUUGAAAUAAUUUGCCCCAAAUUAGACGUUCCAAGACAUUCAGGUCUUGGAAAUUUGUAUUUUUCCUAUACAUUAGUACAUAUCCUUUUUGGAUAAAAUAAGACUAAUUAUUUUUGUAUUUUGGACUGAAUGAACCAUUCGAAUAAGAGAAAAUGACCAUUUUACCCUUCUAUCUAAAAGUGAUGUAGAAUCAAAUUGUUUAUUUGAAACUACUGUAAUUUGAAACUAAAAAUCACUGUGAUGUGAGAAAAACUACAAUAACUGUCCUGGUCUUGUAUAAUAAGGAAAUACCAUGUGAAUUUUUUCCUACAGAUAGAGCAAAACCUUUUUCAAAGGAUCGUUUCUCCAAACAGCAAAUCAGAAUGCAAAGGAGUUGUUAUACUCACAAAUAUUGAAUUAAACCCCAAUUUAACAAGGAUUCAUGCCUCUAAUAUUCCCCUUCAGUUAUUAAACAGCUUCUAUUUAUGUCUAAUUGAGACAAUUCUUCCAAUCCUAUGCAGAUUUAAUCUCCUAAACAGAUCUAUGAUACCAUUUAGAAAAGUCCCAACAUAAACAUAAACCCAGAAACAACUUUAAUUUAGGGAAUCAAUUAAAGUUUUUCUCAAUGGAAACAAAAAGGCACCGUUCAACGUCAAAACUAAACAAAUUUGAAGAAAAGAAAAAGAAACAUGGAAACAUCAUUUAACAGAAAAGAAAAGGAGAAGAAAAAUCGAGAUUGAUGGAACAAAAAAGAGAAUAGAGAUGAUCGAGAAUGAGUAGUUGAGAUGGUCCAACAACUUAUCCAAACACUUAAAUUAGCUUAUUGUGGGAAUAAGCAAUAAGCACCUCUUUUUUUCCUAUUCAAACACCCCCUAAAAGAAGCACGAGGAUGAAGUAGUAAAAACUUGGGUAAAUUAUACGAAUGAUACCUCAGGUGUGGGUAAUCUAUGCUGAUCUAUAUCUUCUUUUUCUAACUCGGACGUCCCUACUGUUUGAUUUUACUACAUCUUUGGUCCCUACUACUCUUAAAAAGAUUGUUUUGCUCUAAUAUUUUGUUAUAUUUUAAAUCAUUUUUAAUAAGAAAGUGAGCAUCUCUAUUCAUAGUGUAUAUAUGUGUGGCACACUUCAUGCACAUUGUUCACACAACUCGUGGCUCCAUCCAAAGCUUGCCACAUGUCACACUUCUAGUGGUCCACGUCACUCCAAUCUCGACGAAUCUGGGUGUCAGACGUGCACAUCGAGCAUGACACGCACUUCGCGUGCAUCACUAAGUUUUCUAUAAAAAUUCAUAUCUUCCUUUUAUGAAUCGUGUUUCUUACCCUCUUUAUAUAUUAUGUAGCUUUCCUUGGGUACUACAACUUUCCUUAAGGUUGUGUUGUAAAAUUUUAACAUUUAUUUUUAACCAAUAUUUUAUAUUUUUCCAAAAAUCGCAUCUUUUUAUAGGGACUCCAUUUUUGAGCUUUUUCAUUUCAGAGUAUUUAUCUCUCGGAGUACUAUGAUCUUCCUUUUAGUGGGUUUAGUCAAAACUUAACCGAUUUAUUUAUAUUAUUUUGACGUUAAUUAUGUUAACAACGCAACGGAUUUUUACCAUUUACAAAAUCAUAACUCCUCUAAUCGGAGUCAGAUUUCUACAAAGUUUAUAGCAUUGGGAUCACGUUAUUGUGUACUUUCUAAAUACACUAACCAUUAUUUCUAGCGAUAUAACUUUUUGGUCAAUCACUUUUUACCCUGUUAAUAUUUUUCUUACUUAAAAAUCAUGGUAUAUCUUACCAUAUUUUCCCAAAAUAUGAAAACUGUAUUGCUACCAUUUGUCUCUAGUGACGGUUGUAGGUGGAAAUGUUUCUGAUUGUCACACCUUGUAUGGGCUGAAACAAGCCCCACGAGCCUAGUUUCACCGAUUGUCUAGAGCUGUCCACAAUCAUGGCUUAAAGGAUCUCACACUGAUCCCUCUCUUUUUAUAUUGUCAACUAAGGGUACACGGAUUUUUAUGUUGGUUUACAUUGACAAUAUCAUUAUUAAUUGUAGGAAACAAUCUAGGUGUUAUUGAUUAAGUAGUUUGCAGUCUCAGUCAAACUUUUGCUCUUCAAGACAUGGGAGCUCUAUCCUACUUUCUUGGUGUUUCGGUUGCAUAUUGUGGCACUAAUCUUUUUCAAUCUCAACAACAAUAUGUGUUGGAUAUUUUACAACAUACAUGCCUUGCGGACACUAAGCCAGUCAGCACUUCACUUCCAACCGAUGCACUUGUUCCCUCGGCGAUACUCCUCUCUAUGAGAAUCCUGUUUGCAAUCGUUAAGUUGUUGGUGUUCUCCAAUAUGUUACAUUAUAUAGACCCGACAUCAUUUAUACAGAUUGUCAGUUCGUGCGUUCUCCAACAACCAAACACUGGUCUACUGUUAAACAGAUUCUAAGGUAUCUUUGGGGCACCAACAAUUUUAGACUUCGGCUCACACCGUCGCGUGACACCACUAUUCAUGCAUAUGGAGAUGCAAAAGUUGUGGUUACCGCCUACUCUAAAGUUAAUUAGGUUAUGUUGGGUGUCCGGAUGGUCGUCGAUCCACCAGGAGACAUGAAAUCUAUCUCUCAUGUAUUAUGUUAAUGAUCAAUAAUACAAUACGUUUACAUCAAGUUUACUCCUAACUUUAGUAAACUAGGAAUGGUCUUUAUGGUUUUGAAUCUGCAUCUAUGGGUUUCUAACUCUACUUUUUUCCAAUUAGAGAGUUCUUAUAGUUUGAUUUCAUUUUGAGUGAUCAAGUAUUAACAAAACCUAUAUAAAUGUGAACAAAUUAUAUAUAUAUUUAUGGUUAUAGCGCCAGGGUCCCAUGUGGACAUGAGGCUGAUCCCAUUCACUAUAGAGACACUCACUCACUGAGUAUAAAAGUAAGAAAAUGUAUGUUUUAAUAAUCUUUUUCAAAGUACUGAAAAUGUAUGUAUGAGAGAUAGAUUGCAUGUUGAACCAAACCUGUCAAUGUCGUUUUUGUAAUUAACUCUCCAAUGAAGAACCCACUUCCCUGGAAGGUUGUAUCCUACAGUUAGUUGCCAAUUUUCUUCAUCCUUACCACUGUCUAAUUUGAUUGAUAUAAAUGAUAAAUACAAUUAACAAAGUAAAUAACCAAAAUGACCUUUUGGUAAAGCGAAACUUACAGAAUGUAUCCUAUCUAACCAUGGGGUAAACCCGUUGGAACAAUUAAAGAUGAUGUAUGAAAUGAAGUAAGUUAAGCAUUUUAAAAAACAGUUUGUGUGCAAAAAAAAUUGUGCUUAAAGGAAAUUUCAUGUAAAAUCACUUCUUUGCCUACUGUGAUAACAAUCACAUGAGGAAGAAAGUAAUAAAAAUCAAAACCUAAAACUAUAGUUGCUAGUUUAUCAGGGUGGGAAUCAAAUAGCUUACCGGAGUUGAGGAUACGCCAGAUGCAUGACUACUUCAAUGGUGGACGAUAAAGGGAGAGCAUCGGGCGCAAAUGGUGAACGGAGGAGUGAGAGAUGCAUAUGAGGAACUGAUUCGUGUGUCACCAAAUUUCUUGUAUGUUUAAAAACGAUAUCCAACCCAAAACAUCAACAAUCCCAAUGUAUCGCCAAAUGUCAUACGAAUGCCACGUAUCCAUGAAGCCGAAGAUGGAAAAUCGACAAAACUAAAAACCAUGUUUUGUUCAUCGGCUGAAGGCCUGAAGCACAAGACUAAACUGCAAAGUUGUAACUAUUCAUAAGCCGUAUCCACAAUUAAUAUGUUAUAUAAUAUCCUACAAAUUGUAAGCACAAGACUAAACUGCAAAUUUGGUAUCUGUGGUUAUCAAAAAAAUGUGGAUAGAAUCCAAAUUUUUUUUAACUUGUACCAUUGGUCCAAAAUCGAAUUCUUUUUGUGGUUUUGGUCCCAAGAAAAGUUGAAAUGACUUUUUUGCCCUUUUACUUUUAUUUUUGAAUUUCUUUACUAUUUUUUUAACAUUUAAAAAAAAGAAAAAGAAAAAAUAAAGUGGCCAAUAUUCUACCCACCCGUAACCCUGCUCUCUUUUUUACAUUUUUCAUCUCUUUGACUCCCCUCCCCCUCUUUUUUACAUUUUUCAUCUCUUUGACUCCCCUCCCCCGUCUCCUUCCUACCACCACUAUUGUUGUCUUCAUCCCUUCGCUUUCUCUACGUUAAGCACAUUAACCUACAAAACUUACAUAUGUUCUUCACUUUCUUUACAACCACUAAUCAAAUAUCAAAAUACAAAAAACACUUCACAUGUAGAUACACCUACAUGUAACUUUAAAAAAAAAAAAAAAAAAAAAAAAAAAAAAAAAAAACCACCCCCUGCCUUGUACCUCCCUCUCUCUCUCUCUCUCUCUCUCUCUCUCUUAGAUCUGCAAAAUCCCUUUUACAACACAAUUAAUAUGAUCGAUGACUACACCAAAAUAUCAUGGAACGGUGGGAGGUUAAUCUAAACCAUCCAUGCUAGAAACCAAUCUUUAACAUUUUGCGUAGCUAUUCAACCUCUCCAGAAAAUGGUAGAAAUCGAUCUCUAAGAUAUGAAGCACAAAAAAAACUAUGAGAUGUAUCAGAACAAUAGGGAAGAAGUAAACAAACUGAUUCCCACCCCCAGCCUGUUCCUGUCUCUGCCUCCUCCAUUCCCUCCUCUACUCUCCCGUUGUUGGUUACCGAAACACCAACAACCAACUAAAGAGAAUUGGUUCCUCAAGAAUCCUCAAAUUGAAGAUGCCACACAUAACCUAAUCAGGUAAAAAUGAGAUUUCUUCAGCGGAGAUAAUAUUUGGAGCAACCCCACUCCUGAUGAACAUAAUCAAGAAACCCAAAAUAGAAAAAUUAGGGUUUUUGUCAACAACUUCUCAACCAUUGGAACUGAUCAAGAUGCAGGUCCUAAAGUAGAAACAAUCUUCGUUUUCGGCCUCUACAUACCAACUAGUUGCGAGCUCUAGCCAAUUGCCAUUUGAUCGAUAUUCUUUUCGAUCGAAUCCCUCUGUUAUAUCCUCCUUGGAAAACACCACCAGCUCUUCCCUAAUUUUCAUCAUGUACAUCCCUUGGGGACAACGAAAUGGGUCGGUGCUGGAAUCUCAGCUUUCUUGUUGGUUCUGAUUUUAGUGUGUUUUGGUUUUUGAUUAGGUGAAGAAGUAGUGAAGUGAAGGAGUUCGAUGGGUAUCAUGUUCCAAAUUGAGGAUACAACACAGAAAAAACGGGAUAGAUAGGGAAGAAAGAGAGAGAGAGAGAGAGAGAGAGAGAGAGAGAGGGGAGGGAGAAGGAGAGAUAAAGAUGAGGGUACAUAUGGUGUGGGUGGGCCAUUUUCUUUUUUCUUUUUCAUUUUUUUAAAUAUAAAAAAAGAGUAAAAAAUUCAAAAAUAAAAUUAAAAGGGCAAAAAUGUCAUUUCAACUUUUCUAGGGACUAAAACCACAAAAAGAAUUCAAUUUCGGACUAAUGGAGCGAGUUGAAAAGAUAUUGGACUCUAUCCAUAUUUUUUUGAUAACCACAGUGACCAAAUUUGCAAUUUAGUCUAAGCACAACUGGACCACUUUUACAAAUUUAAUAUAAUAUAUAUCAUUUUUAUAAUUUCGUAUAAACUAUUAGGAAAGUGGUUACUUAUUUAAAAGGUUGCAGAAAUCGCUCAAUGUAGGCUAAUUGGUGGACUCGGUCAAGGGUUAAUCGGUUAGGCGAUGAUUAAUCGGGGACCAUUAAUUAUUAAAAAAUUAUUAAAAAUUAAUAAAUAUGACAUUAAUGCUAAGAAUAUAAGUCAACAAGUUAACAAAUAAUAAAUAUGUAGUACAUAAUUUAUUUUUAUUUUCAAUUUGGCAUGCUAGUUAGAAGCUUGAUUAUCACGAAUGUCACAAACACCAUAAGAACCACAUAAUCCAUAUUGAUCACAAUUAUCUAUUUGUGCACUCAAAUCAGGUGUUUCGGCUUCCACGGAUAUCAAAGCAGUGUGUACUUUCCCAACCCAAUUGAAUGAACGCGACAUAGUUCUUGAUAGCAAACUAAAAGCAUAGACCCUACAAAUAAUUGAAAACUAUGAUCAAGAAAACAUUAAAAAUCGAUAUAGAUAGAAAUGUAAUUAACCAAGAUCAAGCAAACAUUAAAAAUCUGAGAUCAAGCAGACAUUAUGUACCUUGAUAUUUCACUUAAGUAAAAAUCUGAUCUCCUGUAAGUUCGAGACCAAUAAUAGAUAACAAGCUACGAUUGUGAAAUAUUUCUAGAGUAGUCGUCAUCGUUGCUUGAGCACAAUCGUUAACAGAUAACAAGCUACAAUUGUGAAAUAUUUCCAGAGUAGUAGUCGUCGUCGCUUGAGCACAAUCGUUGAGCAAGUGACAAUAAAUGAGCACCGUCUGGCUAUGGAGAAGAAGUGGAAGGUGAGAAAGACGAGGACGAAGCUUGAGGUUGAAGACUAGGACAACAGCAAACAAUGUUUCUAUUUCUUUUAUUCUUGGGAGUUCUUUAUUUGACAACUUCAAUGGUGCAUCACGAAAGAAGAAAGAAGACAUGUCAAUUUAUUGUAAGAGAAGGAUGGUGCGAUUUUUUUAUUGAGUAUCCUACAUCACCGGUGGGAUAAAAAAAACAGAGGGAAAACAUUUCUAUAAAAGCGUAGCUCCCUUCUUUGAAAACCAAACCUAAUUAAGUUUUAGGCUAGCCGACUCCUUUGAGUUGGUGGGUCCAUUAAAUUUAAAUGGUCCGAUUUUGUCCAAUUUGGACCAAAUUGGUCUGGUUUUGACCGAUAUUGACCAAGGCCAAUUAGUUAACCCUCUAACACUUAUUCAUAGGCGGUUGGAAGUCGUCUAGCACCUAGGUGCCGAUUAAUCGGCGCCUAGGCCAAUUUUUACAACCAUGCUUAUUUACUAUAAUAUAGAUCAUUUAUAUAAUUAUAUUUUAAACUAUUACAAAAGUGGUUACUUUUAUAAUUUUACUAAUGUAUAAGGACUAUUUCCGUAAUUUUACAUUUUCUGUUAUUAUAUAUGCACCAUUUCUAAAAUUUUACAAUUAUACAAGAGCUAUUUUCGUAAUUUUACAUAUUAAAAAGAUAGGCAUCAUUCCUUAAAUAUUUGCAUUUUGUCUACAUACGGACAAGUUCUAGAUACUUACUAUUACAUAAAGACCAUUUCUAUAAAAAAAAUUGACAAAAUUCUACAAAUGGUCCUUAUGGUUUUGAUUUUAUCCCCAAAAAGUCAUUAUAAAACCUUUUCUUUUGCAUGAAUGGUCUCUAUCGAUAAAACUUUGCACUCCAAUCGUCCGGUGAUGGAUGUCUGUUAAAUGGAGUCGUUAAGUUGAAGAGAUUUUAGAUAAGGACCAUUUCUGAUAUUUUGUGAAAUUUCGCCUAAGAAUCAUUUUUGAAAUUUAAAACAAGUUUAUUAAAUCAUGUAUUAAUUACCAUAAAUCAAAUAAAAAAACAAACUAAAAGAUACAAUGUUACAAAUGCUUCUUACUUGUCUUCAACCUCCAAAGCUUCCUCUCACUAAAGAUUAUAAUUGUUGGUGCACGCAAAACUCUAAUUAAACUCUAAUUUGUAUAUUAACCUUAUGUUUAUAUUACAAAGUUGAUCCUUUUUUUUUGGACAAAUGUUUGUUAUAUUCCAAUAUUUUGCUACUUUUACGAAAGGAAUUAUCAUUCAUUGUCUAUUUUUUUUACUAUAUAGGUGGAUCUUGAAGAAGAUGCGACACAUAACAUCAAUACAAAGAGUUACAUCCUCAUCAACUUAUAAUGAAGUUAUGUCUUCAAAAUUUGAUGGAAAUCAAGAAAAGAUAGUGGAAUUAAAGCUUCAAUUAAUGAUUUUCCAUAUUCCAGAGGUGGGUCGAUCCCAAGAGGUGGGUCGAUCCCAAAAACGUGUUACUGAUUACAAAUGUUUCAUUUAAUUGAAACAUUAGGUUACAACCCGUGGAAACCACGGGUAAAAAAUUUAUAAAACAUUUAUAAUUAUUAUUAAGAAAUUUUUGUUUUAAGUAUUUUCUCCAUUAAUCUUUGGUGAAGCUACUUAAAAUAACAUUAGGAAGACUUUAUGUUUAGACGAUAUAAAGAAAUUAAUUUAAUUUACAUAAUUUGUGUAUAUAACUGGUUAUCCGUUGAAAUACCAAUCAUAUAUUCUGUCAGGUACAAAUAUUGGUGAUUCAAAUGAUAUGUCCAAGAAGAUUCAACUAAUAACUAAGAACCUCGAUAAUGUGUUUUAUAUGAGAUUAAAUUAUAUUCUCUUGUUAACUUGAACUCCAAAAUAGGGUAUAAAGCUUGAAGGUAAAAUGGGAAAAUCUCACAAUUAAUGUUUAUGAAUUAUUAGUUUUUUAUUUUAUUUGAUGAUACGUAUGAACUCUUUCUAAAGUAAAAAUAUACUUAUUAAUCAUAUUUGCAAUGUAUAAGGGUGUUGAUGUUGAUGUUUGUUUGUUUUUUUUUUUUUUUUUUUUUUUUUUUUUUUUAUUUUUUUUUUUUUUUUUUUUUUUUUUUUUUUUUUUUUUUUUUUUUUUUUUUUUUUUUUUUUUUUUUUGCCGAAAUCACAUAUAAGGCAUAUGAUUUGAUACAAAUGAUUAGGGAAAACUAAAGAGUUCCAGAAAGGUAAAAAAAAUUGCACUUCUAUUACUCAUUAAUGGUUUCAUGUUAAUCAUAAGUAUCGUAGUGUUAGUAAGUAAACAAAUGGAACGUUGCUAUUUUUUGAAUCGUAGCAAAAGUUAUAAAUAAAAUAAAUAUAAAAAUGUAAUAGGAGAUUUAGAUAUUAAGAUAUUGCAUUUUCUGAUAAUAACCAUGAUUAAAUGAUACAUUAUAGUUAAGUUAUAUAGCACAGUUUCCAAAAAUUGCAAUAAGACUAUGUUAUAAGGAUCAUAUGUGCCACAAGUUAAACAUUUGGACCGAUUACAUACUUUAAUUAUUCAUAAAAUACCAUUCAUACAAUUUACUGAGUAUAUUGACAUAAGAAUUAUUUUUUAGCGGAAGGAUAAUUCAAACUUUGACUUGUUGAUACGAAAUUAAUGUAUUAUAACAAUGUAAAAGGAUAGUUUUAAACAAUAAACAACCGUAUUGUCAAACAGAAAAACUGUAAAACAAAAUCUAAUAAAUAGAGAUUAUCUAAACAAUGAACGUAGAUGGUGGCACUCUAGUAUCAAAUCGUAAUCAUCCUUCAUAUUGUCCAAGUCUUUAAUUAAAGUGAUGUUUCUCUCUGUCAUUGUCACUGUAACAAAAUAUAAAAGAAGAAAAUAUUAUGUUAGCAGAAUGUAUAAUGUGAGUAGAUUAGAAUAAAGGUCAUUUUCAAAUCGAUUAUUCUACCUAAAACUUCAAAUUUGUGAUUAUUAGUGUAUAUAAAAAAAAUUUCAUUCCACAGUUAAGAAAUACACUAAUAAUCACAAAUUUGAAGUUUCAGUUAGAAUAAUCGAUUUGGAAUAUUGAGACACAUCAUAAGUAUCAUAAGUAUUCAGAACAUAAGUAAAAGGGAUUCACGAAAGAAAUGGAAUUUGCAGGAAAAAAAAUUAAAAAGAAAAAGAUUUCAAGGCUAAUUAAAUGGUCUUUUGUUUUUUUGAUUUCGUUUAAUAAAAUGGGUUAUCUUCAUAUUGGAUUUUGGAAUAGCAAAACACAUAUAUCAGGAAGAAGUAUGGAUAUGAAGUAUAAAGAACUUGGAACAAAUUUGGAAGGAGAGACAACUGAUAUCACAACACCCAAAACAGUAAGUAUCAAAAAUGUUGAAAGGGUGAAUUCAAGAUAAGUAGAAUGCUAUGAUGAUUCUUAAAUAUACUAAAAUACUAAUGCUAACCUAUGAUAUUCGAAUGAUGUUGACACUACAGCAGCAUGAAGCUAUUUUUCUGUGAGGAAGCAGUUAAAGGAACUACAGGAUUCCAGGAUUACAAGUUAGAAGUUAGAAAAUAGUAAAUAUAUAUGAAUACGGACCAUUAUGGUAUGUAUUAAUUCCGAUAUAAUUUCCUAUUUUUUGGGAUUAGACUUUAUUUCAGAAUUCAAAUUCAAAUUAAUGAUUGCAUACACAUUCCUUAUAUAGAGGAUUGCAUACCAAAUAUAUUCAUUGUGCAUUAAAUAUUUUCGUGGAGUAAAUAGGAAACAAAUAUGGAGUUAUAUUCAGAAAAAUAAGACGAAGGGCAUUACGGUCAAUUUACAAUAAUCGAAAGAUGGAUAUAGAGAGAUGCCAUGUGUACAAAAGGUUUCAUUUAUUAGAUAGGUAGAUUUACAAUUGAUGGACAAACUAAGCCUUGAGUAAUUUACCAUUCCCAAACGGUGUCUGAAGUUGUAAAAUUCCUUUAAACCAUCAACAAUGUUGGUUGGUUGCAACAUUCUAUUCUACAAUUGUUGAGCACCCUUGUGAUAUUACCUUUUUAACCUUUUUUCUAAAGUUCUAACUUCCUAAAAAGCAUCAUCAAACAACUUCAUCAACAUCAUUAGAAGAGCUAACACUAAUAUAAGGAUUAUUAGGCUUAAUGACUUGUACCCCGUCCUCUGAAUCAACUAGCUUCCCAUCUUCUUCAUCCACAACUUCAUCAACAUCGUUUUCUAGCCCAAUUUCUCUAUUUCAUUCCUUUUAUUCUUGAACUCCAUUGCAGGUUUGCAUCGCUAGUCAGUGUCAUCUGAAUGAAAAGAAAGAAUUAUCUUCAAAAGGUCGGUCCGCCUUCCAAGUGUUUGAUGAAAUGUCUGAAAGAAGUGAAUACUGAUUGCUAAGAAUAAAUUUGUUUCAUGUGUUUGAUCUUGAUUUCUAAUUCUUCAUUUUUCUUCUGACCUUUUUAUCUACAGACAGGGCUCUCAUAUUGCUUACCUGUUGUUGUAUGUGGAUGAUAUAAUUCUCACCAGCUCCUCUCCUCAACUUCUGACUCAUAUCAUUAAGCUGCUUGGAUCCGAGUUUUCUAUGUCCGAUCUUGGAGAUCUUCAUUAUUUUUUAGGUAUCGCUGCCACCCAGACUGCUGAUGGCCUGUUUUUGUCUCAACAGAAAUAUGAUAAUGAGAUUCUUGCCCGUGCUUCUAUGUUGAAUUGCAAACCUGCCUCUACUCCAGCCGAUCUUAGCACCAAAUUUGAUGGGUCGGGACCUCCUAUUGCAGACCCUACGCUAUAUCGCAGCCUUGCUGGUGCUCUUCAGUAUUUAACUUUUACUAGACCAGACAUCACGUAUGCCGUUCAACAGAUAUGUCUCUACAUGCAUGAUCCUCGUGAGCCACACUUUGCUGCUCUUAAACGCAUUCUACGUUACGUUCGUGGUACUUCUGAUCAAGGACUUCAAAUUUUUUGUUCUCCAUCUCGUGACAUUAUAGCAUAUUCUGAUGCUGAUUGGGCUGGCUGUCUUGUUACCAGGUGCUCCACCUCAGGUUAUUGUGUCUUCUUGGGGCAUAAUCUUUUAUCCUGGUCCUCUAAACGCCAGUCUACUAUAUCCCGCUCCAGCGCUGAGGCCGAAUAUCGUGGGGUUGCUAAUGCCGUUGCUGAAACAUGUUGGAUUCGGAAUUUACUUCUUGAGCUAUACUACUCUCCUCAUCGAGCUACACUUGUAUACUGUGAUAAUGUGAGUGCUGUUUACAUGUCUUCUAAUCCUGUUCAACAUCAACGGACUAAACAUAUUGAGAUUGAUCUGCACUUUGUUCGAGAUAAGGUUGCCACCGGUCAUGUUCGGGUCCUUCAUAUUCCUUCCAAAUCUCAAUAUGCGGAUAUCUUCACUAAAAGCCUCCCAUCCACUUUGUUUCUUGAUUUUCGGUCCAGUUUGAACGUUCGCCAACCAUCUCCCGUUCCAACUGCGGGGGGUUGUUAAUGGAUCUAUUUGUGUAUUUGUAUUUAUUCUAGUAUAGCCCUUUAUUAUUUAUUUAGGCCUUGUAUAGAUGGCCCAUAGGCAUUAUGUAUAAAACCGUUUCUAAUGUAUGAAAGGAGGGGAGAUGAGAAAUUAUUAAAAUAACAAAUAUAUGAUCUUGUUUUAAGUAAUUGAUCACAAAAUGUUAUGUCCAACUACAUAUCAGUCUUCUGUUGUGCUCCUAUUAAUGAUACCAUUUGAGAACAUCUUUUUCAAAAUAGUUCAUCGCAACCUCCUAACUUUCAUCACUGGACAAUCGAUUUAGGAAAAAAAAAAUUUGGUUUUGGUUCUUGAAUGGCCCUCUGUUUUUUGAUCUUUAUCCAUCUUCAAAUGUUAAUCUAUUUAUUUUAUUUGAUUCUUCUUGAAAUAGCACAACUGACAUAUUUUCCUCUUCCAGGUACCCCAUAUUUUGUUCUUGCUGAUAAUUUUUUAAGAGAUGAAGGUUUUGUUUCACUCUUUUAGGAUUUGUUCCUUUUUUCAUCUUCUUCCUAAACAUCAGCUGACUAAAGAAACUUGGAUGCACUGCUCUUAGUUAUAUCAAAAUAUGUAUUAUUUUUUGUUUAAGAGGCUUAUAAGGUAAAGCUGACUAAAAAAAUUACUGAACAAGUGACAUUAAUAGCAAAAGAUGAAGAUGAAAGUACAUACAUGGGGGUAGUGUUCUGUGGCCUGUGUGUAUGUGUGUGUUUUAAUUAGGGAAAAAACUAAAUUAGUUUUAAUAAGAAAACCAUGCUUCAAAAAGAAAACAUGAAACCAGGAUGCUAAAAUAAAGUCAACGGAAGUACAUGCUAUUUCCAGCAUAUUCUCUUUGACUUUGAACUAUGUUUUAAAUUCAAAAUGCAUGGUACCUUUGAACAAAACAAAAAAAAAAGGUUUAGUUGAGGGGUGACAAUUAACUUUUGUCCAACCAGAGUUUAACCAACUCAUCUUCAAAGGGCAAUAUAACAUACUCACUGCAAAUUCAUUUUUGGACUUCAGACAUACACUUAAAUAGGUUUUUUCUUUAUAUGCUAAUGAUUUUGUAUUCAGUAAAAUACAAUACAUUUGUUCCAUUAGUUUAUUUAUUUUAACAUCAUAUUAUCAUUUUUUUUUCUGAUUACAACAUUGUAUUUUGAAAUAUUUUCUCAUUUCGGUAGAUUUUUCAAAAUACAUUGCCUUAAGAAAUGUUGUGUUACUGUAACUCUAUGCUAUGCUUCUGGAUCGAGUUUUCCAAGUAGAAACAUGAUUAUUAAAGUCCAUGUGCAGAAUUUUUUCAAAAGCAAAUGGUUCACAUGUUAAAAAAAAAUUAGAAAAAUGGUCCCUAACUAAUAGAAAAUUUGGAAAUUAUGAGUUUCACAACCCCAAUUGGAAAUUACCCCGCACAAAGUGAGGAACGGGCAAUUUCUAGUAAUGAGAUUUAACAUUGAUUUACUGAUGAACAAAUAAGGCCUUUUGAAACAUAUAUGGUGUAUAUUAUUAUAUAGUCUUGAAGAAAAGCAACGUAUAUGGAUGGAUAAUCCUUUGAGAAAUAUAUUUCCUACAAAAUUUCUUCAUUAACCUAAGUUUAUUUGUCAAAUAUGGAUAAAAAAGUAAUUGACUGUAUGUGUACAACUACAAAACUUCAUUACUGUCACAAGUUUAACCGGGACCGGAGAAGUCAUUGGAAACUGGAAUAACCUUUAAUUACCGUUCAUAAUGGUACCUUUUGAAUAUGUUAGGUAAGUUUAAUAGUCAAACGUAUACAAAAAAGAUGACCAAAUGUGAACAAAUGUGAUAGAUGGUUACUGUCAUAAGUCGUUUUCCCUUUUUAUUAUUAUGCUUCUUCUUCUUUUUUUUUUUUUUUUAACUUUCUUAAAUAUAAAUGGACUAAUAUUAUAAAAGUCCUAGAUGGUUAGGUAAGUCGUUUUCCCUUUUUAUUAUUAUGCUUCUUUUUUUUUUAACUUUCUUAAAUAUAAAUGGACUAAUAUUAUAAAAGUCCUAAAUUUUUAAGGCGUAUUUGGAAAAAGCCCUAUAUUUUUUUAUCAUUGCUAUGGCUAUAAUUUUCUCGCAGAAUUAUUACUUUAGUCCACUUAACGAGUUUCAUGGUUAACUUGGUUAAUUUUUUUUUUUCUUUUUUUUUUUUUGAAAAAUCAGUUCUAAAAAGUUCAAAUUUGGUUCCUAAGGUUUGCAAACCAUUACACCAUAUUGUUUUUUAAGUUUAUUUUUUGUUUUUUCAUACUUUAUUUAUUUUCGGUUUUCUUAAAAAUAUAUAUACAUUUUUUAUUUUCUUUAUAUAUAUAUACUUUAUUUAUUUUCAUUUUUAGUGUGUAUAUAGAGUAUAUUAGAUUUUUUUUGUUAGUUUUUUUCAUAUUUCGUUUCGUAUUAUAUUUUAACUUUUUCAUCUUUUUAUUUAUUUUUAUUUUUUUUUCUUGUUUGAUUUCCAAUUAUUUGUUUUUAUUUUUUUGUAUUUUUAAUUUUUUAUUGAACUUUUUCAAAAAAUGUUAAAUGUAUUAGUAUAUUAGAGUAUAUUACAAUUUUGAUAAUUUAUAGUUUUUGUAAUUUUUUUUAUUUUUAUUGAAGUAAAUAAAACAUUUAUGUUUAUAUUUGUAAUUUCGAUCCAACAUAUUUUAUUUUUGUUUUUUUUUUCUUUAGUAUUAUCAUAUUAAUGUUACGAAAAAAUGAAAAUUAAAAAAAAAAAAUUACCUUGUUUAUAGAGAAUUAGUGUUUUAGUAUGUUAUAUAACUUGCAAAUUAAAUCAUAUUUCUAUAUGUGAUAUCAAUAGUUUAAAUUCAAGAUAACAUUUUUCAAUUUGAUAAUAGACUAAAAGAAAUAACAAAAAAAUAAUAAUAAUAGUCAGUCUCUAUAAAAAAAAAAUUGUUAUACUAAUUUAUAUUGAUUCAAGUUCAUUUACUUAAAUCAAAAUAAAUAAAAACAUUAGAAAAACCAUAAAUAACUAAAAUAGAAAACAAAAGGUAAAAAGGUAAAAAAUCAAAUUGUUGAAAAAUAAAGUUUAAAAAUGAAAAUAAUUAAAGUAUAUAAAAAAGAAAAUAAAAAAUGCAUAUAUAUUUAUUAAAAAAAACAAAAAUAUAUAAAGUAUACAAAAAACGAAAAAUAAAAUUAAAAAACCAUGUGUAAUUUUUUGCAAACCUUUGGGACCAAAUUUGAACUUUUUAGGACCGAUUUUGCAAAAAAAUUAACCAAGUUAACCAUGAAACUCGUUAAAUGUGUUAGAGUGAUAAUUCUGCAAGAAAUUUGUGGUCAUAGCAAUAAAAAAAAAAAAAAAAAAAAAAAAAAAAAAAAAAAAAAAGACAAAAUUGCAAAAAUGGUCCCUGUGGUAUGCAUUUUUUACGGGUUUUGGUCCAAACCACGUGUAUUUUGGUUUCAUGGUCCUUUCUCCUUCCUGAUCUGCAAUCGAACAAUUGUGGUUUGUUUUUGUGGAAAACUCGCUUUGGUAAGAACGUCUUGGACGCCACUGAAUCCAAGAAGGAGGUUUUAUGCGUGCCCUACUAAGGAUUCUGUUUGCGGGUUUAUCGGGUGGGUUGAUCUGCUUAUGUGUGUUAGGAGUAAAACCAUCAUACCUGGUAUUCUAAGAAACAUAAAUACGUUGGAGGAAAGGUGUAAUGGACCGGUAAGAAGUAUGAAUAUGUUACAGGAACAGUGCAAUGGGUGUGAACCAAAAACAAUUACCAAAUUAAGCAAAUGUAACAAAAGUACAUUACCAAAAUGUAACAAAAGUACAUUACCAAAAUACAUGUCAUAAAUUGACCAAAAUGCAUAUUUCAUUAACCACAUGAGUGGAACCAAAAACAAUUACCAAAUUAAGCAUACAAGUGUCUAUGCACCAUACAUAACCACAUCAUCAAAACAUAACUAAAGUUUUCAAAAACAAAAAGUUCUUAACAACAAACAACUAAAUAGUCAUUGCGCCACAACAAACAACCAAACUCACUUCUUGGAUUGAUUUCCACAUUGCCCUUUACAGGUCCUAGAGUUGUGUCCCUUAUUCUUGCAUUUGCUACAAGUAACACUGAUAUGUUUCCUUGAUAGCUUCUGCACUCCAUCAUUUGUUGGCCCUUGGGAAGGUUCUCCUUACAUCUCAUUGACUCCAUCACCUUGACUUGCCUUCUGCCUUUUGCUUAACCUUUCACCCUCACUUUGUCUUCUUUUUUUCUUAGGCCUUCCCACUUGAGUGCGAUGUGGAGGGAUUAGCUUUGUUGGACAAUUACUUUUAGGCAACAUGGGUCUCCCUUUAAUUGGUUCCACCUUAAAUGAAUAAGCUUUUUGCCAUGUCUCUAGCCAAUACACCUUGUGUACCCACUUGUAAAUGUCAAGCUCAGCCUCAGGGUCUUUGCUCAUUUCAUUUAGAGUUGCAAUUGCAUGCCUGCAAGGUAUUCCCAUUAAUUCCCACUUUCUCUUUCUUGGUCUGAUCCUUCAUCCAAUGAUCCGAACUCCUCAUUGUUGAUCACUUCCAUAUCUUCAGGUUCAUGGCCAUGAACAUCAUCAAUACAUGCUCCUUCAACAUCACUUUCAACAUUUAGACAGAAGUCUGCCAUGUCCAUAUCAACAUCUUUUAUAUUGUUCUCCUCAUCCAUUAUGGCAUCCACUUGAUCUUCAUUUUUAGAUUGUUUCCCAUCCUCAUCGUCACCUUCAUCCUUUUCAUUGAAACGACCUGAUUUUUUAUCAAGAAAUUUUUUUCGUUUUUAAUUACUCAAACAAUUUCCAUAAUUCAUAAUUUUCCAAACCAUUUGUUUUUCCCCAAAUCACAAUUAUUACAAUUUCAAUAUACUUUGAAAACAUCAGAUAGUCCCAUCACACAAAAAGAGAGGUAGAGUGCACGCCACGUCAUCACGCCUUGCCUUUGCCCUUCGGCUCUGAAGUACCUGAAACAAUCAACAACCUGUAAGCGAAAUGCUUAGUGAGUUUCCUAGAGCAUACACCACACACACAAACCAUAUAUCACAUAUCCUGUUAGCUAUAAAAGCCACACACAUAUCACGUAAGCCAUUCAUACACGAAACCUGAGAGAAUGCCAUGGGCUACCCCACAUAGUCUUUACCUAGGACUGCCAUGGGCUCCCCCACAUGGCCUUACAUCUAAUGCCAUGGGCUACCCCACAUGGUCUUCACCUAGGACUGCCAUGGGCUACCCCUCAUGGUCUUACAUCCAUUGCCAUGGGCUUCCCCCAGGGUCUUCAUACAAAACAUGCAAUCGCAUAACAAAACACAGAAUAUCUAACACACAUGUCACAGUCACAUAAUGGGCCGGCCUUGGUGCCUUAGACCCAUAGGUAUGGUGAGAAGACUCACCUGUCACAAAUGCUGAACUGACACUUUGCGAACAAAUGUACCCCACAGGCUGCUCCACGCAACUGCCUAUAAAGUGUCAUACAGUUUCCAAUCAUUUCCCAAAGUCCAUCCUGGUCAACUUCAUUCAAGGUCAAGUCAACGGUCCAUGUUGACCCUAACUCGCCGAGUACGACUAGUAACUCGCCGAGUUUCCCCAUAAUAACAUCUACUCGUCGAGUUCAUACAGUUUGAAUGAUAAUCUAAGGUCAUUCGUCGAGUUCCCUUGCUUGACACUCGACACGUGACACGUCUACGAACAUCCAACCAUUGGGGAAAUCUUACUUGACUCGCCGAGUUGUUCCUUCAACUCGCCGAGUUCUAGGUAACCUUCAUCCGACUCACCGAGUUCUAGGCAAAAUUCAUCGGGCUCGCCGAGUUGUUCUUCCAACUCGCGGAGUCCAUGCCUGCCUUCAAAUGACUCACCGAGUCACCCCCUGUGACUCGCCGAGUCCUUUCAGAUCCUAAUCCAUAACGACCCUUUUUGAGCCAUGAAAAGCUUCCAAACUACAGAUCUAGGCUCCUGAGGCAUGCUUUCCACGUAAAGUUGCAAACUUUACGUGCAUGCAAGGCUUUAAGGCCCUAAAAUAGCAAAUCUAAACUUGCAAUGGGGUCAUACACUUGAGGGAAGGUACAUGCUAAGCUCAACUGUUAACUUUAUGCAUCUUAAGGCCAAAAGGAGUUCAGAUCUGAAGUUACAACUUCAGAUCUUGGCUUAAACACAAAAGCCCUUUCUUAGAAUCCAAACACAAGAGGGUUUUGGGUGGAAAUGAGCCAAGAGACAGCUUAAUACCUUCAGAAAGUGCUCCACAGGAGUAGAUCUAGAAUCCCCACGAGCCUUUGCUUCUUCUAGCUUGAUUCCCCAAGAGAUCCCUUCACCAAAUCCCUCCUUCAAGCUUCAAAAUCACCAAGAACACACUCACACUCGAAUAAAGGUUUUAAGGAGGUAUAGAGCUGUAAAGGGGAGGCCAAGGGAGGCUAAUGACCCCUUUAAAUAGGGUGCAAGGCCCUGGAAUCUAGGGUUUCAUCUGCCAGCAUCUACUCGUCGAGUACCAUAAUGGACUUGGCGAGUAGAUCAUUAAACCCCCGUAUCCAAACCCGCUACUACUCGACGAGUAGGGAAGCCAACUCGCCGAGUAGGUCCUCCAAGAAUCCAAACCGAAAUGUCAUCAUCAAUACCUGAGGAUCGGGGUGUUACAUUCAUACUCUUUAUCACUCUCUUCAGAUUCUCAUCCCCUUCAUACUCUUCAACAUCCUCAUCACUUCCAAGUAAAUUUUCCAUAAGGUUAUCAACAAGCUUAUUAUAUUGUUCAUCAUCAUUAACAUGUGGGGUGUUGUAGCAUCCUUCAAUAUGGUCAUUAUCCUGAACCCCAAUCAUCUCAUCCCCUACAUUAGCAAUAUUUGAAGUAAAUGGCUUGUAGCAUCCUAUAACAACAGGGACCAUUUUUGCAAUUUUGUCUAAAAAAAUAUUAAGACUUUUUCCAAUUACGCUUUAAAAAUUAAGGGCUUUUAUAAUAUUAGUCCAAUAUAAAUAGAAAAUAUAAACUAUUUACGAUGCCUUAUUUUAGACAACACUAGAAAAUGGCCACCCGUGGUGUUGGUGACAAUUUUAUUGAUAACUGGGACUUAAAAACCCAUGCCAAAUACAAAAAUGAAACAUGGUUUUACAUGACUAUUUAUGUUCUUUUUUCAAUUUUGCAAUGAACAACACCACCUUCACAUGAACCCAAUCUUCAAAGCUAUCAAGAAAUAUAAAAAAUGCAUAUCUUCCACGACGGUUGAGGAGUAAAGCACCACAUGCUAUCCAAAAUCCAAAAGUGAAACCAGUGGCCCCACCAAUAUAGAACCAUACAUCAAGUUCAUCUAUACCUUCACCCUCACUUUCACCAAUGCUAUGUUGUGUUCCCGAUUCUUCAUCUCCAGGACAUUUUUUGGUAAUGGGAGGUCCACAAAGCCCUAAGUUCCCUUCGUAUCUUGAAGGGUCAAAGGACUGAAGUUGUGUGCUGGAUGGGAUUCUCCCUAACAAGUUAUUGCAUGACACGUCUAGGUAACUCAAUAAGGUCAUUUGAGACAUGCUUGAUGGUAUUUCUCCUGAAAACUUGUUUCUAGAUAAAUCCAAAGUUAAAAGAUUUUUCAUCUCACUGAUGUUCCAUGGGAUCUUUCCAAGAAGAGCGUUCUUUGACAAGUUGAGUGCAAUCAGCUCAUCAAGAUUGGUAAUCUGAUAUGGGAUUUCCCCAGUUAAUUUGUUGCUUGACAGGUCGAUGCUCCUCAACAACUUCAUAUUACUUCUGAUGAAUUCACGUUCAGUUCCUUGCCACUGGAUCAUCACAUGGUCAACAUUAUAUGAAUAUCUUCCUAAUGAAAUGCCACGAUCUAAAUUCUGUAGUUGAGAGACUCCUUGUUGCACCAUGAUCGUAAGAUUACUCAAACAUGAGGGGAUGCUUCCAUGGAAAUGGUUCACGGACAAGUCUAGAAUUUGAAGACUUGCUAAUUGACAUAAUUGUAAAGGGAUGCUUCCAGAGAAGUUGUUUGAUCUUAACAUAAGAACAUACAACCCAGAUAAGCUUUCCCCAAUCCAAACAGGCAAAUUACCAGAAAACUUGUUGGCCCCCAAAUUCAAUGACUUUAAGCUCGUGCAAUUCUUAACAGACAAAGGAAAUUCUACAGAGAAAUCGUUCUUGUAUAAAUCCAAUGCCUCUAGCUUAAUCAUAGAUCCAAGAGAGGCAGGAAGCCUUCCAGAAAGAUUAUUGUGUUCUAAAUUAAGAACUUUUAGUUCUUUGAAAUGCCACAAACAGUCUGGAAGUUGUCCGCUUAGAAAGUUAUGGGAGAG